rnacentral:lncRNA from 1 species
GUGUGUUUAAUAAAUAAAUAAAGUGGCUAUGCUAAUCUGAAUCUUAAUAAUAAAACUCUAGCAUGGAUAUGAUGAAUAGUUGCUCUGCCUAAUUUGCAAAUUUGAAGUUCUCUCUCAAGUUUAGACAUAACUGUUAUAAUUUAAAGCUUGCUCUAGAUCUAAACUUGUGGGAUGAAAACUUGAUCUGAAAUCUAAGUUGUUAACGAAUAUGAUAUGGGAAGGUUGAGCUGUUGUUUAUCUGUUCCUAGAGAUGCUAGAAUUCUGGAGAAUUUUAUCUUUGAAAAAUCUUUAAAAUAUUGCAUGAUGAGUUCGUGUAUGUUGAAAGUUUAAAUUCCUACCACAGCCAUAUAUACAUGCUUGCUAGACUUUGAGCCACACAUUUACUAUUUACUGCUUAUGAGCAUUGAGUGUGGUCAAGCUGUGUAGACCCUUAGGAGCUUGUCAUGUGGUUAAAUCAAGAUUUCACUUGCACAUUCACUCAUAUAUGCUACUUCUACUCCGGAAGUACCAUCCACAUAUAUACACCCAUGUCCAUCUCCAGAACCACCCAAAAAUAUUCUACUCCUAAUCCGGGAGAGAAUAGCCAAAAAUAUUUCUGUUUUCCCUUGUGAAAUAAAUGCUCAAGUUAUCUUGCUACUACCUCUUGCUAUAUCAUCUCAAGAGAUGAGUGCUCUGAAAAGAAAAAAAAUAAAAGAGAAGAAAAGAAAAAAAUAAUAAACGAGGAAAUAAAAAGGGGCAAGUGUCCGGAACCUCGAAAGAAAAAAAAGAGUGAGACGAGAGGUAAAAAUGGACAAGUGUCCGACAGUAGAAUUAGGGGUACAAGAUACCCACCUGAGAGGAAAGAAAAAAAUGAAAGAUAGAGCAUCUCAUUCUCCUCAUAAAGUUUCAAAAAGCAAGGAAGGUAUGUAUCCCCUCAAAAGAGCAAAAGUAGAAUUAGACUUUCACCAUGUUAUCACCAUCAUCACCAUACACCAUUCAUUCGCCACACAUGCACAUCUUGAUUUGGCUUAUUGAUUUGUUUCUUUGGAUCCAUAGUUUGACUAUACAAUAAAUGUCUUGUAAGUAUGUAUACUUUAUCUCCCACCUAUGAGCUCCAGAUAUUAAAGUUAUUAGAGUAGGGUGAGAGAGAAGGCAAUGUCACUAUGCCUUAUACCACAAAUACCACAUAUCUUGAGAGAAGGCAUAUACCAUCACUGCCUUGGUAAGGAUCCAGAAAUACCACAAAAGAGAGAUUUAGAGAGUCAUACAAGGAAUCUCUGAGUUUUAUUUGAAAAAUCUGCAAAAACUCCAGAGCUAUAGCUGAUCAAGAAUAAGAGACAUGGCACUUGGCUAGACUGUUCUAUCUUUUAACUACUCAAGACAGAAGUGACGGUUACAAGUCCCAUGGUGAAAGGUAAAGUAAGUAAGUUUUAGUUCUUGACAGUUUACUCUAACUCAGAGAUGAGAUCUUAUUUAAAAGCAUGUGUACCGUCAAAUUUUUAAGAUAUUGCAACAACUUCUGAUCCAUUGCUGAGUCUAUCCUUGCUCAGAGACGAGCAAGAGGUAAGCUUGGGGGAGUUUGUUGACGAUCCUUAAGUAUCAAAUUUAAUUAUCAAAUAAACAAAGAAAAGGAUUGAAAUGAAAUCAACAUCUAGACUUAGGGUUUUAUCUGACAGAAUUCCACGAGUUUUGGUGUUUGUCUAUUUCUGCAGGGGGUUAUCAGGAAAUACGGAAGAAAGGUCCACACGUCGGGAUUACAUAGUGAUAUCAAUGUGCCGCGCAAUUAUUUUACAUCUAGAAGACUCCAGAAGCCACGGGAAGGAAGCGGAGGCCGAACGGAACCAGGACCUGGGCGCCCGCCCAAGUCCUUAGGGCGCCCGCCCUGCUACAGUGGCCAAUCACAUUCAACCUCGUGGAUUAUGCUCCACCGACCUAAAGGAUCAAGAAUAACCGUUCAAUCAAUGUCGGUUUGAUCCGACGGCCCGGGUUCACUUGAGGGGACUAUAUAACCAGACCCCCUGGCCCCUGGAGGAGGCACCCCUUGAUCAUUAUUCAUUAUUCAUAGACAGAGCAAAAGCUAGGGUUUAGAGAUGAGAGCUCUCCUCUCUUCUCUAAACUAGAGUAGAUCUAGAUUGUAGCAAGAUGGAGAGCGAAGGAGGAUUAGAGGAGAGGCCGGCCUGUCGGUUCUUCCUCCGGUUGUACUUCGUCAUGAUCAAGCUCUAAUCAAGCUUACUCAUGGGAUGACUCUGGUAAUCUAUUUCUAAUUCAUUAUGCAAUUACUAAUUAUGUAUGUUCUGGUUCACAACUCUUUUAAGUGUUCUAAUCUAUAGGACGCUAUAGGUGAGAGUUGUAGUAUAGGUGCAAGCGAGGUGCUUAGAUCUAGAUUACUUGUGGAUAUCCCCUGUCUAGCUGGAUCGUGUGGUAGGCCGCGUAGGUGACAGUUACGUUGGUCCUCUGUAGUCCACCUCUCGUUAGCAGGACGGGUAGGGUUUAUUGGCCUAAGGAUAAGCAUCCUUUGUGGUGUACUCUUAUCACGUGGUUCGUCCCAGACAUAGACAUACCCCUUUGAAGUAGAGAAACCAUAGUUAUCCUCUCUAUUCUGCUACCAUCGCCCAUAUACUAUAAUUGCUCUACUCUCUAUUCCCAUAUUAUCACUCACUGUUAUCUUACCUUUAAUAUUGUUCUUAUUCGAUUCUACCAUCUUUCCUAUUUACACUUAUUUACUUAUCUUGGUUAAGUUAGAGCGUAGAUCAGUUCUCCCGUUUCCCUGUGGAUACGAUAAAACCUUUAAUCGGGUAAAAGCUUCAACGGUAUCCGUGCGCUUGCGGAUUAUCUGUGUGCGUAUAAAUACCAUAGUACACUCUAGUGCCAUGCUGGGGAUGACAACCUAGUAUUCAAGUGGUGUUAGCAAGUGUCAACACUAGCGGUACACAUGUAUGUUGAAUCAUCCUUUUCUUAUAAAUGUAUAUAAUCUUAUAUUAUUUUUGUUUUUGUAUUUCCCCAUUUUUUUGCCUUUUUUUAGGGUGUAAGGAAUAGAGCAACGCCUGCUAGACUAUUUAAAUUGUACAAGGAAAUGUCAGAGGCCCAACGGAAGCUUGUUAGUGAUGCUAGCUUGGAGGUUUGCUUGAGAUAGGAAGUGGUCGAUUGCCAUCUGCCCUAAGUAAAUGGCUUGUGAAGAAUGUGGAUGGUGAAUCAGAAGAGCUUGUAAUUCUUGGAAGAGGGAAGAUUAAAGUAAAUGCAGCUUCUGUGAACAGGAUACUAGGGUUACCUAUGGGUGAAGAUGAGGUUAAAUACAAAUUCAAUGGAAGUGCAAUUAGUUUCAUCAAUAAAAAGUGCAGCUUUGACAAUGGAAGGUCUCCUGCAAUUACAACAAUAAUAGAAAGGCUGUGCGCAAAUAAGGAAGCUAAUGAUGACUACCUCCAGUGUUGGCUCAUUGUUGCUAUCUCAACUUUUCUAUGUGGGAGCACAGUUUUGUGCAUCAGCCCAAAGUGCUAUCCUUCUUUGGUUGAUCUAUCAAAAGUUAAGCAAUUGAAUUGGUAUAAAUUUGUAGUAGAUACUCUCAAAGGAUCCAUGAGAAAGAUGCAUAAAAAGGAUUCUGUUUGAGGUUGUCUAUAUUUCCUCUCUGUGAGUGUCUUUUCUUUUUCCUUUUAAUCUCCUAUUCAUGUACUACAUUUUCCUUUUUUACAUGUUUUUUAUGCUACCUUACUUAUAUGCCUUUUUAGAUACUUUUCCUAGACUCUUUGGAGGUAGGAAACAUACAAGUCCUUGAAAAAUAGCCAAGAGUUGCAGCAUGGAACAUCAAACUUAUCAACAAGGUCAUAAAGAUGGAUACUAGCACAAAUGGCACAUUCAGGAAACUCAAGGUAUGACUUUUUGUAUUUUUCUGUGUCAUUUUUUAUAUGUACUAUGCAUUUGUGAAUUUACUCAAAUCUUUUUCUCCUUUUUCCUUUUUUUGUGUGACAGCUCAAGAAACUAGCUGGUUCAGUCACUGAGACCUCUUUAUUUGGGGAUUUCCAAGACAGAUAAUUUUAUUUCGUACAGGGCAUCUGAACCCAUGACUUCAAAUGUAUGCAAAUAAUAGAAUCAAGUAAAACUGUAAUUUCCUACUCCACAAUAGUCUUUUUUGUAUAUUAGGCAACCAAAUUGUAUCAUUUACGCAACAUUACGCCAAAUAAUAGUUGUAUGCAUUUUUUUAGAAACAUUAGUCUCUCUCUCAUAUGGAUCAACCUAUCCCUUUUUUCUCUCUGUCACCACUCCUGUGAGUUUUUGUAGGAAGGUGAUAAGAUGGCCUCUACUAUCCCAUUGAGCAAUGGAUCCAUCAGCACUCGCCCUAUAACCAAGCACCGGGCACAAUAGUUAGGCAACAGUUAGGAGAUGAGAUCAUGGUUUUUUGGGCUGUUAGUUUUUUUCAGUCAGGCCUUACUCACACAAGGAGAGUCUAGAGGUUGAAGAAGAUGAGAUAAUGUGCUGUUUUUUGUUUGCCUCAAAGCAAGGGAAAAUGUUGUACCAGUAUGCAGCAUAUGAGAACUUGAUAGAAUCACUUAGGAGGAACCACAAAGCUUCUUGUGUGUCCAGUUACAAUACUAAGGCAUACAUAUCACUUAGGAGCUAACAUUUUUUAAACUUUUUUUAAUUAUAGAAGAAAAGAAAAUUAUCUAAAGUUGUCAAGAAAGCUUGUAUUGGUUUCACUUAAGUGAUAGGAACAAUUAUAAGUGAGGUGUCCACAAUUAGUGAUGAUUCUGAGGAUCAAGAGGAGCCCAGAACAUCUAGACAGAGAAGAACUACCAAUCCUCACCAACAAAACACCAAUGAAGAUAGAGAGAAUGAGGAGCCCAGAAGAUCCACAUGGAGAAGAACUACCAAUACUCACCAACAGGAUGUUGAUGAAGACAAAGAGAUCGAGGAGGAGGAGGAGGAUUGGAAGGAGGACGAGGAUGACAUAGAUGCUUUGAGGAGGAAGAGAGGAGGCGGACAAAGAAGUAGAGCUAGAGGAUGAGGAGGUGGACAAAGAAGUGGAGCUAGAGGACGAGAGUGUCUCUGAUGAGAAUGAUGCAAUCAACAAAGUUGAUCCACCGGCUGGUGAUUCAAGGGAAUCAGAACCAAUACCACUAGAAGUUGUUCCUUCUCAAUCAAGAAGGGAAAGGCUGAGGUAAAUGAGAUAUAUAUUUUUUGUGUUAAGUGUGCUACAGUUUCUAUUGGAUUGAAUUUUUAGUAACUUUUUGAAGAAAUCUGUACCUCUGCUUCCCACCCCACCCCACACAAAAAAAGUACAUUUUCUAGCUCCACACACUUUUUCUGUGAUGUUAUAGUAAAGUUGACAACAAAGUUGAUUUAUUUUGCCAAUUUUUUCUGAUGCAGGAAAGGUGGACUGUGCAAUAGGCUAGAUGAAUCCUAAACAUGCAUUUGGUGCAUGUUUUCUAAGUGUUUAUGAGUAGUAGAGAACCACUUAAAAAUAUGCAUGUAAUUUUAUUUAAGCAAUUUAAUAUUAUUAGUGAGGCAAGUUAUUAGUAAUCUGGUAGCAAUUAUGUGUGUCCGACCAAAAAACCUUUUUAAACUUAAUAUUAUUAGACUUUGAAGCCUUCUUUAACUUAAAAAACCUUGUUGCAAUGUGAAAUUAAUGCAAAGGAGAUUUUCAAGGCUUUUUUGGUUAUUCCUUAUAUUUUAAUGGUUUACUCUUGUUCCUAGUAUUCAUAAUUAUGAUAUCAUUCCCUAAUAUUUUUGUUGUGUAGCAACUGUCUCAUAUUUUCCCUUUUUGUGUGUCUAUUUAUACUUAUGGGUCAGCUGUGUUUCUGUGUUAAAUGGUCACUUAUACUAGUAUCACUCUCGUUAUGUCAAUUGAAUGAAUUGCUCAACUAUGGAGUGAUAGUAUUGCAACCAUGAAGAGAUAGUAUUUUUGUCUUUGUUUUUAGAUCAAGUUUUGUUUUCCAGUAACAUAACAGUACUAACACUAUUAUGUUUUUUUCAUGGCUAAAGGCUGCCUCCUUCUGCUAGUGUUGUGGAAAAGAAUGAAAAAUAGAAAAGCACAAUAAAUGGGAUUUUAGUGGGCCGCCAUUGGACAUAUGAGAUUCAUUGAAUUUCCCACACCCCGUGAACGUCCACCAUCAAAGCGAAGUGAAUGUAGUUCAGAAGGAACACAAGGAAAUAUGAUGAUGAUUAUUUUUGGGACAAUUUAAGUGAAGAAUAAUUUAAGGAACUUGAUGCCCAAAUUGAAGAUCUAGAAAGGAACAGGACACAUAAGUCAUUUUCUAGCAGUGCAGUUAAGCAACCUCCUGUACCUAUCGAUAUCCCAAUUGAAGAUCUAGAAAGGAAUAUGGCACAGAAGUCACCUUCUAGCAGUGUAGCUAAGCAACCUCCUUUACCUAUCGAUAACCCAAUUGAAGAUCUAGAAAGGAACGGGGCACAAAAGUUGCAUUGUAGCAGUGCAGCUAAGCAGCCUCAUGUACCUAUUGAUAACCGAACUGAACAUUCAGAAAGGAAGCCAACAAGAGAUGAAAAGACAACAGCAGCCACAACCUAUGGUCUACAAUCUGCUCCCAGUACUUCGCGCACACUUGCGUACCAACCUUCGCCUAGAAGGCCAGUGCGACCAGGGCGUGCUUUGCAGUCCCAUAUAUCGAUUAUGGUAGAAAUGUCUUGAAGUGCAGCAAGGUUGCAAGCCACGCAUAUGAUGCGGUAUGCUCGGCCACUAGAAGGUCAACCAGAAGUUUGAGUCAAAGCUCAAGCCAAGGAGAGUAUGUGCAACUUUUUCUUUUGCUAGUUUUUUCUGCCCAUUAAACUACAAAUUCAUUUUGUAUUUGUUUUUAACUAUGAUUCAUCCAUGUUGUACGCAGCGAUAUCAUAAUCAGUUAUCUAGAUUACUAUAUGAGCUUGAAGCACCUUUCUGAAUCAGUUAAACCAGAUGGAAAAUUAUUCAACACAGUAGCUGAAAUUGCUAUAUAUGCAUUAAAAGACAGAAAGGCCAAGAUUCCUGUAAAACAAAUACUCCCACUAAGAAUUGUUGUGGGAAUUCCUCCUUUUUUACUUACUGAUGUUUCUAAUUUGUAUGCAUAUUUUUUCAAACAGAAAGGCCAAGAUUCAUGUAAAACAAAUACUCCCACUAAGAAUUGUUGUGGGAAUUUCUCCUUUUUUACUUACUGAUGUUUCUAAUUUGUAUGCAUAUUUUUUUCAAACAAGCACUUUUUCUGCUUUUGUUUUCUCUAACAUUAUUUUUUAAUUCUCUUUUUUGCAAUCUUUUCUACAAGAUGGGAUUUUGGAUAAUGGGGAGAUAACAAUAGUGCUUUUCAAAGAAGCCUCCAUCACCUAGACCGUUCUCAACUGGUAAUUGAUUGUCCACUUAAUCCUCUUCUUUUUUUCGAAAUAGGCAUUUUAACUAAAUUCAUUAGGCUAUAAUAUUGAUUUGUUUAGGCUAUAAUAUUUUUUAAAUUAUACAAUCUUGGUGUCCUACCAUCAUAACUUUGUUUUGUGUUCUAAAAUUUGUGGAGCAAUCAUAGCAGAUAACAAAAUAUGACAUGUGGUGAUAAGUAUAGCACAAGUGUAGGGCAAAGAACAACAGGUAGUGCCUAUGUUAAAUUGGUCAUAUCUCAAUUUGAUUCGCCACCAUCUUUUUUUAUCUUUUUUUAGAAGUCUGCUAGUUGUUAUAUCGCACAAGCAUUAUGUUUUUUGUGACAUAUAGAUGCUAUGUAGCCUUUUUUGGUUCCUCUUUUUUAAAUCUGGUUUUACUAGCUAUUCUCAUUUUUUGCUAGCAUUUUUUGUAGGUCAUGUUUCCUGUAUUACAAAAUAUUCGUUUCAAAAGGCUUGAUAGAAUAGUGGGCCACUUCUUCCUUCUAGUCUUGAACCUAAGGGAAGAAAGGUUUGAAGUUCUCGAUUCUAUGAGGUCUCUCGCUGACAUUAACUUGAAGACAUGCUGCAACAAUUUGAUUACUGCAAUUAAGGAACUUUGGCACAACCAUUACCCCAAUUCAAGGAAGAAUAUUGACAAGUAUCAAUUGAUUGAUAUUAAUGUUCCAUUGUAGUCAAACAAGUAGGUUAAUAGUUCAACAUACAUAAUAUUUUCAUAUCUAAAGUUUCUGUCAUCCUUCAUAUGAUUAUUGCCUUUUUUUGGCAGUCAUGACUGCGGGUUCCACAUGCUAAUGCAUUGCGAACACUAGAAUGGUAUUAACAUGCCAGAGUUGAAGAAAAAAGAUAUACCAACUAUUGUUGAUAUUUGGGAACGCAAUAAGGAAUUGAUCCGCAAGCGCAUGGAUAUCGGUGAGCACUUCACCCGGGAUGUUAUCCAGAGUAUCGUAUUUAUAUUUUUACCACUAGGAGAAAGAGUGCAUCUGACUAACCCAGUCUAUUACUACUAACCUUUAGGCUACAAAGAAUGUUUCUCGAUGUGAGUGAUAUAUAGAGAAGACUACAACCGUAAUCUCUUUCUAACCUUGGUAAGGAUAAUCUACUGUUCUAUUAGGGAGGCUCACGGAAUCUAGACACCACAGAGGAUGUUCAACCCGCGCCUAUAAACCCUAUCCUUCCUGCUAACGAGAUAUGGUCUACAAAGGUAACUCGGAAAUGUCACGUUCCUCGCUACUACCACGGUCUAGCUAGUCAAGGAAUAUCUAUGAGUAUCCUAGCCCAAACACCACAUCUACGCUAGAGAUGAUUACUCUAAACUCUACACGAAGAGAUUAAAGUAAACUCAUAAACCGAAGAACAAUAAAACAAGAACUUACUAGUAUUUAGAAGUCGAAAUACCGAAGAAUCCUAGGAGCAAGCUUCGGUUUAGGAGAACUUGAUCCCGCAGGUACAACCUCGGAGUAAACACCGACAGGCCGGGCUUCCUCCGAUCUACACCUCCACUCUAUCUCUCUCAAUCAAGUGGAACUUAGAAGAACUAAUUCUACUCACAUUGGAUGCUAAGCCCUAAGUCUAUUUAGAGGAGAGGUUAUCCUUCGAGGGCUCCUCUCAACUCUAUGAUGAACUUGUUCUCCUCCAGGGGCCAGGGGGUCUGCUUAUAUAGUCCCCUCAGGUGAACGUGGGUCGUUGGAUCAAACCGACAUUGAUUGAAUGGUUAUCCUUGAUCCUUUAGGUCAGUGGAGCGUGAUCCGCGAAGUUGGAUGGGAUUGGUUACAACUCCAGGGCUGGCGCCCUAUCCCCAGGCCCGAUCGCCUUCCCGUUCGUUCCCGUGGCUUCUGGAGUCUUCUAGAUGGUAGAAAAUUGCGCGGUGCGUUAAUAUCUCUAUGUAAUCCCGACAUGUGAACCUUUCUUCCUUAUUUCCUGAUAACCCCCUACAGAAACAGAUAAACAACAAAACUCGUGGAAUUCUGUCAGAUCAAACCUUAAUUCUAGGUGUGUUGACGCCGUUUUUGGGCACGUGUCCAUGAUUGGUAAAGUGUAGGUCGGCAAGAUAAGACGGCAGUGCGUGAUCUACAGGGUGAGUUGCCGAUGGAAGGAUGGUUGAACGUGACCAAGUCCAUAGGUGAUGAUGUGUUUGUGCCGAUGGCUAUGACAAAGGAGUCUGCCGAUGAUACGGAGGGAGAACCUGGGAGUUGCCGAUCGGCUUGUGGGGAUGUUCUAGUUUGUCACGUAGGGAUAGUUUUACGUUUUCCUUAGUUACUUAGAUCGUUUUGUACACGGAUUAUGUUUAAAUUUGGGAUUCGAAUUCUAGUCAUGUCUGGUUGUAGCUCUUUGAGCAGGGUAUAAAUGUAGACCCUAGGGCCCUGUAAUGAAUCUAUCGAUCAAUCAAUCAAACUCACAUUUUUACUCAUAUUCCAAGCAUCUACUUUUUCGAUGACUUCGUCAUACUUUUUCCUUUUCAUUACGAGUUCUUAGGAAUUCAUCGACUUAAGCUCGGCGUGUUCUCAAGUUCCGCGUGAAUACCUCUUGGCCGUGACAUCCGGGCGCAUCGCUGUUGUCAGGACCAAAGUAUUCGAGUUACCACCUUUGCCGAUAGUAAGGUCAAAUCGGCUGGCACGCCUUAACGUUUAAAUCGGGUCUUAGCCCUUUGUGUUUGCAGAUCAGCUUUUGCACCAACACAUCUUUUGGCACGCCUGGUGGGACAGAUUCAAGAUCAAGAUCAACAUGUCGACUUCUGAGUUUGAUCAGGAGAACGUCAUCCCCGUGACGGUAGCCAAUCUCAAGGAUGAGCAGAAGCAAGCUAUUGCUAAAGCCAUGGAGGAUUACAAGCAGCAGUGCUUGAGAUCCUUCAGUAUGAACAGGAGCGGCGAAGUGAUCCAGAAAGAUGCACUGCCGACGCCUCGGCAGGUUACUUUUGAAGCCAAUCCUGGUAAACUUCAAGAGAUGGUUGAUAGUGCUAUCAACCGUGCUUUGAUCAACCAAGCUGGUGUACUGUCCAAUACGGUCUUCAAUGCCGUGGCCAGAACCUUCAAGGAAGUACAAUUGCCACCAGAUUAUGUGGGCCCCUCUUAUCACCAGCUAGGGUCACCGGUGGUCACAGCUCCAUCGGCUACCACAACAGCUGUGGGAACACAGACUACCGUUCCUCCAAGCACGUUGGGAGUCACCAAUGCACAAUCUACGCCGAUGACAACCAAUCCACCGACUUCAGAUGAGCAGAUUAAGCUCACUACAGAUCUAUUGGCAUCGGCAAUGUCAGGACUGGUUCCUCCUCCCAACUGGUGGGGUUUUGGUAUGCCCCCGGAAUACUUGAAGACGCCUGGCACAUCUCAGGCAACUGACAUGAGAGGAAAGGCUCCUAUGGCAUCAGCACCUCCUAAUAUGCUGAUGAAUCAAAGCCCCAGUAUACCACUACUACUACUGCAUGUCCGUAUACUGGGAAUUCUCAAGCUCCAACGUUCCAAAUGCCUAACGCAUCGGCAGACUCAAUGCUGAUGCAACAGAGGUCUAUGACUCAACCAGGGUAUGUCAAUUCAAUGAUAAUGCCCAAUUACCAGUCAUCGGCAGGGCCUAUGCCGAUGAAUGCCAAUAGUGGAUGGCUUGGGCAGCAAGUCUUUCCGCAAACGUCCCAAUAGAGUCAUCAGGCUACAGGGUUAGAGCAAGGACAGAUCUAUCCCGGGUUCUAGAAUCAGGGGAUCCCUAACCAGCCGAUGAAUCUCAGGCAGCAGGUCGGCGGACAGCAGAUUGGCGGGCAACAGCUUGGUGGUCCACAGAUUGGGGGCCAAAUGAUUAACCCAAUGUUUCAUGCAGAUCGUGCACCGCACAGACACAUGGAAGCUUACCAGCAGGUGCCGGAUCCGCAACCACCUCAUCGGCAAGAUGCCGAUGCUUAUUGGGCCGAUAAGAUUGCUGAAGUAAUAAGAGACCAAUUCGGGAUAAAACCCAAAGUCAACACUUACUCUUAUCGGACACCGUAUCCUCCCGCAUACGACUUGAUCCCGCUUCCGAAUCGGUACAAGGUACCGGAUUUUACUAAGUUUUCUGGGCAGGAUGACACGUCAACCAUGGAGCACGUCAACAGGUUCAUCAUUCAAUGCGGAGAAGCUGGUAACAGGGACGAGUUAAGGGUUCGCUUAUUCUCGUCAUCGUUGUCUGGAUCGGCUUUCACCUGGUUUAUAUCAUUGCCUCCCAACUCAGUGAUUACUUGGGCCGAUUUGGAGAAACAAUUCCACAAAUACUUCUUUUCUGGGGUCCAUGAAAAGAAGAUCACCGAUUUGGUCAAAUUAAGGCAACGCAAUGAUGAAUCGGUUGAGAGUUUUGUGCAGAGGAUACGGGAGGUUAAGAAUAAAUGCUAUAGCCUGGUUCUGGAUGAUCGGCAGCUAGCCGAUUUGGCUUUCCAGGGUUUGUUGCCACACAUAAGGGACAAAUAUGCAUCUCAGGAGUUUGAAAGCUUAAGUCAUCUGGUGCAGAGAAUCUCUGAUCAAGACAUCAAGCCGUUUGAACCCAAGAGAGCAUGGAAUAAAAAGGUAUCAUUUGUGGAUGAAGCGGCAAGCUCGGACUCUGAUGAAGAACCAGUCAUCGGCUUGGCAGAAUGGGUGAAAAAUAAAAAGCCGAUGUCUUGUCCUUUUGGACAUAAAGAACCAGAGAAGUUCGCGUUUGACACCACUAAGGCCGAUAGGAUAUUUGACUUUCUACUUCAGGAAGGUCAGAUCAAGCUGUCACCUAAUCAUGUGAUCCCAUCGGCUGAAGAAUUAAAAAGGAUGAAAUAUUGCAAGUGGCACAAUGCAACUUCUCACGACACUAAUGAGUGCAAGGUUUUCAGACAGCAGCUGCAAUCGGCUAUAGAGUCUGGGAGAAUCAAAUUUGAUAGUUCCAAGAGCCAGAAGCCGAUGAAGAUCGAUCAACAUCCUUUCCCAACGAACAUGUUGGAUGCUAAGGGAAAGGCCAAGGUCUUGAUGUCGGAAGCAGCUGAAAGAAGUGCAUCGGUGGAUCCUCAGCAUCAGGUCACUACUGCCGAUGCCAAAGGAAAAGGCUUGAUCUAGGAGGGAGCUAACUCAGGAAGGCCUCCCCGAUCUGGUAUUGUGAUAACUCACAGGAGGCCUCGGGAGACUUGGCAGCAACGAGAAGAUCGGUACCGGCGCGAGCAAGAGGAUUAUCAUCGGGAAGAGGAAAGACGCCGACAAGAAUGGAAUCGGCAUAGGGAUCACUGGAAUUGCCCGUUCUUCAUUCAUUGUUGGGAGGAAAAUAUCCAACUUCCCACUGUCAGAGAUUGUCCUGAGUGCAACGGCUAUGAUCGGUAUGACAGAUCCGAUCGACGCUACCACGACGACAAUCGGCGAUCUAAUGGGCCGAUUAGAGGAAGAGCGUCCGUUCAUGAUCGGCUAGGGGUAGGCUCAGCAUGCACGACAGGCUUGGCGAUCGUGUUCAAUAUUUUCCCAGGAACCAGGAAGAACUCGAAGAGAUGGCAAAUGCACGGGUUUCCGAUGAGUUUAUCUUCUGCCGAGAUGCCAAUACUUACCGAAUGGAGUCAGGAGAAAAUCGUCGCCAAUCGGUAAGGCAGCAGCAACUUCCUCCAUGGUGUCCGGAGGGGUUGACCAGGACUCAAAAGAGAAGACUGCAGCGCGAAAGGCGAGAAGAGUUGAGCAAGGGGGAGAACUCUGGACAGUCUGGGGAUCAGCAACAAUCAGAUCCUAAGGGGAAAGGUCCAUCGGCAGAUGUCAACUUGGUAUUUAUAUUGCCGAUGGAGUUCCUGGCACCAUCCAGUGAUGAUGAGGUGGAGUUUUCCGACCAAAUAGCUCAGUUGGCUCUGGAUCCGAUGACGGCUAUCUUCGAGAAGCCCGCCGAUGAUGAAAGGCAGCACCUUAAGGCCCUGUUUGUUAAAGGAAAAGUGGAUAGUCAGCCGAUGACCAAGAUUCUAAUUGAUGGUGGAGCCGCCAUUAAUAUCAUGCCAUAUGCAGUGUAUCGGAAGCUUGGAAAAGGGGAUCACGAUUUAACCAAGACCGAUAUGAUGCUUAAGGAUUUUGAAGGAAAUGUGUCUCCGGUUAAGGGAGCAAUAUGCGUAGAGUUGACCAUCGGCAGUAAGACCUUGCCGACAACCUUCUUCGUGAUCAGUGGAAAGGGUGCUUACAACUUACUGUUGGGAAGAGAUUGGAUUCAUGAUAAUUGUUGCAUCCCGUCUACAAUGCACCAAUGCUUGGUCCAGUGGGUAGGUGACAAGAUUGAAAUAGUCCCAGGAGAUUCUUCUUAUGUCAUUGCAUCGGCAGAGGCAGACACCUACGAAAGGACUAGGUGUAUUUCAGGAGAAAUUUGGGAAAAGGAUUUUCUCAAGGUUGCCGAUUACGAGAUUCCACCGAUCCAAGCCGUCGGUUCUGAUGAAGGUUUUUAACGGAUAGGUUCGCCGAUGAUGGAAAGUUAGGCCAGGGAUUCACAUCGGCCGAUGAUCUAGUAGAAGUAGAUAUAGGUAGUGGUGAUAAGCCUAGACCCACUUUUAUUAGUGCUAAAUUAGGUUCUGAGUGUAAGCAACAGUUAACCGAUUUGUUAAAGGAAUAUAAAGAUUGCUUUGCUUGGGAUUAUACUAAGAUGCCUGGUUUGGACCGAUCAAUUGUUGAACAUCUGUUACCUAUCAAGUCUGGAUUUCGGCCACAUCAGCAACCGGCUCGCCGAUGUAAUCCUAAUAUUCUCCCUGAUAUUAAGGCCGAAAUAACCAAACUUAUUGAAGCCAAGUUUAUUCGGCAGUGUCGGUAUGCCGAGUGGAUUUCCAAUGUUGUUCCGGUCUACAAGAAGAAUGGGAAGCUUCGGGUCUACAUUGAUUUCAGGAAUCUUAACAAAGCUACACCGAUGGAUGGAUACCCAAUGCCAGUUGCUGAUCUGCUAGUUGACGCUGCGGCUGGGCAUCGGAUUAUUAGCUUUAUGGAUGGCAAUGCAGGAUACAAUCAAAUAUUCAUGGCUGAAGAGGAUAUUCCAAAGACCGCGUUCAGAUGCCCUGGUCACGUUGGAUUGUUUGAAUGGAUAGUCAUGACCUUUGGCUUAAAGAAUGCUGGUGCUACUUAUCAAAGGGCCAUGAAUUUUAUAUUUCAUGAGUUCGUCGGCAAGCUGGUGGAGAUUUAUAUUGAUGAUGUGGUGGUUAAGUCUGGAGACUUCACAAAGCAUCUUGCCGAUUUACGAAAGGUGUUGGAGUGCACAAGGAAGCAUGGUUUGAAAAUGAACCCCAAUAAGUGUGCAUUUGGUGUAUCGGCAGGACAAUUUCUUGGUUUCAUGGUGCACCAAAGGGGGAUUGAAAUCAGUAGAAGAUCUAUUGACUCCAUCAAUAAAAUAGUGGCCCCUACCAACAAGACCGAGCUCCAGUCCUUGAUCGGCAAGGUAAAUUUUAUCAGAAGGUUUAUAUCUAAUUUGUCUGGUAAAAUUCGUGCUUUCAGUCCUCUUCUUAAGUUAAAGGCCGAUCAAGAGUUUGUUUGGGGGAAGGAACAGCAGUUGGCUCUGGAUGAAAUCAAGAAUUAUUUAGUGAAUCCUCCAGUUCUAAUUCCACCUCAGCAAGGGAAGCCCUUCAGAUUGUAUUUGUCUACCAAUGGGAUGGUCAUCGGUUUGGCUUUAAUUCAAGAGUUUGAGGGGAAGGAGCGUGUAAUUUAUUACUUAAGCAGAAGGUUGAUUGAUGCUGAGACCAGGUAUUCGGCUAUUGAGAAACUAUGCUUGUGCUUAUAUUUCUCUUGUAUCAAGUUAAGGCAUUACUUGUUAUCGGCCGAAUGCACUAUUAUUUGCAAGGAUGAUGUAGUCCGGUACAUGCUAUCAUGCCGAUUAUGAGUGGCAGGAUCGGUAAAUGGAUUUUGGCGCUGGCGGAGUUCGAUCUGCGUUAUGAAUUGGCUAAGGCAGUUAAAGGGCAGGUUAUGGCCGAUUUUGUAACUCAACAUUGCGGUACAGUGGAGGCUUUGUAAAUUGUACCUUGGACGCUUUUCUUUGAUGGAUCUACAUGUGACCGGGGGGCAGGAAUCGGUAUAGUAUUAAUUUCCCCUCGGGGAAGGAAGUAUGAGUUUUCCUUGCCGAUUGUUGCCACGUCGACGAAUAAUCAGGCUGAGUAUCAAGCUUUAAUAAAGGGAUUGGAAUUGUUAAGGGAAGUUCAUGCUGAUGCUGUCGAGGUCUUCGGAGAUUCUAUGCUGGUUAUAAAUCAAUUGGCUGGAAGCUAUGAAUGCCGAAGUGAAGUUCUCAUAACUUAUUACGAGCGGAGUAUGCAAUUGUUGAAGGAAUUCAAGGAUUUCCGAUUAGAGUAUGUUCCUCGAUUGCAUAAUGAAGAGGCCAAUCGGUUGGCUCAGCAUGCCUUGGGAUAUCAGCCUAUGAUUAAUGCAAUAUCGGCAAUUGGUGCCGAUGAUUGGAGAAAAGAAAUCGUUGAUUAUUUGAAAGAUCCAUCUAAGAAAGUCGAAAGACGAGUUUGGUUUCAAGCCACCAAGUAUGUGCUCCUCGAAGAUGAAUUGUAUUAUCAAACUAUUGAUGGGAUUCUUCUCCGAUGCUUGGGUGAUGAUGAAGCUAAGAGUUUGAUGGGAGAAAUCCAUGAAGGGGUAUGUGGAGCACAUCAGUCGGCUUUUAAGAUGAAGUGCAUGAUUAGGAGGAACGGGUAUUAUUGGCCGACCAUACUUGAAGAUUGCUUUAAAUAUUUCAAGGGAUGUCAAGGAUGUCAAAAAUUUGGCAAUAUUCAAAGAGCACCCGCAUCGGCCAUGAAUCCUAUUAUCAAACCUUGGCCGUUCCGGGGAUGGGCUAUUGACUUAAUCGGUCAGAUUUAUCCGCCAUCUAGCAAAGGGCAAAAGUUUAUCUUGGUUGCCACCGAUUAUUUCACCAAAUGGGUUGAGGCUAUUCCUUUGAAGAAAGUUACCUCGGCCAAUAUGAUUGAUUUUGUGAAGGAGCACAUUAUUUACCGAUUUGGGAUUCCUCAGACAAUUAUUACCGACCAGGGUACUAUGUUCACAUCAGGGGAAUUUGAUGAAUUCGCAAUCGGUAUGGGAAUUAAGGUGUUAAACUCUUCUCCUUAUUAUGCUCAAGCUAAUGGACAGGCCGAGGCAUCUAACAAGGGAAUUAUCAAGCUUAUCAAACGAAAAAUUGAAGAAAAUCCUAAGCGGUGGCACACAUUGUUAAAUGAAGCUUUAUGGUCCUAUCGAAUGGCUUGUCAUGGAUCAACCAAGGUUUCACCUUAUCAGUUGGUGUAUGGACAUGAUGCAGUGUUGCCUUGGGAAAUUAAGGCUGGAUCUAGGCGACUAUCUUUUCAGGAUCAAUUGGCUGCCGAUGAUUAUGCUACUUUGAUGACCGAUGAGUUAGAUGAUCUAGUAGGACAUCGGUUAAAGGCUUUAAUGAGUAUAGAAGAAAAUAAGAAGAGAUUUGCUAGAUGGUAUGAUAAGAAAGUAAAGGCUAAGGAAUUUGCUGAUGGAGACUUGGUAUGGAAGUUGGUCUUGCCGAUCGGGACUAAAAGUUCAAAAUUUGGGAAGUGGUCUCCCAAUUGGGAGGGUCCCUAUCGGAUAAGUUUGUCGGCUCCUGGUAAUGCCUAUAUUCUAGAAAUUCUCAAAGGAGUUGAAUUUCCCAGAGUAUUAAAUGGCAAAUAUCUGAAAAAGUACUACCCAAGUAUAUGGGUCGAUGCAUAAAAAGUUUAAAUGCCGAUAACACUCCUAUCGGCUAGAUUGAAAUGUAUCUGGGGCCGGACUUAAUGUUUCAAAAGAUGCCGAUAACAGUCCUAUCGGCUAGACUAAACAACAAGAGAGCUGGAAAGUGCAGAGGGGCAAGGAUGUGUUGCCGAUGAAGGGUUCAUGUGUUCAACAGCGCCUGGAUCGCCGAUAUGGCGCGCAGACGAAUCUGGUUGGCUUCCUCUAUCUCCUUCACGUCGUCAUCGGCAGAGCCUUCCACCGGCUUCAGCUUCUUUUUCAUCUGCAGUGCCUUGCGGCCAUGGGUGUUUUGUUCUUGCUCGAGAAGCUUAAUUGUCUCUGGCAGUUGGCUUUCUUCUUGUCGGGCUUGGGACAGGGCAUCCUCUACUUGUUUAAGUUCUGCCAACAAAGCUUACCUUUUUGCCGACAAAUCAGAGAUUUUGUGCUUCAGUGCAUCUCCCGAGGACUUCAAGGUGCCGAUGAUCUUAUGCUUUUCAUCGGUAAGAAGUUUUUCUUUCAUCAUCUCCUCAGAAAGACGAGUCUGAGCGGUUCUGUCGGCAAGGUGCUGGGCAGCCCUCUGGUACUGCAGUUGACGGCUCUCCAGGUGUGCUGCUUGGAAGAGAACUUCUUCAGCAUCGGCGGGGAUUUGGCAUCUCAGGGUCUUGAAUAAAGCCUUGGCUAGAUCAGAAUCAUUGACUAGCUGGGCUGUGUCUUGGUGGAGCAGAGCUGAUAAUUCUUCUAGCUUUGCCCUGACUUCUGCCGAUGUGAUCCCAACUGCCCGAGAAGAGCUUGCUUCUUCGCCUUCAUCUUCAGAAAUGUCGAUGGCGAAAGAAAAUAGUCUGUCGGGAGAGUCCUGUUCCUGAAGAAGAAAAUAAAGUGAGUCAUUCUAUGGUCAGAGCAUCGACAAAUAAUACUGAUGGAGAUUGGAUGGCUUACUUGCUUCAAGGCAAUCUCUCGCCUUUGACUGGAAGAUGCCGAUGGAGCCACGGGUUGAUUGGCCAGAGUUGCCGAUGGAACUACGUCAGCUGAAAAUUAACAGAAGGGGUUAUAAGGCCAAAAAAGAAUAAGUUCAUCGGCAGUAAUGUUAUAAAAAUGUGUUACCUUGAGGAAGAGCAGUGCUUGUCUGGACGGAAGAGACCACCGAUGCUAUAAUGGAACCUGCUAGAUCGGUAGUUUGUUCAUGCACAUCAGCCGAUGUGUCUUCUGGUUGAGGUACUUCUGGUUGAGGCUUUUCUGGUUGGGGUUCUCCCACUUGUGGUGCUUCUUGCAUUGGAGGGGGAGAUGGCACUUGUUGCAUCUGGGCUUCUAGAGGAGAAGGAGAAGAUUCCACCGGGAUUGGAGAUACCGGGGGAGGAGAAGGCGUUGCUACUUUUUGGCACUUUGCUUGUGCCCUGGUACUCUUGGCACCUUUUCUCUUCUGCUGGCUGGACUGGGGGGCAUCGGCACCUUUGCUUCUGGUCUUUGCCGAUGCGCCGGUCUGAUGAUAUAGAAAAGAUUUAUGAGUACAAGUGUGGCAGAUGUAAAAUAAGAAUCGGUAUGAAUGAAAAGGUUUAACAAUUACCUUGAACACCUGUGCCAAGGUGGAAGCAGCUACCGAUGGAGAUAUCUGAGUCCUCCUAGUGGUGACCUUCUUGAGGCGUACACCUCGAUGCAUGAUGGCGGCCAGGGUAGGAGCGUUGUUGCCGAUUGAGGAGAUUGGGCCUGAUGGAAAUAGGUCAAUCGGCUUGCCACUCCUGCUGACCGAUGGAGGGGUGUUGUCAACCUGCAAGAUGAUGCAAAGGUAAAUCGCCGAUGGAAGUAAAAAUGAUAAAAUUGAAACAUCAGUUCGAAGAUACUUACAGUGUCAUCGGGAACUUUGUACUCGGGGUCGAUCAUGCCGCGAUACGUGAGAGCCGAUCUGCAGAACAGAUGUUCCUUCCAUUCUGCCCACCAUUGCUUGUAUGCCUGAGUGAUGAAGGCGGCUGGAACCCACUCUGAUAGGUCUACAUCUGUAUUGGCACUUGAUGGCAAUUGGGCUACUCGAAUCCAUUCAAGGAGGCUAGUGAUGGUUUCCCUAGGUUUUAUCACAUUGGCAUAACAGAGUGCAAUCGGCAGCCGGCCGAAAGCUAAUUGACAAGCUAAUGCCGAUGGAUUAUAAAACUCAUAGGUCUGGAUGAAGGUUUUCCCACUACCAAUGAAAUUCACUGGUAUAGCUCUGGGAGUAACCAGUACCAUCUUCACUUCAUGAUCUGUGUCAAGAGCAUCAUUGAAUGGGUUGAAAACCAUAGGAAACAUGGUGUCUGGAUCGUCAUAAGCCAACCAUGCUCGCUCCUCUCUGGUCAAGCCUUCAUACAAGGUUUGGAAGAAUCAGCUAACCUGGUCUGCAUUACCCCCUGUACCAGGUAGAACUUUGACAGCUUCACCGAAGUUUAGGGGAGGGCGUGUUGCCGAUUCUUCUUCAUCCAGUUCAUAGUUCUCGGCUAUGUCCCUUGGAAAAUGUUGUGCAAAAAGGUCAAACUCAAGACGUUUGUGCAUAUGGAGACUGAGCCACAUGUUGAUGAACCACCAGGGGCCUCCCAAGUUGCCGAUAGACUGGCCGAGUAGGAGUUUCCUAGUCACUUGGUGGAGGAGGUGGUAGGCUGCACCUAGCAGGUAUCGGCCGAGGGGAAAUCGGCCACCACUAGCCAAAUUUUCUGCUGCUGCUAGAUAAACGGAAGUUGGUCCUGCCGAUCGGCCACAAAACACGAACUUAUCUAACCACAUGUUCAGGAAGCUGGUCUGCUCCUUUAUGUUGACAGGGCCUGUUCGUCUGUACUUUUGGAUGUACCCUGACCAACCGCCGAUGGAGCGAAUUUCUACCUUAGCACUGGGUUUGGUAUUGAAGAAAUGAGUACUAUCGGCAGAAGUUACAUCUAGGCCAGUGAGCAUAGCUACAUCGGCAAGAGUAGGGGAAGCAGGGCCAUGGCCAAAGACAAAGGCGUUGAGCGUGUCUGACCAGAAGUAUGAUGCAGCUAUCAGCAAUGACUCAUUUCUAUGCAUAUCGGCAAUAGACAGCCUGGUGCAUUGGUCUAGUUUUCUCUCGCCCCACUACACUUCAUUUGAGUGGCUGACCCUCAAGAACCAAUCCGUCCAUCCCAUGGUAGGACUAGGCCAAGAACGGAAAGUAUCCUUCCAUAGAUCCAAAGAGAAGUUUUUGGCUCUAAAAGGGAUCCUGUUGGUUUCUGCGUUAAUGAGGUCGGUUGGAUCUGGAUUCCCUAACGGACCAAGGCAUUGGAGGUGUGGUUGAUCGGUGGGGAUGACAAUUUUGUUGGACAAAUCCUAAUGGUUUUGGGUAUAUAAGGAAGAACAAGAACAAAAAUAAAAAAGGAAAAUAUUCAGUAAAAUGAAUUGCAGAUGAACAGGGAUGCGAGGAAAAGCACAAAAGGUGGGAUGAAGAACUAACCUCAGGAACGGUGAAGUUGAUGGCCAUCUCGUCACAAGGAAGAUGAUCUAGGGCUUCGGAGUUGGUGAAGCAGGGGCUUCGUUGGAGAUCUUGGAGCUCUUGAACAGCGCCGCCGCUAGGAAAGUGGAGGUAGAGUUGUGGAAUGAUGUGAUGGGGAAGGCGUAUCCGUGAAAUCCAAGGGUACUCAGGUAGAUAUGGUAACUGUUCGCACGGUAAUCAAGGGAUUGUGUAGGCGAUUUGAUAGGAAGCGGUCAUUAUCCAUAGAUAUUUCACUGUGCGAGAUCUCCUGGUCGGUCCAUCGGCAGCGCCUUGUAACAGUCAUAUUGCCGAUGGGCGAGUAACGUGGAGAUAGCCGUUUGAGAGGAUAAGAUAUGGACGUCCAUCGGCAAGUCCCUGUAACGGUAAUAUUGCCGAUGUGCGACUAAGGUGGAAAUGUCCGUUUGGGGAGGUUGAGGAUUUCGAGGAAUCUGCAGAGGAAUAGGAUCAGAGUUGUUUAGAUUAAGGCUGUCGGUUACCAGAUUGGGAGUAUUAAUUGCGGAAAGGCAUCAUUACUGCAGAGAAUUUUGGAGCAUUAAUGAUUUCGUACUCCGAAAUUGGGGGGCAUGUGUUGACGCCAUUUUUUGGCACGUGUCCAUGAUUGGUAAAGUGUAGGUCGGCUAGAUAAGACGGCAGUGCGUGAUCUACAGGGUGAGUUGCCGAUGAAGAUGGUUGUCGAUGGAAGGAUGGUUGAACGUGACCAAGUCCAUAGGUGAUGAUGUGUUUGUGCCGAUGGCUAUGACAAAGGAGUCUGCCGAUGAUACGGAGGGAGAACCUAGGAGUUGCCGAUCGGCUUGUGGGGAUGUUCUAGUUUGUCACGUAGGGAUAGUUUUACGUUUUCCUUAGUUACUUAGAUCGUUUUGUACACGGAUUCUGUUUAAAUUUGGGAUUCGAAUUCUAGUUGUGUCUGGUUGUAGCUCUUUGAGCAGGGUAUAAAUGUAGACCCUAGGGCCCUGUAAUGAAUCUAUCGAUCAAUCAAUCAAACACACGUUUUUACUCAUAUUCCAAGCAUCUACUUUUUCGAUGACUUCGUCAUACUUUUUCCUUUCAUUACGAGUUCUUAGGAAUUCAUCGACUUAAGCUCGGCGUGUUCUCAAGUGUCGCGUGAAUACCUCUUGGCCGUGACAUCCGGGCGCAUCGCUGUUGUCAGGACCAAAGUAUUCGAGUUACCACCUUUGCCGAUAGUAAGGUCAAAUCAGCUGGCACGCCUUAACGUUUAAAUCGGGUAUUAGCUCUUUGUGUUUGCAGAUCAGCUUUUUCACCAACAAGGUGUUGUUUGCAUAUUGGUCCUUUCUCUUGUUUAUUUGAUAAUUAAAAUUGAUACUUAAGAACCGUCAACAAAUACCCCCAUACUUAGGCUUUUACUCGUCCUCGAGAAAAGGAUGGUUAAGAAAAAUAUCUGGGGUUAAAACAUUGUGAAACAUUUUCUUCAUCCUGCAGGGUGUUGUAAAAAUUCAAUGUGUACCGUAGUCAGGGAAAUAUAUGAUUAAGAGUAGAGAUCCUUUCUUCCUUUCAAUCCCGUUACUUGGAGUUUUUGUAUAUUUCGAAAAGAAAUUUAGCAUACCUUUAUCCUCAUAGGUUCUCUCAUAUCACUCAUUUAUCUUUUAUAUAUCUCACUGAGGCUGUUUUAAUUUGCAAAAAAAAAUCUCAAGCAUACUUUUAGAUCAAAGACUUUGGAAAUUAAAAACUUGUCAACUCUUGCUGGCAUAUUGCUUAUUAGAGGGACCAUGGGCUAUCAUUUUCUUCUCUCUCUCUUUUUUUCAGGUGGAUACCGAGGUACCCCUAAUUCUACUGCCGGACACUUGUCCAUUUUUUCUGCGAGGUUAUCGAGCGUUUGCUCCUUUUUAUUUCCUCGAAAUAUCUUUAUUUUUGCAUAGCCCAUGCCUCUAACGCAAUAAUACUUCGGAAGAGUGAAUCUUUCUGAAUAAAUGUCUUGAUCUUAGGAGCAUGAUAAAUCUCUCUACAAGGGUCUAACUCAUUUUGAACAAACUCAAUACAGAGUAGAUAGCUUUUAUAAUUAUCAUGUUAAAUUUUCAGGUUUAUCAGGCAUAUAAAACACUGAAGAUGGUAGCUAGAAUUUUUGAAUAAAUUCUCCAAGCAACAAUGAUAUCAAGAAUAAGAAACUCAUACUCUACCAUCUCACAUUCCACAAUGACUUAAGUAACACAGGGUUUUAAAUUGAUUUUUCAAUAAUUGCAGGUUUUCAGGAAAUAUCACAAAGUGAGAUUAAUCAUGAUUAGAAACAUUUUAAUCUUUUUAAUUUAUCAUGUCGGAGACAAUAUUCUACAUAAUCCAAGAUAUGUGUAUGUGUAAAGUAUGCAGAGUAUGUACCUGAAUCGUGGAGUGGUGUAGUCGAAGUGUGUUUAGCGUGUCGAGGGAUCUCCCCCAUACUUGUUUUCUGCUUUCUUGCAUAAAAGUAAAGUAGAGACACACAAGACAUAAUAAUAAUAAUAAUAAUAAUAAUAAUAAUAAUAAUAAUAAUAAUAAUAAUAAUAAUAAUAAUAAUAAUAAUAAUAAUAAUAAUAAUAAUAAUAAUAAUAAUAAUAAUAAUAAUAAUAAUAAUAAUAAUACUCUUUAUUAAUGUCGGUGUUUUCCCCACGGGGGGUCACACCAACGAGUGAAUUUGUAUGCGUGCUCCCUUUCCCAGAUGGUGAUGCAAAAAGACACAAGAAUUUAUCCUGGUUCGGGCAAGAGAAGGCCCUACGUCCAGCGGGUGGGAGAGUUUGUAUUAUUUUGCACCUAAGUGCUUGUACAGGGGUGAAUACAAGCGUGAUAUGAAAUGAAGUGGAGUAUGGAAGUACUACUGCGUGUGGGUGUAGUGUUACGUGAUGUCUUCCUCUGUGUUCGCUCCUGGGCUCCCCCUUUUAUAGUUCCAAGGAGAAGCCCAGGGUACAAGUAUAGGCGUCAGAGUAGGGGUCGAUAGAGGUAUGGCGCGCGGACCUACUCGAGGCCUCCGUACCGGCGUGGUCUCGAGCCGUCCCGUCCUAGUAGCUUGAUGAUGAUCACGCGUGCCCUUGUAUCCCGUUCUGUGCGCUGUCUUGGAUUGGUUUAUCUGCCGCACGCCUGUACGUCAUGGCGGCUGAUACGUCGGAUUGGUUGCAGUGUUGUCAGUCGACGCCCAACCAUUCCCCAAGAAGGAAACAUGCCUGGUCGAGGAUCGGGCGCCGUGUAGCGCCUUGUUGCCCAAAGCGUUGACCUUGGGUGUCUUGAGGGGGUCCUGAUUAGACGUUCCAUCCCUGCUUCCCGCGUCCUGACACGCUCUGGGUCGUUUUGUGGGGAAGGCUGCAAAAAGAAUGAUGGGACGGGUGCCUGUUCCCUAUCACGCUUCCCACGACUGGCGUGUUAGGUGAGAAAGCGACAAGCGCAUUAAAUGCCCUGGUUCCCGUGCGCGCGUCAGGCGGCGGGCGGCGUCCUUGCGCUCGACGCCUCUUGAUUCGGUCGAGCCUGUUUCCGUAUUCGACGGUAGUUGGCGCUCGAGCCCUGAUCGGUUCGCUCGACGCCUUUUCCGUCUUCGAGGCUGCGGUUGUCGAUGACUGUACGUAUGACUGACUAGAGCGUCGAGUUGAGGGCCUCAACCUGCGUACGGGUAAUCUUAUUAUGUGCAUCAGUUAGGAUACCCCUUACUGAUACCCUCGACAGUAGCCCCCGAGUCUCCAUUUGAGCGCUGGCGCUUGAGUGGAGGCUUUAUUUUGCGGUCGAAUUUUCGUGGGGGCGCGCGAGCGACCCCGCGGGGGUAGCCCCCGAGCCCUUGGAGGAGUUUUUUACUCCUUCGAGGGUUAUAUCGCCUAUUUUGCAGAGACACUGUCGACACCAGUGGUGGAAGGUUCUGAUUGGCUUGCUCUACACGGGGGUUUCGACGUACUCUCGAUAGAGCGAGCGUCAUCCACCCUAGAUUGAGCUCCUAACGGGUAGUCCAAGUGAGAACCUGUGCCCCUUUCGAGGGGGUCAGCUGUAGCCCGGAGGCCUUCUCAUAAAGCGGGGUCGAUGUGGUCGGGGAUGCUGGUCUCGUUCGAUAGAGUCCAGUGGCUCGAUGCCUAUCGUCGGGGGGAUUCCUCUCGACUGUCUCGACCCUACCUUGGACAUCCCCAGCGAGUUCUCAAGGCGGACCUCGAUUUUUCGACCGCUCGCUGGGCAUCCCUGACUCUGGUGGACCUCGAGAUCGGCUGUCGAACCCUUUCGGCGGGUCAGCCUGCAACCUCUCGAGGCUUUCAUGGGUGCGUUCCUUGGCUUACAAGGGAAGGAAGAGGCCGUGGCGGUUCGCCUUUUUUGCCCGUUGGGCGCGCCUUUUCAGGCGGGAGCCGUUGCGACACGGUACCGGUGCAGAAUUCGGAACGUCCCAUCUGUGAGGAGGAAAAAGACCGUUAGGCGGCGCAUUUAUGGGGAGUUACCUCAUUUAUCGGAUCUGUCCGUUGGUGGGUUGCUGCCUAUAAAUAUCCCAUGGCCUUGCCGCCGUUCUCCCUUCCGUCUUCUUCAUUCUUGCCUUAGCCCUCUCGCCGUCUUAGCUCUCUUGCCAUCUCGCGCGCGCGCGCCUCCUCGAGCGGUCGCGAAUCCACCCUCCUUUCGUCCAAGAUGCCUGUGAGACUCGUCGCCGCCGACGACUGGCGCCCGUCGUUGAUGACAGAGCGCCAGUUGUUGGAGCUCGAGAGGGAGGGGCUCCUGCGCCACCGCACGUCGCUGUCGUCGCCGGAGUGGAUCGCGCCGCCAGCGGACCACCGGGAGCCCAGGCUGCCCAAGGGCUAUGUGGUUUCGUUUGCCAAGUUCCACCGCCACGGCCUGGGCGCUCCUCCGAGCCGCUUCAUGCGGGCGCUCUGCCACCACUAUGGGGUGGAGCUCUAGCACUUCUUCCCAAACGCCAUCACCGUCGCGGCAGUCUUUGCCGCGGCGUGUGAGGGCUAUUUGGGGAUGAUGCCCCAUUGGGAGAUGUGGUUCCACCUCUAUAGGGGCGAGCUCUUCAAUGCCCCCACGGGGACCACUGGCGUGAGGAAGCCUGUGCGGGCGGGAUGCCUCAACCUCGUGCUGAAGACGGGGAAGACGGAGAGGCCGCGCGAGUACAUCCCGGUGGGAUUGUCGACGAACCACGCCGGAUGGGACUCCCAGUGGUUCUACCUGAGGAACGACGACGAUCUCCUACCCGCCUACACCGAUCGUCUGAUCACGGAGCGCCCGGAGAACUGGACGUACGGCGUCGUCCAAGUCCACCAGUCGCGGCUCGACCCCCUCCUCUAUGCCUUGAAGAAGUUGCGCGUGGAAGGCUUGACCGCCGCUCUCGUCCUCUCGGCUAUCCAUCAUCGGAGGGUUCUCCCAUUGAUGUCUCGGCCACUGAGGAUGGAUGAGAUGGGCCCUGGCGUCUCGUCCCGGGACCUCGAGGCGUGCCGAAUGUCGAACGAGGCUCCAAUCGAAGCACGUCAAUGGCUUCCCUAUGAGGCCUGAUGAGGGGUCAAUCGAUCUGGUAAGUUUUCUUUCUGCUCGUGGCUUUGAUUCUGGAUUUCUUUCGUCCCUUCUUUAAACUUGACUUUAUUCUGGCAGGGACAAAUCGAUGUUCCGUCCUCGAGGCCUUCAGUAAAGGAGGACGAGGUCGACCAUGACAAGCGGCGCCAGUCUACCGAGAAACAAAAGUCCGCCAAGGACUCUUAAAAGAAAGGGAAGAAAAAGAAGAACCUCGACCGCCAAGCGCUAGAGGCGUGUCGAGCUAAAUCCAGGCAGAGGGGGGAGCCUGAAGAAGAAUCCCCCAGUGAGGAUGACGGUGGAGACGGUGAUGACGACAGCGACGACUCCGAGGGGAUGGCGUCUCGCCUUGACCGAAUCCUCGAGGGUCCGCCUCGAGGCGACGUCGACGCCCCCCGGACGGGAGCACCAAAGGAGGGGCCAGGCGGAUCUCACCGCCCCCGCGCUGACACCCCUCCCGCGCCUGCGCCAAGUCAGGUCGUCCCGCCCCACCAGCCUCCCCCUGCACCAAAGGCGGGUGGCCGGGCUAAGCCCCAAGCGCCGGGGCCGUUGACCCGUGGCUGCGCCGCGGCCUCCGACAAGGGGGACAGUGGCCGCAGGAGCGUUAGCCCCGGCGCCCGCCAGGUGGGAGACGCUGGAUCAAGGCCUGCGCCUAUCCGUGAGGGGCCUGGGGUCUCGACGCGGGGUGGUUCGAGGCCCACCGGUCGAGGUACCGGCAGGCGAGCCGUUCUUCCUGUGGGGUAAGUUCUUCGACGCUGUGAUUCUUAUUCUCCUGAUUUUUGCGUUUUCUCGUAUAACGUUCUCCUUUAUGCCUGUUCCUCUUUCCUUAGGUUGAAGCGGACGCUUGAGCAGGCCCAGCCUUCAAUGGCGAAAAGGCUCAAUGUGGGAGCGGCCUCCAAGGACUCAGGUUAGUAGCUUAUUUAUGGGAUUUGUGUUGUUCUUACGUCGGCCACCAUAGUGACUGACCUUCGUUUUGCAUUUCAUAGGCUCCUCCGACCCUCAACCACCAACUGGCACUGAGAGCGACCCGCCCCGUCCCCUGGCGGGUGAGUCUGCCCCGUCGUCGCCAAAACAAGCUGAGGCGCCUCGGCCCCAAGGGCAGGCGGGAGCCCCCGAGCCUCCCCGAUCAGGGGUCGAGGGGGAACCUAUUACCAUAAGUGAUGGGUCUAGCGGCGACGGGACCUCGAGGGUGCCCGCCCUAUGGACGAGGAGGCCCCGACUUUUAUUGUCGCGGGACGGACGCCCUGGCCUGCCGGUCUUCGCUCCAUCGAGGAGCAGAAGAAGAAGAAGGAGGAGGAGCGGGAGCAAGAGACGCGGCGGCAACUGCAGGAGCAGGAACGUCGACAGGAGCCGCAGGAGCUCCAAGAGCAGCAGCAGCAGGGGGGCCAGCAGCUGGUGGAGCCGCUUGAUCCGCCCCAACCGGAGCUGGAAGUGCCGCAGGAACCUAGAAACCAGGAGGGGGGCCUGCCGGCUUUUGGACCUCCGACCCCGGCGUGGCUCUGUCCGGGGACGCCCGCCGCGAUCCCAGCUGAGUCAGGGCGGGCGGACGGCGUAGUGGCGCUCGCCUGCAUGAUGUGCACUCCCGCCGACCCUAAUUCUGAGAUCAGGAGGACGAUCUACGGUAUGGACGGGAUCGCGCCGGGGUUCCUCCGAGGGCGUCGAUCGUGGGAGGAGCGCGUCCCCUCCGAGGAAGAUGAGAUCGGGACAUCGGAACACGGUGGUGGGAUCAAGACAGGGACGUGGAAAACGGUGGAUGAUGAUGGGUGGUUCCCCUCUCUCGUUGACCUGUUCCUGCGCCAUGGGGGGUCUCUCGAAACCGUCGAGAAGCUCAUCCGAGGCGUCAAGGCGCGCGCCGACCAGGAGAUGGAGAACUGGUGUCCCGACCGGAUCCGCAUCUGGGCUUCCACCGACCCGUCCGAACCCAACAUCUUUUUGAACGACCGGAAGGAGGCAGAAAAGUGGGAGCACGUCGAGGAGCUCCGCUUGUGGAUGAAGCACACGGUGGGGCUCCUAUCUGACGUGGUUAACAAUGGGCUCGCGUCGGCUUACUUUGUAAGUGUUUUUUAGCCCUUAAUCCUUUUAGAGCGUUUGGUUUUGUGUUCUAACUAUUCGACCACUGGCUCACGGGACCUAAAAGAGACCUCCCGUAUCAAGUCGAGCUUCAUCCACGCCACGAGAGGCGGCUAGGAGCAGCUCCCCAUCCUCAAGGACCAACUCCUGGAGUCACAGGAGAAACUCCUCAAGGCUUAUAAAGAGCUCUUGGCGCUCGAGGAGGAGAAGAAGGAGAGGGAGGAUGCCCUGGUCGAGGCUCGAGAGGCCUCAAGGAAGGCUGUGGAAGAGGCCGUGCUGCUAAGGGAGCGGACUCUGACGGUCGAGGAGGCCGCAUCUAAAGCCUGGGAGGAGGCCCUGUCCUAUAAGAACGCCAUUGCUGACCUGGACAAGGAGAGGGGUCUCCUCAAGACCGACCUGGACUCCAUCUGAGAGUCCUUCCAGAGGAUGAAGGUGGAGUGUGUGAACAGCGGAAUUGCUAGGAGCGCCGUGGAGGAAGCAAAGAAGAAGGCCCUCGAAGACCUCGAGGUGGAGCGGGCUCGAUCCCGCAGCCUCUCCGACGACAUCGACCGUCUGAAGGGCGAGCUGCUGGAGAAGAAUGGAGCCAUCGCUCAGGCUGGCAAGGCGAUCGAGGAUCUGUGUGUUGCCAACACUGAGCUGGCGCGCUCCAACAAAGAGAUCGAGAGGGCCAACACUAAAUUAGUUGGCGAGAACACGGCUCUGGAGAAGAGUGUCCGUGGUACGUUUCUAUUGUCGAGUUUUCUUUUCGAGGUGUGCUUGGUUUUAUCUAAAGUUUUUUGCGUUGGCAUUCACAGGGCUUAAAGACGAGCUCUUAGCCGCCCAAGUCGAGGCUCGUAACGCCAAGGCCCAGCUCUAGGGGGAGGUUGCUUUGAACUGUCGACUGCGGACGGCGAUAAGCGAUCUCUCGACCUCUUGGGAGGUCGAGCCCAUGGACGAGUCGAAGGAGGAAGCUCGAGGCGACGCGCUCGUCGACCAGCUAUGCUAUCUUGGAGCUACGCUGAGGGACCCGGUGCGGGACGCCCUCCACGUCGGGGUGAAGCGGGCGAUGGCGGUAGUCUGCUCAGGCUUCUCCUACGACAUGGAGGUGGUGUCCCACGGCUUCGUCACCGACAUCUCCAAGACUGACGCGGAGAACGAGGAGAGGCUCCACGCCUUGAUCGACGACACAGAGGUUCCUGGAGAGAGGUUGGCUAAGCUGUUCGAGCCAGAGGUACUGCCUCCUGAGACUAGCUCAGGCGCGGGUGAGGAUGGCGAGGGCCGAGACGCUGACUGAGGCCUGCGAGCCUACUCUGGGUGCCUGGGCCCCUUGUAUAGUAUUUUCUAGUUUUACCUUAAGUAACAUUGCGCUUUUAAGUGACUUGAAAGAUCUUGUGAAUGUUUAUCUGUCUUUCCACUCGAGGCUGUUUUGUUUCUUUUACGCCUACGUUCGUAUUCCUUGUUUAGUCUUUUGUUUAAGGCGGUCUCGAUCGCCUCAAGGGUGAGGAAGCGAGUAGAGUUUCCAUAGCCCGGGGGCAUAGGAGUUCUCAGGCUCGUUGUUCUCUCGGCCCUUAAGGGGCUCGAGGUGCCUUAACUACUCGACUGUGCAGGGUUUACUAAGUAGGGACGAAAAAAUUCCUUAGUUUUUCCGGUGCUUGGGGGGGUCCCCUGCUGGUGCUUGGGGGGGAUCCCCCUGCUAGCCCCCGAGGGAGUAUCGAAUAUGAUGUGUCAUAUUUGGUACUCCUUUCUAACGUCUAGGCUUUGACCCGUAAAAAAUUACUCGAGGGAAAGAUCUCAUCAUUUACGCAUUCAUUCAUAAGGCUUUGAUACAGAAUCUACAUGGGAACAUAAAGCCUUGGAGUUCUAGCGGUAGAAUCGACGUAGCUGUUCGAUGUUCCAUGCGUUGGUGAAGAUCGCGCCUUUUUCGUCCGCCAGCUUGUAUGUUCCUGGCUUCAAGACCUCGGCCACCACGUAUGGGCCCUCCCAGGGCGGGGUCAGCUUGUGGCAUCCUUGAUUGCUUUGCCGCCGUCGUAGGACGAGGUCGCCCACGUUUAAGUCCCUCUUGCGCACGUGCUUGUCGUGGUAGCGUCGAAGUUUCUGCUGGUAUCUGGCAUAGUUGAGGAGGGCCAUGUCUCGAGCUUCCUCGAGUUGGUCGACCACAUUUUCUUGAGUCUCCUUAUUUGAUUGCUCAUUGUAUGCUUUGAGUCGAGGGGACCCAUACUCGAGGUCUGUCGGGAGCACAGCCUCAGAGCCAUAGACCAUGAAGAAUGGGGUGUAUUUUGUGGCCCUGCUUGGCAUAGUCCUUAAGCUCCAUAGGACCGAGGAAAGCUCCUCGACCCACUUCUUGCCGAACUUCUUCAAGCGAUUGUAGAUCCUUGGCUUGAGCCCUUGCAAGAUCAUGCCGUUGGCACGCUCGACCUGGCCGUUAGUUCGAGGGUGGGCCACUGCAGACCAGUUCACACGGAUCUGAUGUUGAUCGCAGAAGUCCAAGAACUUCUUGGCGGGGAACUGAGUGCCGUUGUCAGUGAUGAUGACGUUGGGAAUCCUAAACCGAUGGAUGAUGUCAGUGAAGAAAAGGACGGCCUGUUCGUAGCAGAUGUUGGUGAUGGGUCGAGCCUCGAUCCAUUUGGAGAAUUUGUCGAUGGCCACCAACAAGUGGGUGUACCCCCCUUUUGCCUUUUGUAGAGGCCCCACUAGGUCGAGCCCCCACACCACAAACGGCCAUGUGAUAGGGAUCAUCUAGAGAGCGUGGGCAGGCAGAUGCGUCUGUUUGGCGUAGAAUUGGCACCCAUGGCCUGAGCGUACGAGCUCGAUGGCAUCAGCUACGGCUGUUGGCCAGUAGAAGCCUUGUCGGAAGGCGUUCCCUACGAGGGUCCGAGGAGCAGCAUGGUGGCCACAAAACCCUGAGUGUAGGUCCUCGAGGAGCUUUUGGCCUUCUUCUAUGGUGAUGCAACGCUGCAAGACCCCCGUCGGGCUUCGUCGAUAUAGCUCAUUGCUUUCGCCAUAGAUUACAUAUGACUUGGCCCGUCGAGCAAUACGGCGAGCCUCGGAUCGAUCUUCUGGUAGCUUGCAGCGGAUUAGGCAGUCGAGGAACGGCGUGCGCCAAUCAAACGGUUGACUGGGCCGCUGUUCCACCUCCAUUACCUCAGCUGCCAAUAGAAGCGUUUCGACGGUGUCGGUUUGCUGGGCAGGAGCGGCUUUGACGCCAGCAUCCAGGCCCAAGUUGACGGAUGGCUCAUGUAGAUCUCUUGAGAACGCAUCAGGUGGCACCGUGCCUCGAGUCGACGCGAUCUUGGCGAGUUCGUCGGCCGCCUCGUUGUAGCGUCGAGCGAUGUGGACGAGCUCGAGGCCGUGGAACUUGUCCUCGAGUCGUCGGACCUCCUUGCAGUACGCCUCCAUUUUUGGGUCGUGGCAGCUCGAGGUCUUCAUCACUUGGUCGAUGACGAGCUGGGAGUCGCCCCGAACGUCGAGGCGUCGGACUCCCAGCUCGAUGGCGAUCUUUAGACCAUUGACGAGGGCCUCGUAUUCUACAACAUUUUUGGAUGCAGCAAAAUGUAUCCUGAUGAUGUACCUCAUAUGAACGCCCAGGGGCGAGACGAAUAGCAGACCCGCCCCAGCUCCUGUCUUCAUGAGAGACCCAUCAAAGUACAUCGUCCACAGCUCUGCCUGAACCUGAGCUGGGGGGAGCUGGGAGUCUGUCCAUUCUGUGAUGAAAUCCACCAAGGCCUGUGAUUUGAUAGCUUUGCGGGGCGCGUAAGUGAGAGUCUCACUCAUGAGCUCGACCGACCACUUGGCAAUUCUCCCCGUGGCCUCCCGACUUUGGAUGAUCUCGCCCAAGGGGAAAGACGAGACCACCGUGAUAGGGUGGCCGAGGAAGUAGUGCUGCAGCUUGCCUCGGGCGAGGAUUACGGCGUAGAUUGGCUUCUAGAUCUGUGGGUAACAUGCCUUGGUCUCUAAGAGUACUUCGCUGACGAAAUAGACCAGCCUCUGGACUGGCAGCGCAUGUCCCUCCUCCUGCCUCUCGACCACUACUGCUGCACUGACGACUUGGGUCGUUGAUGCAACGUAUAGAAGCAGAGGUUCUGCAGGUUGAGGCGGGACUAGCACUGGUGCAGAGGUUAGAGUUUUCUUCAAGUUAUCGAGCGCUUCCUCGGCCUCUGGAGUCCAAGAGAAGCGCUCGACUUUCUUCAGAAGUCGAUACAGUGGCAACGCCUUUUCUCCCAGCCUAGAGAUAAAACGACUCAGCGCCGCUAGGCAUCCCGUGACUCUCUGCACGCCCUUGACAUCUCGGAUUGGCCCCAUUCUUGUGAUGGCCAAGACUUUCUCGGUGUUGGCCUCGAUGCCGUGCUGGGAAAUGAUGUAACCCAGGAGCAUGCCUCGAGGCACGCCGAAAACGCACUUCUCGGGGUUGAGCUUGAUCUGGUUGGCACGUAAGCAGCUAAAAGCGAUCUCGAGGUCCUGGAUCAGGUCUCCUUGCCGCUUUGAUUUGACGACGAUGUCGUCGACAUAGGCCUCGACCGUCGACCCUAUGUGCUUGCCAAACACGUGGAGCAUGCAGCGCUGAUAUGUGGCUCCCGCGUUUUGAAGUCUGAAUGGCAUGGUUACAUAACAAUACAUCCCAAAAGGCAUAAUGAAAGAUGUCGCGAGCUGGUCGGACUCUUUCAUUUUUAAUUGGUGAUAACCAGAAUAUGCAUCAAGGAAAGAAAGGGUUUCACAUCCCACGGUAGAAUCAACAAUUUGAUUAAUAUGUGGUAAUGGAAAGGGAACUUUCGGACAUGCUUUAUUUAAACUGGUAUAAUCAACACACAUCCUCAUUUUCCCAUUCUUUUUCUUAACUAGUACAGGAUUUGCUAACCAGUCGGGAUGGUGAACCUCCUUGAUGAAUCCGGCCGUCAAAAGCUUUUGGAUCUCCUCGCCAAUGAUCUUGCGCUUUUCCUCGUCGAAUCGGCGCAACCGUUGCUUCACUGGCUUGGAACCGGCUUGAAUUUCCAAGGAGUGCUCGACGACUUCCCUCGGUAUGCCAGGCAUGUCCGAGGGACUCCAUGCAAACAUAUCGGCGUUUGCACGGAGAAAGUCGAUGAGCACAGCUUCCUAUUUGGGGUCGAGGUCGGCGCUGAUCGUCAACGCCUUGCCGUCGGAGUUGUUGGGGUCGAGCGGGAUCUUCUUGGUUCCUUCCACCGGCUCGAAGCUGCCUGCGUGGCGCUUGGGCUCUGGGGCCUCAGCGGCCAGGGCCUCGAGCUUUGAAACGAGCUUGGUGGAACUCUUGAGCGCCUCUCCAUACUCGACACAUUUGACGUCGCACUCGUACGCGUGCUCAUAGGAGGAUCUGACGGUGAUGACGCCCUUUGGCCCUGGCAUCUUCAGCUUCAGGUACGUGUAGUUAGGAAUUACCAUGAAUUUGGCGUAGCCUGGGCAUCCAAUGAUGGCAUGGUAUGUGCCCCGGAACCCCACCACCUCAAAGGUGAGGGUCUCCUUUCUAAAAUUGGAGGCCGUGCCAAAGCAGACCGGUAGGUCGAUUCGACCUACCGGUAAUGCCUUCUUCCCUGGUACGACGCCGUGGAAUCCACCGGCGCUCGGCUAGAGCUGCGUCUUGUUGAUGCCGAGGAGGUCGAGGGUCUCGAGGUAGAUGAUGUUGAGGCUGCUGCCGCCGUCCAUCAAUACCUUGGAGAGCCGGGCGUUGACGAUGAUGGGGUCGACGACGAGCGGGUAGACACCAGGGGCGACUACUCUGUCGGGGUGGUCGUCUCGAUCGAAGGUGAUGGGGGUGCUCGACUAGUUGAGGUACUGGGGCACCGCCAUCCUUGCCGCAAAAACCUCACGGCGUUCUCUCUUGCGUUGCCUUGCGGUCAACUGCGUCGAGGGUCCGCCAUAGAUCAUGUAGCAGUCAUGGACGGUAGGGAAGUCGUCGUCGUCUUUGUCGUCCCCUUUGUCGCUGCCCUUCUCUUUCUUUUGGUCAUCACGGGUGUCCUUCCUGAACCCCAGGCCGUCGAAAUGCUUUUUCAGCAUGCGACAGUCCUCGAGCUUGUGGUUGGCCCCUCCCUUAUGAUAAGGGCACGGCUCCUUCAGCAUCUUGUCGAAGAUGCCCACCUCUGGAGGGCCUCGAGGCUUUUUGCGCUCCAUGGCGGCGACGAGAUCGUCGUCGAGAUCUUCCCGCUGGAACGGUCACGUCUUCUUCUUCUUCUUCUUGUUCUUCUUGGGCCCUCGACUGGGGCCCUCGUCGUCAUCGGCGAGCUGCUUAUCUUUCCUUCCUUCACAGCUGAAGAAGGCCCCGACCGCUUCUUCCCCUGCGGUGUAGUUUGCCACCACGUCCAUCAACUCGUCGACGGUUUGAGGGCGAUUCCGGCCCAACUCCCACACCAAGUCUCGACUUGUGGUACCAGAGACGAAGGCUAGGAUGACGUCGUGAUUGGGGAUGUGUGGCAGCUCGGUGCGCUACUUCAAGAAGCGUCGAGCGUACUCUCGGAGGGUUUCUCCUGACCUCUACUUGCAUUUGCUGAGGUCCCACGAGUUGCCCGGUCUAAUGUAGGUUCCUUUGAAGUUGCCCUCAAAAACCCUAACCAAGUCAACCCAGUCGUGGAUCUGAUCGGCUGGAAGCUCCUCGAGCCACCUACGGGCAGUGUCGGAGAGGAAGAGCGGCAGCUGUCUGAUGAUGGCUCGAUCAUCUCCUCGAGCGCCUCCCAGCUCACAUGCCAGCCUAAAGUCUCCCAACCACAGCUCUGGUUUGGUUUCGCCGUUGUACUUUGCGAUGCUGGUCGGGGGUCGAAACGGACUGGGCAACGGCGUGCUGCGGAUUGCCCUGCUGAACACUCGUGGGCCUGGCGGCUCUGGGGCCAUCCGGUCCUCAUCACUGUCGUACUUUCCGCCACGGUGAGCGCUGUAACCACGCUCUUCCGUGUCCCCGUGCCGACGGCGACGAUUCUCCUCGAUGUCGCGUCGUGCGUCGUGUCGACGUUGGUUGUCGACGGGGAGGACGAGUGUGGUCUUUUUCCCUCGAGGGGGUGGCUGCUGAUGGACCGAUACCUCCUUUUCAUUUUGGGCUGGCUCAUCGCGCUUUUCAGUGGCCGCUCCUCGAUGUCAAGAAGCCGAGCUUUCGGCUUGCUGAACUGCCGCCACCUGGAGCAGAGUCUGCACCUCGUCUCGAAUGCGCCGUGCUUGGGAGUUCGACGGCUCUGGCAUGUUCCGCAGCAGCAUUGUUGCCGCCACAACAUUCUGGCCUGCUUGAGGGAAACAGCUGACGGGCUGCUCAGGCUCUGCGUCUCUAACAAUCUGUCGGUGCACCUCUCGAGCCCUUCUGCGGACACUUCCGCCAGGCGGGUAAGGUAAGUCCUGCUCAAGGAUCUGUUCGAGUAGAACAAGGCGCUCGCGAUCCUUGUCAAGCUUGGUCUUGAGUUCUCGCAGCUGCGCAAGUUGCGUGGCUCUGUCUUCUUGCGGUGGUGGGUCGACCUGUCUGUCGUUCCCAGGCGUCCUGGGGUCUUCCCUUGCUGCAGGGGCUCGACCGCCAGCGGCAGCAUCCUGCGUCUCGUCGGUAGUUUCUACCGCCCCGUCGAUGUGACAGCAUUCCCUGGUAGGGUCGUAGCUAUCGGUCUCGGAGUCGGAGUCCAGCUCGGCGGCGUAGAAACAUCUACGUCCCUCCUCCAGCAGCCGCCGCCUGAGCGAGGUGAUCGUGUAUCGCCUAGGGCCUAGGUGACGGAGGCCUCGUACCUGGGAGAAAUCCGGUAGCUCGGACGUUGGUUGCUGCGCUCCAGGGUCGCGUGGGAGGACCAUUGGUCUCUCCACGUACGUCUGGGCGUUUGGGCAUAUCGCCCUGGCGAGCGACGCCGCGGCAUUGUCCAAACCGAACGGCAGUGCUCCUCUUGGGGCGAACAGCCUGUGUGGAAGUAGCCUGGUGGUGGGGGAGAGCGCACGGGGCGUGUCACUUCUUGUCAUCGUGCGAUCCUCGUGGCGUUGAGCCGUCACGCCCAUGGAUUCGGCGCGCGGGGCUGUCGGCUCCUGUGCCGUCUCCGGCCUAGCACAAACUGUCGGUCGUAGCGAGGUGGAUAGGCGAUGGUGGCGCUAUCCACGCCUCUUCUUGGGCGGAGAGGCAUGGUGGCGAGGGCGCCUCGGGGCCCUCAACCGUGGUGGCGCAAUGCGGGCUCCUCCCGGUCCUUUGAUCGAGAGCAAGAUCAUGUCAUAGCCGGAGCCAGUAGACAUGAACCUGAGACUCCCAAACCAAAUCACCGUGGAGCAUGGAAUCGGUGAAGAAAGGGUGGCCAUCAGGAGAAGAAUGGGAAAUCGAUGAAAAACACGCAGGACCCCUACCUGGCGCGCCAACUGUCGGUGUUUUCCCCACCAAUGAGUGAAUUUGUAUGUGUGCUCCCUUUCCCAGAUGGUGAUGCAAAAAGACACAAGAAUUUAUCCUGGUUUGGGCAAGAGAAGGCCCUACAUCUAGCGGGGGGAGAGUUUGUAUUAUUUUGCACCUAAGUGCUUGUACAGGGGUGAAUACAAGCGUGGUAUGGAAUGAAGUGGAGUAUGGAAGUACUACUGCAUGUAGGUGUAGUGUUACGUGAUGUCUUCCUUUGUGUUCGCUCUCGGGCUCCCCCUUUUAUAGUUCCAAGGAGAAGCCCAGGGAACAAGUAUAGGCGUCAGAGUAGGGGUCGAUAGAGGUAUGGCGCGCGGACCUACUCGAGGCCUCCGUACCGGCAUGGUCUCGAGCCGUCCCGUCCUGGUAGCUUGAUGAUGAUCACGCGUGCCCUUGUAUCCCGUUCUGUGCGCCGUCUUGGAUUGGUUUAUCUGCUGCACACCUGUACGUCAUGGCGGCUGAUAUGUCAGAAUGGUUGCAGUGUUGUCAGUCGACGCCCACCCCUUCCCCAGGAAGGAAAUAUGCCUGGUCGAGGGUCGGGCGCCGUGUAGCGCCUUGUUGCCCAGAGCGUUGACCUUGGGUGUCUCGAGGGGGUCCUGAUUAGACGUUCCAUCCCUGCUUCCCGCGUCCUGACACGCUCUGGGUUGUUUGGUGGGGAAGGCUGCAAAAAGAAUGACGGGACGGGUGCCUGUUCCCUAUCACGCUUCCCGCGACUAGCGUGUUAGGUGAGAACGCGACAGGCGCAUUAAAUGCCCUGGUUCCCGUGCACGCGUUAGGCGGCGGGCGGCGUCCUUGCGCUCGACGCCUCUUGAUUCGCUCGAGCCUGUUUCCAUAUUCGACGGUAGUUGGCGCUCGAGCCCUGAUCGGUUCGCUCGACGCCUUUUCCGUCUUCGAGGCUGCAGUUGUCGAUGACUGUACGUAUGACUGACUAGAGCGUCGAGUUGAGGGCCUCGACCUGCGUACGGGUAAUCUUAUUAUGUGCAUCAGUUAGGAUACCCCUUACUGAUACCCUCGACAAUUAAUCUUGAGGCAUUUAUUACAAAUGACUAGUAGCAAACUGAUGAUAAUAGUAAAUUUAAACCGAAUUUAAAGAUAAAUAACUAAGAUGCAUUGCCUCAAGAUCUAAUCUAGAUAACUUAGUGGCGCUCUAACUCCCUAAUCUUCUUAUUGGCACUAGCAAGAUCAUGCCUAAGACCUAGUAUCACCAUGUUGUGGUUAGAGAGCUGCCUAAUGAUAGAGUUAACUGAGGACUGGAGGUCUAUGAUGACCCUAUCUAGCCUGCGAAUGUCCUCAUCAAUAUCUACUAUACUCUUGCGACGCUUAGGAGGUGUCUCGAGAGCAUUGAGAGCGUGCUUCGGGGCUGCCUUUGGAGGGAUGAAAUGGACUUUGGCUGCUCUAAUCCCCUCAAAGUAAGGCCUCUCUUCCUCCGUAGUGUAGCGGAUGCUGCUGAUCUCGCCGCUCCGGUUGGUCUUGACUCCGACGACCCUCUCAUUGGGUCUAGGUGGAAGGAUCUUCGUGCCGGUUGGCACCUUGAUGGUGGCCUCCUUCUUGGCUGAUGGUCCCUUGAGAAGUAGGGGUUGUGGCGGUGCGGUGAGAACUGGUUGAGCAUGGUAGGAUUGGGUGGAGCUACGCUGGCGUAAUGGCAUGGCUUCUAGCUGUCGCUCUGUGUUGGCCGGGACGAGAGCAUGGGCGUCGGGGUCUUCCAUAGGCUUCUUGUUUAGGUCAUAGGGAAUGACUUCCCAAUCAUCGUGGAACUCUUCGGCCAUUGGAGCAGCGAGGAACUAAGUAAGCUCUAAUUGAAGAAUAAGAGAAGGCUUGAAUAGAUUGGUGUUUGAAAACUCACGUCAGGGGUCUGUUUAUAUAGGGGUCAAAAAGUGCCUCUAGGGGUUGUUCGGGUUACUCCCGUCGUCGUGCGUGCGAAACUUUCCAUCUGUAGGAUUAUUUGGUUUACCAUAAAUGUGUUUUCCGCGACGGAGGAAAUCGGGACCGAGAGGGGAUAGGGGCUGGGCGCCCGCCCUGUUCAUCAGGGUGCCCGCCCUAUGCCUGGCCCCUCUGUGGGCCCGCUUCCUCGAGCGUGCUUCUAGAUGCAAAACUUAUUAGGAAAAUAUAUACAUGACCCUAAAAUGUCAGAUUAAAAAGGUCGGGCUCUAAAUCUCCAUGAGAAGGUAAAAAUGGAUUACAUCUAUUUCUUCUAAUUCUUUAUUGGGCUCUAAAAAUAAUUUAAGACGUUGACCAUUUACAUUGAAUAACGUACCUUCGUCAUUUUGAAGAGUGAUAGCUCCGUAGGAUGAUGAAUUGAUUACCUUGAAUGGUCUUUCCCAUUUACUCCGGAGUUUUCCAUGCCCGAAAAGCUUCACCCUGGAAUUAAAAAGUAAUACCUUAUCUCCGGGUGCGAACUCCUUCUUGAUCCUCUUGUCAUGCCACCUUUUGACUCUUUCUUUGUAGAUCUUCGAAUUGGGAUAUGCUUUCUCUCGCCAUUCUUCUAAUUCUGAUAGUUGCAUUCUUCUAUGGUCUCCAGUGACAUCUAGGUCCAUAUUCCAUCUCCUUAUGGCCCAGUGUGUUUUGAAUUCUAGUUCAACAGGUAGGUGGCAAGAGUCUUCCCGUACACCAAUUGGUAUGGGGACAUUCCAAUUGGGGUCUUGUAUGUUGUCCGGUAUGCCCAGAGUGCAUCGGGUAGCUUGUCUUUCCAUGUUGUUCCCAUUUCAUUCACUUUCUUCUAAAGAAUAUUCUUGAUUUGCUUGUUGGAAGUCUCUGCUUGGCCACUUGUCUGAGGAUGGUAGGGGGUAGCGAUGUUGUGACGGAUUCCAUGUUUUGAUAGAUAUUGCUUGAAGCGUUUGUCGAUGAAUUGUGCUCCUCCAUCACUUAUCACUACUCUGGGAACUCCAAAUCUUGGAAAUAUAAUUUCUUCAAACAUCCUCUUUGAACUGAUGUUGUCGGCAUACUUGCAAGGUAGUGCCUCUACCCACUUGGAGACGUAGUCAACUGCCACCAAGAUGAACUCACACUUCUUUGAUGGGGAAAAUGGACCCAUGUAAUCUAUUCCCCAUACAUCAAAGAGCUCAAUCUGAAGGUUGUUGGUGAAUGGCAUGGCAUCCCUCGUGUUUAUGUUUCUGUGCCUUUGACAUGGCCCACAUCUUCUCAUAUAUUGCUUAGUGUCUUCAUACAUUGUAGGCCAGUAGAAUCCACACUGCCAGAUCUUUGAAUGUGUACGAAAUGCUCCAUAAUGACCUCCAUAUGGUGAUGAAUGACAUCUGUCGAUGAUCUUCCAUCCUUCCUCGGUGGUCACACAUCUCCUGAGUAAGCCAUCAGAGCAUACUCGGAAGAGGUAUGGCUCAUUCCAUAUAUGUGAACGACUUUCUUGAAUAAGCUUCUUCUUGUUUGCUCCUGGUGGUACAUACCCUGAAACCAUAAAAAUAACAAUAUCUCCAUACCAGGGGUCAAACCUGUUAAUCCCGUAGAGCAUGUUGUCCCGGAGUGAAUCAUUGAUGGGGGUUUCCUAUGGAUUCUUAAAAUAUAUUCUAGACAAGUGAUCAGCAACAGAAUUCUCUACUGCCUUUUUAUCUUUUAUUUCUAAGUCAAAUUCUUGAAGUAAUAAGAUCCAUCUAAUCAGGUGAGGUUUAGCAUCUUUUUUAGUGAGCAGAUAUUUUAAUGCAGCAUGAUCAGUGUAAACAAUUAUUUUAGCUCCAACUAAAUAAGAUCUAAAUUUAUCAAUGGCAAAGACAACAGCCAGAAGCUCUUUUUCAGUGGUUGCAUAAUUAAGUUGAGCUCCUGCCAAAGUUUUACUGGCAUAAGCAAUUGCAUGAUGCUUCUUAUUUUUAGUUUGUCCCAAAACUGCCCCCACAGCAUAAUCACUAGCAUCACACAUAAUUUCAAAAGGCAACGACCAAUCAGGGGGUUGAAUGAUUGGUGCAAAGAUGAAUGCAUUCUUUAAUAAAUUGAAAGAUGUUAGGCAUGCAUCAUCAAAUUUGAAAGGAGCAUCCUUGGCUAGCAAGAGAGUAAGUGGUCUAGCAAUAAAUGAAAAAUCUUUUAUGAAUCUGCGAUAAAAACCAACAUGGCCAAGAAAGCUUCGAAUUCUCUGUUCAAUUACUUCAAUUUUAGCUUUGUCUACCUCAAUACCUCUCUCAGACACUAGGUGUCCCAGCACUAUUCCUUCCCUAACCAUAAAAUGACAUUUUUCCCAAUUAAGGACUAAGUACUUUUCUUCACAUCUUUGCAAAACCUUGUCUAAGUUUUCAAGCCAACUAUCAAAAGUUUUUCCAUAAACAGAGAAAUCAUCCAUGAAAACUUCCAUAAUCUCUUCAAUCAUAUCAGAAAAUAUAGACAUCAUGCAUCUUUGAAAAUAAGCUGGUGCAUUACAUAACCCAAAAGACAUUCUACGGUACGCAUAAGUUCCAUAUGGGCAUGUAAAAGUGGUUUUGCUUUGAUCAUCGGGAUGGAUCGGGAUCUGGUGAUACCCUAAAUAUCCAUCCAAGAAACAGAAGAACGAAUGGUUCGCUAAUCGCUCUAGCAUCUCAUCUAUGAAAGGUAAAGGAAAAUGAUCCUUUCUCGUGGCUUUGUUUAGUUUUCUAUAGUCUUGUUGACACCGUUUUUGGCCACGUAUCUUUGGAUACGCACCUGGAGUUAAUGAAGUGUAGAUCGGCAGAUGGGCAAUGGUGACUAGUCUACAGGGGAGUUGCCGAUGAAGGUUGGUGCCGAUGGGAGAACAACCGGAUAUGACCAAGUCCAGAAGUGGUGAUGUGUUUGUGCCAAUGACCAGUGCCGGUGUUUGUCGAUGGCUGUAACAGGCAGUCUGCCGAUGAUUCUGAAGAAAAGCGCGGAGGUUGACGAUUGACUCGUGGCAAGUGUACCGAUCGGUUACGGAGGAUAGUUUAAUGUUUUCCUUAGUUAUUAGGAUUCGUUUUGUAUACGGAUUCUGUUGAAUUUGGAAUUCGAGUUCUAGUCGUGUUUAGUUGUAGUUCUUUUGAGCAGGUAUAAAUAUAGACCCCGUGGCAAUGUAAUGAGACAUCUAUCAAUCAAUCAAACACAAGUUUUUACACAUAUUCCAGCAUCUACUUUUUCGGCGACUUCGUCAUAUUUUCUUUUUACUACGAGUUCUUAGGAAUUUGUCGAGUCAAACUCGGCGUGUUCUCAAGUUCUGCGUGAGCACCUCUUGGCCGUGACAUCCAGGCGCAUCGCUGUUGUCGGGACCAAAGUGUUCGAGUUACCACCUUUGUCGAUUGUAAGGUCAAAUCGGCUGGCACGCCUUAACGUUUAGAUCGGGUAUUAGCCCUUUGUGUUUGCAGAUCAGCUUUUGCAUCAACAAGUCUAUGCACAUCCUCCAUCCUGUGACGGUGCGUUGCGGAAUUAGCUCGUUCUUUUCAUUCAUAAUGACAGUCAUGCCAACCUUUUUAGGCACAACUUGAACUGGGCUUACCCACUCACUGUGCGGCACAGGAUAUAUAAUCCCUGCAUGCAGUAACUUUAUAACUUCCUUUUUAACUACCUCUCUCAUCGCGUUGUUAAGUCUACGUUGGGGCUCUCGAGAAGGUGAAACAAAAGGAUCUGUUGGAAUACGAUGGGUACAAAUCAUAGGACUGAUUCCUGUAAGAUCUUGGAGUGAGUAGCCGAAAACUGAGUGAUGUUUCUCAAGAAUGGUCAUUAAUUGCAGAGUUUGCUCCUGAGUGAGUUUAUCACUAAUGAUCACAGGAAAUUCUGGAUUAUUGUUUAGGAAAGCAUAGAUAAGACCAGGUGGUAAAGUUUUAAGCUCUAUGGGAGGUCUAGGCGUUUCUGUAAACUCAUCUAAGGGUUCAGGUUCUGAAGGUUCGGCCUCUUCUUCUAUGAAGAAAGGAACUUUGUCUUCUAAGUCUGGUUCUUCUAAAAGCUCUAGAGAUGCAGCCUUUACCUCCUCCAUAGGAUCAGGCAAAAGAUAUGACUCGGCCUUAUUAUUUAAGGAGUGUGAAAUUUUUAUUGGAAAUUUAAAAGUUUUUCCAAAAGAAAUGUGUAGCUUUCUAGUAUGACCUUCAUAAAGGAGUCUUCUAAAAGGUUGUCCAACAGGUCGAAGUCCCAUGUAUCAAAGAUAUAGAAGUUCAAAUGAACCAUGGAUCCUUCUACCAUAAGGGGUAGGACAUUAAUAAUUCCAAGACUGGGGACUAAUCGUCCCGAAUAUUCCUUUAUGACCUUUGUUGUGGGGGUUAAGGCCAAAUUUUUAAAUAAUUUAAGUGCAAAAGAUUCAGAUAUGAUGUUGAUCCCCACAAUAGGAUUAUAGAGAGCAUCAAAUUGAUCAGAAUCAUAAGCACAGCGUAUAGUUAUAGGAGGUGUGUCCAAACGGAUCACGUCAGAGGAAAGCUCUGACUCCUCCAACCAUUCGCUACUCAUGACUAAGAUAAGCUCUCUCAAUUGAUAUUCAGUUGGUAAACAAAUGCUAAAAUGGUCGUUUUGGGGUCUGUUAAUAGAAUGGUAGUUUGAAAUGUUUCCAAAAUCGGCAAAAAGAUCGGGUUCUAUAUCCAGCAUGAAAUCAGGUGGUGGAAUUUCUUCCUUUUGUGGCUCAGAACUUGGGAUAGCUAAAGUAGAUGGAGAAUUUGGUAGAGUAUCUACUUCGGCUUUGUGGGUUUCAUCAUGAAGGGUAUUAUCCAUCUCAGCUUCUAGGAUUCUAUCUAGGAUCACUCUAGCAUCAUCAGUAGGGAUGCGAAAGAAAGAACCUCUAGACAUUGUAUGUAGCAUUUGUUUAUGAUCUUUCUGAAGACCUCGAAAAAAGUGAAAUAAAAGAAUAGGGUCUUCAAGAUUAAGGUUUGUACCAGAUUAUAAAAGAUCAGAAAAACGUUUCCAGGAUUUUCCCAAAGUUUCAUUAUCUUUUUGUUUAAAAGAUAGGACUUCGAGUCUAAGGUCGCCGAUAUGGUCGAGGGAAUAAAAAUCUAGACAAAAGUUGUCUCGUAAAACUCCCCAUUCAUCUCGUUGUUGACUUACCUUCUAACUGUACCAUUAUCUAGCUUCUCCCCUUAAAGAAAAAGGAAAAAGCUUCCAACUUAAAGUUUUAUCAGAAAUGCCUUCAAUGCGAAGACAAUCACAUGUUUGCUCAAAAUCUCUAAUAUGAAGGUAAGUGUUUUCGUCUUCCUUUCCUGAAAAAGAUAGGUUUUGAAUCAUGGCAAUCAACCUAGAACUUAACCUAUACUGGGAUGUUUGGAUAGGCUGUGAUGACUCCCAUGGUAAAAGGUCAGUUUCCGAAGGUGUUGCAAAUUGAUAGAUCGAUUUAGAAUCUUGGUUUUCCAUAAGGUAAGAAUAAAGAAAAUAAAUAAAGAAUAUAAAAGAUAAGACAAGAUAAAAGUAUAGAUACAAGCUAAUAGUAAGACUUAAGGUUAUCUCAGCAAACCGUCUUUCUCCCCGGCAACGGCGCCAGAAAUGCUUAUUGAUAUUUGGGAACGCAAUAAGGAAUUGAUCCGCAAGCGCAUAGAUAUCGGUGAGCACUUCACCUGGGAUGUUAUCCAGAGUAUCGUAUUUAUAUUUUUACCACUAGGAGAAAGAGUGCAUCUGACUAACCCAGUCUAUUACUACUAACCAUUAGGCUACAAAGAAUGUUUCUCGAUGUGAGUGAUAUAUAGAGAAGACUACAACUGUAAUCUCUUUCUAACUUUGGUAAGGAUAAUCUACUGUUCUAUUAGGGAGGCUCACGGAAUCUAGACACCACAGAGGAUGUUCAACCCGCGCCUAUAAAUCCUAUCCUUCCUGCUAACGAGAUAUGGUCUGCAAAGGUAACUCGGAAAUGUCAUGUUCCUCGCUACUACCACGGUCCAGCUAGUCAGGGAAUAUCUAUGAGUAUCCUAGCCCAAACACCACGUCUAUGCUAGAGAUGAUUACUCUAAACUCUACCCGAAGAGAUUAAAGUAAACUCAUAAACCAAAGAAUAAUAAAACAAGAACUUACUAGUAUUUAGAAGUCAAAAUACUAAAGAAUCCUAGGAGCAAGCUUCGGUUUAGGAGAACUUGAUCCCGCAGGUACAACCUCAGAGUAGACACCGAUCUACACCUCCACUCUAUCUCUCUCAAUCUAGUAGAACUUAGAAGAACUAAUUCUACUCCAAUUGGAUGCUAAGCCCUAAGUCUAUUUAGAGGAGAGGUUAUCCUUCGAGGGCUCCUCUCAACUCUAUGAUGAACUUGUUCUCCAGGGGCCAGGGGGUCUGCUUAUAUAGUCCCCUCAGGUGAACAUGGGCAAUUGGAUCAAACCGACAUUGAUUGAACAGUUAUCCUUGAUCCUUUAGGUCAGUGGAGUGUGAUCCGCGAAGUUGGAUGGGAUUGGUUACAACUCCAGGGUGGGCGCCCUAGGGGGGAGGGCGGGCGCCCUGCCCCGGGCCCGAUCGCCUUCCCGUUCAUUCCCGUGGCUUCUUGUGUCUUCUAGAUGGUAGAAAAUUGCACGGUGCGUUAAUAUCUCUAUGUAAUCCCGAUAUGUGGGCCUUUCUUCCUUAUUUCCUAAUAACUCCCUGCAGAAACAGAUAAGCAACAAAACUCGUGGAAUUCUGUCAGAUCAAACCCUAAUUCUAGGUGUUGUUUGCAUAUUGGUCCUUUCUCUUAUUUAUUUGAUAAUUAAAAUUGAUACUUAAGAACCGUCAACAACUAUUCAAAAGAUGCUCACAUACAAAUGGCUCAAACAUCCAGAAAACAAUAUUUCAUGGAGAUGUAAAAUGAAUAUUUUCUAGGUAUGUAUUCCCACUAAGAAACUGUUUUUUUAGCUUGUCUGGGCAUCUCUGUGCAUUGUGAUCAUAUGAUUUUGCAAAUGUUGCACUUAUUCUUCCUCUUUUUUGUGCAUUGUGAUACCUUUUUUGUGUGCCUUCUCCUUCAUGCACCCUUUGGCUUUUGAUUUUGGGGGGUUCACUACACUUCAUGUAUUUGGACCAGCAAUUGCACCUACAAUGUGAAAUACAAUAAGCAACUAAUAAAUCUAGUAUAGGUGUACUAGGAUGAAGUAAAGCAGAACAUAGUGUCUAGUUUUUAAACCUGUAGUUCGCAAUGAAGGUCCAGUUAGAGUAGAGACACCUGUACCAUUUUGUGCACCUUCUGUAGCACCACCUUCCGUACCACCAGUGUUUUGCCUAUUUGCCAUCGUCCUUUUCUUAAUUGCUUCAAAUUCAGAUCACAUCUCCUUAAUGUGCUUCUCCAAAAUAGCAUAGUUUUCAUCAUUUGUACAACCCUCCACUGCUAUUGCUGCAAACACGGUGGAUGCGUUGGUCAAUCUCAAAGUUUUCUCACUGGUCAAUGGCAUCCCACGGGCUACAAGUUCCACUGCUGCAUUCACAUUUUGGACCUGAUUAGUGUCACUAGCAAUUGCUUGUUGCGUCCACCUUUUAAGGAUGUACCUUUCUGGUAUCAAUUUUACACUCAUUCUGAUCAUAACUCUCAUAAUGUGGCAGCAAAUGAUUCCAUCCCUAUCGAACUUGCUACACUCACAGCAAUAGCUUUCAUCCUCUUCUAUUGUUGUAACAAGAUAGUUCCUUUUUCCAUACCCAUAAACAAAGCUAUUAUUGGGCUCCACCCAAUAUUGGAACUGCCCUAUAGGCUUCACAUCAUAUUCUGUAGUUUUCUCAAACUCUUUGGAGAACCUGUAAAACAUAUUCUUUGUGUAUAUAGUGGAAGCAUGCUUCUCAAGUGGAUGCCUUGACCAUCGUCUUCGCUCAUUCUCAUCGGUCCUAAAGUCUUGCCCAUCCUGUGCAACCAGACACUUUUCUUGUAUUUUCUGGUACUACCUCACAAACUGUAGCACGGACAAGUUUGGGUUCACAUACUUCUCAACAAAGCAUUGAACCGACCCUUCGCUCCUUUGAGUCGACUGGAGGAAUGGGAAGAAACUGUGCAUGUAGUAGGCUGGUAUGAAGCUCUGCCUUAUGUGGUAUAGGUGUUAAAAAUGCUCAUUGCCCUCCAAACUGUAUUUCUGGACCAUAGCAGCCCACUUUGACUCAAAAUCUUUUGGGCUAUAGUGUGGUUUAAGCAAUCCACAAACUCCUCAUUUAGCUCUUCAUUUUUAGCAAGGAUCGGUCCAAUUGUGCCUGAAAACUUGUCCAUGAUAUGCCACCUACAAUUCCUGUGGGUUGUGUUUGGAAACACAAUGCAAAUGGCAACUCUCAUCACAACAUCUUGAUCGGUGAUUAUGUUAAGGGGUGCUUUUCUAUCCAUUGCCUCUAGAAAUGUUAGAAACAACCAUUCAUAGGUAGCUGUCUUCUCAUUCCUUAUAAAGGCACAUCCUAGCUAAAAAAUUUGGCAGUGUCUGUUGAUUCCUAUGAAUGGUAUACGGCAUCUCAUAUAUGUUGGUCAUAUAGGUUGCAUCAAAUGAGACACAAUCGUUGUAUGCCUCUUUGUAAGCAUGCCUUGCAGCUGAAUCAACCCAAAAUAGGUUCUCAACCCUAUGGUUGUCAUCAAGCUUGAUCUUGUAGAAGAAUUCAGGGUCUUCUUCUUCCAAUGCUCUGAAGUAAUCCAAAGUUUCCUGUAUAUCUUUGAAUUUUUCUGUCUUGUGGAUGGUGGAGCGAAAGUUUGAAACUUGUUUGCCCUCGUAUGGCACCAGCUGUGCUGAGCCAUAGAACUCGCUCAUCAGCUGCAUGAUUCUACCGGUGCUCAAAUUGCAUCCAUGUAGCAAAACAAUGGAGUCCUUUUCUUGCUUCGGUAUCCCUCUAUGGGACCUUAGGAACUUCUUGAGUGAGGGCUGAACCACAAGAUUGUGGUUAUGCUCGGCCAAAAAAUAGAUGACUUGCCACCUAGAGCCAAUGAUUUUGACUACCAUCCUCGCCUUGCAGUUGUAUAUACCAUUUUCUCCCUCUUCCUUUUCUUACAUCCAUCAAGCUUCUUCCUCUUCUCUACUUGCUCAUCCUCUUCUUCUUGUGCAGUAUCCUCUUCUUCGACUUCAUCAUUGUUAGAGUAGCAAGUGAUUGCAUCAACAAGCUGAGCAGCAACUCUCCUUUUCCUGCCAAAGCCUUCUUUGUUGCACACAAACUGCACCUUUUGUUUUUCUCUUGUGAUUGCGGACUGACGUGACAUGUUUGUUCUAAUCGAGAAGCCAGUUCCCUUUGCAUACGAGUUGUAGUACUCCUUUGCUUCGUCCAAGGUUGCAAAAGACAUCCCAUUGUGUGGCAUUUCAGGUGUAGACCACACCUCUUCCUCCUCUUCUACUACUUCAGCAACUAUGGGAUUAGUAGUAGAAUCUUCAUUCCUGUCCUCUAUUCUUGCAUGUUCAAAUGACAAUCUGAUCUCACAAAUGGUAGGAAGAACCUCUUCUGAAACUGCAGGAUCUCUCUCUGCUAAUCCAGCUUGACCAUCUUUAGAAAUACUAGGCAAACUCUGCUGGUUCACAUGCUCAUCGUUAGGUUGAGGAACUUCAAGAUUUGUGGACACUUGAGUGCACAAGGUAGGGUUGCUGGUCAUAUAAUCAAAAUCAAAUGCAUCCAAGAAAUCUUCAUCCAAAUCUGGUGGUAGCUUGUUAAGAUCCAUAUUUUGAGAACUACAUGCAAAACAUUAACUAUAGGUGUGUGUUACUAUGUCAUGACAGUAGGCAACUUAGUCAAACCCGUUAGGCAAUAAUACUAUACAAAACUAGACAAAAUAAGCCAGCAACUUAUGCAGUUUUUGUUGAGUACAUGCCUUUUUAGUUGUAUUUCAAUACAUGCUAUUAGCUUUAUUCAGUGCAUGUUUUUAGCUUUGUAAUUUAUUCUGUACUCAGUUUUUUUCAACUUUAUGAAUCUCGUGUCAUUGUGUUCUCUCCCUUUUUAGAGAAAGUUUGUAAUUUGAGGCUUGCUUGUCCUCUACUCAGUUGAUUUAAAAUUUUUUCUCAGUUGUAGUUUUAUUUAAUUGCAGGUGUGAGGCUAUGUGCAGCAGCUGACACAAGAAAGUUUAAUGCAUAGGAGUAACCAUGUUCAAUAGCUAACACAAGAAGCUUUUAAUGCAGAAAGAUGUACAUCUGUAUGAGUGGUGCAUACAACAUAUAUCCAUGUUAUCUAACGGGUAGCAAGACAUACAGUGGUUAGUAUUAGAUCUGCUAAUGCAGUAGGAACUACAGUAUUAUGUGAUACAAGAGAACUGGAUUGCUUAUGCAAAAUAACUGAUUUGCUUAUUAUUGACGGUCCUUAAUGCUCACAUUUAACCGUCAACUAAUCAUGGAAAAGGACUUAUAUGCAACCAACACCUAGACUUAGGGUUUCUGGUAGAAUUCCACGAGUUUUGGUGUUUGUCUAUUUCUGCAGGGGUUAUCAGGAAAUAUGGAAGAAAGGCCCACACGUCGGGUUUACAUAGAGAUAUUAACGUGCCACACAAUUUUCUAUCAUCUAGAAGACUCCAGAAGCCACAGGACCGAAGCGGAGGCCGAGAGGGCUCAGGGACAGGGCGCCCGCCCUCCUAUUCUGCCCAAUCAGGGUACAACUCGGGGAUCAUGCUCCACCGACCUAAAGGAUCAAGGAAAACCGUGCGAUUAAUGUCGGUUUGAUCCAACGGCCCAGAUUCAUCUGAAAAGGCUAUAUAAGCAAGGCCCCCUGGCCCUUGGAGAGCAUACCUCUUCUACAGAAUCAAAGCUAGGGUUUCAAUUCUUGAUCCAAGUAGAGAGGAUCCCUCUAGUUCAUCUAGUUCUAGUUCUAGUUAGUUCUAGUUGUAAUCUAGAAAAUAGGGAGAGAGAAGAGGAGAGCGGAGGAGGAGCCGGAUCUGUCGGAUCUUCCUCAACAUUAUACUUUUGCAGCCACUGGUUCGUUCUUCAUCGUUCUCCAAUUUCUUCAAUUCAUAAUUCCUGAGUUCUUUAAUUACUUUUAUUUACAUUCAAGUUAUUUAUUGGAUUCCCACUUGCAUCAAGUGCUCUAGUCUUUAUAAUGCUAGAGUUGUAAUUAAUAAAUUAGACGUGGUGUUUAGUUUUGUAAUUACCUGGAAUUGCACCCAAUCCUGCGGAUUGUUGUGGUAGCCCUAGGGUAGUGACAGCCCUAACGGUCGACGUAUUCCACCUCGUUCGGAUCGGUGUUUGUAGGACCAUAGUCAGAGCUUCCUUGCCCCCUUCUCAUCUCUUUCUGUGGUUAGUGUUCUGAUGUCUCGAAAUAAAUAAUCUUUGAAGUAAUUCUUAAUUCUUAGAUCAACUACAGAACUCUCAGGAAACUUCCUCUCUUCCCACUAAAAAUAAUUAUAUAGUUAUCCUUGGGCAAUCUUGAAUCUUAAUUAGUACACUCACGUUCCCUGUGAAAAAUCGAUACUCUGGAAUACUCCCAGGUGAAAGCUACAUCGGUAUCCGUGCGCUUGCAGAUUUUUCUGUUUGCGUUUAAAAUACCCAACAAGCUUUCUGGCGCCAUUGCCGGGGAACGGUAGCUGUGCUAGUUUCGAACCAAGUCAUCCGUGUAUCCUUUUUCUUUUUCUUUUUUACCACAUUCACCUUACCAUUUUCACCACACCACAUGGAUUUCACUCCAAGCAUUAAUGAGCAUGGAAUUUAUUUCAUAGCCACUUCGUUUACGCCAUGCUCAUAUGCAACAUCUUCCCAAUCUACUGGUCUCUCCACCAUCACCACAUUCGAGAUCUCCAACCCCCUCUUCCUUUCUAUUUAUAAAAACUUUAAAAGGGCGGUUGUCGAUGCAUAUGUCUAUAAUAAAUAUUGUAGAUCUCAUUAAGUUGAUCUUGAUAUAGGUCAGCGUUAGAGGGGAAACCACUUCGCCGACAUAAAUUGAUGGUUUCCCAAGGACAAGCUGAGUGUCCUAAAAUAAGCACUAAUCAGAUCGUAACAUGAGCUUUUAAUUAUUUGCAACAUUACCUUGUCUAUUGAGCAUAUAAGGAUAAUUAUAAAAAAAUUCCUUCAGGUAUUAUUGUCACUAACCUUUCCAGGAUUGAAGCAAGAAGAUCGGAUGAAUGACAAGCACAAGGUAUGUCCAACCAAUCAUCAUACAACAUUGAAUUAAAUUCAUCCAAUCUUGAAUUUUGCAAAAUUCAAGCUUGGGGAGUACUUUACAUAAAAACAUCAUUUGCCAUGUUGCUAUGUUGGUUGUCCCUACCUUUGAGACAUGCUCAAUUUGUUAAAUACUAAUCACACUACUUCAUCUCCACUUGAGUAGAACUUUAUAAAUGCUCUCAUGCUACCUUUAUUUGCUUUAGUAUAUGUCUAGGUUUGGAGUAGUUUCAUAUAUCUCUUAAUUAAGCAUGGUGCUUAGUUUAGGAAUGAUGAUCUUACUUCCAAGGGAGCUUAAUUAAGCAUGAUGCUUAGGUUAAAAUGCCCUCCUAAAUCAAAUUAGACAUGGUGUCUAGGUUGAUUUUUGAGCCGAUAGUAUGCUAUAGUAGAUAUUGGAUAUUUUGUUGGACUAACCCCUGCAGGAAAACUUUCAAUAUCGACCUGGGAAGUCUUGAGAUAGACCCACAUUGGAGACAAAGAGAGAGACACAUGAAGUUUAACAAUUUACACAAGGAAGACAUAGCUCAUAAGAGAUGAUCCAUGGAGGGUGCCACAAACACGAUGCACAACCGCUAAGAAAGGAAAGCUUCCACAAGGUGAUAUUGUACCAUCACUCUUCAAGUAAGGUAACAUCUCAAGGUACUUGACUAUCACUUCUAUAAGCUUCUCCUUGGUUCUGGCAUUCACAUGAAUAAAAGAGACAAACAUGUAUGAUUUACAACUCUAGAUUAACCAACCCAAUCGAUUCAACAUGUUUAGUCCUUCCACCUUUGUGAUCCCACACUCCUAAUCAUAUGAACUAAAAUCUUGCACACGCAAUCUUUGGAAGAUAUAUAUAUAAAAAAUAAUAAGUAUAGAUAGAUUAUCUUUCCAUUAGGUUGAGUGAUCUGAUCUGACAAAUGUUUUAAAUGCUACACUCAUGAUCUUAUUAUCCAUCAAGUUUGUCUUGCUCACUAUGCUUAAGGUUAGAGAGAACAAAUAUACUUUUGGUUCUGUUGGUGUUUUCCACCAACAGGGCCCGUGCGCUUGAUCUCUGCCCUGUCUCUAUGAGCAGGUACACUUCGAGCAAAAUAUGAAGAGUUUUACAACUCCCAGACUCCACCAAGUGAAGAACCUGGAUCUACGAGCACAAACACACUGGAGAUACUAGACACUCAGGCAAUCACUGCCCUGAGAUGCUUGAGGACGUAAACUACAUCAGCAACAACUACUACUACUACUACAACCGUCCUCAACAAAAUCAAGGUUAGAAUCAACAGAGGCCUAACUACUCUGGUAAUUAUCAAGACAUGUUUGAUGCAGCCUGCAGAUGGGACACUAAGUUUCCCAAAGGGAAUAUUGAAGAACCUCUGCGUCCGUGUUGGUACCUUGUACGCUCUAGCAGACUUCAUGGUAAUAGAGACUGGUACUGAUGAGAGGGCACUCAUCAUCCAAGGGAGGCCAUUCCUGAACACCUUAGGAGCUGUCAUCUACGCUAGUGCUGCCAAGAUCAGUUUCUACAUCAAGGGGAGGAAGGAGACGUUUUCCUUCAAGAACAAGACUACACAAAUCUUAGAGCAAUCUCGACAUGAACCAAGGAAUAGGACCAACAGGAGGAACAGGAACAAGCAAAUAUGGACCGAGUCAGCUAAGAUGGUCACUGCAGUUCAAGGAGGCCAAGAUCAUCGAUUUAAGUCACCGUUCCUGACCAAAAAGGACGACCCAGCUCCAGAUGGCAGAUCAGACCGUUCCUCAGCACCGUUAAAGCAAUCAUCAACAUUGGAACCAGAGAAGUCCACAUGCACUUCCCCUCUGAGAAGGUACGUCGCUAUUUUACUGACCCUAACUAUAUAGUUGAAGACUCUAAGCAGGUCAGGACAAGAAGAAGACGACGCAACCACAACCAGACGAGACAAAUCAUCAAGGACGGAUGGGUAGACUACAAAGGAGAAGUGGUAAGGUCUGAAGACAUACAACUUGAACAGAACUGUCCUGAUGAGACCGUAGCACCGAGUCAGGUGUGUAGAGAGAAGAUAUACAUGAAGAGCAGGCGCCGCCGGAACCACCGACUACGCCAUCCAGCGAAUCCCAGAACGAGUGAGAAAAUGGAGAGUCCCGUUCGGAGGACUUAAAAACACUGAACGCCUAGCCAAGAGGUAAACUUGGUAGUUAUCCUUUCCCUUUCAAUUAUUUAAAAUAGUUUACUUAGUUAAACAUAUUAUACUAUCCUAAAAAGAAAAAAAAUAGAAAUGUUAAAAAUAGAAAGCCCCAUGUGAGUAUGCUCAUGGCAUAAAACCUAUAAGUAUGUGGUGGCAUAAAAAUAAAAUAAAUAUAUUAUUGUCCUAUAAAAAAUGAAAAUAUAAAAAUAAAUUUAUGAUCCUACCAAAGAGUAUAACAUUUAUUGAGGAGGCUCAACAUGAUAAAGGCUAGAUAUUUAUGCUAACACUUAACCAGUUCCACAAAACUUUGUUGUCUAUUUGAGCUCCACAGAAUUCAAGGAUCAAAGAAGACUAGCAGACGGAGGACAUCCUAAUCGCUGUCAGGGUGCUGCCAACAUUCAAAUACACCUCCGCCACGUGCUAUCUAUAUCAGAAGAAAUUACGUCAAAAUCCAGCUUGGGGGAGAGCACCCCCAUUUAUCCAACUAAGUGUUCUACUCACGUUUAUACUUUACUCUAAUAAUAAAAAGAUGCAUAAUCAUAGAAAACCCAAAUAAAGAUUUUGUGCUUAUAUAUCUUUGCUUAGAAUGCUAAAUAAAUAAAUAAAUAAAGUUUGCUAUAAGCCCUCAUGAUAAGCUCUCACAUGGAAAUGAUGAAUAGUUGCUCUGCAAUGACUAGUUCUCAAAAUUGAAAUCUCUCUCAAGUUUAGGCAUGACUGUUAUGAAUUAAGAUUUGCUCUAAACCUGAACUUGUGGGAAGAGUACUUAAUCUAACGUCUAAGUCGUUAACGGAUAUGAUAUGGGAAGGUUGAGCUACUGUUUAUCUGUUCCUAGAGAUGCUAGAAUUCUGGAGAAUUUUAUCUUUGAAAAUAUUUAAAAUAUCACAUGAUGAGUUCCUGUAUGAUGAGAGUUUAAAUUCCUACCACAGCCAUAUAUACAUGCUUGCUAGACUUUGAGCCACACAUUUACUUUUUACUGCUUAUGAGCAUUGAGUGUGGUCAAGCUGUGUAGACCCUUAGGAGCUUGUCAUGUGGUUAAAUCAAGAUUCACUUGCACGUUCACUCACACAUGCUGCUUCUACUCCGGAAGUAUGCAUCCACAUAUAUCCACUCAUUUCCAUCUCCAGAACCACCCAAAAAUAUUCUACUCCUGAUUCGGGAGAGAAUAGCAAAAAACAUUUUAGUUUUCCCCUGUGAAAUAAAUGCUCAAGUUAUCUUGGUUACUACCACUUGCUACAUUAUUUAAAGAGGUGAGUGCUCUAAAAAAGAAGAAGAUAUGAGGAAAUAAAAGGGGCAAGUGCUCGGAACCUCGAAAGAAAAAAAAAGUGAGACAAUAGGUAAAAAUAGACAAGUGUCCGACAGUAGAAUUAGGGCUGAGAGAAAAGAAAAAGAAAAUAUAGAGCAUUUCAUUCUCCUCAAAAAGUUUCAAAAGAGCAAGAAAGGUAUGUAUCCCCUCAAAGAGCAAAAGCAGAAUUAGACUUUCACUAUUAUUUUCACCAUUAUCACCAUUCAUUCGCCACACAUGCACAUCUUGAUUUGACUUAUUGACUUGUUCUUCUGGAUCUAUGGUUUGACUAUGCAAUAAAUAUUUUGUAAGUAUGUAUAUUUGUCUCCCACCUAUGAGCUCCAGGUAUCAAAACCUUAUUAGAGUAGGGUGAGAGAGAAGGCAAUGCCACUAUGCCUCAUACCAAAAAUACCACAUACUUUGAGAGAAGGCAUACACCAUUACUACUUUGGUAAAGAUCCAGAAAUACCACAAAAGAGAGACUAGAGAGAGUCAUAUAAUGAAUCUCUGAGUUUUAUUUGAAAAUCUACAAAAACUCCAGAGCUAUAGUUAAUCGAAGAACAAGAGACAUGGUGCUUGACUAGACCGUUCUAUCUUUUAACUCCUCAAGAUACAAGUGACGGUUGCAAGCCCCAUAGUGAAAUUUAAUAUGAGUAAGCUUAAAUCUUAAUAGUUAUCCUAACCCAGAGACGAGAUAUUGUUUGAACGCAUGUGUACCUUUAAGGCAUGAAACGACUGCAGAAACUCUUGAGUAUAUCCUUGCUCAGGGACCAGCAAAGGUUAAGCUUGGGGGAGCUUAUUGACGGUCCUUAAUGCUCACAUUUAACCGUCAACUAAUCAUGGAAAAGGACUUAUAUGCAACCAACACCCAGACUUAGGGUUUUAUCUGACAGAAUUCAACGAGUUUUGGUGUUUGUCUAUUUCUGCAGGGGGUUAUCAGGAAAUACGGAAGAAAGGCCCACACGUCGGGUUUACAUAGAGAUAUUAACGUGCCACACAAUUUUCUAUCAUCUAGAAGACUCCAGAAGCCACGGGACCGAAGCGGAGGCCGAGAGGGCUCAGGGACACGGCGUCCGCCCAAGUCCUUAGGGCGCCCGCCCUCCUAUUCUGCCCAAUCAGGGUACAACUCGGGGAUCAUGCUCCACCGAUCUAAAGGAUCAAGGAAAACCGUGCGAUUAAUGUCGGUUUGAUCCAACGGCCUAGAUUCAUCUGAAAAGACUAUAUAAGCAAGGCCCCCUGGCCCCUAGAGAGCAUACCUCUUCUACAUAAUCAAAGCUAGGGUUUCAAUUCUUGAUCCAAGGAGAGAGGAUCCCUCUAGUUCAUCUAGUUCUAGUUCUAGUUCUAGUUAGUGUUGACGGUCCUUAAGUACUAAAAUUAAUAAUCAAAUAAACAUGAAAAAGGAUCGAUAUGAAACAAACAUCUAGAAUUAGGGUUUUAUCUGAUAGAAUUCCACGAGCUUUGGUGUUUAUCUAUUUCUGCAGGGGGUUAUCAGAGAAUAUGGAGAGAAGGCCCACAUGUCAUGUUUACAACGAGAUAAUUACGUGCUGCGCAAUUUUCCUCAACCUAGAAGAAUCCAAAAGCCACGGGAACGAACGAGAGCACGAUCGGGCUCGGGGGCAGGGCGGCCGCCCACCCCCCUUGGGCGCCCGCCCAGGGAUGGAACCCAAUUAGGACUCUGCUUCGGGACUACGCUCCACCGACCUAAAGGAUCAAUCUAAACCAUACAAUCUAUGUCGGUUUGAUCCAAUGGCUCACGUUCACUUGAGGGGACUAUAAAACCAGACCCCCUGGCCCCUGGAGGAGAGAGGAGAAAUCAUUAUUCAGAGGUAGCCAUCAAAGUUAGGGUUUAGAGCUUCUCUCCCACAGAGAAUUAGAAUUAGCUACUCUCUAAUCCUUCAAGUUUAGAGGUUUGAUUAGAUAGCAAUUAGAGAAGUAGAGCACUACGCUCUGGAUUCGGAUCUUUGGUAAUAAAGAUUGGUAUUAUUCAUAUCUUUCUCUAAUUCUUUGUUCUAAUUGCAUUAUGUCUCUAAUUAUUAUGUUCUUAGUUUGCUCUAGUUCUAUAUUUGAUAUAGUUCUAAUUGAUAAUGAGUUUAUGUAUAAGUUUGCAAAGCGCUUAGCUCUUGACGCGAGGGAGUUAGGUGAUAGAUCACAUGUGAGCGUGGUGCUUAGAUGUUAUUUAUCUGCAAAUGUAUCCUAUUGGCCGGGUCGUGUGGUAGUUCGCGAUAGUGACAGCUUCGUUGAUUCUUAUAUAGUCCACCCUCCGUUGAUAGGACAGGCAGAACCGGUAUUGUGGAGUAAGUCAUGCGAUGCUCUGAUUUACUUUAUCAAUGUUCCUUAUACAUGAAUGAAGAGUCUUUUAUGCUAUAUAUGAUCUUGUAGAUAACUAGAGUAGAUUAUGACUUAGUAGUUAGUAGAUAACUUAGAAUCCAUUCUCUAGCUAAUCCGACAUCACCUACAUAUAUGAGGAGUAGUCUAUUUUUUUCUAAUCGCUGUGUCAUCUACCCAUGAACUUAUAUUUUAUUAUCAUUAUCUUUAUGGUUUACCCCCUACUAAAGUAAGUGACUGUGUGACGAGUUUCUCAUUAGUAAUCAUGUUCUUGCAAGUUUAUCUCUAGUCUAUGCCUUGAUAGAUUUUGCCCCCUUGAUUUAAUUUCAUCUUAGAUCCCUUGAGCAAAAUUAUAAAUAACGAUACCUAGAAUACUUAUCCUGGUGAAAUGCUACAAUGAUGUGUUUUAUCUGUGCGCUUGCGGAUAGAAUAGAUUAUUUUCUAGAGAGCCUUUACAUUUAUAAAUACCUUUGUACACUCUGGCACCAUGCUGGGGAUGACAACCUAGUAUCUAAGUGGUGUUAGCUAGUGUCAACAAGCAUUUCUGGUGCCGUUGCCGGGGACUUAUACGAAUCUCAUAAGAAAGUCAUAAAAGGGUAAUAUAUAGGAACGGUAAGGGAAGCCAGAAAAUCAAUCAAGGAUUAUUCACAUAAAACAUUAGACUAGACUAUAGAGAAAUAAUUGCAUAAAACAGCUACUAAGUGAGAAAUCAUAACAAGGCACCUCUGCUUUGGCAGGUUCACCCUGUUGUUUUUCUAUGUUUAUAUUUUUAUACAGGGUAUAACAGGAUUGACUUUGGGUACAUUCAACUCUCCAUCAUCAGAACCAAAGCAAUCAAGAGAAGAAGAAGCUAGCUACCAAUUGCUGAAGCUAUGGCACACAAGACCUUGCAAGAAUUCUCUACUCCAAGCCUUGAGAACAUUCCAACUGGUCCAAGAUUUGCAGUAGAAGAAGGAAUACCUGAGUUUGAGCUCAAGUCAAGCCUCAUCAAUUUGGUGCAAGCUACACAAUUCAGUGGAAAGGCACAUGAAGAUGCCAGUGCACACUUGCAGAAUUUCUUAGAGAUUGGAAGCACAAUCCACAUCAACGGAGUUGACAAAGACGUCAUACUGCUUCGCCUUUUUCCAUUCUCACUAGAAGGGAAGGCGAGGAAGUGGUUCUACACUCAUCAAGAUAACAUCAACAACUGGACGAACUUGUCAGAUGCCUUUCUAUCAAACUUUUUCCCUAUAGGCAAAACAACUGCCUUAAGAGGAAAUAUUGUCAGUUUCCAACAACAAAAGAUAGAAGCCAUUUCAGAAGAAUGGGAGCGUUUUCAAGGAUACACAUCAGAUUGUCCUCACCAUGGAAUGGCCACAUGGUUACUUAUGCAGACCUUCUACCAUGGAUUAACCCAGAAGGCUCGUGAGUGCCUAGAUGCAUCUGCUAAAGGAUCAUUCUUGGAGCUUACAACUGGAAAAGCAUAAAUACUUUUGGAUAAGAUAGCAGAAAACCAAAGCUGGUUCCAAGAUAAAGCUCAACAAUGUCAUCAAACUGAAGAAAUACUAGAAGAAGUAAAUGCAUUAUCAACUAAGAUGGAAAAUUUGCUCCAUGGGAUUGACCAGAGGGCCAAGUUCAAAGAAGAUCAAAGGGCCAUUGAGACAGCAUACAAAUAUCAACCAACUUCAAGUCAACCCAAUAGCAAAGGUAUGAAUUCAGGUAAUACUUUUAAGCAACUUUCAUUAAAAGAGAUAAUUGCUCAACAAACCAAAAUUAAUGAUGAAGUUAAACAAAGGCUAGAUACAAAUGAAUCAUCUCUAAAAGAUAUACACAAUAAAAUGGAUUUUCUACUAACUGCCUUUGAUGAGCAAAACACUCUUAAUAAAAGGGUAGAGCUUAAAUUAAUAAAAAUAGUUGCUGCACUGCCUGUUGCUACUAACCUUGAGCAAGUAAAGAAUAUAACUACUAGAGGAGGCAAAGCUACCAGAGAUCCCCCAUACCCAAAAGAGAAACAAAGAACAUCAGCACCAGUGCAACCAGCAGUGAUAGAAGAAGAAAGCCCAGUUGAAGCAGAAGAUCUUCUACAACCACCAAGAACUGGAGAAAUGAGGAAAGAUUUUUACGACACCAACUAUUUGCCAUUUCCCAGAAGAAACAGAGGACUGCAGUCGGAUGAGCAGUUUGGUAAGUUUGUAGAGGUCAUUCAGAAAUUAUAUGUCAACAUACCUCUGCUUGAUGCCAUACAGGUACCUACAUAUGCAAAGUACAUCAGAGAUAUUCUUAACAAGAAGAGACCACUGCCCGCCACUGAGGUUAUCAAGCUGACAGAAGAAUGUAGUGCGGCCAUCCUCAAUAAGCCACCAAAGAAGAAGGAAGAUCCCGGAUGUCCCACUAUUGAUUGCUCGAUCGGAAACCAACACUUCAACAAUGCACUUUGUGAUCUCGGAGCAAGUGUCAGUGUGAUGCCAGCAUCAGUCUACAAAAAGCUUGAUCAUGCAACCUUAGAACCAACAUCAAUGUGUCUGCAACUAGCGGAUCAAUCGGUUCGACACCCGUUGGGCAUCACCGAGAACAUUCCAGUCAAGAUCAGAGAUUUCCUUGUGCCAGUAGAUUUCGUAGUACUGGACAUGAGUCCUGACUCAAAAGUGUCCAUCAUCCUUGGAAGGCCAUUUCUGAGUACUGCCAAUGCCCACAUUGAUGUCGGAAAAGGAGAAAUCAAGUUCAACAUAAACGGUCAAGAAGAACACUUCACAUUCAAGCCCAGACCAGAUAGAGACUCUACAGUAAAGGAAGUUCAUGAAGAACCACUGGAGACACCAUCUCCGGAGGAAGGUAACUCAGAAGAUUAAAAGAUUUGGAGGUCCAGCUUGGGGGACCUAAAAAUCCCGAACCCUCACCGGGAGGUAAAUCGGUAUUUAUCUGCAUUAUUAAUUUUCUCAUAUUUAAAUUCUUGCAUAAUUAAUUCUUGCAUUAGUUAUAUAUUCAUAGCAUAAUUAUAAUAAUCAAAAAGCCCCAUAUAAAUAAUAUUCGUGGCGUGUAACAACCCAUAUUUAUUAAUUAUUGUGGAGGCACAAAAAUAUUUUCCAUUAUCAUUUUAAUUAAGUUUCAAUUUUCAUAGAUUUUUCCUGCAUUAUAUUUAAUCAUAUUAACCUUCUAGAAGCAUGACCCACACUUCUUGGGUCCCACAUGUCAUACACUUCACCUCACAUACAUCCCAUCACAUAAUUUCAUCCACCAACAUAUCUCCACUAACAACAUCUUUUCACCAUCCAACCACCACCAACACAAUAUUAUUCUGCGUGAGAUCAAAGCAAGGAAGCAAGUAGAGGAGGCACACCCAGGAUGGACACCAAGAGUGGGCGCCCGCCCACCUACCAAGGGCGCCCGCCCUGCUCCCUCUUCCUCCUAUAAAUAGCCACCCUCUACCUCCAUCCUCUCCACACAAGCACUCUAGAAAACCAUACAAGUUUCAGUUUCCUGAGAAGGAACUCUUGUAGUGAAGAGAAGAAAGUAGAGAGAAAGAGGAGAGUGGAAGGGAAGGUUGGAGAUCUUUUGAGAGAGUGUUUAUCACCUAGCAAGUAGUGAUCCCGCUGUCCAAGCGGAAGUAAAAGUUGUUUAGGGAGGCUCUACUAAAAUAGAAAUUUCUUGAACGAUUAACCCCUGGACUACUGACAUUCCGGACUGCUGACCACUAACAUUUUCUCUCACAUCUUCCACUAGUUGUGUUUUUGCCAACUUUUGUUUGCAGGAUGUUUAAGAAGAUGAAGAAUGCAGGGAAGGCUCUCAAGAACAUUGGAACAAGGAGUUCAGCCCGACACUCCUCACAGCCAUCAGAGAUGAGCGUCGACCCGACACCCACACAAGCUCCAUCAUCUUCAUCAGGUCAGCAAGUCAAGGUCCUUCUCAAGAUAGGAGACCUUGGACUAAAGACCCGAAGAGAGAAGGAAGUCUAUCAGCAAUUGAAGAACAAAGAUUUCAUUCAUACCCCUACUAUCGAUCCAAUCCUACUACAAGAAACAGGUAUAGACACUGAAUUUGACUUAAUUUUUCAGAUGAUGGGUUGGACAAAUUUUUGGAAUAUAACUGAGCUGGGUUCUCGUCUUCUCACCCUCGAAUUUCUUUGCACUUUACAAUACUAUGAGGGGGGAAUUGUUUUUCGGAUAUUCAAACAAGAAAUUAUGUUGUCUUGGAGAGAGCUAAGUGACCAUCUUGGUAUCUCUUCAAGAUGCAUCCUAAACAUUGACUCCGAUUUACCCAACUUUGAGAGACACCAGUUUUGGAGAGAAAUAUUUAGAGAUAAUUUUUAUAGUCAAGCCCGAACCAGUGACAUGGAACACCCCACUCUUAGGAUGUUCCACAAAUGGCUUGGGUACAAUCUUUUCUAUCGCGAUGAUAUUAGGAAAGUAAGAGUAGGAGAUUUACAACUUUUAUAUGCUGCUAUUAGUAAAGUACCUACUUCACCUGUUACACUAUUAGUUUCUCAUUGGCUUAGUAUACGUAGUCUUCAGGGACCAGUAGGAUGUACUUCACUUAUCACUCGUCUAGCCUCUAAUCUUCACUUACUAGAAAAUUCAUCGUUGGACUUCAUAGAAGAAUUAAGAAUUUAUCAUGGUUAUGACACAUUUAGACAAGCUCGGAUGUUAAAGAAAGAGGGGAAUAUAAUGUAUAUGCUAUAUGAUGAUAAAGGCAAGAUUCGGUUACCUAACCCGAACCUUGGCCUCUACGUUGUUCAAAACUUUUUGAUUGAGAUUGCAGCAACACCAGUGAACCAGAGAACUCCACAGCGAGUGGCAUCUGAAAGGAUAACCACUCACCGAGAACGCACCUGGUAUGGAGCUGAUCCCGGACCAAAAGAAGCAGCACACCUGCAUUAUUGCGAUUACAACCCUCGAGUCCUUCGAGACCCAUGGGCUCGACAUGCGCAACCACAAGAGCCAACAGAGGAGACAUGGCCGGAGAGCCAAGAUCACUAGUGGACAAACCCGCCUUUUCAUACGGGCAGGUACUCCACUGAUCCAUAUGGAACUUUAGGAUCCAGACCUCCGCCCCAAUUUGAUGCAGGACGAUACUCCGACGCCUCCUACGCUUUCACGAAUGACUACUAUCAAGAGGCCGGUGCUUUCUUCACUCGUACCGACAACCCCCUCCUCGACAUCCAGAACACGCAAGCAGAACAUGGAAGACUCCUGGAACAGCAACAAAAAUGGAACCAGGACCAUGCCGCUGCAGUGCAAGAGCUGAGACAAGAUACAACAACAAUGAACGACAACAUCACAACCAUGAUGCGGUUCUGGAACAUCAGGUAAGACCGACGUCAACAUCCAGCUUGGGGGAGUUCCUCCCCAAUUUAUCAAGUAAGUUUUUAUUUGCUCUUCUUAUUUAUUCUAUUCUGUCUUAGUAUUUAAUUUAUCUUAAAAAGGAAAAACUUAGAAAACCAAAUAAAUAUUUUCUUGCUUUAAUGUUACUGCAUUCUAUAAACAUGAAAACAAAAUAAAAAGAGUGUGUAGAUAAGUGUGCUUUAUUUAUCUGCUAAGUCUUAAUCUCUAAAAAAAUAAAAGACCAAAAAGAUACAUGAUGGAAAUGAUGAACAGUCUGUUUGCUUACCUACAAGUACCUAGCUUUUAUAUUAGAGUUCUUCCAGGAAUUACUAAAACUAAAAUUACUAUCUUUGGGAAGCAUAAAACUAAAGUCUAGGUAAGAGAAAGGCAUGAUAUAAAGUUGAGCUACUGUUUAUCUUGUUCCUACUACACUAAGUUCUAGAGAUUUAUUUUGAAAACUUACAAGUCACAUGAUGAGUUCCUAGCAUAACAAACUACCUACCACAGCCAUACUUGCUAUAACAUCUUUUACUAUAUUUACAUUGAGUUUGAUCGAGCUGUGUAGACCCUUAGGAGCUUUUCAUGUGGUUAAAUUAAGAUAUUCACUUGCACACAUCUACCACAGCAUUCAUUACCAAUCAUUAAAAUUGCUAAAAAUAUUAUCACUCACUGUCCCGAAUAUUGUUAUUCUCUCUCUCUCAAAAGAUUCAAUGCAGAAGAGACAUAGGUUAUGCAAAAAUAUGCGAGGAAAUAAAAAGGGGCAAGUGCCCGGAACCUCGAAAAAGAAAGAAAAAGAGUGAGACGAGAGGUAAAAAUGGACAAGUGUCCGAAGUAGAAUUAGGGGUACAAAAAUGCCCACUUGAGCGAAAAAAUGGACAAGUGUCCGACAGUAGAAUUAGGGGUAUCUACUACCCACCUGAAAAAAAAAACAACAGAAGAAAAAGAGAUAGCCCAUGUUCUCCCAAAGUAAAGAUCAAAGAAGAGGAGAGAUAGCAAUAUGAGGAGCAAUGAGAACUAAGUUUUAUUAUCACUUAUCAUCACUAUCAUUACUCCAUCACACAUGCACAUCUUAAUUUAAUUAUAUGCUGAGUUCCUUUGGAUCCAUGGCUUGAUUAGACAACAUAUGUAUGAGCUGUUUUUCACUCCUAUGAGCUCCACUUAAAUAUUCCCUUAGCUAUAGGUAAGUGACACUAUGGUAAGGAUCCACAAAUACCACAUAUAGAGAGACUUGAGAGAAUCAUUGCUGGGAACUCUGAGUUUUAUUUUUGAAAACUUAUGAAAAACUCUGGAACAAAGGUGAAGUAUAAACAGGAGGGAUAGUGCUUGACUUAACUAUUUUGUCUUUUGAUUACUUAAGAUUUAAGUGCAGGUACUAAACUCCAUAACACUUCACUCUAAUCUGGAAGAAUUUUUAUGCAAAAGCAUGUGUGUCUGUCAGGAAAGAAAACAUCGAAGCAACUUCUGAUUCGUCUAAGUUUAGCUUUUUGCUCAGGACGAGCAAAGGGUAAGCUUGGGGGAGUUUGUUGACGGUCCUUAAGUACUAAAAUUAAUAAUCAAAUAAACAUGAAAAAGGAUCGAUAUGAAACAAACAUCUAGAAUUAGGGUUUUAUCUGACAGAAUUCCACGAGCUUUGGUGUUUAUCUAUUUCUGCAGGGGGUUAUCAGAGAAUAUGGAGAGAAGGCCCACAUGUCAUGUUUACAACGAGAUAAUUACAUGCUGCGCAAUUUUCCUCAACCUAGAAGAAUCCAGAAGCCACGGGAACGAACGAGAGCACGAUCGGGCUCGGGGGCAGGGCGGCCGCCCACCCCCCUUGGGCGCCCGCUGUUGACGGUCCUUAAGUAUCAAAUUUAAUUAUCAAAUAAAUAAAGAAAAGGAUCCAAAUGAAAUCAACUUCUAGACUUAGGGUUUUAUCUGACAGAAUUCCACGAGUUUCGGUGUUUGUCUAUUUCUGCAGGGGGUUAUCAGGAAAUAUGGAAGAAAGGCCCACAUGUCGGGAUUACGUAAAGAUAUUAACGUGCUGCGCAAUUAUCUUACAUCUAGAAGACUCCAGAAGCCACGAGACCGAAGCGGAGGCGAAAAGGGGCCAGAGGCAGGGCGCCCGCCCUCCUGCCCUGGGCGCCCGCCCCCUCCCUGAGUCCAAUCAGGACUCUGCUUCGUGGGAGAUCUCUACCGACCUAAAGGAUGAAUCUAAACCAUACAAUCUAUGUCGGUUUGAUCCAAUGGACCAUAUUCACUUGAAGGGACUAUAAAACCAGACCCCCUGGCCCCUGGAGGAGGGAGCCUCUCAACCCUAAUUCAUUGUUCCUCAAGGGAGAAGAAGCCUCUGAUCAAGAUUAGAGCCACCACAUCAAUUAGAUAUCUAGAUUAGCAUAGCUACAUAGGAUUAGAACUAGAAGGAGUCAAUAUUCGAUUGGUUUCCGGAUCUGUCAGGAGGAUUCUUGGUAAUUCUCUAAUUGUGCUUCUAAUUACUUUCUAAUUAUCUUUGUUCUUCAAUAUUAUGAAUAUGACUUUGUUCUAUUUCAAUAUAUUGCUUAUGACUUUGCUCUACUUGCUUAUAUUCAAGAUUAUAUUGUUCUUAGUUUAUCAUAGUUAUGUACUUGGCUUAGUUAGAUUGGAUCUAUAUACAUGCUUAGGAUCGUAUAGCGUUUAUCCAUCGGAUCCAUGGGUAAAUGAUAGAUAUUGUGUAGGCGUGGUGCUUAUAUCGUAUUUAUCUGCGAUUGUACCCAAUAUGCCAGAUCGUGGGGUGGUUCGUGAUAGUGACAGCUUCAUUGAUUCUUAUAUAGUCCCCCUCUCGUGUAUUGGGCUGGCAGAGCAACAUUAUUACAGGGGAGUGAUUGCUAUGUUUCUCAUAUUCCUUGCUAAUAUCACUAUGCAUGGGCGUAGUCUUGUCUCGCAAUGAUUGCUAAGUAUGCUUGCACUAACUAUGAUAAUGCUAGACUAUAUAGUUAAGAAUAACUUAGGGAAUAUUCUUGUAGUUCGUUCUAAUACCAUGCUAAUGACUUUCUAGAGUAUCUAAUUGAGGUGCUUAUCAUAUUUAUUAUGUGGCUAGAUCAGAUUAGUUAUCCUUGUCACUAUUAUUAUUUCAUAUAUCUUUUAUGUGACACUUAUCCCUGUAUGAAGAGUUAGAUAUGAUGUUCUCAAUUAUACAUGCAAUGAUAGAUGCUCAAUCUCAUAUUCUAUUCUGUAAUCAAUAGUGAUGAUUGCUAAUCCCUUCCCAGUGGUAAAAAUAUAAAUAACGAUACCUGGAAUACUUCCCGAUUAAAAUGCUACAUCGGUAUUAAUCUGUGCGCUUGCAGAUCCCAUUCAUUAUUUAUUUAGAAGAGCAAUUGCAUAUUUCAAUACCGCGUCUCUCAUGUCAUGCUGGGGAUGACAACUUGGCUUAAGUGGUGUGAGAGAUAGAUUUGGCAUUUUUGGCACCGUUACUAGAUUUAGAGAACUUAGUCUACUUUUGGUAAUGAUGUUAAGAAUACCCAACACCAGCCCAGGGAUGGAACCCAAUCAGGACUCUGCUUCGGGACUACGCUCCACCGACCUAAAGGAUCAAUCUAAACCAUACAAUCUAUGUCGGUUUGAUCCAAUGGCUCACGUUCACUUGAGGGGACUAUAAAACCAGACCCCCUGGCCCCUGGAGGAGAGAGGAGAAAUCAUUAUUCAGAGGUAGCCAUCAAAGUUAGGGUUUAGAGCUUCUCUCCCACAGAGAAUUACAAUUAGCUACUCCCUAAUUCUUCAAGUUUAGAGGUUUGAUUAGAUAGCAAUUAGAGAAGUAGAGCACUACGCUCUGGAUUCGGAUCUUUGGUAAUAAAGAUUGGUAUUAUUCAUAUCUUUCUCUAAUUCUUUGUUCUAAUUGCAUUAUGUCUCUAAUUAUUAUGUUCUUAGUUUGCUCUAGUUCUAUAUUUGAUAUAGUUCUAAUUGAUAAUGAGUUUAUGUAUAAGUUUGCAAAGCGCUUAGCUCUUGACGCGAGGGAGUUAGGUGAUAGAUCACAUGUGAGCGUGGUGCUUAGAUGUUAUUUAUCUGCAAAUGUAUCCUAUUGGCCGGGUCGUGUGGUAGUUCGCGAUAGUGACAGCUUCGUUGAUUCUUAUAUAGUCCACCCUCUGUUGAAAGGACAGGCAGAACCGGUAUUGUGGAGUAAGUCAUGCGAUGCUCUGAUUUACUUUAUCAAUGUUCCUUAUACAUGAAUGAAGAGUCUUUUAUGCUAUAUAUGAUCUUGUAGAUAACUAGAGUAGAUUAUGACUUAGUAGUUAGUAGAUAACUUAGAAUCCAUUCUCUAGCUAAUCCGACAUCACCUACAUAUAUGAGGAGUAGUCUAUUUUCUAAUCGCUGUGUCAUCUACCCAUGAACUUAUAUUUUAUUAUCAUUAUCUUUAUGGUUUACCCCCUGCUAAAGUAAGUGACUGUGUGACGAGUUUCUCAUUAGUAAUCAUGUUCUUGCAAGUUUAUCUCUAGUCUAUGCCUUGAUAGAUUUUGCCCCCUUGAUUUAAUUUCAUCUUAGAUCCCUCGAGCAAAAUUAUAAAUAACGAUACCUGGAAUACUUAUCCUGGUGAAAUGCUACAAUGAGGUGUUUUAUCUGUGCGCUUGCGGAUAGAAUAGAUUAUUUUCUAGAGAGCCUUUACAUUUAUAAAUACCUUUGUACACUCUGGUACCAUGCUGGGGAUGACAACCUAGUAUCUAAGUGGUGUUAGCUAGUGUCAACAGUUAGUUCUAGUUGUAAUCUAGAAAAUAGGGAGAGAGAAGAGGAGAGCGGAGGAGGAGCCGGAUCUGUCGGAUCUUCCUCAACAUUAUAUUUUUGCAGCCACUAGUUCGUUCUUCAUCGUUCUCCAAGUUCUUCAAUUCAUAAUUCCUGAGUUCUUCCAUUCAUAAUUCCUGAGUUCUCCAAGUUCUUUAGUUCUUCACCGUAGUCAGAGCUUCCUAGCCCCCUUCUCAUCUCUUUCUGUGGUUAGUGUUCUGAUGUCCUAAAAUAAAUAAUCUUUGAAGUAAUUCUUGAUUCUUAGAUCAACUAGAGAACUCUCAGGAAACUUCCUCUCUUCCCACCAAAAAUAAUUAUAUAGUUAUCCUUGGGCGAUCUUGAAUCUUAAUUAGUACACUCACGUUUCCCGUGGAAAAUCGAUACUGUGGAAUAUUCCUGGGUGAAAGCUACAUCGGUAUCCGUGCGCUUGCGGAUUUUUCUGUUUGCGUUUAAAAUAACUGAUUUGCUUAUGCAAAAGUAGUGAAUUGCUUAAAAGUUAGGAUAAGAUCUGCUUUAUGUAGUAGGAUUUGGAUGGUUCUAUUAUACAAAAGUAGUGAAUUGCUCAUUAGGUAAUUUAAGAGAACAAAAUUGUUUCUAGUAACAGAUCUGGCUAGUUCUAUUUUGGGAUUAUUUGUUGAAAGUAGUGACAGAAGAAGAAGAAGCUGAUAGUACCAAGUUCUUACAUAAUCGCACGUACCUGCUUGUUUUGGAUGUAUUAGUUUGCCUUUGUUUUGGAUAAAUCUGCCAGCUACCUAGAUGGUGGCGGUGGUGCCAUGGACGUCUUUGUUUUGCGGGUUGAAAGGGAAAAGCAAAACAGGAAAGAGGGGAAGAAGCUUCCAGGCGAGGAAGGUGGGCGUGGGCCUGGCCUUCUGGUGGGCAUUGUCUAGGCGAGUCGUGAGUGUGGAUGUGAUUCGCGCCCGCGUAGAAACAGAAAGGUUAUAUUAGUUUUUUCUAAUAUGGAGUGUGCGUGCGGCCUACUUAGUGCAUGCACGACCGUACAUUAGCCGCUUCCUAUCGUUUUAGAGAAACAAAUAGGUCCGCUCAAAGAAAAAACUUUAAAAAAACUUAUGUUGUUUAGUAUCAUCCAUGUAUGCAUGGCAUGGUUGUCACCAUAAGGGGCUGCAUGGCUGACUCUAUGAACCACCUUAUGUAUGGAUCGAUCAACGACUAUAAAUUAAAUUAGCAAACAAAUGUAGCCUCUCUAUACCGAGCAUCUCCAACAAUUUAGCAAAACUUAUUUCUCAAAUCUUAUUAUUUAUCAACUCCUAAAAUAAUAUGAAGAGGGAAAAAAGAUUCCAUCUCUAAUAAUUUGGCAAAAUUUGUUUUGAAAAAACCAAAACCCGCUAACGAAACAAAGAGCCCCACUGAGCAUGAGGAGAAAGACCAAUGCCAAGCGCGGAGUCCGCACACAUAUUUACGCGCUAGACCGGGAGAUAUGUCAAGUUAGAAAAGAUGGUGAGUUGAGAUGCAAAACUGUUGGUUUGCUAAAAAAAUUAUAGAUGAGAAAUCAUUUGCCAAACCGUUGGAGAUGCUCCCAUAUCAAAUACUUUGGAAUGAUGGAAUGCAAAAUACCAAAAUUUUUAUAGUUAUAUCUAGUUCCAUCCAAAAUACAAAAUUUAUUGGCCUUAUGAAGGCCUGUUGAGGCUCUUUUGGGUUUUUUGCCUAAGAAUAGUCACCUUUUUACCAAAAAUUUUGCAUAAUGUUUAAUUCUAUUAUAUAAAAUAAUAGAUCAAAACCCAAAAUUUUUGAAAUAAAAGAGAAACUAAACACCCCCUUACUAAAUUAUUUAUGAAAUUACUUAUGAUCCCGGACAAUGCAUUAUUCCAUUCUACCCCAAAAAAUAUCAGUGCUCUCACUACAUCUAUUUGCGAUUUCUAAAUAUUCCACACCUCCCGCUGCAGCUAUUUUCAGAUUUCAGAUAUGAGUAAUCUCACUAUAUCUGUUAGGGGGUGUUUACUUAGAGGUGUUAAAGUUAAUACUGUAACUUUUUCAUUUUAUUUUACAGUUAAAAUCAUAGACUAAUUAGAUUUAAAAAAUUCGUCUCUAGUCAUGUUUUUCGUUUUAUAAAUAGUUUAUAAUUAGUACUCCAUGCAUGUGUUCAAACAUUUGAUGUGAUGAGAGUUAAAGUUUAUCGGUACAAACUAAACAGGGCCUUAGAUCUUGUUUAGUUGGUGAAAAUUUUUGGAUUUGUCUACUGUAGCACUUUCGUUUGUAUUUAACUAUUAUUGUUCAAUUAUAGAUUAAUUAGGCUUAAAAGAUUCGUCUCGCAAAUUAUAGAAAAAUUGUGUAAUUAAUUAUUUUUUAUCUACAUUUAAUGUAACAUGCAUUUGCUAUAAAAUUCGAUGCGACGGAAAAUUUUAAAAAAAAUUAAAUUCUACGGUGAACUAAACAAAGCCUUACAUGAAACAUUUCCAUUCAUCACAGUCCAGGAAACAAAGUCUGUCCAUCAAUUGAGCCAGUUCGCUUCUCUUUUCAACUAUGCUUUUCCUACCAUCGAAACAACUGCAUCCCACGAGUAGUACAUGACUAACGUCGGUUAUGCAUGACAGGUGGGCCCUGGACCCUCCCCCCACGUCUUAGGCUAUCUCCAACGGGACAUCUAUUUGGAAACCCAAACCCAAAAUGGGUCUCCAACACAAUACUUAGAGCAUAUCCAACAGAGUAUCUAAAUCAUUUUGUAAAUGUAAAUUUGGCUAAUAUGAGGAAAAAACAGCUCCCAACAGAUUGUCUAGAUGAGUCUUCAAAUUGGAUAACACUCCUUCCCGGAUUUUUCGGUAUCCAAAGAUGGAUAUCAUGCGCCGCUCGCUAUUCGGCUUCCGCGCGCGCCAGCGAAGCCUUCCCGCGCGCCAGACACCUCCUUCCCGCGCGCGAGAUGCCUCCUUCCCGCGCACAAUCGACCUGUUGACACCAUUUUUGGGCACGUGUCCAGGAUGGCAGGACAGGGUGGCAGUACGAUGCGGGUUGCUGGUAAGGAUGGUUGCCGAUGAGGGAAAGGUUGAAUGUGACUAAGUCCUCAGGCAGUAAUAUGGUGCCGAUGACCAAGUAAAAGGGUCUGCCGAUGACUAUGGCAAGGGGAUUGCCGAUGACGCGAAGGAGGAGUCCGGAAGCUGCCAGUUGUCAUGUGGAGGAGUUUCGGUUUGUCACGAAGGAUGGUUUUAUUAUUUCCUUAUGUUAUUCGCAUCGUUUUGUAUACGGGUUCCGUGUAAUUUGGAAUUCGAAUUCUAAUCGUGUCUGGUCGUAGCUCUUUGAGCAGGGUAUAAAUAUAAGCCCUAGGACCUUGUAAUCAGGAUAUCUAUCAAGAAAUCAAUCAAACAUAUGUUUUUACUCAUAUUCCAGCAUCUACUUUUCGACGACUUCGUCAUACUUUUUUCUUAUUAUUACGAGUUCUUAGGAAUUCGUCGACUUAAGCUCGGCGUGUUCUCGAGUUCCGCGUGAGUACCUCUUAGCCGUGACAUCCGGGCGCAUCGCUGUUGUCAGGACUAAAGUAUUCGAGUUAUCACCUUUGCCGAUAGCAAGGUCAAAUCGGCUGGCACGCCUUAACGUUUGAAUCGGGUAUUAGCCCUUUGUGUUUGCAGAUCAAUUUUGCAUCAACACAUCUUUUGGCACACCCAGUGGGACAGAUUCAAGAUCAAGAUCAACAUGUCGAUCUCUGACCUCGAUCAAGACAACGUCAUCCCCAUGACGGAAGCUAACCUCAAGGAUGAGCAGAAGCAAGCUAUUGCCCAAGCUAUGGAAGAGUUCAAGCAGCAAUGCCUGAAGUCUUUCAGCAUAAACAGGAGCGGCGAAGUGGUCCAGAAAGAUGCACUGCCGGCACCACGGCAGGUCACCUUUGACGCCAAUCCUGGCAAGCUUCAAGACAUGGUUGAUAAUGCCAUCAAUCGAGCGUUGAUUAACCAAGCUGGUGUACUGUCUAAUACGGUUUUCAACGCCGUGGCAAGAACCUUCAAGGAAGGACAAAUCCCGCCGGAUUAUGUGGGCCCUUCCCAUCAUCAACCCACGGCACCAGAGGUCACGGCUCCAUCGGCUGCCUUGACAAGUGCGAGUGCACAGUCUGCCGUUCCUCCGAGUACAUUGGGGACUACUGGUGCACUAUCUAUGCCGAUGGCAACCAACCCACAAAUUUCAGUUGGGCAGCAUAAACUGACAACAGAUAUGUUGGCAUCGGCAAUGUCGGGGUUAACUCUUCCUCCUAACUGGUGGGGUUAUGGUAUGCCUCCAGAGUUGACGCCGGGAACAUCACAGAUAACUGACAUGAGGGGCAAAACUCCUAUGACAUCGGCACCUUCCAAUGUGCCGGUGAACCAGAGUCCUCGGUAUACCACAACUACUACUGCAAGGCCUCACACUGGGAAUCCUCAAGAUUCAAUGUUCCAGAUGCCUAACGCAUCGGCAGAGUCAAUGCUGAUGCAACAGAGGCCUAUGGCCCAGUCAGGGUAUGUCAAUUCAACGACGGUACCCAAUUACCAAUCAUCGGCAGCACCUAUGCCGAUGAACGCUAAUAAUGGAUGGCUUGGACAGCAAGCCUUUCCACAGUCGCCCCAGCAGGGUUAUCAGACUACUGGGUUCCAGCAAGGGCAGGUUUAUCCCGGGUUCCAAGGUCAGGGAAUUCCCAACCAGCCAAUAAAUUUUGGACAGCAACUCGGAGGACAGCCAAUCGGUGGACAGCAGUUUGGUAGUCCGCAGAUUGGAGGACAGGUGACCAAUACGAUGUUCCAUACAGGUCACGUCCCGAACAGACACGUGGAGGUUCGCCACCAAAUGCCAGAUCCGCAGCCGCCUCAUCGGCAAGAUGCCGACGCGUAUUGGGCCGAUAAGAUUGCCGAAGUAAUGAGGGAACAAUUUGGGAUAAAACCCAAAGUCAACACUUAUUCUUAUCGGACACCGUAUCCUCCAGCGUAUGAUUUGAUCCCGCUUCCACAUCGGUACAAAGUACCGGAUUUUACAAAGUUUUCCGGACAGGACGACACGUCAACCAUGGAGCAUGUCAACAGGUUCAUUAUUCAAUGUGGAGAGGCUGGUAACAGGGACGAAUUGAGGGUUCGCCUAUUUUUAUCAUCAUUGUCUGGAUCGGCCUUUACUUGGUUCAUAUCAUUGCCUCCCAAUUCAGUAAUUACUUGGGCCGAUCUAGAGAAGCAAUUCCACAGAUACUUCUUCUCGGGGGUUCAUGAGAAGAAGAUCACCGACUUGGUCAAGUUGAGGCAACGUAAUGAUGAGUCGGUUGAGGGAUUUGUGCAGAGGAUACGAGAGGUCAAAAAUAAAUGCUAUAGCCUGGUUCUGGAUGAUCGGCAGCUAGCCGAUUUGGCUUUCCAGGGUUUGUUGCCACACAUCAGGGAUAAGUAUGCCUCUCAGGAGUUCGAAAGUUUAAGUCACUUGGUGCAGAGGAUAUCUGAUCAAGACAUCAAGCCUUUCGAGCCUAAGAGGGCAUGGAAUAAGAAAGUCUCAUUUGUUGAUGAAGCAACAAGCUCAGAUUCCGAUGAAGAACCAGUAAUCGGUUUGGCAGAAUGGGUAAAAAACAAGAAGCCGAUGUCUUGUCCUUUUGGGCAGAAGGAACCAGAGAAGUUUGCAUUUGACACCGCCAAGGCCGAUAGGAUAUUUGACUUUCUACUUCAGGAAGGUCAAAUCAAAUUGUCACCUAACCACGUGAUCCCGUCGGCAGAAGAGUUGAAGAGGAUGAGAUAUUGCAAGUGGCAUAAUGCAACUUCACAUGACACCAACGAGUGCAAAGUAUUCAGACAACAGCUGCAAUCGGCCAUAGAGUCAGGGAGAAUCAAGUUUGACAGUUCCAAAGCCCAGAAGCCGAUGAAGAUAGACCAACAUCCUUUCCCGACAAACAUGUUGGAUGCUAAGGGGAAGGCUAAGGUCUUAACGUCGGAGACAGCUGAGAAGAGUGCAUCGGUAGAUCCUCAGCAUCAAGUUACUACCGCCGAUGCAAGAAGUAAGGGCUUGGUCCAGGAAGGAGCUAGCUCAGGAAGAAUUCCUCGAUCUGGUAUUGUCAUAACUCAUAGAAGGCCUCGAGAGAGAUGGCAACAACGGGAAGAUCGGUACCGGCGCCAGCAGGAAAAUUAUCAACGGGAAGAAGAGAGACGCCGACAGGAGUGGAAUCGGCACAGGGAUCAUUGGAAUUGCCCAUUCUUCAUCCAUUGUUGGGAGGAAAAUAUCAAGCUUCCUACUGUCAGAGACUGCCCUGAAUGCAACGGUUAUGAUCAGUACGACAGGAACGAUCGGCGUUAUCAUGAUGAUGAACGACGAUUUAAUGGGCCGAUCAGAGGAAGGGCGUCAGUUCAUGAUCGGCUGGGGGGCAGGCUUAGCGUUCACGAUCGGCUCGGUGACCGUGUCCAGUAUUUUCCCAGGAACCAAGAGGAGCUUGAAAGAAUGGCUGAUGCGCGGGUUCCCGAUGAAUUCAUAUUUUGCAGGGAUGCUAACACGCAUCGCAUGGAGUCAAGAGAGAACCAACGCCCGACGGCAAGGCAAAGGCCACUUCCUCCAUGGUGCCCUCAAGGAUUAACCAAGACACAGAAAAGGAGAUUGCAACGUGAAAGGCAGGAAGAGCUAAAUAAAGGAGAGAACUCUGGAAGUCGGCAGCCGUCAGACACUAAGAAGGAAGGUCCAUCGGCAGGCGUCAACAUGGUCUUCAUGUUGCCGAUGGAGUUUCUUGCACCAGCCAGUGAUGAUGAGUUGGAAUUUUCUGAUCAGAUAGCUCAGUUGGCUCGGGAUCCGAUGACGGCUAUCUUUGAGAAACCUGCCGAUGACGAGAGGCAGCAUCUCAAAGCUUUGUUCCUCAAAGGAAGAGUCGAUGGGCAGCCAAUGACCAAGAUCCUAGUUGAUGGUGGAGCUGCUAUUAAUAUUAUGCCGUAUGCAGUAUAUCGGAAGCUUGGAAAAGGGGAUCAAGAUUUGACCAAGACCGAUAUGAUGCUCAAAGAUUUUGAAGGAAACGUGUCUCCAGUCAAGGGGGCGAUAUGUGCAGAGUUGACCAUCGGCAGCAAAACCUUGCCGACAACUUUUUUCGUGAUCAGCGGAAAGGGUGCUUACAAUUUAUUAUUGGGGAGAGAUUGGAUUCAUGCCAAUUGUUGUGUCCCAUCUACAAUGCAUCAGUGCUUGGUUCAGUGGGUAGGUGACAAGAUUGAGAUCGUCCCAGGGGAUUCUUCUUAUGUUAUCGCAUCGGCAGAGGCGGAUACUUAUGAAAAGACUAGGUGCAUUUCAGGAGAAGUUUGGGAGAAAGAUUUUCUCAAAGUUGCCGAUUAUGAGAUUCCACCGAUCCAAGCAGUCGGUUCUGACGAUGGUUUUUAAUGGAUAGAUUCGCCGAUGAUGGAAAAUUAGGCCAGGGGUUCACAUCGGCCGAUGAUUUGGUAGAAGUAGAUAUAGGUAGUGGUGAUAAGCCUAGGCCUACUUUUAUUAGUGCUAAAUUAGAUCCUGAGUGUAAGCGACAAUUGACUAGUUUGUUAAAGGAGUAUAAAGAUUGCUUUGCUUGGGAUUAUACAGAGAUGCCUGGUUUAGACCGAUCAAUUGUCGAACAUCGGUUACCCAUCAAGUCUGGAUUUCGGCCACAUCAGCAACCAGCCCGCCGAUGUAAUCCUAACAUUCUACCUGAUAUUAAGGCCGAAAUCACUAAACUUAUUGAAGCUAAGUUUAUUCGGCAGUGUCGGUAUGCCGAAUGGAUUUCCAAUGUUGUUUCGGUUUACAAGAAGAACGGGAAGCUGCGGGUGUGCAUUGAUUUUAGGAAUCUCAAUAAAGCUACGCCGAUGGACGGAUACCCAAUGCCUGUCGCCGAUCUACUGGUUGAUGCUGCAGCUGGCCAUCGGGUCAUCAGCUUCAUGGAUGGUAAUGCAGGUUACAAUCAAAUAUUCAUGGCAGAGGAGGAUAUUCCAAAAACCGCGUUCAGGUGUCCUGGUCAUGUCGGACUAUUUGAGUGGAUAGUCAUGACUUUUGGGUUAAAGAAUGCUGGUGCUACUUAUCAAAGGGCUAUGAAUUUUAUAUUUCAUGAGUUCAUCGGCAAGAUCGUGGAAAUUUAUAUUGAUGAUGUGGUGGUUAAGUCUGGAGAUUUCUCAAAGCAUCUUGCCGAUUUACGAAAAGUGUUGGAGUGCACAAGGAAGCAUGGAUUGAAGAUGAAUCCCAACAAGUGUGCAUUUGGCGUAUCGGCAGGGCAGUUUCUUGGUUUCAUGGUACAUCAGAGGGGUAUUGAAAUUAGUCGAAGAUCUAUUGACGCCAUCAAUAAAAUAGUUGCCCCUACCAAUAGAACCGAGCUCCAAUCCUUGAUCGGCAAGGUGAAUUUUAUCAGAAGAUUUAUAUCGAAUUUAUCUGGGAGAAUUCGUGCUUUCAGUCCUCUUCUUAAAUUGAAAGCCGACCAGGAGUUUGUUUGGGGAAAAGAACAGCAGUUGGCUCUAGAUGAAAUCAAAAGGUAUCUAGUAAAUCCUCCAGUUUUAGUUCCACCUCAACAAGGGAAACCCUUCAAAUUAUAUUUAUCUACCGAUGGAUCGGUUAUCGGUUUAGCUUUAGUUCAAGAAUUUGAAGGGAAAGAGAGGGUAAUUUAUUAUUUGAGUAGGAGGUUGAUUGAUGCUGAAACCAGGUAUUCGGCCAUUGAGAAGCUGUGCUUAUGCUUAUAUUUUUCAUGUAUCAAGCUAAGACAUUACCUGUUGUCGGCUGAAUGUGCUGUUGUUUGCAAAGAUGACGUGGUCCGAUACAUGCUAUCUAUGCCGAUUAUGAGUGGUAGGAUCGGUAAAUGGAUUUUGGCGCUGUCGGAGUUCGGUUUGCGUUACGAAUCGGCUAAGGCGGUCAAAGGGCAGGUUAUGGCCGAUUUUGUGACUCAGCAUUGCGGUCUAGUGGAAACCUUGGAAAUUGCACCCUGGACGCUCUUCUUUGAUGGAUCUGCCUGUGACCGGGGAGCAGGAAUCGGCAUUAUAUUAGUUUCUCCUAAGGGGAGGAAGUAUGAGUUUUCCUUGCCGAUUGUUGCUACAUCAACAAAUAAUCAGGCUGAGUAUCAAGCUCUGAUCAAGGGAUUGGAGUUGUUAAGAGAAGUUCGUGCUGAUGCUGUUGAAGUAUUCGGAGAUUCCAUGUUGAUUAUAAAUCAAUUGGCCGGAAGCUAUGAAUGCCGAAGUGAAGUUCUCAUAACCUAUUUCGAGAGAAGUAUACAACUGUUAAAGGAAUUCAAGAACUUCCGAUUGGAGCAUGUUCCCCGAUUGCAUAAUGAAGACGCUAAUCAGUUAGCCCAGCAUGCCUCGGGAUAUCAGCCAAUGAUUAAUGCGACAUCGGCAGUCAGUGCCGGUGAUUGGAGGGAAGAAAUUAUUGAUUAUCUAAAAGAUCCAUCCAAAAAAGUUGAAAGACGGGUUCGAUUUCAAGCAACCAAGUAUGUGCUCCUUGAAAAUGAAUUGUAUUAUCGAACUAUCGACGGAAUUCUUCUCCGAUGCUUGGGUGAUGAUGAAGCCAGAAGUUUGAUGGGAGAAAUCCAUGAAGGAGUGUGUGGAGCGCAUCAGUCAGCUUUUAAGAUGAAGUGGAUGAUUCGAAGGAAUGGAUAUUUUUGGCCAACCAUACUUGAAGAUUGUUUUAAAUAUUUCAAGGGAUGUCAAGGUUGUCAAAAGUUCGGUAAUAUCCAGAGAGCACCCGCAUCGGCUAUGAAUCCUAUAAUAAAACCUUGGCCGUUCCGGGGGUGGGUCAUCGAUCUGAUCGGCCAGAUUUAUCCACCAUCUAGCAAAGGGCAUAAGUUCAUUCUAGUUGCCACUGAUUAUUUCACUAAGUGGGUCGAAGCUAUUCCUUUGAAGAAAGUCACAUCGGCCAAUAUGAUUGAUUUUGUGAAGGAGCAUAUUAUUUACCGAUUUGGGAUUCCCCAAACGAUUACUACCGAUCAGGGCACCAUGUUCACGUCGGGGGAGUUCGAUGAAUUCGCAAUCGGUAUGGGAAUUAAAGUGUUGAAUUCUUCUCCUUACUAUGCUCAAGCCAAUGGGCAGGCCGAAGCGUCUAACAAAGGAAUUAUCAAGCUUAUUAAACGAAAGAUUGAAGAAAAUCCUAGGCGGUGGCAUACAUUGUUAAAUGAAGCACUGUGGUCUUAUCGGAUGGCUUGUCAUGGAUCAACCAAGGUGUCACCUUAUCAAUUGGUGUAUGGACAUGAUGCAGUUUUGCCUUGGGAGAUUAAGGCUGGGUCUAGGCGAUUAUCUUUUCAAGAUCAAUUGGCUGCCGAUGAUUAUGCCACUUUGAUGACCGAUGAGUUAGAUGAUUUAGCAGGGCAUCGGUUAAAGGCUUUAAUGAGUAUAGAAGAAAAUAAGAAGAGAGUUGCCAGAUGGUAUGAUAAAAAAGUGAAGGCUAAGGAGUUUGCCGAUGGGGAUUUGGUAUGGAAGUUGAUUUUGCCAGUCGGGACUAAAAGUUCAAAGUUUGGGAAGUGGUCUCCUAAUUGGGAAGGUCCUUAUCGGAUAAAACACUCAGCUCCUGGUAAUGCCUAUAUUCUAGAAACUCUCGAAGGAGUUGAAUUUCCCAGAGCGUUAAAUGGCAAAUAUUUGAAGAAGUACUACCCCAGCAUAUGGAUCGACGCAUAAAAGUUUAGGUGCCGAUAACACUCCUAUCGGCUGGAUUUAAAUGUUCAAGGGCAGACUUAAUGUUUCAAAAGAUGCCGAUAACAGUCUUAUCGGCUAGACUAAAAGCUAAAAGCGGAGAAACAAAGGUGUGUUGCCGAUGAAAGCUUCAGAUGUUCAGCAGCGCUUGGAUUGCGGAUAUGGCGCGCAGCCGAAUCUGGUUGGCUGUCUCUAUCUCUUUGAUAUCGUCAUCGGCAGAACCUUCGAUCGGCUUCAGCUUCCUCUUCAGUUGCAGCGCUUUACGACCAUGGACGUUUCGUUCCUGUUCAAGAUGCUUGAUGGUCUCCGGCAGUUGACUCUCUUCUUGCUGGGCUUGGGACAGGGCGUCUUCUACUUGCUUGAGUUCAGCCAGCAGAGCUUCUCUUUUUGCCGAUAGAUCAGACACUUUCUGCUUCAGUGCAUCACCUGAGGACUUUAAGAUGCCGAUGUUCUUAUGUUUCUCAUCGGCUAAGAGUUUUUCUUUCAUCAUCUCCUCAAAGAGCUGGAUUUGAGCAGCUCUAUCGGCAAGGCGUCGAGUAGCUCUCUGGUACUGUAGCUGGCGGCUUUCUAGAUGUGCAGCGUGGAAGAGUGCUUCUUCGGCAUCGGCAGGAAUUUGGCCUCUAAGAGUCUUGAACAGGGCCUUGGCUGGGUCAGAAUCGUUGACCAGUUCAGUUGUGUCUUGAUGAAGUAUGGCCGAUAGCUCCUCCAGCUUGGCUCUGGUUUCUGCCGAUACAAUUCCAACUGCCCGAGAAGAGCUUGCUUCCUCGCCUUCUUCUUCGAAGAUAUCAAUAGCGAAGGAGAACAAGCUGUUGGGAGAAUCUUGUUCCUGAAAAUGAAAAUGAAAUAGGUCAAUUUUAUGGUCAAAACUUCGGCAGACGAUACCGAUGGAAAAGUGGAUGACUUACUUGCUUCAAGGCGAUUUCUUGCCUUUGACUCAGAGAGGCCGAUGGAGCUGCAGGUUGAUCGGCAAAUGUUGCCGAUAGAACGAUAUCGCCUGAAAGAAGACAGGAAGGAUUAUAAGAAUAAAUGAAAAUAAGUUUAUCGGUAGGAGUAUUGUUGGGAUAUGUUACCCGGAGGAGGAACAACAGUUGUUUGAAUUGAGGAGACCGCCGAUGAUAUAACUGGACCUGCCGGGCCAGUUGUUUGUUCACCUACGUCAGCUGAUGUACCUGCCGUUUGAGGUUCUUCUUGCUGAGGUUCUUCCAUCUGUGGUGCUUCCUGUAUUGAUUGAGGAGAUGGUGCUUGCUGUGCCUGGACUUCUGGAGGAGAAGGGGAAGAUUCCACCGGGAUUGGGGACACCGGAGGAAGAGGAGGAGUUGCCACUUUCUGACGCUUUGUUCCAGUCUUAGCACCUUGGACGCCUUUCCUCUUUGGCUGGCUAGACUGGGGGGCAUCGGCACCUUGGCGUUUGGCUUUUGCCGAUGCACCAGUUUGCUGCAACAACGAUAAGGAGUUUAUGAGCACAGAUAACCGAUAUAAAGAUAGUCAGCAUAAAUAAAAAAGGGUUUUAACAGAUUGCCUUGAAAGCUUGCGCCAGAGUGGAAGCAGUUACCGUUGGUGAUGUCUGAGUUUUCCUGGUGGUAACUUUCUUGAGACGCGCACCCCGGUGCACGAUGGAAGCCAGAGUGGGAGCAUUGUGGCCGAUUGAGGAGAUCGGGCCUGAUGGGAAUAAGUCGAUCGGCUUGCCACUCCUGCUAACCGAUGGGGGGGUGUUGUCAAUCUGCAAAAGGAAUACAGGGGUGAGUUACCGAUGGGAAUAGUAUUGGAAAAUGAGACAUCGGUUUAAAAUACUUACAGUGUCAUCAGGGACUUCGUAUUCGGGGUCGAUCAUGCCGCGGUAUGAGAGGGCCGAUCUGCAGAAUAGAUUCUCCUUCCAUUCUGCCCACCAUAGCUUGUAUGCUUGAGUGAUAAAGGCAGCUGGAACCCAUUCUGACAGAUCUACAUCUAUAUCGGCAUUUGGUGGUAGCUGGGCUACUCGAGUCCACUCGAGGAGGUUAGCGAUGGGUUCUCUGGGCUUUAUUACAUCAGCAUAAGGAAGUGCGAUCGGCAAUUGGCCGAAAGCUAGCUGGCGAGCUAAUGCCGAUGGAUUAUAAAAUUCAUAGGUUUGGGGAGAGGUUUUCGUGCUGCCGAAGAAAUUCACUGGUAUGGCUCUGGGAGUCACGAUUGCCAUCAUCACCUCAUUGUCCCUAUCAAGGGCUUCGUCAAACGGAUUGAAGGUCAGAGGGAGCAUGCUAUCUGGGUCGUCAUAAGCCAGCCAUGGUCGUUCAUCUCUGGCCAGACCCUCAUACAGCGUCUCGAAGAAUCGGCCGAUCUGAUCCGGAGUGUUCCCUGAACCGGGUAAAACUAUAACAGCUUCGCCAAAGUUCAGGGGGGCACGUGUUGCCGAUUCCUCUUCACCCAACACAUGGUUCUCGGCUAUAUCUCUUGGGAAGUGCUGAGAGAACAAGUUGAGAUCGAGGCGCUUGUGCAGGUGCAGAUUGAGCCACAUAUUAAUAAACCACCAAGGACCUCCCAAGUUGCUGAUAGGUUGGCCGAGCAGGAGUUUCUGGACUACCUGAUGAAGAAGGUGAUAAACAGCGCCGAGCAAAUAACGACCGAGAGGAAAUUGACCACCGCUAGCCAGUCUUUCUGCUGCCGAUAGAUAGACAGAAGUCGGUCCUGCCGAUCGACCACAGAAUACAAACUUGUCUAGCCACAUGUUCAGAAAGGUGGUUUGCUCCUUUAUGGUGACAGGCCCUCUCCCGCGGUACUUCUGGAUGUACCCUGACCAGCCGCCGAUAGCGCGAGUCUCCACUUUGGCACUGGGGGCGGUAUCAAAAAAGUGGGUGCUAUCGGCAGAAGAUAUGUCUAACCCAGUAAGCAUGGCUACAUCGGCAAGGGUAGGAGAAGCAGGGCCGUGGCCAAAAACAAAAGCGUUGAGAGUGUCUGACCAAAAGUAAGAUGCAGCUAUCAGCAAUGACUCGUUCCUGUGCAUAUCGGCAAUGGACAGCCUAAUGCAUUGAGCUAAUUUUCUCUCACCCCAUUGAACUUCAUAAGAGUUGCUGACCCUCAAGAACCAGUCUUUCCACCCUACAGUAGGGCUGGGCCAAGAGCGAAAGGUGUCCUUCCAUAGAUCUAGAGCAAAGUUUUCAGCUCUAAAGGGAAUCCUGUUGGUUUCUGCGUUGAUAAGGUCGGUUGGGUCUGGAUCCCCUAGAGGGCCGAGGCAUUGAAGAUGUGGUUGAUCGGUAGGAAUGACAAUUUUGUUGGAUAACUCCUAGUGUUUUGGGGAAUAAAGAUACAAAGAAAAAGGAGAAGGAAAAUAUUCGGUAAGGUAAAUCGCAGAUGAACAGGAAUGCAGGAAAAAGGUACAGCAGAUGAGAUGGAAGUCUGACCUCAGGGACGACGAAGCCAACGGCCAUCUUGUCGUGAAGGGGACGCUGGAAGACGCCGGAGUUGAUGAAGAAGAAUGCUUGUCGGAGAUCUUGAGGAUUGAGAAUGGCGCCGCCGCUGGAAAAGUGAAGUUGGAUGGCAGAAUGAUGUAAUGGGGGAGGAGUACCCAAGAAGGAACUAUUUAUAGGGCAAGAUGGACAAGGGCAAAUCUGACUUAUUUCUUUGCCGCAUCCGAGAAACCCGAGGGUACUCAAGUGGAUAUGGUAACUGUUCGCACGAUAAUCCAGGGAUUGUGCAGGUGAUUUGACAGGAAGCGGUCAUUAUCUAAAGAUAUUUUACUGUGCGCAAUCUCCUGGUCGGUCCAUCGGUGAUAUUCUAUAACGGUCGUCCUGCCGAUGGGCGGAUAGAGGGGAAGUAACCGUUUUUUGCGAAUCUCCUGGGCAGAGCAUCGGCAGAUCUUUGUAACGGUAUUGUUGCCGAUGUACGACUAAGAGAGAUGCCCGUUUAGGAAGUUGGAGAUUUCGAGGGAUCUGCGGAGGAUUAGGAUCAGAGGUGUCCAGGUUGAGGUUGAUGGUUACCAGAUUAGGAGCAUUAAUUGCGGAGGAGACAUCAUUACUGCAGAGAGUUUCGGAGCAUUAAUAGUUUUAUACUCCGAAACUGGGGGGCAUGUGUUGACACCAUUUUUGGGCACGUGUCCAGGAUGGCAGGACAGGGUGGCAGUACGAUGCGGGUUGCUGGUAAGGAUGGUUGCCGAUGAGGGAAAGGUUGAAUGUGACUAAGUCCUCAGGCAGUAAUAUGGUGCCGAUGACCAAGUAAAAGGGUCUGCCGAUGACUAUGGCAAGGGGAUUGCCGAUGACGCGAAGGAGGAGUCCGGAAGCUGCCAGUUGUCAUGUGGAGGAGUUUCGGUUUGUCAUGAAGGAUGGUUUUAUUAUUUCCUUAUGUUAUUCGCAUCGUUUUGUAUACGGGUUCCGUGUAAUUUGGAAUUCGAAUUCUAAUCGUGUCUGGUCGUAGCUCUUUGAGCAGGGUAUAAAUAUAAGCCCUAGGACCUUGUAAUCAGGAUAUCUAUCAAGAAAUCAAUCAAACAUAUGUUUUUACUCAUAUUCCAGCAUCUACUUUUCGACGACUUCGUCAUACUUUUCUUAUUAUUACGAGUUCUUAGGAAUUCGUCGACUUAAGCUCGGCGUGUUCUCGAGUUCCGCGUGAGUACCUCUUAGCCGUGACAUCCGGGCGCAUCGCUGUUGUCAGGACUAAAGUAUUCGAGUUAUCACCUUUGCCGAUAGCAAGGUCAAAUCGGCUGGCACGCCUUAACGUUUGAAUCGGGUAUUAGCCCUUUGUGUUUGCAGAUCAAUUUUGCAUCAACACGACCACGCACGCAUCAGCUUCCUCCGCCACAGCAGGAGGGCGCGUUCCUAGCGGGCUUCAGCUUCCUCCGCCACGGCCUUUGCGGCGGUUCCCCAACCAAUCACCGGCUACGGCGCGAGAUGUCACUGCCGCCGCGACCUCGUGGUCUGGCACCUGUGAGCGGGGAGUACAGCAACCUGGCCGGGCGGGCAUCUUCUACGAUGGGCCAAUUUGCCGGCGGUUCCGUGCCUCAAGGAAGCCAGGAAUUUGGCCAUGUGAAUCUAGGAUGGAUGGAAAACAGAGAGGCUGGAUUGAUGCAGCGUAGAGUGAUUCCUUCCACUGACUUCAGUUUCCAGCCAUCGCGGGCCCCCUCCCCAAACCAGCAGCCACAAUUCCCCUUCCUAGAUGCAUCACAGGGUGUCGUCGAGGAAUUAUCUGGUGAGGUCUUGGUUACUCUAUUUCUUUUCUAGUAUAUUCCUAGCAGUGGAUGACUAUUGCUAUUCUCUGUCUAAUGGAUUGUCAUGAUUGAUCUCUAUAUUAAGUACUGAAACUGAGACUUAUUUGUUUCUGCAAACUGAGAUUAUGAUAACAAUAUAACAUUACUGAUUGUGUAGACUGCAGUAUAUACCUUGUAGCAAAGCAACUUGUUCUUGUUGCUUAUCUGAUUCAGUGUUCUGAAAUGUUAUAGGAUCAUUGGUACUCCUCUCCAGUAGUACGAAAUUCUAGUUCUGUCAGUUGGUUGAUAGUGCAUGCAUACUACUUUGCCAGCCCUAGAAUUUGAAACACAUCUGAUAAAUCGUUGUUAUUUGCAAUCAUAGGUGCCAUGGAUUCAAGGGGAUAUUUCACUGGUCUGGUGGAAAAUGGCUUAGGUCUUUCUGGUGAGUUUGAAAACCCACCUCCUUCUCAGGAAGUAGUAGCACAAGAUGAGGUUGAAGCAAUAGGGAAAGCAAACAUGAAAAGAACAAAAAACUUCACAAUUGAGGAGGAUGAACAACUAGUGAAAUCAUGGCUCAACGUGAGUUUGGAUCCAGUAAAAGGUGUGGACCAAGCACGUACCACAUAUUGGAAACGGAUACACGCACAUUUCCAUGCCCACAAGGAUUUCUCAUCUGAUCGCACACAAGGCUCUUUGGUAAAUCGUUGGUCUGGUAUACAACAUGAUGUGAACCUCUUUGCUGGUUAUCUUUCCAAGAUUGAGAAUAGAAAUCAAAGUGGCAUGACUAUCGAUGACAAGGUUUGAUGACACACCUUUCCAUUUCGAAUUGUAUAUUAUUUAGACGCAUCUUACAGAUUAUUCGUUGCCUACUAUGCAGCAAGCAGAUGCAUUGAAAAUGUUCAUUAAAGAAGACAAGCACCAUAGGCAAUUUCCAUACAUGCAUUGCUGGAAAUUAUUGAAAGGCACAGCUAAGUGGGCAGAUAGGCAGAAGCAGAUGCAAACCCAUAAGACAAGCAGUAAAAAGCAAAAGGUUGUAGCCAAUUCAAGUCCUGCAUCAGCUCCUCCAUUGUUGACCACUGCUACUACUGAUGACAAUCAACAUUCAAAUAAUACACUUCAGAGACCUCCAGGGCAAAAGAAGGAGAAGCAAAAGUUACGGCAACAUUCUAGCAUCGAAGCAUUGGAUUAUCUUUUGGCAAAAAGGAAAGAAGCCGAUGCAGAAAAGGAGUUGAAGAAAGAGGAGAGGUGCAAGAAAGCCUUUGCGUUGCAGGAAGAAAGAAUCAGGUUGGAGAAAGAAAAACUUGAGUUACAAAGCAAACAAUUUGAGUUCAACAAGAAACUAGAAGAAGAGAGGGUUAUGAAUGUCGACACAAGGCACAUGAGUAUUGACCUACAAAAGUACUACGAAGUGCUCAAGAAAGACAUAUGUGCAAGUCGCCUAAAUAAUUAGUUGUGUUAAUGUCUAUUUUACAGCUACCCAUUGUAUAUAUUUAAAGUACUUCUUAGAUUGCCACAUCUGCAGUACUUGUUCUUAUAUAUUUUGUAGAACUUGGUCUCAGAUUACCACAUUUGCUGUCUCUAUUAAUAUAUUUGUAGUACUUGUUCUCAUAUUGACAACACUUUGAGUUCUACAUGGCUGUUCUGGUCACAAUCAGUUUGACACAUGGCCUUGUGAAGUCUGUUCAGUAACUCAAUGAGAUCAAUCAUGAUAGCCUACUGCACGGUCUGUUAUUUCAAUAACUCAAUGAAAAUGCAAUUUUUUCUACAAGCAAAUAAAGUGUACAUGAAUAUAAGAUAAUAUUCUAAAGAUAAAUAAAAUUAUCUAACAAUUAUUUCCAAAUAGUAAAUAAAUUCAUUCAACAAUAAUAUUCUUAUAUAGAUCUGGAUGAUGUUGCCAUAAGUGCUCAAUAAGGUCGGCUUGAAGCUGUGUGUGAGUUUCCUUGUCCUGGAUGUUCUUGUAGUUUUGAAUGAAUUCAUCUAGUUCAGGUGUACGAGCAUGGGAUAUUUUCACUUUUUCUCCCAUAUCAUCAUAAUUGAAAUCAUCUUCGUCAAUACCCUCAUCCUCGACAAUCAUGUUAUGCAUAAUGACACAAGCAUUCAUGAUAACUGCAAGUGUUUCCUCAUCCCACACACGAGCUGGCUGUCGAAUGAUAGCAAAACGAGCUUGUAGAACCCCAAAUGCUCGUUCAACAUCCUUCCUACAAGCUUCUUGAGCCUUGGCAAAAUAUUUCUUCUUGUUCCCUUGUGGCUCUGGUAUGGUUUUCACAAAUGUAGCCCAAGAUGGAUAUAUGCCAUCUGCAAGAUAAUAGCCCAUUGUAUAGUCGUUCCCAUUGAUGUUAUAGAUGACCUGUGGACCUUCACCUUCAGCAAGUCUUGCAAAUAUAGGAGACCUUUGAAGAACAUUGAUAUCAUUAUGUGAGCCUGGCAUCCCGAAGAAUGCAUGCCAAAUCCAAAGAUCUUUAGAUGCAACUGCUUCUAGAAUUACAGUAGACUCCUUUUUGUGUCCGCGAAAUACACCUUUCCAUGCAACAGGACAAUUUUUCCAGGUCCAAUGCAUGCAAUCUAUAGAGCCUAGCAUUCCCGGAAAACCUCUACUCUCACCAAUUGCAAGUAGUCUAGCAGUAUCUUGCUCAUUAGGCAAUCUCAUGUACUCAGGUCCAAAUACCUCAACAACAGCUGUGGCAAACCUUCUCAAACUUUCUAGAGUAGUACUCUCCCCAAUUCGUACAUAGUCAUCUGUAGCAUCAGCUGCUACACCAUAAGCUAUCAUCCGAAAUGCGGCCACCACCUUCUGCAAACAAGAUAGUCCUAAGGUACCGGCUGCAUUUCUCUUUUGCACAAAGUAGUCAUCAUGCUCCUCAACCGCAUUCAUUAUACGAACAAACACAUGGCGCCUCAUUCGAAAUCUAUGGCACAACACAAAUUAAUUUUUUUAGUUAAAGACAAUACAAACUAAUUAGCCAUACAUAUAGUAUAUGUACAAAACAAAAUCCAUAGUACGAGGAAAAAUUUAAAACCUGCGCCUGAAGUGGUCCGGCCCAUAUGUAGGAUCAUCUGAGAAAUAGUCUUGAAAAAGUCUGGAGUGCCCAGAUUGCCUAUCUCGAUCCAAUACACGAUGUCCCUCGAUAGAUCCUCGACGAUUUGGUUCAUUGUCAUUGACCUCUCCAACUAUGUGCGCAGCAGUAUAUAAAUCAUCCCCAUUGUCUGAAGAUGAGGACUCAAGUAUUUCAUUCUGUACAAAUGUAUCGAACUCAUCUUCAGAAUCCAUCGUUGACACAACUUGAGCUAUACGGAACAAGAACAAAUUCCUAUGGUCAACCAGACUAAUUCAAUGUCAGCCAAAUUAUCUGUACAGAUAGGGAAACAUACCUUGUAGAUGGCUGCAAUCAAGGCCCCGUGCAGGCUGCCGCGUGAUGCCUGGCCAACAGCGACGUUGCUAUGGCGGCGGUCCGCCACCACGAUCAGGCUGCUGCGCGUGUUGCCUCUUGCCGCCGUGCCGUGCGGCCGUCGAGUGCUUUGCCUAGCUAGCAGAUCCGGCUUCAAAUAGAUGAAGGGUUGCAGAGUUCGCUUGCGGUGUACGAGCCAGACCGGAUGCGGUCGAUGCAAUCCAAAAAAGACGGGAGAUCAGGUGACGUGGCAUGACUUUGAAUAUAGAGAGUCUUAAUUUAGACAAUCUGCUGGAGUACUCUAGUUUUUUCAAGUAAAACUCAUUAUACAAAAUAGCUAAAUGGCUAAAUUUAGAUAAUUAGUUUAGAUAAUCUCUUGGAGAUGCUCAUACAGAAGACCCACUUUGGGUAUCAGGAGAGGCAUAACCCAAAUUUGGGUAUCCUCUCUCCUCGAGAACUAUUUGCAGAGAGUGUUGUCUUUUAGGUCUUGUUGUUGGAGAAGACUAAAAAUAGGUAUGUAACUUUUUACCUGUAACGCUACCAAAAAAACAAAUGGUCUUGUAUUUUGGGUGACGAUUGUCUUACCCGUCGAUAAUAACUUCCUAAACCCAAACCCGAAGUCCCCAUCCAAAUCUCCCCUCAAAAUCCCAAACCUCCGAUCCCUAUUUCUUCCUCCACUCCGACACAAAUCCUCCGAACCGGCCGCCGCGGAGAAAUGGGGCGGCGCCGCCGGUUCGCGCAGCUGGACGACGACGACGACGACGACGAAGAGGACGUGCCCAUCAAGUUCAAGCCCUCGGGUGGUGCCUCCUCCUCGGGCGCCAACCCCAGGAAGCCACAGCCGCAGCCGCAGCAGCGCCGCCGAGUCGCCGCUGACGACGACGAGGACGAGGAGGAAGUGGAACUCGAGGAGGAAGAGGACGACGAGAAGGAUCUCGAGGCGAUGCGACGGGCCGAGGAGGAGGAGCGCCGCGAGCAGGAGGCCGAGACGAAGACCCGCCGCCGCCGGGGACGGCCCAAGCGCCGCCGCGACCCGGAGAGCGAGGAGGAGGAGCCCGAGAAGGUGGCGCCGCAGGAGGAGGAGCCCCGCGAGGAGGAGAACACGGAGGCGGUGCCCGUAGCUGUAGGGGACCCGGUCAAGGUCACCGGCAAGGGGAGGAAGCAGAAGAAGCACUACGCUUCCUUCGAGUACGAGGGCAACACCUUCGAGCUGGUAAGCCGCCGCCUCCUCCGUUUCUCGCUUCCCGAUUUCUGCUCUAUUUGGAUUUUUGGGGUUUCGGGAGGCUCAGAUUGUUUUUUUUUCCCGUUGGAUGAUUGCUGUGGGCUCAAUUGUGCAGGAGGACCCCGUGCUGCUCACGCCUGAGGACAGCACUGAGAAGCCCUAUGUCGCCAUCCUCAAGGUCUGUGAUGGUAUCAGGGAUCAAACUUUGCCGAAUAAACUGUUGUUCUGUUUUAGUUUCAUGAAAUUUCACUCGAUUCAUUGUAGAGCCUCAUAGAUUUCGCUAAACUUGAUUGGUUGGUAGCUAUUGAUGCUUCUGUUGUGUGAUAGUUUGAGUGACCAGAGUCUUUAUACCAGUACUAGGUGAGUGCCCGUGCGUUGCACGGGAGCAACAAUGAAUUUCACGAGAUGGGUUUGUUGUCCCAAGAUUAUUGCCAGGCCAGAAUCAAUAUUUCAAGACAACUCUGUGUCACUCGGAAUAUGCAAUUCAUAUGGCCUUACUAAAGUCUCUCCUUUCCAAAGCUAAGCUAUAUUACGAUUUUCUCAAUCUUAACUCUCUUAUCACCAACUUAAAUGACUUUUGUAUCGAAGUGUGCCACUUCCACGCAACAAAUGACACUCCAACUGAUCAUCAUAAAUAUCCCUUCAUAACAUCUACUUUUUCUUAUAUUGUGAAAGUUGUUAGUUAGCAAUCAACGGAUAUAUUCUAAGGAAUAGAAGAGUGUGUCCAGUUUUAAAAAUGUAAGCUAUCUUAGUUGCAUAAACUCAAUACCUUGUUGGUCUCGUUACUGACAUAAUAGUUCAUAGCUAAAAUACCUAUCAAAAUCAGAAGGCACAUGAACUGUCCACUAAAGUUCACUCAGAGAACAACCACAAUAUGUAGAAAAUCAGCCACCCAAACAUGUAGAUCAUGGACCUAGUUAUUAACUUACUGUGAUACUUAAAAAGACAACCUGAAUCAUUUAAUUUGCUCAUGCCCUUGACAGAGCAAGCCUAGAAUGACGUUUCCCGCCGAGCUUCAAGCUCAUAUUGAUCCAUCAUGCCAGGGUGAGUUGCCUUAAUGGCACUGUAAAACUUGUUAUGCGGGUGCACUCUCUCCUUGAUCCCAGAGACAAGCUUACGCGAGUCAGGUUUCUUCAGAAAGUCAAGAAAGUUCAGUAAAUUCCUCCUGGAUGUUACAAGAAAGGAAAGUGGAAAAAAAUUAUUGAUAAGUUAAAUAUUAUGUAUGCAUCAAUAUCUGCUGUCAGAUAGUUUGUGCUUGUUCCUCCAUGCCUCUUCUGGUCUUGUUCCUCCAUUUCAUCGUCUUCUCCCUCCCUCCUUGGUACAACUCACUUUCAAGUUGCUGCCACAGCUCUACAUCAGCCAUCAUGUCCUCAUCAUGGUGAUCGACAAUAUCAUUAUCACUAUCUACCAAGCCAACAUCGGUAGACUGCCACAGCAAUGGAACUCUGAACCUCUUCUGAAUUCUGAUACAGCUUGUGAAGUAACUGUCUCUGAGGUUUCUACCUAUCCUAUAUGCAUCCACUUAAAAAAAUCUUGAUUAGUUAGCAGACCUGAGUUCGAUAAUCAUCAACCAAGUAGUAUAUGGCUAAUGGCUUUAGAUUUGAGCAAAAGCAAACAACACAGGAGAAGAGAGACAGGAAACAAACUCACCUCUCUUCCGACCCGUCGCCGCCCAGUUUGUCGUCGCGAAGGAGCCCAGCUCGUCGUGCAAUCUGCGGUGUACAAGGCCACUGGAGCCCAUCUGCCGUCUGCGCGUAUACGGCCGUUGACCACACCACCGACUGUCUCUGCACGCGGACCCGGCCGCUGGUCCCUGUCAACCGUGCACCACCUUCGCCUUGGAUCAGAGAGUGUCGCCGCUGAGCGACCAACUUGAUCUGAGCGCCGUGUGCGCCUAUGCUUAUGCGGUGUGCCCAGCCCCAACGCCAAGGCCUGCCUGUACAGGAUGGGGCGGUCGGACGUGCUUUCCGCAGCAGCACAGAUGUUGGCCAGCGUCGCCGAGACACGUCCACCUUCUCCACGAGCAGGGAUGCAGACGGUGGAUGAAGGCUGUGCCAGUGGAUGGUGCGGUUAGGAUCUGGGGGUUUGUAAAUGGCGAUGGUGGAGUUUGCAAUCUCUGACUGAACGUUGGGCAGCCACAAGGAGUGCGUUGGGGCCAUGGGAGUGGAGCGGUUUUUCUUUCCUUCCGUGCGGAAGGUUUUGGUCGGACAGACGAAGGGGGUGUGGACGUCGCUUAUUAGCGCGGGGCGCGGGUGAUUAGCGCGGGCGAGGUAUUAGCGGGGCGAAAAUGAUGACUUCCGAUUCUUUUUAGUUGUAGAGAUAAGAUAGACCUGUUCUUUUACUAUGAAAUAUGAGAUCAUGCUACGUUUUGGCUGUAGUAUUUUCAUACUGCCAUUGUGCUUAUAGACUGUAAUUGACCUAUAUUUGCAUCCAGCUGUUUUGUUCUGUGACCUCACUAUUUUUUGCAUAAAUUAUUUCUUAAAUAUAUUCGUCCCUUUUUUUAAACUUAUAUUGUUCCCUGCAUUUGGUUGCUACAGCUAAAUUAGAAGUGUUACUCUUGAAUUGUUGGAAACUGGAUAUCAUAGUUAACUCAUUUCAUGAGCAUUGAUUAAUUGUUUGCUGCUAGGCGUCAUUGUGGAUUUGGGUUUUAUAUUGCAAUGGGUGCAACUGCAAAUGGACAACCAUUAUGUCAAGCUAUUUAAUAUCAGCCUUGACUUAUCUCCUGUGACUGGAUGACUGGAAUGGUUACCUGUUCUUGCUAGUGCUGAGGACAAAGUCUCUUAUCAUUGUACAGCUGGAACAUAUCUUCUAAUAUAGUGUUCCUUCUUUUACAAUACAGUCACCUAUGUGCUACAGUUCCUUGUGAUAUUUGAUAUUUCCAUCUUUCAUUUUCUGUAUCAUAAUAUCUUUUUAAUUAUCUUCGAACAGGAUAUAACAGAAACUGAGGGGAGCCUAUAUGUAACUGGCCAAUGGUUUUAUAGACCAGAAGAGGCUGACAAAAAGGAGGGUGGAUGCUGGGUAGCACGAGAUACACGAGAGCUAUUUUACAGUUUUCAUAUUGAUGAUGUGCCUGCAGAAUCAGUUAUGCACAAAUGUGUGGUCCAUUUCAUUCCUCAGCACAAGCAGAUUCCCAGUCGAAAGCAGCACCCUGGAUUUAUUGUCCAGAAGGUCUAUGAUGCAGUUGAGAAGAAACUGUGGAACCUAACAGACAAGGACUAUGAGGAUAACAAGCAACAAGAGAUUGAUCUCCUUGUUAAGAAAACGAUAGACCGUAUUGGUCAGCUUCCUGAUCUCGAACCUGAAGAGACACCUCUUGAGAACAAUUUGUCAAAUAAACGAGGCCUGCGUAAGAAACCUGUUAACCCUAUAGAUGUAACAAGAGAACCUCCAGUUGGCAAAUCCGAGCAGUUUGCAAAAGCAGAGACACCUGGCAGUGAUAAGCUAAGGAAUUAUGAUAUCCUUGUUAGGUAUAAAGUACUUACAGGCUAUACUAAUCGUGAUAGGUGGCUCGAUAAAUUGGUAGAAAGUAUUCCGCUUGCAUCAAAGGAGAAUGCUGGAACCUCUGCUGACGCUGAUUCUACAGCCAAAAGUCCAAUCAAUGGUUCACCUGCAAAGGAUGUUGGUUCUGCUGUAAGUUGCUUGUUCAUUAUUAUAAUUUGAAUGCGUUAACUUUAAACUCCUACAUAUCGUAUGUAGCCAUGUUAUCAGUGCUUUUUAUAUAAGCUCUGCUUCAGUUGGGUUAAUACUGGAAGGACGAUGUGACAAAAUAUAGAAAUUAUUUGAUUAUAGUCCCUUAGAGCUUUGUGUUCACAAAUUGUAUUAUUAUUCUUUCAAAUGCACCCGGAUUAAGAGCACAGAUUAAUGAAUUUUUGUUCAAUGAAAUUAGAGCUCUCAUGGUUUGAGAAGAACUCAGAUAAAUUUCUGCAGUGUGCAUUUGCUGUGUCAUGUUUCUUGCUUGGGUUACUUCCAUCUCCAUCCUUUUUUUUUACAUAUAGGUGAAUAUAUCAUUCAUCUAUAAUCCAUUGUUAGACAUCCUUCAGUUCCUUUAAAUAAUGAAUAAGUAUCAUGUUUAAUUGUUCUUUUUCUAUUGGCUUUCUCUUUUUUACUGUUGGACAAUUUGCUUCCCUCAUUCCAUGUGUUCUAUUGGUCCUUUAUUUCCCUCGGUUUAUUAUAAUAAUGGUUUCUAUCUUUUUAAUCAGGAACAUGAAAAAUCAUAUGGACUUGAUGUUGUUGUUGAGAUAAUGGUUGCAUUAGAAAAAUCUGCAUUUGAAGCUCUUGGUACAGAUUUUGGGAAAUAUAACCAGAAACUGCGACAACUACAGUUCAACAUCAAGGUAUAAAUGUUUUUUAUCAAUUACUUGUUUGGGCACUACAAGUUUUGGGAGUUUUGGGAUUUUACUAUCUGAAUAUUUAGAUCAUGUGCUGCUUAAUAACUUAAGCCACUUAGCAGUUAUGAGCACAUAAACUUUUAUAGUUGAUAGUUUAUUGCUUCAAGAGCAUGUCUGUCUGAGAACCAUGUAUCUACUCAAGCAUGCAUUCAACAUGUGUCAAAAUAGGUUCUUAUUUUCUGACCAGGUUUUGUGCCAUGAAAACACAAUAUUGCAUUCAGAUUGUUCAUUAUAUCUGGCCAACCUAAAAUGCUAGUUCAGAAGUGGCCUAUUUGAGGUUUUACUUUUCUGCAUGCAGAGCUUGUGAAUACUGCAAAUUAUCAACAAGCAAACUCAUCUGUAUAGUAUAGGUUAUGUUGGCUUCCUUCAAGUCGAUUCUGUUUUUUCAAAUGGUCCAUAACUUGCAGUACUAUAAUAAUUUGUUUUCAAAAUCUGUACUACCAUAAAUAGUUUCCACUUGAACAUAGUUGGAAUUUAUAAAACAUUGUUAUCUUUUACAAUAACUUGUAGGUAAGGUACAACUACAAUGGCCCAAUGAUGCUUCUGUAUUAUUGCCAUACUACCACUUGAUAAAAUGAAAACGCUUUGUAUGUCUACCUUCUCCUGUAAGAUGUAUCAGCUCCACAUGUUCACCAAAGUACUGUAGAAAAAUAAUUGUUUGAACUGUAAGUUUAUCUUUCUAGAUAUAAUUAUGUGAAUAGUAUUUUUUUUUCAUACCCAACUCUGCAUGGAAUGGAAUGAAUCCAGAUAGUCUUUCAUUAUUCUUCUAUAUGUUUACAUCUUUAUUUGAAUAUUUGACCUACCAUGGUUAUUUCGGAUAUACAGAAUAGCUCCAAACUUCGCAGGAGGCUGAUGGACAAGGAGCUUGAUCCUCCAGUUCUUUUAACCAUGUCCCCCGAUGAAUUAAAGGUGUAAUUCUCGUUACCUUGUUGACAAAAAUUGAUUACAUUCUUGUGGUAAUUGUCUUGUACUCUGGUUAUUUAUAUUGACUAGGAAAAAUGCCCGUGCGUUGCAACGGGAAAAAAAGUUAUCAAAUCUAUAUCUAUAUUUUUAUUACAUAAUUAUAUAUAAUAAUGCGUUGCUACGGGAGUAAAUAGACGUUUAUAGAAAAUGAGCACUUUGUUAUAUUUUUUUGUGUUUUAUCCUUUGUAUUAAAUUUGAAAAAUUUUAAGCUUUUAAAACUGACUUUAAACCAGACUGUCCAUAUAUAGUUUAUAUACAUGCUCUUAGACUUUUUAGGACUUUUAUUUCACGCGCAAUGGCACCUUAUACUCUCUGGUUGAAAGGAGCCUAAUAAACUUUUGAAUUAUAAUUUCUAGAUUUGAUUUUGAUUUUAUAUAGAUUGUAUAAAUUUCUAUCAAUUUGUGCAUUGUUCGUGAAAAAGACAAGAAGCUAACAUUAUACUUGUUAUUGGUAAGCCGAAGUCUAUGUAAAUCUUGAGAUUGAUUUUUACUAUGCGUUGCAACGGGAGAAAAUAUCAAAUGCCAUAGAAAGUUAUGACAUAAUGUUACAUAUCUAUUUAUAUUUAUUUUUUAUAAAAUUUAAAGUCCAUAAUUUAUUUUAUUGAUAACCAUGACAUCUAUGGUAUUAGAUAGUUAAUAUUUAAAAUAAUAUGUAGCUUGGAGACGUAUUUAUUUAAUAAUAAAAAUAGAAAUUAGUCAAACAUUAUCUUACUUUAAUAUUACCUCUUAAUAUACCUUAUAUUAAAACAUGAGAAGUUUGUUGCUAAAUUUUUUUUAUUUAGAUUAGGAUUCCUAUGAAAUAUGAUAUAUCAGUUAAAUGUAUAUAGAUUAUGAACACAUGGACUUAUAAAGUGUUCAUAUGACAUAACAACACAUCAUGCAAAGGUCGUGGAAGUGGUAAUUGUCUUGUACUCUGGUUAUUUAUAUUGAUAUGACAGCAUUGCUUGGACUGCGAAAGUUGAUGACAAUUUAGCAUAUUAUGGCAACAUGGGCAGCUGCUAUUGGAGCAUGAAACAGCAUCAUAUGGCAGCGCCAUAAAAUAUUACUGUGUAUAACAGGCCAAGUUUUUAUUUUUACUCUAUAUUUUUGGAAAUUUGGUUUUUAUCGGUGAAUUGACAUACACGUUAUAUUUCCCUUAUUCCUUAGGUUCUCAUUUAGUCAUUUGAGUAGGGAGUGUUUGGCCUUCAAAGGCUAUAUAUGAAUAGUCCUUCGUUUUUCAUUUGAGUAUAAGGUGCAUAGUUUGUUUUUCAAAGAGAUUGACUGACUGUCAGUUGUGUAAAUUACUUGGUGGCUUGUUUGGUGUGGGGUGUGUGUGUGUGGGGGGGGGGUCCGGUAAAUAUUUAAACUCUUCUUCUUCUUAAUGCAAUUAUACACAGUUCUCCUGUGUAUUCGAGGGGAGAAUAAAAUUCUGACUAUUAGCACUGUUGUACUAUUUCUAUCUAGUCAUGUUGAACUUGCAAGUACAUGGUAUUUUUUGACAGUAAUGCAUUGAGUUUACUAAGUAUUGUUAGUGUAGGUUUACUAAGGGGCCUCUUCUAUUAUGAGAAAAUGGUUUUAUAUUUUCUUAAAUUUCUUAAAAUUUUUCCGGACUGUAUGUUACACUAUAUCAUGAAAACCACUGCCACUAUGUGUUUAUAUAUAUAUAUUAUUUACAACAUUUCAGGCUGGCUUGACUUCAGCAGAGAAAACAUCUGAACCAGAAGAAUCAAGGAAAUUGCAGGUAUGGUACAUAUAUGCUUUAAGAUCAGUAACCAGUGAAAAGAACAAAGAUAAAUAUUAAUUACAAUAUCUGAAUUUUCACAUGGAGUUAUUUAUUAUGAUAUAACUCUCUAAUUUCGUGUUCUGUUUUAAUUAGAUGACUGAUAAAAGAUGUGAAAGAUGCAGUGAAAAGAAAGUUGUCAUAUCUAAUAUUAUCCAUGCAGGUCAUGGAGACCGCUAUCAGGUUCGUAAAUGUUUGAUGUUUCAUGGUCAUUUUUUAUAUUAUUUUUCUGAUACAAGAUGGAUUGACUUUGGAGGGGGAAAAACAAAUGGUAGUGUUUAUGUUGCAGUUGAGGGAAUACUACAAAUUGUCAGCUUUUUCUUUAUCAUAUGUAGACUGCAAACCACAAGAUCAUGUAUACUGUCCUGUAGUCCUUGGAGUCAGAGUAAGACCCCAUUUGGUGUGGCUCCUGCACCAGCUUCUCCUCUGGCUCCACAGGCAAACCGGGUGGAGUCACACCAAACGGUCUCGUGCAGAGGAGCACUUCUGGCCCACAAAGCACGGAGCUGGAGCUGUUUUCAUGUAUGGACACAGCCAGGAAAACUGGCUCUGCUUGAAGUGCUCUGGCUCUGGCAGUGGAGCACGUGUGGAGGAGCCGCACCAAAUGGCCCCUAAAUAAGACUUGUUGCAUUCAGUAUUAAUUGGUGUUAGAACGAGCAAUGACCUAAUCAAAAAUAAGGAACUCAAAUGUCUUUGACUUGGACCUUAGGUUAGAAUGGCAUGGUACUGCUUGAUCCUUGAUGCAUAGCGAAUGUUGGUGGAUGUCUUAACAAAAUGGACCUUAGAUUCAUUCUAUAGCUAACUGUGUUUUAUGUCUAUGGGACUAAACUAGUGUGGAAAUAACAGGUUUUUUUAUCUCUGAAUCCAUGCUACUGUGCCACCCCGAGGGUGUAAACUUAGGUGUACAAGUUCUGUCUGCAAACUUUUUGAGUGGGUGUUCAGUGUGUUUAAGAUAUUUCAACAUUGAUACUUUGGUAGUGGAUAAGUGUUUACCUGAUGCGCUGUUGAACUUAAUUAUUGUACUGUUUGCUUGAUGUGAUGUUGAACUUAUACUGCUUGAAAAUAGCACAAUUGAUUUAGAAUGAUGGAUUUUAUGUAGUGAACUGUCCUGAAGUAUCAGUUGACAUGUGGAAUUGUUAUAACCUUCAAAUUAUGAUGUUCAUGCACCAGUUGCCUCACAGAAUUUUUUUGUUUCAGUUGGAAUGUACUUCCUGUGGCUGCACAUGUUUUUCGUCCAGAGAUGCCAUUACAACACUGACAGAGGAUGCCCCAACCACUGCUGGGAAUGUGGGUACCGCCCCCUUGGCAACAGCAAAGUUUGAGGUCGUUGAGAAGCAGCUCACGAGCCCACGGGACCAAUCGGGCAAGCCUGCUUCCGAUGCCCUCCGGAAGAGCACUGCAGCUUACAUGCCAACUAUGGAGAGGCAGAAGUCGUUUGUUAAGCCCAAGGAUGAACCCUCCCCUGCACCGAAACAGGGUUAGAGCCUUAUGAAUGCUGCAGAUUGGUCUUUGAAAUUAGGAAGCUCAGGAUUCCGAGAUACAGACUUGUACAUAGAGGCGCAUCGUUUCCGUUUUCUUGACAUGCCACUAACUAGUACUGGUUGAAGUUUCCAGUAGAUAUCUUCCCUUCGGUAGUCUAUUUCGCAGUGCCUCUUAUACUGUCGGCUGUCGUACAUAGCCUACCUCUUUUGUUCUAUUUUUCACUUAUUGUAGCAAUCACCAAUUGACAUGAGGACAUAGGUUUGUGGCGAUUGCCAGAUUGAUUUUGUUUUCUUGUGCUAUGAUUUUUGUCUUGCAAGGAUCAUUUCCCAGUUAUGUUGGGCGACGUCAUGAAAGUAUGUUGUGGACUAAACAAAUUCACCGUGCCAACUUGUAAGGCAUCCGAGUUUUGAGUCCCAUGUAUUUCAGUCUGAAAGAGCAGCGUAAGGAAUUAACGUUGAAAGUCGAGGUGAUUAUGGAUGGAAUCAGUCUGUCAAAUGGCAAUCACAAGCAACGGGAGGUUCAACGAGUCAACGCUGGAAUGGCAGCAUUGACGUGGUAUACUUCGUCACACCUGCAGCUAGGGAUGAAAUCAGAUUAGAUACAAAGGAUAUUAUGGAUAUUGAAUACGGGUGGUUGUGAAUAUAGGUGUCGGAUCUUGACCUAACCAUACAUAUUUAGGUCUUGUUUAGUUGUACCCAAAAUCUAAAAAAAAUUAAGGUUCCUCGUUAGAGCAUUAAAUAUAGAUAAAAAAAUUAAUUUCACAUUUAACUGUAAUUUGGGAGACGAAUCUAACCUAUCAUGGUUAGAUAGUAAUUACCAAAAUAAAAAUACUAUAGUGUCUAAAUCUAAAAAGAUUUUAGAUCUAAACAAGAUCUUAGAAAUCUGACUCGAAAAGUUUUGGACGGAUUUGUUGAGAUGAUUUUCAACGGGUACCCCUUGGAAAUGGGGUAUUCAGAUUCGGAUAAGAUAUGCAUAUAAAAUGUCCAGAUUCAUUGCAGAUUCUGAUUAUCCAUUUAAUGUUUUAACCCUUUGAGGAUGGUCGGAUAUCAGAAGAUGUGCACCCUAUUUUGAUACCUAAAGCUAGUCUUAAUGUAUGUUUCAUGAGAGUGUCAUAUACAUUAAAUAGGGUACUAUAUAAGUAAAAUUGCUGACUUGUAGGGUCAUUAAAUGAAGGAGUUUCAUCAGAUAAGAGAGGAGUUUCAUCCCCAUGAAACUCCUCUGGCUCGGUUAGCUAGUUUAUAGUCUUGGUAACUGUGCCAUGAAACUAUGCAUUGAGACUGGCCUAACUGUACCAAAGUGUGGUCUGUAUUUGUUGAGAAGUGAAAUGUAAAACGGACAAAAAUUAGAAGAACUGUCUUUCUGUAUUGAUCUAUUCAGUAUUCAUAUAAUUGAAGGGAUUUGGUCAGGAGAUAAUUGUUGGCAAUCCCUUGACCAAUGUAGAGACAAUUGAGAGUUACUCCCAAAGCUAACCAAAGAAAUCCAGAAUCAGAAGCCAUCGGCAUCGCCUCCCAGCCGGCACCGUCCUCCUCACAACUUCACCUCGGUCCUCUUCCUCUCUCCUAACCAACGAUCUUGCACGUAUCUCCCGUUCUAUCCGCUUCUCCCUUGCAUGGAUAGAAUGCAAGAUAUGAAGCAUAGGGCCUGCCUUAGCGUUGCCGCCGCCGCCGCCGCUCCUAGAGCCAUAAUCGUUGGUCCUCCUCCCUCUUCCUCUAGUAAUAAUCGAGGCCGGAGGGAGUGGGGAUCUAUGUUUUUAAUAAGCUUUUCUACUCGAUCGAGUAUUUAAGGUUAGAGUUUCUCCAUAUCAAGUUUCUUGGUUUUGAGGAUUUAUUUUCUCCUCUUCUCCGGCGACGGUGAGAUGGUAGGGUGGAAUCGUUUUUUUCAUGGUGGCUUUGUUGAAAAUGCGGACAACAACUAUGGUGUCGGCCUCGCCGAUUUGAUGACAUGGAGACUUAUUUCCGAACGGCGGCAUCAAGACAGAGAUAGUGUCGCCGCUAUGGAAUAAUUUUCUUCGGUCUCUUCCCUAUUAUAUUGUGGUUAGAUGUGGCCACGAUGAAGAACUAGAGAGAAUAAGUUUUAGAUCAGUCUUUCUCAUUCUUCAAUGGUAGACAGAAAAAAAAGAAGAAAGAUAUCAGAAAGAAUAAGUUUCUCAACUCUGCCUACAUGAAUGUUGGUCGUUGUUCAUUGAGCAUCUGUUCUCAGCCUUUUUGCCGAUUAUUUACCUAUGUGGUCAUUCAUACUGCAAAGCAUCUUAUAGGUUUGAUUUUGAGAUCUGAGCUAUUCAUAGCUUGGGUAUAAUUUAGAUGAUUUUUUUCUAGAAAUUUAUGUAAUCCAGAGUGCUUAUAAUGUAUUCAUGUACCCAGCUAUUAUCUAAUAUAAUUCUUCUUUUGUUGAAAAAAAACCAACAACCUUGCCACUAGACAGAGGAGUGGGAACCCGUAUAGUUUUUAGUUAGUUUGUGUGGCAUGGACCCAUUUCUUUAUCCUUCAUGGUUUUUAGUUAGUUUGUUGAUCCUUGUUGACCUAGGGUUAUUUUUCUGGUAUCAUUGAUGAGGUAGUGACGACGAUGGUGUUUUGGAAUAAAUCUCUCCGCCCUCUCCCUACCUCAACAACAUUUAAUCUAGAGCUAACGAAGGGCUAGUGAGAGUUUGAUGUGUCGACCUCUUCUUUUGAUCUGCUCUACGGCAAGGUCUAGUAUCUUUAAAAUUCUUUUUCUGAUGGUGAAGGAACUUGCGUUUCUUAGAGGGUUCCUCCAACCGAUAUUCUUUUAGUGGGUACUAGAUCUCGUCAUUACUGGUGAGUGGCUAUUGUGGUGUUCAAAGCCUUAUUUGGCUAGGGUGUUUGUGGGUGUCUAUUUUCUUGGUUGCCCCUUUAGUGCGAUCUUAAGCUCCAACAAACAAUGGACGACCAAAGAAAGAAGAUGACUAAUUUUAGUCUUUAGUGUACUCUUGUUUUUUAGAGGAGAUUAUUUUACAUGUUCCUGUCCAUCUUUUGUACUGUCCUUUGUUUCUCUUAUGAUAUAUAUAUACUCCCUUCGUAUCCUAAAUAGAAGUCAUUUAGGAUAUGAUCACGCCUACCAAAGAGAUAUUAAUUAGGGGGUACUUUUCCAUAUCUACUCUUAUUAAAUAGAGUUGUAGUUGUUACCUAUACAACACAUACGCAUAGGUCAAGUGACUAGUCUUAGCUUCCCAAGGAAGCAGGUCACCGGUUUGAAUCCUCGCGAGCAUUUUUAUUUUUUAUGCCAUGAUGCAUUUUGCAUGGCUUUGGAAACCAAUUAGACUCAUCCUAUAAAGAAAUCUAUCCACUAGCGGUUAACUGAGAACCACCAGUGGAACCGCAGCGCCGUGAACUCUUUGGUGUAACCCUUAAACUCAUCGUAUAAAGACUCUUUUGUAGUCUUCAUCGGAACCUCCAUACCUUUCAUUAACAACAUUAAUGGAUUUGUAUGACGAUGCAAUAUUGCCCCUAAAGAAUUCUACAUCUUCCGUAGCCGUAACAUUUGGUAUAACAUGUUCGCUAUGGGGAAGAGGUUGUUGUGUCUAGUGUACGAAUGGAAAUCCGUUAUCAAUCAUAUUUGGGCCAUCGACAUCAAUAUUCUUAGGGUUUCCAGUUCUAUAAGGCGCAGAGCUACCCUCUCCAUGAUUUGUCCAAAUCAAGUAAUCCUUCAUAAAUCCUCGACAGACUAGAUGAAAUGUGAUUAGUUAAGUGUCAUCAAAUACAACAAUAUUUUUGCAGUCUAUGCAUGGACAAAAUAUGUGCUUCGUCUUUGUUCUCCAAGCAUGGUUCUUAGCAGCAUCAAUAAACCUAUGGACCUCGGGUAUAUAUAUGAUAGAUCUAGUCUUGAUAAAUUAUACAUCUAUAAUGACCUCUCCAUCAUUACCUAAAUAAAUAAUGAAUUAAUUGUAAUCAAUACAAAACAAGUAUGAUCAUCCAGAGAUAUUUAUUAUCUAAUCUUUGAAAAAAGUCUACAUCACCCCCUGAACUAUAGGGUGGUGUCUACUUUAAACCCCGGACUAUAAAACGGUCUAAUUUAUCCCUGAACUAUGCAAAACCGUUCAAAUCACCCUUUGAGCGGUUUUUGAUGGCAGUUUUGCUACAGUAACAGUGGUUUUGACUUUUCCUUUUUCUAUUUGUUUUCGCUGAAUCCUUGAAAAAUCAUAAAAUAGAAAAUCUAAUUUUCUUGGACUCCACAUGAGUAGAUCUACACAAUGAAUAUAUAAUAUGGUAUAGUUUAGUACAAAUUCUGUACUUAUUUGGUCAUAUAUAACUUAGUUAUAAAUAAAUGUAUUACUAAGUUAUACAUGAUCCGAUGAGUAUGAAAUAUUUACUAUAGUUCAAGCAUAAAAUAAUUAGUCUACCAUAAAAAUUUCACCACAAUUGUACCAUAGAAGUUGCAUCUAUGAAUUAUUUCCAAUUAAUUAUAGAUAGAUUUUGAUUUUUCUAACUAAUUUAAAGCUACAGAAAGAAAUUGUACUAAAGUAUACCAUAUUAUAUAUUCAUUGCAUAGAUCUACUCAUGCGGAGUCCAAAAAAUUAGAUUUUCUAUUUUAUGAUUUACUAUGAUUUUUCAAAAAAUAUAUGAAAACAAAUAGAAAAAACAAAAAAGUCAAAACCAUGGUUACUGUAGCAAAACCGCCGUCAAAAAUCGCUCGGAGGGUGAUUUGAACGGUUUUGGAUAGUUCAAUGGGUAAAUUAGACCGUUUCAUAGUUCGGAGGGUAUAGUAGACACCACCCUAUAGUUCAGGAGGUGAUGUAGACUUUUUCCUCUAAUCUUUUGAUCACCAAUCUCUGAAGGGUCAAGAUGACGAACUAGAGGGGGUGAAUAGUCUUUUCUAAAAUUUAUCAUGUCGACUAACCGAAACAAAUGUAGAACUUAAACUAUCAGUCUAGCCAAGACUACACUCUAUUUAAGUUCUCUAGCACCUUGUAAAAGAUUCCAAACAAGCAAACAAGGUGCUAUCUUAGCAAAAGCUCACCUAACCAAUUCUAGAAGCAAGGUCACACAAACCUAUGCUACUAGUACUUUGCAAACAAAGGGAGCUCCUACAUAACUAGUAAGCAAAAGCACAAAGCUCCUAAGCUCACUUAGCAAUGCUCAAUAACAUGACAACCAAUGCUAAAUUAAAGAGCGCAAAUUACUUAGCUACACAAACUAAGUAAUGUGACUAACAAGGUUACACAAACUAAAUUAGCCACGCAAGAAGAACUACUUCUAGCUACACAAGCAAGAAGGUAACUAGCAAGCUACGCAAGCUAACUAAUUACAAGAGCAACUACACAAGCACAAGUAUAUGAAUGUAGGGUCAAGCUUGUGUUAGGGACUUGCAAACCAACAGGAAGAACAAUGUUGACACGAUGAUUUUCUCUCGAGGUUCACUUGGUUGCCACCAACCUACGUCCUCAUUGAGAAAAGCUCCAAGGUUGCCGCCGGUCCUCUUGCUAGUGGUGACUUGCAAGUCACACUCUCCCACGUGGAGUGCUUACCACAAGCUCUAGCACUUGAUCCGGCCAAACCACUUGUCACCCUUCACGUCUCACUCAACUAGAGUUGCUCUUCGCGAUCCCCGCAGGGUGAGCACCGUACCCCUUACAAUCUCUUCUCCGGAGCACAGCACAAUCCCCUUGCGUGCUUCGAUGGAGUCACAAGCCACCAAGCUGUCUAGGAGGUGGUGAAAGGUCCUAAUAUGGCUAGAGGGGGGUGAAUUGCCUAUUUAAAAAUCUACAAACUCACUAGAGCAAGAGGUUAGUAAAUAGCAAAGCGAAGCUUUUUGCUCUAGCUCUAAUGGGGUGUUUGGAAGCCACCUAACCAACAAUUCUAGUUGAUAUAAUCACUAGGCACACAAUAGCUAUGUCACUACAAGCUACACUAGUGAAUUAACCUACACAAGGCAAAGUGAGCAACUAAACUAAUUACACUACUUUGCGGUAAGUAAAGGAUAGGAUGAGAUAUUUAUACCGCCAUGUAGGGGAUGAACCAAUCAUCAAUAUGUGAACAAACAAGCACCGGGAGAAUACCAAUCAACCACAAUUGAGACACCAAAUUUUCUCCCGAGGUUCACGUGCUUACCGACACGCUACGUCCCCGUUGUGUCGACCAACACUUGGUGGUUUGGCGGCUACGAGGUGUAGCACGAACCUCAUCCUCACUAGGACACCACAAGAACCGACCCACAAGUGAGGUAACUCAAUGACACAAGCAAUCCACUAGAGUUACCUUUCGACUCUCCACCAGAGAAGGUACAAAACCCCUCAAUCACGGGAGAUGGCCACGAACAAUUACCAACUCGUGCCAAUGCUCCUCCGCUGCUCCAAGCCGUCUAGGUGGCGGCAACCACCAAGAGUAACAAGAAAACCGCAGCCAAAUCGAUCCCCAAGUGCCACUAGAUGCAAUCACUCAAGCAAAUGCACUUAGAAUCACUCCCAAUCUCAGAAAGAUGAAUAAUCUAUAAAAGAGAUGAGUGGAAGGUGUUUGCUUAGGCUCACAAGGAUGUCAAGUAUGCUAGAAUGCCAAGAGAGUGAGCCCCAAGCCGACCAACACGUAUUUAUAAGCCCCUCAAACAAAUAGAGCCGUUGGCUCUUUCACUAGACAGAAAUCAGAACCACCGAACGCGCUGCAGGAGACCACCGAACGCACAGACCCUGCGUCCGGUGCUCCAGAGGAAGCCACAUGUCAACCUUUUGAACUACGCACGUUGAUCUCCAACGGUCAAGAAUGAACCACUAGACAUGCGCGUCCAGUGCACACCAGUCACGUACGCAGAGAGGUCUGCAAAACACACGAGCACCGGACUCACUCCUGAGCGUCCGGUCCCUUACUUAGAGAGGUUUGCAAAACACGGGGUCACUGGACUCGCAACACCUGACUCACUCCGAGCGUCCGGUGCUCUCAGUCAACCUCACUACUGAAGUCACGCCACACCGGACGCACACAUAGGGUCUAGCCCGCAUCCGGUGCAAAGCGUCUGGUGCUCAACCCUAACGGUGUUAGGCACUGACAGCACACCAGACGCGCAGGCACAACGUCCGGUGCCUCCGCGGCAAGCGUCCGAUGAGUGUCACUCCCGCAACUUCUCCAAACUUUCCACCGGCGCACUAGAAAAUAUACAUUUAAUUUUCUCAAAAAACGUCGAAUCCCGCCGAGGAACCCAAACCCCUCUUUACCCUUCAACCUCCACCUCCUUCUUAAAGUGUGCCAACAGAACCAAGUGUGUAUCAACAUGUGCACGUGUGUUAGCAUUUUCACAAUCAUUUUCUUUGAAGGGGUUAAGUUAGCUCACUAAGUUCUAAAUGCAUGCACAUGAACAAUGACACCUAAUGGCACUCGAUAACCACUUAGCCAAAGAAUUCCCCUCUUUAUAGUACGACUAUCUAUCCUAAAUGUGAUCACACCCUCUAUGGUGUCUUGAUCACCAAAACCAAAACCCUAAGCAAUACCUUUGCCUUGAUCUCCAUAGGGUUUUGUUUUUCUCUUUCUUCUUUUCCAAGUUGAGCACUUGAUCAUCUUGUGGUCAUCACCAUUAUCAUCAUGAUUAUCUCUUGCUCCAUCACUAGGGUUUCAUCAAUUAUCCGAAACCAAACUAGGGCUUUCAAUUUCUCCCUUUUUGGUAAUUGAUGACAACCCUUUUUACAAAGAUUUUCAAUAAAUUUUUCUUGGAUUCAUGUUGCUUGCCUAAGGCCUUGUUUACUUCCCAAAAAAUUUUGCAAAUUUUUUCAGAUUCCCCGUCACAUCAAAUCUUUAGACGUAUGCAUGGAGUAUUAAAUAUAAAUGAAAAUAAAAACUAAUUACACAGUUUAAUCGAAAUUGACGAGACGAAUCUUUUGAGACUAAUUAGUCCAUGAUUGGACAAUAUUUAUCAAAUACAAACAAAAGUGCUACAGUGUUGAUUUUGCAAAAAUUUUUGAAACUAAACAAGGCCUAAGCAUUUUACCAUGUGCAAAGGUUAUGGACAAGUUUCAUAAGCCCAAAUUGGUAGCAAUUGCUCCCCCUACAUAUGUGCUAAGAGUUUGGAUUUGAAAGCUUGCACAUAUGCUUGAAUAGGAAAUAUAGGAGUAAAUUUCUACCAAAUGAUGCUAAGGUAUAAAGAGUGGACCUUUGAAGUGUGAUACCAAUCAGAGUUGCCAAUAUACACCAUCUUAGCACCAUUAGUAACUAGACAUUCAUAAAAUUAGAACACCCCAUGAGAUCAGCGUUAUAAACAAGGUUCUAGUUCCACUUGUAAAACAACUGAAAGUCUAGUUACACUACCUAUACAUGCUAGUUCUUCAUUUCAUCAAUCAAACCUAUAACUAUCAUACACCACACAAGCAAGGCACCGGAGAGAAAACUUCUAAAGCUAAUGCAAAUACAAGCAAAUAUAUGUGAUGCACAUUCAAAUGCAACAUACACCUUAACUGGAUGCCUUUGCAAGGGUCAAGCUCCUGAUCGAGUAACUCCAUGGAUAGUUUCCAAGCCUUCUGAAAUGCAAGUGGGUCUUCAAGAUGGCCUCUAUAGGACCAUUUCCCGCCGUCUUCACUAUCGGGCUUCGAGCCAAAUUGUUGCGGGCCUUGUUCCCUCCAGUACACAAUGGCGGCUACACCAAAAACAUGGUUGGUAUUGUCUCGUACAACAAUGGUGCACACAAGCACAGAGUGGUAAGAGGUAUGCAAACCUCACUAAACAGCGGGCCUUAACCUAGAGCAAGUACAAAUACGGUGUUUAACUAGCCUAAGCACUUCACAAAAUACCUACACUAAUCACUAAUAUUAUAUUAAGCACUUAUGGUGGCUAGAGAACUUAGUGUGUCUCCUAUAUCUUCAGCAUAUUCCAACUGCCUCCAAAGAGCCGGUGAUGGGGAUAUAAAUAGCUCCCCACCCCACCUGAAGAAACUAGCGAAGGAGUGAGGCAACAACUUACUACAUUGUCACCGGAUUGCUCAGCCAUUCCAACGUAGGCUGGUUUUGCUUGCUGCCUCGGCUAAAGCCUCAAACCAACAUAAGCCGAUUUUUCCCUAAAACUUGUGAAUUUCAUUUGAUUGUCUUGUUCCAUCUUAGGCGUUGUUUAAUGCAUGUGUAUGAGUGUAUCCACUUCAAUUCACAUGUGUUGAAGCGGAUUAAAAUGAAAUUUAGUCAAAUUUCACUUCAAUCCACUUCAACUAUAGAUUAAGAUAAAUACAUAGACAUCCAAACAAGUCUUUACAAAUCCGCCGAUUAUAUUUUGGUUGUCAAUACUGACACAGGAGAUUCGAACCUCCGCGAUUUUGAUCGAUUGCUGGAUUUGCUGCUAGUCAACAGUUAAGGUUUUUGUUUCACGCUAAGGAGAUUGGCGUACGACGAGAAGCGACAAACAUGUUCACAUGUUGAACACAGUUACACAGCUGCACUGAACCUGAAUUCAGGCAUCAUCUAAUGGCCACAAAAACAUACCAGACCAGGUUUGGCCAAUUUUCCAGGACAAAAUUGGAACAACACAACCAACAAAACCUUUUGGAAUUCAGACACCAUGAACUAAUACUUUAUAUCCACAAACAUUCUGGUAGUAAUAGAGUUUGGACAAGUUCGACUCUGGUAAAUGCAUUAAUGUUGGUUCAUAGAGAUAAGUAUACGGUGUACGUGCAUAUAGAGUGUCUGUGUCCCAACUAUGUAAUUUCGUAAAAAAAACAAAACAAAAAAACGAAGUGACUAGGCGGAGCCAUGCUUCAGAGUUCAGAUGGCAUGGCAGAAAGGGGCAGAGUGGUCUUGCUUCACUAUUGCAUGGAGCUUCACGCCAGCUCACAUGCUCCCAGAUAUGUAGGCUGCGAGCCUCUCAACGGGCCUUCGGCUGUCCACUUUCACUUCUCCAUGGCACCUUAUCUUAAUCCGUGCCAGGUGCUCGACCCCGAUCCAUGCAAAGCUAAGCCUUGCUGGCAUGUCCUCAAAGUCAGGUUUGAGCAUUUCCCUUGACUUUUGGACCCAUUUGGGGUGGUAGGUUACCUGGUACCAUGCAGAGGCCUUCAUCUCAUAAAACCGAAUUUUCUCAUCAUCAGAGAUCUCAGUUUGAUCUGUAACAAAGCUUUCGAAAAUGCUCCUGAAGUCCUUGUGGAGAGCAGAGUAUGCAUUCUUCAAUCUCUCCUUUAUGUCCCCCUGUUUUCUGCUGCUGUAUUUGGGAAGCGACCAUAUGUGCUCUGUAACAAGCUCUGCUUCAGUGCGCACACCAUAUUGGUUGAGCAGUGCAUUCAGUUGUGUUUCAUAUGAGCACUUGCACUCCCAAGCACUUGAGAGAAAAUCAGUUGCACCAGGAACUUCCAUAUCUGCAUCAUAAGGCAAAUCGUUUAAUGUGCAAGUUUCUUCUGGAACCAAAUCACCACUGGAGGCUUCUUGGAUUGACCGAUAAAGCCUUCCAAGGAUCUUCUCUGAUUUAUAGGAGAUGGCAUCCUCCUUUCCCAUGAAGUCAGGAUAUAAUUUUGGCCGAAGGGAUGGUGGCAUUGACACAAUUUUGCCAGUCUUGGGGAAGUCUACAGCAGUUGCUGCUAGUUCUGCCAACUGAAUGCACUUCUCAUCCAUUGCUCCAUACUCGCUCAUAUCAGCGUGAACAACAUGAGCAUUGCUUAUUGGACCCAGUUUCUCAUUUACCAUGUUCUUCAAGAAGAAAUCAACAAUAUCCUAUUAACAGUACAAUAUCUUAUUAAUAAAAAUGUACUGAAAAAAGUAAUAUUUAUCACAAACCAAGGACAAAGCAAUUUGAAGAAACCAUGUGAAAUGAUCAUAAUUUUUGUAUAUUAGCAAUAUGAUCAGAUCGAUUGGAUAAAAAGUGCAAAUGUUAGUCUCAAAAGCCAAGAGAGUGCUAGUUGAUGAUGAACUGAAAAGUAUUGAUGUCUUAUAUGUAGUUCAGGAGUUCUUGACUUUAAUUCCGACCUAUGAAAACACCUUAGUCCUAGUUUGAAGUAUUUUUGUUACUUUAUUAGAAAAAUACCAUGGUUUUGUGAAAUACUUUGGUUUUGACAAACUAUAAGGUGUUUGGAUGCAAGGAGAUUUGUAUUUUUGAAAAACAUGGUAUUACUAAAAGUACUCCUUUUGGAGUUCCGAGUAAAGUCCAUCACCGGUCCCUAAACUUGUUUGGCUGUGUCAUUCCUGUCCCUAAACUCACAAAACAAUAGUUUAGGUACCUAAACUUGUUCAGUUGUGUCAUUCUAGUCCCUAAACUUAGAAAUCUCCCAUAUAGGUCCUCAAACUUGUUCAGUUGUGUCAACCCAGUCUCUAAACUUUAGAAGUCUCAUAUGGAUCAAAACGAGGCAAAUCUAAAAACUCUAUAUAGAAAAAUAAUUCAUAACUUUUUCAUAUGGACUCAAAUGAAAAUAAACUUUUUAUCAAAAUUGUAGUCAGCAAUACGAUCUACAACUUUGUAGUUGAAAAGUUUCUAAAUUGAAACUUUGUGGGGUCCCAAAAUAUUUUUUGAAAGCUUUUAGAUCUAGAAAUUUAAAAUUAUGUGACACUAAACGAUAUUAAAUAAAAAACUUUUCAACUACAAAGUCGUAGAUCGCAUUGAGGGCUACAAAUUUGAUAUAAAGUUUAUCUUCAUUUGAGUUCAUAUGAAAAAGUUAUGAAUUAUUUUUUGAUAUAAAGUUUUUAAAUCGUUUUGUUUUGACCCAGAUGAGACUCAAAAUCAAGUUUAGGGACUAGAAUGACACAACUGAACAAAUUUGAGGACUUAAACGGGCGAUUUAUAAGUUUAGGGACCGGGAUAACACAACUGAACAAGUUUAGGGACCGAAAUGACACAGACGAACAAGUUCAAGGACAUAAACGGUCAAUUUGCGAGUUUAGGGACCGGGAUGACACGACAAUAAAAGUUUAGGGACCGGUGAUGAACUUUACUCUUCUAGAAACUCCACUAUAUACCUCUUUUUUGUAAACCGUGGUUUUGAUAAUACAGUUUCUCAAAACCACAGCAUCCAUACAGGUCCUUAUCCGUUGGCAACUACAUGACCAAAUGAAGCAAAAGUGUUUUUGAUCUACAACUACAAGACCAGACAUUUGAUAAGUAAAAUCUAUGAUAGUACUCUACUACUCUAUAGGUACAGUUCUCCAAGAAUUAAAUGAAAACUAAUUAGAAUGAUCAAGCCUUUAGAGUUCUGCCAACAUGUUAUUGAAAUCCAGCUGUGCACAUUAGCUUACUACCUUCAGAAUGAUCAAGCCUUUAACCUAUACCUAUACCUAAUACACACAAAACACUAGAGAUGCAAAGUUUUAUUUUCUCUGGGUCAACCCAAAGUUAAUUUAAUUGAACUAAUUAAGAUCUCAAAGAAAAGGAUGUGGGAUAGAAAUGAAGUAACAAAGUGACCCGCUACUACCAAUUGGUGUCAAAGAAAAGGAUGUGGGAUAGAAAUGAAGUCAGAAACAAGUGAUUUUGCAACUAAAACUCUUUUAACUUUGACCAAUAAUGCCGUUGCGUUGUGGAUGUAGAUUGUCAAAUGAAAAUUUAGAAACAUGUAUUAAUUGAGCAAAUGACAUGAACACAGUUUCUGCAAAUUAUACAUGUAUUCUGUGCAGAGCACAUUAAUUCCAAGAAUUGUUAUAGUAAAAUUAUAUUAUAUGGGAUUUUGCAUGAUUCAUAUUAAGAUACUAGAAUAAAUACAUACCAUCAUAAAAUUAUCGUACAACGAUCCAUUGUCAGUAUAAGAGAUAGUAAGUCCAUGAAAGUUGAUACAUAAGAAGAGAUGGUAACUUUCAGGGUUGUUACUAAAGAAAUGUCAUCAGAGCUAUCAUCUGUUAUUCAAAUACUCACUCCAGUCUGGUUUCUAAGGUGCAUAAGAUGAAACCUCAAAUACCAAGGAGCAAUGGGGUGUUUGUGACAUCAUAUUAAUCGCUCUGUUUAUUGGAUCGUUUUUUGCGGCAUGCAUGCGAUUGCAGCACAUCAAUUGCCUGGUAUUAGUCAAGUGCUAGCUACCGAUUUUUUAUUGGAGAUUCAGUUAAUCAUGCCAGAAGAAAAAGGGAAAAAUCUCCAUGCAAGUGACUAUUCAGUUCUGUCUAUGAGUUAAAUCCUGUCUCAGUAUUCGAGUGACGCCUAAUAAUAUUACGGACUUUCUCUAAAACACAAGGACACUUUAGAAACCGGACUGGAGGGAGUAGAAGACAAAUAAUCAUAGACACAUAGUUCAAAACUCUAGGAAAUAUUAACAGGCAUGGAAUCAAUAGGAAGAAAAAGAAUCCCUGAUUCAGAGUCAAUCCUACAAUACAAUUUCCAUGGAAGUUUAUGCUCAACUUAAAUAUUAGCUGCAACAGAGAUUGCUCAGUAAGAACACUAACAUGUCAAGAAGAAAUUAGUAAUGGGAGGGUAUCAAAAUGAGCUAAUAUUUGAAGCAAUGCAUCCAUAUAUUGAACUUUUAAGGGAACAAAUGCCUAAAUGCCAAAAAGUUGAGCUUACAUGUGGGGAUACUGCGCGCGGUAGUUGUUUUGCUUCAGUUGGGGAGUAGUCCAUAGGGUUCCAACUCUUUUUGCCAGGUGGUAUAAGGUUUUCAUCCCAUGUCACAAAGUAGAGAUCCCCAUCAAGAUCACUCCCAGAUGCUUCAUUGGCAUGUGGCCUCUCACCUUUCUUGGGGAAGACCAAGCAAUCAACAAGGUGAUGCAGUUCAGGCACAUCAACAGCUUCAAGGAUCCGGACAUCCCCUGGAUGAAGGCAUGGAUUCUUUGCCAUUACGAUAGUACCCACAAUGGUCUCUGCAUUUUUGUUUGCUGAGGAAAAUCUUGGUCCAUGCUUUACCAGACAAUUAUUGAGUGAUGGAGAUGACGCCCGGAUAAAGCACUGUCCUUGCUCAAGGAUCCCAAGUUCAUCAAGGCAGCCCAUCAACCACCUCCCCUUCGGCACAAAAAUCCUUGUCUUCUCCAAAAGACCCAGUAGCUGUGAGGACCUUAUAGCUAACAGCAUUGCUUUCAGGUGUGGCUCAGUUCCAGGUGAAAUGCCAGCACUCAACAUCAGUGCUGCAGUGUUUCCUUGCUCAGCACAAGAGGUGGUUACAAUGUCAAAAGCAACAUCAGUGUCCGACAAAAUAUUAUUGAGAUUAGACAACAUGGCUUCCUGCAUUUGAGAAAAGAUAGCAUCCGGGACAUUCAAGGAGGACAGUAAUGUAAUAAUCUGACGGUUUAAGAAUCCUGGCUGAAACUUUGUCCAUGAGACCACCUCUAACACAUUAUGGUUAGACUCAAACUUGUGCAUGCUCGGCCUCAGGGAAAGUCGUAUCCCAUCAUUUUCUCCUUCCCAGACAGCUAUAACACCCUUGAAGCCUGCAUACCUAAUCUGGUAAGCGGAUGGGGGAUUAUCUGUCAAUCGCAGCUUCUGAGCAACUUCAAGUGCAAGGUCACACGUAAUCUUGCCAAUUCCAUCAGAGAAAAUGUACCCAUUGCGUUCAACUUCCUCGAGACACUCAUUGACCUCAUGCGGCUGCAUCACCACUGUAGCAUAUGUAGAUGAGAAGCACUGCCCCAUCCGAGCAGCGUGCUUUGCUACAUUCUUACUUGUGAACCGCCCCAUCCAUUUCCUAAUGGUUUCCACUGUUCUCAUUCUGUCCUCUGCGAAGAACCAAGCUGACCUGUCCCUCAGCUGGUUCGAUGAGAAUGCAAGAAAUGAGUACUUCCUACCACACAUGUGGAAUCCCUCUGUCAAAAAUGUUUUAAUACGCUUGUACACUGUUGUCUUAUGCAGGAACGAGUUUGACAUCAAAUCUUUGACAAUUUGCGCAGCAGAGAAAUUCAGCACAUUACUGUUCAGUAGCUGCAUACCCUCAUCCAUAAAAGUAACCCUGAGAAAUCUGUCUGUGACUUCACGAUAAUGACGGAUGACACGAUUAGAGCGCUCCACUUCUGGUGGCAGGCAAUAAGCUUUGGUGGGCGUGACUACCAGCCUCCUCACCUCUGAAUUGUCAUCCCCAAUCUUGUUGCGAAGAAGUUUGGGGUACCUGGCAACCCUAUCUUGCAGAUUCUUCAGCCUGCCACAUGCAUCAAAAACUGGAAAUUUGUCCCCCCAAAAUUCCCUCAAAGCAGCCACAUUCACAUCAUCCUCCUUCCUCUGGAGCAAGCCGAAGAAUUCAGGCGUGAGGUGGUGUUGAUUUAUUACUCCCUUGUGCACCAGAGCAUUCACGAGGAACAACACCGGAAACUUGAGACCCUCGGAGUGCUGCACGCAGAAGAACAGGUCCUGCAUUCGCUCCCCAAACUCAGGCUCAUCUCGCACGGUGAGGCCCCUCCUGGCCCCCCAACCACCACCGCAAUCAACGAUCGGCACCCUCCUAUCCCUCAUGUACGCCAGCGCGCGUUCCAUCUUUGGCCAGAAGCGCGGCGAGAAUGUGAUUCUAUACGCGCCGCACCGCCCAAUCGCGCCACUGGGGGUGAUGUCCGUGGUCCGUAUCCACGGGUCAUCGUCGUCGAGCAGGUCGAACGGCACGGACUCGUGGAUGUCGUCGUCCGCCGUGCGGUAAUAAACCAGCGGUGCCGCCGACAGCCGGAUCAGCAGCGAGCAGUCGAGCCGGAACACCCUGACUUCGGCGACGUCGCGUACGGGGAACUCGAGCUUGACGUCGCAGCGCAUGACCACAGACUCGCGGAACUCCCGGACUUUGAAUGCGGUGUCGCGGGCGAAGAUGAGGCGGCAAGACCCGUCGAACGGAUCGACGGAGAACUCGAGCCCAGAGGCCGGACCGCGCCAGGCGGCGAGGAAGGCGUCCUUGGCCGGGAGAUCCCCGACCUCGAGGCGUGAGCCAGGGAAGCGGAAUGGCGAGACACUGCGGCGGCGGGAGGCCCGAAGGGAGCUCUCCUGCGCGGAGGCGGCGCGCAGGGGUUUCCCGGAGAGGAUGAGCUCGGACCGCCCCGCUGCGUCGGCGGCGGCGCGCGCGCCCUCCGGGCGCGCAAAGUGGACGAAGGCGUGCGGAGGCACGCGAUCGUACUGUGGCGGCUGCGCGGCGGCGGAGGUGACGGUGGGGAGAAGGAAGUCGGGAUAGGCGUCCGGCGGGGUCCAGGAGGUCUUGACGCGGCAGCGCCAGACCAAGCCCGCCUUCAACUCGAGAAAGUCGGCAAGAUCGAGCGCCUUGACGGUGGCGUCAAAUCCGCCCAGGCUAACCUGCGUGGUCACCAGGUCGCCCGCGCGCGGCGCCGGGGACGGGGCUGCCGCGCCCCGCAGCGAUCCCAUGGUGUGGCGGUUGCCGCGGCUCCGUUGGGUGGUGGAUGCCGGAGGAGAGAGCGAUUGGUCUUUUUGGGAGGGGCCGACCCGACGGGGUUUUUGAGGGGGUUGAUGAUUUGGUUUAAUUAAUGGAAUCUGAAGGGGUUUUAAAUUUUUAAGCGUAACGAGGAACGGAUGGGUGCAAUGCAAAGUGUGUGUUGUUGUGGUUGGUCGGUCAAUGGCCUCUCUUUUUCUUCAGCCAUUUAUCGUUUUCCACUGAGGUCGGUGUGGAGUUUCAUGUCUCAAUUUUUAAUACAACUACAGUGUUUUUAAAAAACAGUGUGAUAUCAAUAUAUUUAAUAUCUAUAUCAGCAUACUUAAUGUCCUGAAGAAAAGGUAUGUACCAGCAAAAGGAGAAGUUUGAUUGUAUUGAUGCCUAUAGCACCAUUUGUGAUAUCAGAGCAGGCAAAUUAAAAGACAGGCCCAAAUUCUGAAAUAGCUAUCUCGUUUUUUUCUUAAGCAUCUCUAGGAGUUUUAUAAAACAAUUAUCUAUCUUGAUUUUUUAGCCAAAAAAAGUUCUCUUUGAUAGUUUGAUAAAAAAGCUUAUUAAAAAUAAAAAUUUGUAAAAUAAUAUCUCCAACUCAUAUGUUUCUAUAGUCGAGAGAACUUUAUAUCCCUCCUUUGUGGGCUGGUUUUCGCAAUACAUCUCGUGCGAGCGAUCAGUUUUUGAAACUGAGAACUUAGUAUUCCGCCUCUCUGGCUUUGUUUCUGUGUUACUUCUCGCGUGAGCAACUUUCUUUUUUGCACGAGAUAUAUUGUUGGUUUUAGCGGGCAUCUGUUCUCCCCCCACCCCCACUCCUCCCCUCUUUUAGUCUGGCACCAUUGGUACGGACUCACCUUCACCUCACUUCUGUCUUGUAUAACAGAGCAACAACACAUCUGCACGCCGCCAUUGAAUCUAUAGCUAUGUUCAGCCAGUCGCUUGGAGCUCCCUUGCCCUACUGGGCACUAGUUGGUUCCACAUCGCCUCAAUAGUGUUGUUGCCUCUUGUAUGAUAGCUUUGUCAUAGGCAAUCGGCCGAAAGCAGAUGAAAUUUCUCUUCUUUUUUUGAUGAACAACACAUUCAUACGUGUCGUGAUAUGGCGUAUUUGUAACUUAUUGUUUGUUGAAUGUAAAUAUAGAUCAUGGAUAAUCCAAGUUCCUAGAUUGAUACGGCGAAUAGCGACAAUGGUGAUCUGUAUUUGGAUGGAUAUGGCGAAUAGCAACAAUGAUGAUCUGUAUUUGGAUGGAUUGUUCAGCCAAUUUGAUGUGCUCUCUUCUAUUGUUGCUGCAAGUACUUAUGGUGCCAGGCCCAAAACGAAAAAGCAAAAAAAGUUUAAUAAGGAGGAUGGAUUAAUUAUGUUAGAUUGGUUGAAUACUAGGAAAGAUCUAGUGAAUAGAACCGAUCAAACUUUUGGAAGAUAUUUCCAAAGACUACAAUGCAAACAAGAGCUUCGUAUCACAUCGCACUAAGAAUUCUUUGAUGCAUAGAUUGCUGACUCUUUUAGUUGAAGUAAACAAAUUUUUGGACACGGAUCACAUGCAGUGCCUACUCACACUGCAACUUAAGCAGUGGCCACACAUGAGCCAUUGAUCCCAUCAGCAACGGUCAAGACAAGAGGAUGUAUUGUUCCCUUUUCUAGGCAUCCGUGAAGGCUUAUUGGAGGGGAAAUUCCAUGGCUUUGGCGCCAUUUCUACGAGCGUUGGGAGGCAGCAGAGCACGACGCCGUCGCACGAGCCCGUCUCGAUGUCCUCCAGCGGGCCCUCCGCCGCCGCGUAGAGGUCCAACGAAGGCGUCGCGGCGUGCGCCAUGGAGCAAAGCGCCGACACGCAAGGGACACGGCGGGAGUCCGGUGGUGACACGUAAGGGACGCGGCGGGAGUCUGGCCGCGGCCGCGGCCACAACAGCUCGAGUGGCUGCUCGGCGGCGUGCCCUCACAAAGCAUGCAUGUGAGGGGUGGCAAACCACUCGAGGAAGCACUCCCAUGGCGCAAACCACUCCAGCAGCUGUAAGUGAAGGUGCCAUGGAUGACGCCCAGCAGGUGCUCGAGGAAUCGCCUACAAGGUUGUGCUAAUCCUUUUCCCAAAACUAUCUAAUCAGUUCUGCAUAGUUGAGUUAUGGUUGUUGAAAUGUUUUAAGAAUGUUAGGGAAACACAAUAUUUGAAUUUUAUCUGUUGGUUCUUUUGAUUGUAGAUUAUAGCGAUGUAAAAUAGAACUGACAACAUUUAUAACUACAGGAUGGCUGCGAUUCCUUUUUGGAUUCCUAAAAUCGGUAUGACAUUUAGCAGUGAUGAUGAGGCUUGGAAGUUCUGGGUCAAAUAUGGUGGUAGGAUGGGGUUUGAUGUUCAGAAGUGCUAUUCAAACAAGAGCAGUCUUGAUGGAUUAGUAACAAUCUGUAGGUAUGUUUGUUCAAAUCAAGGUUCUCGGGCUAAAGAUAAGAAGUUCUCAGUUUGCAAGCGAAAUAGGGCACAUACAAGAACAGGCUGCAGGGUUCGUUUCAGAGUUCAAGUGUAUAUAUACAAGAAUAGGCUGCAGGGUUCUAAAGCUACUGACUUUCUCCUAAUCUCAUUUCAGAGUUCAAGUGUUAUUCAAGAUGCCACUAAUCCUGACUCUAUUGGAGGGAUAGAUCAUUGGUAUUUUUAGCGGUGACAUUAGGUGAUAACAUUUUGUACAUGAAGAUAGGAACAGUGCAUAUAUGCUCUCCUCUUCAGCUUUUGCAUUAAGCUUUUGGUUUAACUAUAAUUAGCAUUAAAUUAGUGAUAUGGAUCAAAAAGAUCUAAUAUGUAUGUGGUGGACAUUGUUCUGUACGCCUGACAAUUUAGCUAACUCAUAUUCUGAAUACGUUGAGACGUCUGCUAGUGCUCUUGAAUGAUUUUUCCAUGCGUUUGAGUAAAUGGUGAGAUAAAGAAAUGAGGGGAAAAAAAUAGAAGGCCAUCCUAGCCGUUGAUGAGGGGAUGAGUGGCUCAUCUCUGCCCACUGCUUAAGUUGCAGUGUGAGUAGCCACUGCAUGGAUCCCUGUCCCAAAUUUUUGUGGAUGCUACGACCAGAUCUUGCCGAAGGAGGAAUCAAAGUGGACGUACUAUUUAAGAUAAGAUAAUGUUAUGCCUUUUAUGCACUCUAUCUUUUGUGCUUACAGUUGUACUAACUAUAUUAAUUAUUGCAUAUGCAGAUAGGUAAUGCAUUGGAAUUAUAUAAGGCAACAGGCAAAGGUCGUAUUGAUGUAUUGCUGGAACAAAAUGAAAAAUGAAGCCAAGUGACAUCAAAGCUGAAGGAAUUAGCAAAGCAGAAGGAUGCUGCCGAUAAGACUAUCAAUUGGUUUGCUAGUUGCUAGCUGUAUAGCUUUGGUACCUAUUUCUCUUGGUGCUAAGCUUGCUCGAGUCACAAAUUGUUCUUCUGUACUUGAGCUUGAACUUGUUAAAUAGUGCGUAUAUCUUGUAUGUCUAUCACGUGAUUAUGAUAGAGUUGUUGAGAUAUCUUGUGAUAGGAGUUAGGAGUCCUAGAUUGUAGGACAAGUUGAUUAGUUUGUUUCUAGUUUGUUUCUCAAUCUGUUGUAACCGAUUGUAUCUGUAAGCACCACGAUGGGGGCUGUUCCCAUCUUAUUUAACACGUACCCGAGGUCCCUGGAUGGGCAACAUUAUUCACUCAAUUUGACAUGGUAUUCAGAGCCAUUCAACUCCACACGGAGAAAAACAUCCAUGGUGUUUCAUCUCGCCUCGCCUUCCGCAUUGUCUGCUGCUCCGUCCUACGGCUUCUCCGUGACCGAGAAGCUCAAGAGGAACAACUACAGGAUCUGGAGGCUCCAGGUCACGUCUACGCUGAAGGGAGCUCAGAUGAUGUCCUUCCUCGACUCCACCAACAAACCACCAUCGCCACUUCUACCCAAGAAGAAUAAAGACGACGAAGAUGAAGAGCAGAAGCCCAAUCCUGACUACAAGUCAUGGGUUGCCAAGGACCAGAUGGUCCUCAGUUUCAUCCUGACCUCUCUAGGCAAGGAGAUCAGUGGGCAAAUGCCCAUUACGGUGGUCACAGCCGUCGAGGCUUGGGAAGUCAUCAAGGGGAUGUUUGCAUCCCAGUCUCGUGCUCGUGUCAUGAGCACAAGGAUUGCCCUAUCAACAGCAACUAAGGGUGCAUCCACUAUAAGUGAGUAUUUUGUUAAAAUGAAAAGGUUAGCCGAUGAGAUGGCUGCUGCAGGUCGGAAGCUGGAGGAUGAGGAAUUGGUCUCCUAUAUUCUCACCGGCCUUGAUCAAGACUACGACUCGGUGGUGUUCGCGGUGGCGGCACGUGCCGAAACAAUCUCAGUUGGGGAGCUGUUCACCCAAUUGACAUCAUUCGAGUCUAGGAUGGAGAUUGUUGACGGUCCUUAAGUACCAAAUAUAAUCAUCAAAUAAAUAAAGAAAAGGAUCCAAAUGCAACCAACACCCAGACUUAGGGUUUUAUCUGACAGAAUUCCACGAGUUUUGGUGUUUGUCUAUUUCUGUAGGGGGUUAUCAGGAAAUACGGAAGAAAGGCCCACAUGUCGGGAUUACAUAGAGAUAUCAACGCAUCGCGCAAUUUUCUACCAUCUAGAAGACUCCAGAAGCCACGGGAAAAAAGCAGAGACCGAAAGGAGCCAGGCCCAGGGCGCCCGCCCUGAGGACCUGGGCGCCCGCCCCCUCCUGGAUGCCAAUCAGGACUCUUUUCGCACACGACAUUCCACCGACCUAAAGGAUCAAGGAUAACGUAGUACCACAUCGCCUGCUGGACCAAAAAUGCACAGAUGAGGAGGACUAUAUAAGCAGACCCCCUGGCCCCUGGAGGAGACAAAGUUUAUCAUAGAGUUGAGGGGUGCCCUCGAAGGAAAAUCUCUUCUCUAAAUAAAAUUUCUUUUUAGGCUUAGCAACCAAUGUGAGUAGAAAUAGAUCUUCUAGUUUCUACUAGAUUGAGAGAGAUAGAGUGGAGGUGUAGAUCGAAGGAAGGCCGGCUUGUCGGUGUCUACUCCGAGGUUGUACCUGCGGGAUCAAGUCUUCUAACCCGAGGCUUGCUCCUCAGAUUCUUCAGUAAUUCGACUUCUAAUUCUAGUAAGUUCUUGUUUUAUUGUUCUUUGGUUUAUGAGUUUACUUUAAUCCUCUUCCGGUUGAGUAUUAGAGUAAUCAUUGCUAGCGUAAACAUGGUGUUUAGGCUAGGGUACUCAUAGAUAUCCCCUGACUAGCUGGACCGUGGUAGUAGCGAGGAACGUGACAUUUCCGAGUUACCUUUGUAUCCCACAUCUCGUUAGCAGGAAGGGUAGGUUUAUAGGUGCGGGUCGAACAUCCUUUGUGGUGUCUAGAUUCCGUAAGCUUCCCCAAUAGAACAGUAGAUCAUCCUUACCAAGGUUAGAACGAGACUACGGUUGCAGUCUUCUCUAUACAUCACUCACAUCGAGAAACAUUCUUUGUAGCCUAAAGGAUAGUAGCAAUAGAUUUGGUUAGUCAGAUGCACCCUUUCUUCCAGCGGUAAAAAUAUAAAUACUAUACUCUGGAAAACCUCCCGGAUGAAAUGCUCACCGAUAUCCGUGCGCUUGAGGAUCAUUUCCUUAUUGCGUUACCAAAUAUCAACAGGCAUUUCUGGCGCCGUUGCCGGGGAGAAAGACGGUUUGCUGAGAUAACUUUGAGUCUUGCUAUUAUCUUGUAUUAUACUUUUAUAUUUUUAUUCUUUUAUCUUUUUAUUUUUUCCAUCUUUAUGGAUAACUUAAAUUCCACACCUAUUAUUGAAUUAUUUGCACCUUCGGAGACCAGCCAUAGACCAUGGGAGUCAACAAGUCCUGCCCCUAAUUAUGAUCUUUGUCCGGAGUUGAUUGCAAUAGGUCAAAACCAACCCUUUUCUAUAGCUGAGGUCCUAUCUUUUAAUCAAGAAGAUAAUGCAUUUUUAGCUACACCUAAGGAAUCUGUUAAUCUUUCUAUAAAUUCUGGUUUAGACCUAGCCCUACAAGACCAUGUUUUUUCUCGAUAUUUUCACAUUGGUCUUAAUUAUAUAACCAUUGGUAGAGUCUUUCUUUCUUUAUCUAUUAGUAAAGGAAGGUAUGUCUUCAUUCGUGGACAUCCUUCUUGUACUAGUCUUCAUAGAAAAAUCUUAGAGAUAGAGAAGGAAUCAUCUCCCAGACGAGGAAAGGAAGUUUCAAUAGCCAAUUUCCAAACAUUUCAAUCUCAUGAUUCGGCUAUCCAACCCAUCCUUGAGCCUAAUAAUUUCUACUACGCUCUUUCUCUUGAACCUCCCAAUGAUCCUGUGAAUCUCUCUAGACAUCCCAUUCAUAAGAGUCACCAAGACCACAAGGAGGAUCGAGAAGAGCAACAUCAAUGGCUAGAGGGCAGUAAAAAUCCAUGUGCUAUCACCACAUUUGAGAUCUCCAACCCUCUCUUCUUUUCUAUUUAUAACAACUUUAAAAGAGCGGUUGUCGAUGCAUAUGUCUAUAAUAAAUAUUGCAGAUCUCGUUGAGUUGAUUGAUGGUUUCCCAAGGACAAGCUUAGUGUCCUAAAACAAGCACUUAUCAGAUCAUAACAUGAACUUCUAAUUAUUUGCAACAUUGCCUUGUGUAUUGAGCAUAUAAAGAUAACGUAGAAAUAUUCCUUCGGGUAUUCGUGUCACUAACCUUUCUAGGAUUGGAGCAGAAAGAUCCGAGAAAUGACAAGCACAAGGUAUGUCCAACCAAUCAUCAUGCAACAUUGAAUAAAAUUCAUCCAAUCUUGAAUUUUGCAAAAUUCAAGCUUGGGGGAAAUACCUUACAUAAAAACAUCAUUUGCCAUGUUGCUAUGUUGGUUGUCCUUACCUUUGAGACAUGCUCAAUUUGUUAAAUACUAAUUACACUACUUCACCUCCACUUGAGUAAGAUCUCUAUAAAUGCUCUCAUACUACCUUAUGUCUAGGUUUGGAGUAGUUUCAUUUAUCUCUUAAAUCAAGCAUGGUGCUUAGUUUAGGAAUGAUGAUCUUACUUCCAAAGGAUUUUUAAAUUAAGCAUGGUGCUUAGGUUAAAAUGCCCUCCUAAAUCAAAUUAGACAUAGUGUCUAGGUUGAUUUUUGAGCCGAUAGUAUGCUAUAGUAGAUAUGGGAUAUUUUGUUGGACUAACCCCUGCAGGAAAACUUUCAAUGUCAACCUGGGAACUCCUGAGAUACAAACUCAUUGGAGAUAAAGGAGACACAUGAAGUUUAACAAUUUGCACAAGAAGGACAUAACUCAUUUAUCAUAAAGAGAUGAUCUAUGGAGAGUGCCACAAACACGAUGCACAACCGCUAAGAAAGGGAAUCUUCCACAAGGUGAGAUGGUACCAUCACUCUUCAAUUAAGGUAACAUCUUAAGGUACUUGACUAUCGCUUUUAUAAGUUUCUCCUUGGUUCUGGCAUUCACAUAAAAUAAAGAGACAAACAUGUAUUAUUUGUAACUCCAAAUUAACCAACCCAAUUAAUUCAACAUGUUUAGUCCUUUAAUCUUUGUUCUUAGUACUACCUUUGUGAUCCCACACUCCUAAUCAUAUAAGCUAAUAUAUUACACAUUCAAUCUUUGGAAGAUAUAAACAAAACAUAAAUAUAGAUAGAUUAUCUUUCCAUUAGGUUGAGCCAUCUGAUCUGACAAAUGUUUCAAAUGCUACACUCAUGAUCCUAUCAACUUUGUCUUGCUCACUAUGCUUAAGGUUAGAGAAGAACAAAUACACUUUUGGUUAUGUUGGUGUUUUUCACCAACAGGACCCAUGCACUUGAUCUCUGCCUUGUCUCUAUGAGCAGGUACACUUCAAGCAAAACAUGGAGGAGUUUUACAACUCCUAGAUUCCACCAAGUGAAGGACUUGGAUCUAUGAGCACAAACACACUGAGCAGGAUAUUGCCAACACCGCACUUCGAACUGCUGGACAAACAAAGAACAUAGGUGACACCGUAUCAAGAGGUGCAGAUGUCAAGGUCCACACCUAAUCAAAUGAUGCACCUAAAGGAUGAAGACGGUGAGAAGUCUUGUCCAGAAGACAUAAAACAUUGGAUCCUUGUCGGAGGAGGUCAAGAUCGUCGACUCAAGUCGCCUUUUCUGAUCAAUAAAGACGACCCUGGUGUUCCAAGCAUCGAGUGCACAAUCAAUGGAUACUCUUUUCAAUAGACACUCUACGACACCGGAUCUGACUGUAACACCCAAAAUUUGAUUUUCAAAUAAUAGGAAUUUAUUUGAUUUAUUUAAGAAUUUUUGUGAGCAUUUGAAUCUAGCAAAAUAAAUAAUUUGGUGCAAAUUAAAAUUUACCAUAAAUUUAGAAACAUGAAUAUGCAUUCAUGCUGGAGCAUGCUUUAUUUUGUGCUGAUUGCCUUGUUUUGAAUUUGUUUGCAAUGAAAAUCUCUUUUGAAAAGGUUUUGGAAAUAGAAUGAAAAAAAAGAAGAAAAGGAAAAUCAGUCGGACUCGGCCUGGUGGCCUGCUGGCCGAGAGGCCCAGCCAGCCUAAUUCCCCCCUGGCUCUUUUCUUUCCCCCCGGCCUUCUCCCCAGCCCGUUAGCGCAGCCCAGUAGCCAGGCCCGCCAGCGCGCUCCCAUCUUCCCCCUCCUUCUGCCCGCUGACAUUCCGACCCCGCACGUCAGUGUAAUGCCCCAGUUUCCUUCUUCCUCGCGCCGUCACCGAGCGGGACUCGGUGGAAAGCCACCGAGCAAUCCCGGCUUCCACGGGGGCCUUCCUUCGACGCGGUUUGGGAUCCUAUAAAGGCCUCCGACGCUGCCCCGCACCCCGUUUGCCCACCCCGCCGCGAAACCAAGCCCUAGCAGACUUCUCGUCGAAGCGUUGGAUCUCGCCGGAGCCGCGCGCGUUCCACCGCCGUUACCAAGCCCCUCGUUCCCCCUCGGGUCAAGCAAAGUCGCUAGGUGAGAUCGCGUCGCCGUCCUCUUUCUUCCCGUGCCUGCAGUUCGUCGUUUGGUGACCGAAAUGGAGAAGCCGAGGAGCUCCGGUGAGCUCGGGGCGGCGUCCAUGGCGCUCCACCGCGCCGGCGCCCACGUCCGGUCAGCCGUCGGCCACGGACGCGCCCAGGAGUCCUCCCCACCGUCCGUUUGAAGAUCUGCGGCCGAGAUUAGAUCAUACCGUUUCGUUCUAAGUUUUGCUAAAGAGACCCUCUGGAUUAGAGAAAUCAACCCGCGGUCCUGGCACCCUGGAGGAGUUUACGCUUUCCAGCGUUAAAAGCGUUUUUUUGCCGGCUCAGUUCGUUUGAAGAUCUGCGGCCGAGAUUAGAUCAUACCGUUUUGUUCCAAGUUUUGCUAAUGAGACCCUCUAGAGUAGAGAAAUGAACCCGCGGUCCUGGCGCCCUGGAGGAGUUUACGCUUUCCAGCAUUAAAAGCGUUUUUCUGCCGGCUCAGUUCAAAGGCGCUUUCCAGAAAAUUACAGAAAUGCCACUGAUUUUGUUUUACUCAUAAAAUACUCAUUUUAACUCCGUUUUUGUCCAUUCAAAUUGCGUUAGGUUUGUAAUUAUAUGCUCUACAUGUUAGAAAUAUUAGUUUACUGUUUGGAAACUUUUUAAUUCUGCAGUAGCAUUUAAUUAAUUAUUUCUCUAUAGGAAAUCUUAGAAAAUUCAUAUCUUUCACGUUCUAAUUCCGAUUUUUGUGAACUUUACGUUUAUGUGAUCGUAGCGCUGCGUAGAAUAUUUUGAUAAACUUUUAUAUUUGUUUUAUCACUGUUUGGUGUAUUGUUCUAAUUAUAUCUUGUUUGCUUUGUGUAUGAUUGUCUACAUUGGAUUGCGUGUUGUUGAUUGAUGUUUGGGAAUAGACGGUGAGCCGUACGUUGGUGAUCAAGACCAGCUUUUGAAGACCAGCAGGCUCAGGAGAGCUUUGAGCAAGGCAAGUAUAACUUGGGAUCAUCCUUGUUACCUGUUCACUUAUAACUAUACAUUUAUAUCAUAUGCAUACUAUCACCUUGUUGACCUUAGCAAAAUCAUAGAUGAUUGUUACCUGUAUUCCUUGCUACCUACUUGAUAUGCAUUUGGUGUAGAUGUGUUAGUGCUUGACAUAAUCCAUGAUCUUGUAAGAUGAUUAAUAGCUAUGCAAUGAACAUAAAAGAAUGACAAAUAACUGUAUGAGAUCUUGUCUGUAUGUGAUCACCCGGGAUAACAGUGCAACCAUGAGGGCUAUAAUGGCUCUGGCUUUAGCUCAGUAUGGAGACCUUUUCUAGCUUGUUAGAGGUUACCCGAAAGGGCGGAGGGGCUGAACCGUUUUGGGUAUAGUGCGAGCCCCUGUCCCUAUGUGUAUAGGCUGCGCGUCAUUGUGCCAUUCGGAAGGGGAGUAUCUAUAUCUAGGCGCAAAGGAAACCUUGCGGACCUAACAUGUUAGACGAACUUUUGAAAGGCUUCAUAGUGAUCCCUGCCGACCUCCCUAGGAAGGGGGUUAAGAGAUUAGCUACCUCGGGCGAAAGGGUAAAUCAUGACUCAUGGGUAAAGAUGUACAACCUCUGCAGAGUGUAAAACUGGUAUACUAGCCGAGCUCACGGUCAGGAGCGGCCUUGGGGACAUCUACAUUAAGAUGAUGAGCUUAUUAUAUUAUUAUGUUCAUUUGAUUAUCGUUUAUGCUAUGAGUUAAUUAUGCUUACACUUGAUCAUGGGAUUAAUGGAUUAUUUAUGCUACCUUGACAAUUGCUAUUCAAUUAUGAAUAUGCUAUCCACUAUUAAAAGCUAAAUGCAGUCAAACCAGUGUUAGCUAUUUGAGCCUCAUGAACCCCUGGUUAUACUUGUUGAGUACGAAAUGUGCUCACUCUUGCAAUUUCCCAACACCUCAGGAUAUGAUAAUGAAGAUGACUGGAAUGAGGAUUACCGCUAUGAGUACUAGGUUUGGAGUCAACCAGUCAAUAGUGUCCCUGUGUGGAGCUUCCGUCGAGAGCGUUGUUUACUUUUUGCUAUCAUUUAUGUAUAAGACUAUGUGAUUUACUAUGUUUCGUUAUGUAAUAAACACUGCAAUGGUACAUUUGAGAUUUGUCUACUUAUGUGUGCGACUGUUUCUGGAGCACAUAUGAGUCUUUUUAUGCAUCCUAUUUUGUUCUUAAAAUAUGGGUGUGACACUGACGACAACAUAAUGGCCGCAGUCACUUAUCAGCUCCUGCAUGGAACCAUGCCCCUACAACCAAUAUAUAUUCAGCUCCAGAUGAUUUUCAGGUCAUUGACAUGGGAGAAGACGAGUAUGAUCCACCCACCAUCCUUGAAAGACCGUUCCUCAACACUAUCAAAGCAAUCAUCUAUAUUGGAACUGGAGAAGUCCGUAUGUACUUCCCCUCUGAGAAGGUACGCAACUAUUUUACUGACCCUAACUAUAUAGUUGAAGACUCUAAGCAGGUCAGGACAAGAAGACGACGCAACCGCAACCAGAGAAGGCAAAUCAUCAAGAACAGAUGGGUAGACUACGAAGGAGAAGUGAUAAGGACUGAAGACAUAAAGCUUAAACAGAACCGUCCCGAGGAGACCGUAGCACCGAGUCAGAAAGAGAAGAUAGUUAUACACGAAGAGGAGGCACCGCCGGAACCACCGACUAUGCCAUCCAGCGAAUCCCAGGACGAGUGAGAAAACGGAGAGUCCCGUUCGGAGGACUUAAAAACACCGAACGCCUUGCCAAGAGGUAAACUUGGUAGUUAUCCUUUUCCUUUCAAUUAUUCAAUUAUAGUUUGCUUAGUUAAUCAGGUUCAUAUCAUCUCGAAAAGAAAAUAAAAAUGUUAAAAAUAGUAAGCCCCAUGUGAGUAUGCUCAUGGCAUAAAACCCAUAGGUACAUUCACUGUGGUGGCAUAAAAUAAAUAUGUUUUCAUCUUACAAUAAAAAUAUAAAAAUAAUAAGUGCAUGAUCCUGCUAAAUAAAUAACAUUUAUUGAGGAGGCUCAACAUGAUAAAGGCUAGAUAUUUAUACUAACACUUAACCAGUUCCACAAAGCUUUGUUGUCUAUUUGAGCUCCACAGAAUUCAAGGAUCAAAGAAGACUAGCAGACGGAGGACAUCCUAAUUGAUGUUAGGGUGCUGCCGACAUUCAAAUACACCUCUACCACCUGCUAGCUACAUCAGAAGAAAUUACGUCAAAAUCCAGCUUGGGGGAGAGCACCCCCAUUUAUCUAGCUAAGUGUUUCUACUCGCGUUUAUACUUUACUCAAAUAAUAAAAGAUGCAUAAUCAUGAAAACCCAAAUAAAGAUUUUGUGCUUUUAUAUAUAUCUUUGCUUAGUUUGCUAAAUAAAUAAAUAAAUAAAGUUUGCUAUGAACCCUCAUGAUAAACUCUCACAUGGAAAUGAUGAAUAGUUGCUCUGCCAUGACUAGUUCUUAAAAUUGAAAUCUCUCUCAAGUUUAGGCAUGACUGUUAUGAAGUAAGAUUUGCUCUAAACCUGAACUUGUGGGAAGAGUACUUGAUCUAAAGUCUAAGUUGUUAACGGAUAUGAUAUGGGAAGGUUGAGCUGCUGUUUAUCUGUUCCUAGAGAUGCUAGAAUUCUGGAGAAUUUUAUCUUUGAAAAAUCUUUAAAAUAUCACAUGAUGAGUUCCUGUAUGAUGAGAGUUUAAAAUCCUACCACAGCCAUAUAUACAUGCUUAUUAGACUUUGAGCCACACAUUUACUUUUUACUGCUUAUGAGCAUUGAGUGUGGUCAAGCUGUGUAGACCCUUAGGAGCUUGUCAUGUGGUUAAAAUCAAGAUUCACUUGCAUGUUCACUCGUAUAUGCUGCUUCUACUCCGGAAGUACGCAUCCACAUACAUCCACUCAUCUCCAUCUCCAGAUUCACCCAAAAUUAUUCUACUCCUAAUCCGGGAGAGAAUAGCCAAAAACAUUUUCCUAUCCCUGUUAUUCCCUGUGAAAUAAAUGCUCCAGUUAUUUUGGUUACUACCACUUGCUACAUUAUUUCAGGAGAUGAGUGCUCUAAAAAUAGAAAAAAAUAAAUAAUAUACGAGGAAAUAAAAAGGGGCAAGUGCCCGGAACCUCGAAAGAAAAGAAAAAGUGAGACGAGAGGUAAAAAAGUGAGAAAAAGUGUCCGAUAGUAGAAUUAGGGGUACAAGAUACCCACCUGAGAGGAAAGAAAAAAAAAAUAUAGAGCAUCUCAUUCUCCUCAAAAAGCUUCAAAGUGCAAGAAAGGUAUGUAUCCCCUUAAAAGAGCAAAAGUAGAAUUAGACUUUCACCAUUGUUAUCACCAUCAUCACCAUACACCAUUCACUCGCCACACAUGCACAUCUUGAUUUGACUUAUUGACUUGUUUCUCUAGAUCCAUGGUUUGACUAUGCAAUAAAUGUCUUGUAAGUAUGUAUUACCUGUCUCCCACCUAUGAGCUCCAGAUAUUAAAACCUUAUUAGAGUAGGGUGAGAGAGAAGGAAAUAUCACUAUGCCUCAUACCAAAAAUACCACAUAUUUUGAGAGAAGGCAUAUACCAUUACUGCCUUAGAAAGGAUCCAGAAAUACCACAAAAGAGAGAUCUGAGAGACUCAUACAAGGAAUCUCUGAGUUUUAUUUUAAAAUCUGCAAGAACUCCAGAGCUAUAGCUGAUCAAGAAUAAGAGACAAGGCGCUUUACUUGACCGUUCUAUCUUUUAACUGCUCAAGACACAAGUGACGGUAACAAGCCCCAUGGUGAAAGGUAAAAUGAGUAAGUUUUAAGUCUUAACAGUUUACUCUAACUCAGAGAUGAGAUCUUGCUUGAAUGCGUGUGUACUUUUAAGGCAUGAAACCACUGUAGAAACUCUUGAGUUCAUCCUUGCUCAGGGACGUGCAAGAGGUAAGCUUGGGGGAGUUGUUGACGGUCCUUAAGUACCGAAUAUAAUCAUCAAAUAAAUAAAGAAAAGGAUCCAAAUGCAACCAACACCCAGACUUAGGGUUUUAUCUGACAGAAUUCCACGAGUUUUGGUGUUUGUCUAUUUCUGCAGGGGGUUAUCAGGAAAUACGGAAGAAAGGCCCACAUGUCGGGAUUAUAUAGAGAUAUCAACGCACCGUGCAAUUUUCUACCAUCUAGAAGACUCCAGAAGCCACGGGAAGAAAGCAGAGGCCGAAAGGGGCCAGGCCCAGGGCGCCCGCCCUGAGGACCUGGGCGCCCGCCCCCUCCUGGAUGCCAAUCAGGACUCUUUUGACACACGACGUUCCACCGACCUAAAGGAUCAAGGAUAACGUAGUACCACAUCGCCUGCUGGACCAAAAAUGCACAGAUGAGGAGGACUAUAUAAGCAGACCCCAUGGCCCCUGGAGGAGACGAAGUUUAUCAUAGAGUUGAGGGGUGCCCUCGAAGGAAAACCUCUUCUCUAAAUAAAAUUUCUUUUUAGGCUUAGCAACCAAUGUGAGUAGAAAUAGAUCUUCUAGUUUCUACUAGAUUGAGAGAGAUAGAGUGGAGGUGUAGAUCGAAGGAAGGCCGGCCUGUCGGUGUCUACUCCGAGGUUGUACCUGCGGGAUCAAGUCUUCUAACUCGAGGCUUGCUCCUAAGAUUCUUCAGUAAUUCGACUUCUAAUUCUAGUAAGUUCUUGUUUUAUUGUUCUUUGGUUUAUGAGUUUACUUUAAUCCUCUUCCGGUUGAGUAUUAGAGUAAUCAUUGCUAGCGUAAACAUGGUGUUUAGGCUAGGGUACUCAUAGAUAUCCCCUGACUAGCUGGACCGUGGUAGUAGCGAGGAACGUGACAUUUCCGAGUUACCUUUGUAUCCCACAUCUCGUUAGCAGGAAGGGUAGGUUUAUAGGUGCGGGUCGAACAUCCUUUGUGGUGUCUAGAUUCCGUAAGCUUCCCCAAUAGAACAGUAGAUCAUCCUUACCAAGGUUAGAACGAGACUACGGUUGCAGUCUUCUCUAUACAUCACUCACAUCGAGAAACAUUCUUUGUAGCCUAAAGGAUAGUAGCAAUAGAUUUGGUUAGUCAGAUGCACCCUUUCUCCCAGUGGUAAAAAUAUAAAUACGAUACUCUGGAAAACCUGCCGGGUGAAAUGCUCACCGAUAUCCGUGCGCUUGCGGAUCAUUUCCUUAUUGUGUUACCAAAUAUCAACAGAGAUGAAGAACGGCGGGCGGUACCAGUCGUCUACCAAUCUUGUAGCAAAGGGUGGCCGCGGCAACAACAACACCGGAUUUCAUGGCAGAGGCCAUGGCAACGGCCACAAUAUGUUCGGUCGUGGCAGAGGAGGCUGCAAUGGUGCAUGUCCUGGUGGUGGCUUCUAGGCUAGCAUGUUUUGCCAGCUUUGCGGCAAGGAAGGUCAUGCCAUCAUCAAGUGCUUCACGCGCUUCAACACCUCCUUCAGUGGACCACCACAGAAAUCGGCGUCAUCUGCCAUCACCUCAUAUGGACUUGACUCCAACUGGUACCUGGAUUCAGGUGCCACCGACCACAUCACCUCAGAACUUGAGAAGCUGACGACCAUGGAUAGGUACAACGGUGGCGAUCAGGUACACGCUGCCAAUGCGAAUGGUAUGAACAUUACUCAUAUUGGUCAUACUACUCUACUUACCCCAUCUAGUCAAGUCCACCUCAAAAAUAUUCUUUAUGUGCCUAAUUCUCAUAAAAAUUUAGUUUAUGUCCAUCAGCUCACUCAUGAUAACAAUGCUUAUAAUGAAUUUUAUCCCACUCAUUUUUCCCUCAAGGAACAGUCGAUGAAGAAAACUCUUCUUCAAGGCAGAUGUGAAGAAGGCUUAUAUCCCUUGCUGUCGUCAUCUAGAUCGUCAUCAAAUAAAGAAGCAAACGGCGCUGUCAAGUCGUCAAAGUCCUUGUGGCAUCAUAGACUAGGACAUGCCUCGUCGCCCAUAGUUAGGCAGGUGCUUAGUCGCAACAAUAUUUUCUUUGUCAAUGAGUCCAAUAAUCAUGUGUGUAAUGCCUGUCAGCAAGGCAAGUGUCACCAGUUACCAUAUCCUAGAUCAACUAGUAUGUCUGCUAGUCCACUUGAUCUCAUUUUUUCUGAUGUUCGGGGUCCAGCACCAGCUUCGGUUGGUCGCAAUCAAUAUUAUUUGAGUUUUAUAGAUGAUCACAACAAUUUUGUGUGGGUUUAUCUCUUGCGUCAUAAGUCACAAGUUUUUCAGUCCUUUCAAGAUUUCCAGCAGCUAGUUGAAAGGAAAUUUGAUCGAAAAAUCAAGGCCAUACAAACCGAUUGGGGCGGGAAGUAUCAAGCCUUGAGUCCAUUCUUUAAGCGGGUGGGCAUAACCCACUUGGUGUCCUACCCACACGCCCACCAGCAAAAUGGCUCUGCUGAACGCAAACACCGACACAUAGUAGAAGUCGGCCUGUCUCUUCUAGCUCACUCCUCCAUGCCUUUAAAAUUCUGGAAUGAGGCCUUUCUUACAGCAGUGUUUCUAAUCAAUAGAUUUACCUUCAAAGGUCAUAGAUGAUGAUACGCCCUAUUUCCGUCUUUUUGGACAGCAACCAAACUACAACAAACUUCGAUCCUUUGGUUGUGUGUGUUUGUCGAAUCUGUGGCCGUUCAAUGCACGAAAACUUGAGUACCGAUCCAAACAAUGUGUCUUUCUUGGCUACAGUACUCAACACAAAGGGUACAAAUGCCUAGAUCCAUCUUAGGGCCGUGAUUAUGUGUCAAGAGAUGUUGUGUUUGAUGAAAAAGUUUUUCCCUUUGCUUCCAUGCAUCCUAACGCUGGUGCGAGACUUAGAGCUGAACUCAGUCUUUUACCUGACAUUUUCCUAAAUCCAUCUAAUGACUUUGUGGAUGUAAGAGUUAAUGGUUCAAUGUUGAGUUCUAUUCCAUCUAACUCAUCUACCAGUGCAGGAAAUGCUUCAUUACCUGUAGGCUUAAUUCCUACUCAAAAUGAUGAAGUAACAAGCUCAUACGGCGUAAAAGACAGGGGUAUUUUAUGUGUCCCCCCACCGGAGGCAGCACACGAGUCGAAGCCGAUCACCCUGCGACUGUAGGCGUAUCUAUCGGUGAAGCAGCUUCGAGAUUGGCAUCUUGGCGGUAGUAGUCUUGUGUCCGCACGAGGGCUGUUGUCACUGUCACGCAGGGUGGGGUCCUCUACAGGAUCGUCUGUGGACGCAAAUCCUACGCUCCAGUCUGGUGAACCAUGUGUGGCCACAGAGACCGAUCCCGUGGUGCCAUCCGAUGCAAAUCACCAGGAGGAUUUGCCGACCGGAUCCUUUGUGGCUUUGGGUGGAUCUGCUACGGCAUCGACGCCAAGAGCUAAUCCUGUGGCUUCCCCACCUCAACCUCGCCAUCAGCAUGGUACACAGCUACACAGUGGCAUCGUCAAGCCCAAGGUGCACAUAGAUGGCACUGUGCGAUGGGGCAUGGUUUCUCAAGUAGUGUCGGAAGAACCUGCUACCAUCCGUGAAGCUCUGUACGACAAAAACUGGGCGUCGCCGAUGCAAGCUGAGUAUGAUGUUUUGCAACGCAAUCACACCUGGCGCCUGGUACCUCGACCACAAGGUAAAAACAUUAGAGAUUGUAAGUGGAUUUACAAAGUUAAACGCAGAGUGGAUGGCACUAUUGAUCGCCAUAAAGCACGACUUGUGGCAAAAGGGUUUAAGCAGCAAUACGGGUGUGGACUAUGAGGACACGUUCAGUCCUGUAGUUAAGGCCGCGACCAUUCAUUUGGUAUUGUCUGUUGUUAUGUCAAGAUUCUGGUCACUUCGUCAGUUGGAUGUCCAAAAUGCGUUCUUGCAUGGUCUACUGGAAGAAGUCUACAUGAAACAACCUCCAAGGGUAUGUCAAUCUACAGUAUCCUGAUUAUGUUUGCAGGUUAGAUAAAGCCCUUUAUGGCUUGAAGCAAGCCCCCAGAGCCUGGUGAAAGGGUCGAGAUGGCGGACUAGAGGGGGGUGAAUAGUACUUUCUAAAACUUAUCGCACCGGCUAACCGAAGUAAGUGCGGGAUUAACUAUCGGUCUAGCCAAGACUACACCCCUCUAUCUAAGUUCUCUAGCACCUUGUAAAGGAUCCUAAACAAGCAAAAAAGGUGCUACCUUAGCAAGAGCUCACCUAACCAAUUCUAGAAGCAAGGUCACACAAACCUAUGCCACUAGUACUUUGCAAACCGGGGAGCUCCUACACAACUAGUAAGCAAAAGCCCAAAGCUCCUAAGCUCACUAGCAAUGCUCAAUAACAAGGCAACCAAUGCCAAAUUAGAGAGCGCAAAAUACUUAGCUACACAAACUAAGCAAUGUGACUAACAAAGUUACACAAACCAAAUUAGUCACGCACGGGGAACUACUUCUAGCUACACAAGCAAGAAGGUAACUAGCAAGCUAAACAAGCUAACUAAUUAUAAGAGCAACUACACAAGCAUAAGUAUAUGAAUGUAAGAACAAGCUUGUGUUAGGGACUUGCAAACCAGCGGGAAGAACAAAGUUGACACGAUGAUUUUCUCCCGAGGUUCACUUGGUUGCCACCAAGGUACGUCCCCGUUGUGUCGACCAACACUUGGUGGUUUGGCGACUAAGAGGUGUUACACGAACCUCGUCCCCACUGGGACACCGCAAGAACCUACCCACAAGUAAGGUAGCUCAAUGACACGCACGAUCCAAUAGAGUUGCUCUUCGCGAUCCCCGCAGGGUGAGCACCAUACCCCUCACAAUCUCUUCUCCGGAGCACCGCACAAUCUCCUUGCGAGCUUCGAUGGAGUCACAAGCCACCAAGCCGUCUAGGAGGUGGCAACCUCCAAGAGUAACAAGCACCACUAGCUUGCAACACGAAGACCUAGUGCCACUCGAUGCAAUCUCUCAAUGCAACGCACUAGAAUCACUCGCUCGUUAUCGAUUUACACUCUUGCAAGCAUAAGUGAGUUAGAGGCUUUCCUAGCACUCCCCAAGCAUGGACACUAAGUCCCAAGGGUGCUCAACCCCAGCCAAGGCCGGCCAACACUUCUAUUUAUAGCCCCAAGGGCUAAACUAGUCGUUGCCCCUUCACUGGGCAAAACAUGUGGGUACCGGACUCACUUCAAGGAGCCACCGGACGCUCAACCCUAGCGUUCGGUGCUCAAGCGACAGCCACGUGUCACUAGCCAUUUGAAAUCGACCGUUGCCGCCAAUGGCUACCACACGCUCGUGCCUGACAUAGCACCACCGGACGCUCUGCAGGUCCACACCAGAUGCGUCGGUGCACACCGGACCCGUGCGCAGAGAGCUCCGCAAACUCGCAGGGUCACCGGACGCGAGCCACCGGACGCACCCUGAGCGUCCGGUGCUCUUCAGUCAGAGACCACUCACGCACAAUUGCUGACGUCAUUCCACACCGGACACGUAGACAUUAACCGCCCCGCAUCCGGUGCGCUCUGCACACCUGAGCCACAGACUGCCACCACACCAGACGCUCUGGACCAACGUCCGGUGCUGCCAACACCAGCGUCCAGUGAGUGUUUCUCAGCGAGAAACACUCCCACGACUUCUCCAAACUUCCCACUGAACCACCAAGAGUACACCACCAUGUGCAUGUGUGUUAGCAUUUCACAAACAUUUUCCCAAAGGAGUUAGCCUCUGAAACUUGCCACGCCACUUGAUCCUAACACGUACGCAAAGUUAGAUCACUCAAGUGGCACUAGAUGACCGAUAUGCAAACAAGUUUGCCCCUCUUGAUAGUAUGGCCAUCUAUCUUAAAUCCGGUCAUAAACUUCUCUACACACCUAUGACCGAUGAAAUGGAAAUGCCCCUAGGUUAUACCUUUGCCUUGCGCUUUCGAUUCCAUCUCCUCCAAUGUUGAUGCAACACAUGCACCAACCAAUCAUCAAAUGAUAUGAUCCACUUCAUAUCAUCAUGUGACCGUAUUGGUUCAUCGAUCUUGACCUCACUUGCUCUUCACCAUUGCCUCGGUCCAUCGGCGCCAAGUCUUGCUCAAGCUUCACCGUCACACGCGGUCUCUCGCUUCAAAACCUCCGACUUGCCCUUCACUCUUACAACCGGUCCAUCAAGCCAAGCCUCAUCUUGAUCUUCUCCACCUUGGUCACAUGACUCCAUGUCAUGUAUCAUGUGCAAUGAGCUCCUCCAUCAUCACAUGAUCACUUGUGGACUAAUCUCCUGUGUAUCUCACAUAAACACUAUUAGUCCACCUAAGUUGUCACUCAAUUACCAAAACCAAACAAGGGCCUUUCAAUCCCCCUUUUUGGUAAUUGAUGACAACUCUACAAAGAUAUGGAAAAUAAGCUUUUCAAGCUAGCACUUCACACAAGUGUAAAUUACUAACUUGGUUCAGAUUUUAUGCUACUUAUCCAACAUUUAAGCUCUAUGUCAAGAUUUGGAUAAGCACUACAAAACCCUACUAAGUGCUAAGGUGUAUAGAAUAAACCUUUGUAUCUCGAUACCAAAUUCGAUAUCAUUUGAAGCAUUCAAUGUGCACCAUCCUUAGCACCAUGUGUAGCUAGACAACAAAACACUAGAAACCCCGUGAGAUCAACAUUAUAAGCAAGGGUCUAGUUUUUACUUGAAAAGCAUAAGUCUAGCUACCAACCUAUGCAUGCUAGUUAUUAUAUCAUCAAUCAAGUUCUAUAACUAGCAUACACCACACAAGCAUGCAUAUUGAAUUUAAAAACUUAUGCAAUACAAGCAAGCACAUGAAUAUACACAAAUCAAAUGCAAUCAAUCAAUGUUCAUGAGCUUGCUCCCCCUACUUGUGUGCUUCUCAUGUUCAAGAAUUUUGAUCCUUAUUGAUCCAUCUUAAUGUUGCUCCCUCUUUAUCCAUGUCCAUCUUUGAUCUCUUCCCUUUGAAACAUAUCUUUUGUUGUCCAACUUAUCCCAUGAUCAUAUAUUUGUUCCAACUUCUCCCCCUUUGUCAUCAAUUUCCAUAAAAGGUAUGUGAUACCAAUUAAAUAACUUCAUACCAAUUGAAAAGUGUGAAUCUCAUUGUGACAAAGGAUUGCAUUGGGAUAGAUGGUUGAGGCUUGAAUCUUGCAUUUUUUAUGGACAUCACCAUAUAUGUUGGAAUGACAUUACUUGAAUUGCUCUUGAGAUACCACAUAGGAUCUUUGACCUUGAUACCAUUGGUGGGGCACUCCCCCUAUGUCAUAGCAUGGGUCAUUUACUUGUCAAUCUUGUUGGUGAGGGAACUUUUCUUUGCUUGAUGACCACUUAAAGUUCAGGAUCACUUGUGGAACCACCUUCUUGUAUGAUAGAUACCAUAUGUAUAAAUGUGAUAUCACUUGAAAUAUCUUGUCCGAUACCAUAUGGGAUUCUUCUACCAAUUAAGGUCUUCUAGUAUGGAACCACUUGUUUGCUAUUCUUGAACAUUUGCUAUCUUGAGUACCAAUUGUAGGAUACCAAUUGAAGAAACAUUUGAGUCUAGAUAUCCAUUUGUAUUGUUGUCUUGUUCUUGUACUCUAAUCAUCAUGAGCUUCUAAUUGUAGACUUGAACUAUGUUGAUUUGCCUAAGUUUUCAAGUCCGGUUUGAACCAAUGACAAGCUUUUUCACACCUCAUAUUAAGGGUUAUCUUGCCAAUGUUGUACUUGUUAGCAAUCCAAAAUAGAUCAUGUACUUGGGUUCACUAGCUCAUGAAUAAACUCAUAUACAUACCACUAGAUCAACUAAUCAUUCAAGCAAUAGUGGUAGGUUAUGAAUUUAAAACUUUUCAUUUGUCAUGCAUGAUCCUAUUAAGCAUGUACUAUAUGCACUAACCGCAUAUUAGUAAGGGAUGAAAUGAUCAUGCACAUUACAAUGAUACCUUUGCUAUGUUGGAGAAGAGGAUAGUCACAUAGAUUCCAAUUCAUUUCCCCAAUAGCAAUGUGAAGUCCAGUUAAUAAGCUUGGUGAAGACCAAGUAUAAAUGCCAAUUGAUAGAUCAAAUCUUCACCCAUAUGAAUGGAGAACCACUUAUUGAUCAAGUGCACUAUCUUGUUGUGGUUGGCUUGCUUCAUCUUUUCUUGAUCAUUGCUUGCAUGAGAGAACUACUAAGAAUACCAAUUGAAAUAACAUGACUAGCUCUCUUUUGGGUGUUGCUUGCUCCCUUGAUCAAUCCUUUUGAUUGCUUCAACUAAGCAUCUCAAAUGUUCUUUGGAUCACCACUUCCAUGUUAGCCUUCCAAGCACCAUACUGAAAGGUCCUAAUAUGGGUAGAGGGGGGGGGUGAAUAGCCUAUUUAAAAAUUCUACAAAACUCACUAGAGCAAGUGGUUAGUAAAUAAGAAAGCGUAGCUUUUUGCUCUAGCUCUAAUGAGGUGUUUGCAGGCCACCUAUCCAACAAUUCUAGUUGAUAUGAUCACUAGGCACACAAGAGCUAAGUCACUACUUACACUAGAGAGGUAUCUAAAGUUUCUAUAUAAGUAAGUAAGCUACUCUAGUUUGCGGGAAUGUAAGAGAGAUGGUUUGAUCUUUAUACUGCCGCGUAGAGGGGACGAACCAAUCAAUAAUAUGAAGUCCAAUCGCCGGGAGAAAUCCAAUCACAAACACAAUGGAGACAAACAAUUUUUCUCCCGAGGUUCACGUGCUUGCCGGCACACUACCCGUUGUGUCGACCAAUACUUGGUGGUUCGGCGGCUAAGAGGUGUAGCACAAACCUCGUCCUCACUAGGACACCGCAAGAACUAACCCACAAGUGAGGUAACUCAAUGACAUGAGCAAUCCACUAGAGUUACCUUUUGGCUCUCCAUCGGGGAAGGUACAAGACCCCUCACAAUCAUCGGGAGAUGGCCACGAACAAUCACCAACUCGUACCAAACCUCCUCCGCUGCUCCAAGCCGUCUAGGUGGCGGCAACCACCAAGAGUAACAAGAAAACCGUAGCCAAAUUGAUCCCCAAGUGCCACUAGAUGCAUUCACUCAAGCAAAUGCACUUGGAAUCACUCUCAAUCUCACAAAGAUGAAUAAUCUAUGAAGGAGAUGAGUGGGAGGUGUUUGCUUAGGCUCAGAAGAAAGUCAAGUAUGCUAGAAUGCCAAGAGGGUGAGCCCCAAGCCGGCCAACAACUAUUUAUAAGCCCUUCAAACAAAUAGAGCUGUUGGCUCUUUCACUGGGCAAAACUAGGGGUCACCGGACGCUCUUAAAGGGGCACCGGACGCUCAACACCUGCGUCCGGUGCUCAAAAGUCAGCCACAUGUUAGGGUCUAACGGUAACCUGCAGAGCACCGGACGCUGAGCAAGAUGCCACCGGACUAAAACUCAGGGAGGUCUGCAAAACGCACAGGGCACCGGACGCUGAGCAGCGGACCGUCCGGUGCGCACUGGACUUAAACCCAGGGAGGUUUGCAAACUGACCAUACACCGGACACGUACCACAGGACGCACAAGCCUAAACCCUAAACCCUAAACCCUGAACCCUAAACCCUAAACCCUAAACCCUGAACCUAUCCUGUCUCUACCCUUCAAACUCCACCUCCUUCUCAAAGUGUGCCAACACCACAAUGUGUAAACCAACAUGGGCACGUGUGUUAGCAUUUUCACAAUCAUUUUCUUUGAAGAAGUUAAGUUAGCUCACUAGGUUCUAAAUGCAUGCACAAGAACAAUGACACCUAGUGGCACUUGAUAACCGCUUAGCCAAAGAAUUCCCCUCGGCUAUCUAUCCUAAAUGUGAUCACACCCUCUACGGUGUCUUGAUCACCAAAACCAAAACCCUAAGCAAUACCUUUGCCUUGAUCUUCAUAGGGUUUUAUUUUUCUCUUUCUUCUUUUCCAAGUUGAGCAGUUGAUCAUCUUGUGGUCAUCACCAUCAUCACCAUGAUCAUCACUUGCUCCAUCACUUGGCAUGUACCAACCUCAUUAAGUCUACACACACUUAGUAUAGAGGUUAGUAUUAGGGUUUCAUCAAUUAUCUAAAACCAAACUAGGGCUUUCACAUACUUGGUUUACCCACUUCUCAGGCGGCACGCCCCUCACAUAGGGAGAAGUGACCUCUCUCCAAAGAACUAUUUUUGAUACUCACUUGAAUUGCUUUGAUUGAUUGAUUCAAGUGACGGACUUAAUAUGAUGAGUAACCAUGAAUCCCUUUUUUAAGUCCUUUUCUUUCUACUUGUUUAAGUCCUUUUCUUUCUACCAAAUGAUUUCCAAUAGUUACUAGAACUUAAACUUCAUCUUCAUCUUGAGUUUGAUCUUGAUCUUUAAUUUGAGUACUAAAUGUGUACACCAAGUACAUUCUACAAUCAAAUGACCUUGUACUCAUUACUUGUCAUGCUUCUAGAUCAAUUCAAAACCAAACUUAGGUGCCUCAAACACUUAUAAUCAUGUUUCCAACUUGAGGACCUCUCAAUUGAAGUGACUCUAGAUCAAUCCAAUAAUUGUCACUUUUGUGGCAGAUGCUGUACCCUUUAAAGAAAUAUCCAUAUCUCACAAUGUACAGAUCCAAAUGCCACGAAAUUUGGUGGAGAUGUGGUUCACUAAGUCGUCUAGCAUCUGUAAAAAUGUGAGCUUCACUUGACUUCUAGAUUGCUACCAGAUUUCAAUUCUUCCACCGUUGCUACAUGCUGAAAUCUGCUGCACUAUAGCUGAUAAGAUCCACUCCAAAACCGAAGUAUCCCUUAUACAAUUCUCAUGAAAUUUCUACAGCAUCUUCUAUUAUAAGUGUACAGCAUGCGUACCAAAUUUCAAGCCACUCCAAAUAGAUUUGAUAACUCAAACUCAGAAUUGAUCACUGCUAGCUCAAUUUUUCAAAAAUGGACAGAUUUCAAGCAAUUGAGCUAUACUUGUUCAAAUUGAACCAAACUUGAAAUCAACUUGAUUGAAUACUUUCAUAAGACAUAUAUCCAUUCAAUCCACUUACUAAAAGUCAUCUCAUGAACUUAUUCAACUCAAAUCAAUCCAAACUUGAUUACUAAUCAUUUUAUCCAUUCAACCAUCUUAUAACUAGCAACAUUGCAUAUAUAUCCAAUUCAAUCAACUCAUAUGCACCCAAAUGAAUGUGGUCAACAAAGAUAUACCUUAGUUAGCUCAUGAUCAUCUAAUUUGCAAGCUUCAACUCAUGUAUUUGCAAGCCAUCAAAUAAUCCAAUAAAUCACCACAACUUGAAUGUGACACUUGUAUGUUAUAGCACAUUUGGACUUCACUAUCUUGUCAUGGCAUUGGGUUUGGAUGUGCACUAGGCUUCAAUACUUGACUCAAUCAUAUGAUGAAAAAUUAUAGGAUCAAUUUGAAUCAAGCCUCCAAUGUCGAUGGUACCUACAAACAAUCAUCCACUAUUUGAUGGUACCCAAACUAGUUUGGGUCCUCUCAAGUUAGGAGCAACAUACUUAGGCAUAGCCUUAGUAUGAGUAGCGGGAUGUUUUGCAAUAGCAACCAUAGAGGUUCCAUCACCAUCCUUUCUAAGCAUAUUAUGGUUAUCAAUUGAAAUAGGCUUAGAAAUAUUACCUAGGGGACAUGAAUGAGCCAUGUGUCCCCUUUCCCGGCAUAAGUAGCAACUUCUCUUUGAUUGAGCCUUUUCUUCCAUGCUCAUGUGUUGCUUCUCAUUGCCUUGCCUCAUGAGAGUUGCUUGAGCCUUCUUCUCAAGCUUGGUAGGACACUUCGAGGCAAAGUGUCCAUCAUUCUUGUAGUCAAAACACAUGAUGUGAGCAUAAGCUUUCUUCUUGUCUUGAUUCUUGCUCAUCAUCUUGGCAUCUUGGAUUUGCAUUGGAUGCCUUGCUCUUCCACCCCUUCUUGUCUUCUUAAUAUUUGGGCAACUAUUUGCAAGGUGUCCCGCUUCACGGCACCGAUAGCAUAUGGUAUGAGAAAACUUCUUUUGAUGGAGCUUCUUUAUCCUCUUUUCUUGCUUUCUCUCGCCCUUUGUCAUCUUCUUCUUGAAGCUAAGGCCACACUUGUCACCAUAGUUUCUUUGAGUCUUCAAUAUGUGCUCAAAGGUGACUUUUGAGUAGUAGCACCUCUCCAACUUGUUGCUCAAAAUCUUCACUUGUUCAUUAAGCUCAUUGUUCCCCUUCAAAAGGUUAGUCUCACAAGACAUAGAAGUAGAACAAGCAUCUAUAUGUGAAGAACAUGGCAUAGAUAGUAAAUCAUGAGAAGCGGUGGAUACAUGCUUCUUCCCUACAUCACAAGGGUUAGUAACAAUAUGUGAUUGAUCGUUUGACCCAAGUGAUGAGCUCUCACUAGUUUUAAUUUCAUUAGAAAUCUUCUUAGUGAGAAAAGCAUUUUUUUUGCCAAGUUAUCAUGAGUAAUGUUGACACUAACUAACACCACUUAGAUACUAGGUUGUCAUCCCCAGCAUGGUGCCAGAGUGUACAAAGGUAUUUAUAAAUGUAAAGGCUCUCUAGAAAAUAAUCUAUUCUAUCCGCAAGCGCACAGAUAAAACACCUCAUUGUAGCAUUUCACCAGGAUAAGUAUUCCAGGUAUCGUUAUUUAUAAUUUUGCUUAAGAAGACAAGGGAUGAAAUUAUGAUAAGGACAAAAUUUAUCAAGGCAUAGAUGUUGACGGUCCUUAAGUACCAAAUAUAAUCAGCAAAUAAACAAAGAAAAGGAUCCAAAUACAACCAACAUCUAAACUUAGGGUUUUAUCUAACAGAAUUCCACGAGUUUUCGUGUUUGUCUAUUUCUGCAGGGGGUUAUCAGGAAAUAUGGAGGAAAGGCCCACACGUCGGGUUUACAUAGAGAUAUUAAUGUGCCGCGCAAUUUUCUACCAUCUAGAAGACUCCAGAAGCCAUCGGAACGAACGGGAGGCCGAGCGGGCUCGGGGGCAGGGCGCCCGCCCUCCCCCCUUGGGCGCCCGCCCUGCUACAGUGGCCAAUCACGUUCAACCUCGCGGAUUAUGCUCCACCGACCUAAAGGAUCAAGAAUAACCGUUCAAUCAAUGUCAGUUUGAUCCGACGGCCUAGGUUCACUUGAGGGGACUAUAUAAGCAGACCCCCUGGCCCCUGGAGGAGGCACCCCUUGAUCAUUAUUCAUUAUUCAUAGAUAGAGCAAAAGCUAGGGUUUAGAGAUGAGAGCUCUCCUCUCUUCUCUAAACUAGAGUAGAUCUAGAUAGUAGUGAGAUGGAGAGCGAAGGAGGAUUAGAGGAGAGGCCGGCCUGUCGGUUCUUCCUCCGAUUGUACUUCGCCAUGAUCAAGCUCUAAUCAGGCUUGCUCAUGGGAUGACUCUGGUAAUCUACUUCUAAUUCAUUAUGCAAUUACUAAUCAUGUAUGUUCUGGUUCACAACACUUUUGAGUACUUCUAAUCUAUAGGACCCUAUAGGUUAGAGUUGUAGUAUAGGUGUAAGCGUGGUGCUUAGACCUAGAUUACUUGUGGAUAUCCCCUGUCUAGCUGGAUCGUGUGGUAGGCCGCGUAGGUGACAGUUACGUUGGUCCUCUGUAGUCCACCUCUCGUUAGCAGGACGGGUAGGGUUUAUCGGCCUAAGGAUAAGCGUCCUUUGUGGUGUACUCUUAUCACAUGGUUCGUCCCAGACAUAGACAUACCCCUUUGAAGUAGAGAAACCAUAGUUAUCCUCUCUAUUCUGCUACCAUCGCCCAUAUACUAGAAUUGCUCUACUCUCUAUUCCCAUAUUAUCACUCAUUGUUAUCUUACCUUUAAUAUUGUUCUUAUUCAAUUCUACCAUCUUUCCUAUUUACACUUAUCUAUCUAUCUUGGUUAAGUUAGAGCGUAGUUGGUUCUCGCGUUUCCCUGUGGAUACGAUAAAACCUUUAAUCGGGUAAAAGCUUCAACGGUAUCCGUGCGCUUGCGGAUUAUCUGUGUGUGUAUAAAUACCAUAGUACACUCUAGUGCCAUGCUGGGGAUGACAACCUAGUAUUGAAGUGGUGUUAGCAAGUGUCAACAAGCAUUUUUGGCGCCGUUGCUGGGGAAACGGUUGCUGAGUUGACUACGAACUAGCUUAAUCAUUUUUUAAAAAAUAAAAAAAAUAUGUAUUCCUUUUAUCCUUUGCCUCAUCUCUGCUAUUCUUUCUUCUUAUCUAAUCCUUGAUCUCUGGUCUAUCAUGAAUUCAAACAUGUCUAUCUAUGAAUUUCAUAGACCUACGGGCACACAUCUCGAACCACCAAAAUCUUCAAAGCCUAUCAUAGCAUCUAGUUUUGAGAUAGACCCCGAAUACAUAGAAUUUGUUCAAAAACAACCUUUCUCAAGAGAAGGUGAAGAAAACCCAUACACACACCUAAGAGAGUUUUAUCGAGUCUGUGACCUCCUCCGCAUAGAAGGCAUGUCCGAUGAGACCCUUAAAUGGAAGCUCUUUCCGUUCUCUUUAACAGGAAAAGCUAGACAUUGGUACAAACUCAAAGUAAGGAGUGUUCAUGGAGAUUGGAAGGAGUUAUAUAGUAGUUUUCUUUCUAAAUAUUUUCCAAUCUCCAAAGUGGUGGAACUUCGGCGUGAGAUUCUUUCUGUUAGACAACUGGAAGAAGAAUCUCUCGGCAAAUCAUGGGACCGCUUUAUUAACCUUACUCUCACUGGCCCAAAGUUUUUUUAUUCCAGAAGAAGUUCUUCUAAUUCAUUUUUUUGAGGGCCUUAGUAGGGAAGAUAAGCAAACCCUUCAUGCGGCCUAUGGAGGAUCUUCCCACCACCUAUCCGCUAGUGAAGCUUGGAAUUUGAUUGAUUUAAUGAGCGGAAAGUCUCCUAGCUUUAAUAUCCCUGAGAAAGAGAAAGAACCAGUCCCUAGACAAGAAGAAGAAGUUUCGAUAGCCAGAUCACAACCACUUCAAUCCCAAACUUUAGCUAUCGAUCCUAAACCAUCAAUACCCCAAAAUUCUCCAAGGGAGGAAGGAAUUUCGACCUUAAAUCUUUCAGAUGCUGAUGGUUUAGACUUCUGGUUCCAUAAGAGACCUUCAAACAGGGAUAAUUCAAAUCCUUGCAAUAAUGUUUCUCUUAGAGAAUGUCCUGGUUCCUGUCAUGAAGACCAUAAGGAUGGCAUGUCAAGUAAUGCCAUAGAAGGAUAGCUAAGCUAUAUAGAAGAUUCUAUCAGCUCCCCUUUCCUGAUCACAAGUUCCAAAUGGCUAGAAUGUGUAGAAUGGAUGGAUAAGGAAGAAGCCUUAAUGGAUUCUGACUUUGGCUCAAUUUCAAAUGGUGAGUUCUUGACUCCCUUUGAAAAUGGGAUUCAUCCAACUAUAGAAGAGGACAUAAGUGAGACCAAUCCAGGAGAAACUCCGAACAUUCAGAUUGAAGACGAAGUUAACAUUAAUGAGCAUGGAAUUUAUUUCAUAGCCACUUCAUUUACUUCAUGCUCAUAUGCAACAUGUUCCCAAUCUAUUGGUCUCUCCAACAUCACCACAUUUGAGAUCAACAACCCCCUCUUCCUUUCUAUUUAUAAAAACUUUAAAAGGGCUGUUGUCGAUGCAUAUGUCUAUAAUAAAUAUUGCAGAUCUCGUUGAGUUGAUCUUGAUAUAGGUUAGCGUUGGAAGGGAAACCACUUCGCCGACAUAAAUUGAUGGUUUCCCAAGGACAAGCUUAGUGUCCUAAAAUAAGCACUGAUCAGAUCAUAACAUGAGCUUUUAAUUAUUUGCAACAUUACCUUGUGUAUUGAGCAUAUAAGGAUAAUUGUAAAAAUAUUCCUUCGGGUAUUCUUGUCACUAACCUUUCCAGGAUUGGAGCAAGAAGAUUGGAUGAAUGACAAGCUCAAGUUAUGUCCAACCAAUCAUCAUACAACAUUGAAAUUCAUCCAAACUUGAAUUUUGCAAAAUUCAAGCUUGGGGGAGUACUUUAUAUAAAAACAUCCUUUGCCAUGUUGCUAUGCUGGUUGUCCCUACCUUUGUGCUACAUGCUCAAUUUGUUAAGUACUAAUCACACUACUCUAUCUCCACUUGAGUAGAUCUCUAUAAAUGCUGUCAUGCUACCUUUGUCUAUUUACUAGCAAGUGUUGGUUUGGAAGUACUCGACAUACUUCCAUUGGCAUUUAAAUUGAGCAUGGUGCUUAGGUUAAAUAGUCUUCCUUAAUCUGAUUAGACAUGGAGUCUAGUUUGGUUACUGAACUAAAAACUGCUUGAGUAGAUAUUGGUAUAUUUUGUCGGACUAACCCCUGCAAGAAAACUUUCAAUAUCAACCUGGGAAGUCCUGAGAUAAACUCACAUUGGAGACAAAGAGAGAGACACAUCAAGUUUAACAAUUUACACAAGGAGGACGUAGCUCAUAAGAGAUGAUCCAUGGAGGGUGCCACAAACACGAUGCACAACCACUAAGAAAGGAAAGCUUCCACAAGGUGAUACUGUACCAUCACUUUUCAAGUAAGGUAACAUCUUAAGGUACUUGACUAUCAUUUUAUAAGCUUCUCCUUGGUUCUGGCAUUCAUAUGAAUAAAAGAGACAAACAUGUAUGAUUUACAACUCUAGAUUAACCAACCCAAUCGAUUCAACAUGUUUAGUCCUACUACCUCCAUGAUCCCACACUCCUAAUCAUAUGAGCUAAAAUGUUGCACAUUCAACCUUUGGCAAGAUAUAAAGAAAAAGACAUAUACAUAGAUAGAUUAUCUUUCUAUAAGGUUGAGCGAUCUGAUCUGACAAAUGUUAUAAGUGCUACACUCAUGAACUUAUCAUCCAUCAAUUUUGUCUUGCUCACUAUGCUUAAGGUUAGAGAAGAACAAAUACACUUUUGGUUCUGUUGGUGUUUUCCACCAACAGGGCCCAUGCACUUGAUCUCUGCCUUGUCUCUAUGAGCAGGUACACUUCGAGCAAAAUAUGGAGGAGUUUUACAACUCCCAGACUCCACCAAGUGAAGAACCUGGAUCUACGAGCACAAACACACUGAGUAGGAUACUGCCAACGCCACACUUCGAACUACUGGGCAAACGAAGAACAUGAGUGACACCGUAUCAAGAGGUGCAGACAUCAAGGUCCGCACCUGAAUCAAAUGACGCACCUAAAGAAUGAACACGGUGAGAAGUCUUGUUCAGAAGACUUAAAAUAUUGAACCCUCACCGAAAGGUAAAAUCGGUAGUUAUCCAUAUUUAUCCUUUUUGCAUUCCCUUUUCCCUUAAAUUAUUUACUUUCCUUAAAUGGCUUGUUAGUUAAUCAUGCUAUCUUGAAAAAAAAUAAAAAAAUGUUAAAAAUAGUAAGCCCCAUGUGAGUAUGCUCGUGGCAUAAAACCCAUAAGUACAUUCACUGUGGUGGUGUAAAAAUAAAAUAAAUAUAUUCCUGUCCUAUAAAAAUGAAAAUAUAAAAAUAAAUUUAUGAUCCUACCAAAGAGAGUAACAUUUAUUAAGGAGGCUCAACAUGAUAAAGGCUAGAUAUUUAUGCUAACACUUAACUAGUUCCACAAAGCUUUGUUGUCUAUUUGAGCUCCACAGAAUUCAAGGAUCAAAGAAGACUAGCAGAUGGAGGACAUCCUAAUCGCUGUGAGGGUGCUGCCGACAUUCAAAUACACCUCCAUCACCUGCUAGCUACAUCAGAAGAAAUUACGUCAAAAUCUAGCUUGAGGGAGAGCACCCCCAUUUAUCUAGCUAAGUGUUUCUACUCGCAUUUAUACUUUACUCAAAUAAUAAAAAUAUACAUAAUCAUAAAACCCCAAAUAAAGAUUUUAUGCUUAAAUAUAUAUCUAUGCUUAGUUUGCUAAAUAAAUAAAUAAAUAAAGUUUGCUAUGAACCCUCAUGAUAAGCUCUCACAUAGGAAUGAUGAAUAGUUGCUCUGCCAUGACUAGUUCUCAAAAUUGAAAUCUCUCUCAAGUUUAGGCAUGACUGUUAUGAAUUAAGAUUUGCUUUAAACCUGAACUUGUGGGAAGAGUACUUGAUCUAAAGUCUAAGUCGUUAACUGAUAUGAUAUGGGAAGGUUGAGCUGCUGUUUAUCUGUUCCUAGAGAUACUAGAAUUCUGGAGAAUUUUAUCUUUGAAAAUCUUUAAAAUGUUGCAUGAUGAGUUCCUGUAUGAUGAGAGUUUAAAAUCCUACCACAGCCACAUAUACAUGCUUAUGAUACUAUGAACCAUACAUUUACUUUUUACUGCUUAUGAGCAUUGAGUGUGGUCAAGCUGUGUAGACCCUUAGGAGCUUGUCAUGCGGUUAAAAUCAAGAUUCACUUGCACGUUCACUCAUACAUGCUGCUUCUACUCUGGAAGUACACAUCCACAUACAUCCACUCCUUUCCAUCUCUAGAUUCACCUAAAAUUAUUCUACUCCUAUCCGGGAGAGAAUAGCCAAAAACAUUAUCCCAUUCCUGUUUUUCCCUAUGAAAUAAAUGCUCGAGCUAUUUUGGUUACUACCACUUGCUACAUUAUUCCAGGAGGGUGAGUGCUCUGAAAAAAAAGUGAAUACGAGGAAAUAAAAAGGGGCAAGUGCCUGGAACCUCGAAAGAAAAUAAAAAGUGAGACGAGAGGUAAAAAUGGACAAGUGUCUGACAGUAGAAUUAGGGGUACAAGAUACCCACCUGAGAGAAAAGAAAAAAAAAGAAAGAGAAGAAAGAAAAUAUAGAGCAUCUCAUUCCUCUCAAAAACCUUCAAAGUGCAAGAAAGGUAUGUAUCCCCACAAAAGAGCAAAAGUAGAAUUAGACUUUCACCAAUGUUUUCACCAUCAUCACCAUACACCAUUCAUCCGCCACACAUGCACAUCUUGGUUUGACUUAUUGACUUGUUUCUCUGGAUCCAUGGUUUGACUAGGCAAUAAAUGUCUUGUAAGUAUGUAUUAGUUGUCUCCCACCUAUGAGCUCCAGAUAUCAAACCUUAUUAGAGUAGGGUGAGAGAGAAGGCAAUAUCACUAUGCCUCAUACCACAAAUACUACAUACUUUGAGAGCAGGCGUAUAUUAUCACUGCCUUGGUAAGGAUCCAGAAAUACCACAAAAGAGAGACUAGAGAGAGUCAUACAAGGAAUCUCUGAGUUUUAUUUGAAAAUCUGCAAAAACUCCAGAGCUAUAGUUGAUCAAAGAACAAGAGACAUGGUGCUUGACUUGACCGUUCUAUCUUUUAACUGCUCAAGACACAAGUGACUGUUGCAAGCCCCAUGGUGGAAGGUAAUAUGAGUAAGUUUAAAUCUUAACAGUUUACCUUAACCUAGAGAUGAGAUCUUGUUUGAACGCAUGAGUACCUUUAAGGCAUAAAACCACUGAAGAAAUUCUUGAGUCCAUCUUUGCUCAAGGACGAGCAAGAGGUAAGCUUGGGGGAGUUGUUGACGGUCCUUAAGUACCAAAUAUAAUCAGCAAAUAAACAAAGAAAAGGAUCCAAAUACAACCAACAUCUAAACUUAGGGUUUUAUCUGACAGAAUUCCACGAGUUUUGGUGUUUGUCUAUUUCCGCAGGGGGUUAUCAGGAAAUAUGGAGGAAAGGCCCACACGUCGGGUUUACCUAGAGAUAUUAACGUGAUGCGCAAUUUUCUACCAUCUAGAAGACUCCAGAAGCCACGGGAAAGAACGGGAGGCCGAGCGAGCUUGGGGGCAGGGCGCCCGCCCUCCCCCCUUGGGCGCCCGCCCUGCUACAGUGGCCAAUCACGUUCAACCUCGCGGAUUAUGCUCCACCGACCUAAAGGAUCAAGAAUAACCGUUCAAUCAAUGUCGGUUUGAUCCGACGGCCCAGGUUUACUUGAGGGGACUAUAUAAGCAGACCCCCUGGCCCCUGGAGGAGGCACCCCUUGAUCAUUAUUCAUUAUUCAUAGAUAGAGCAAAAGCUAGGGUUUAGAGAUGAGAGCUUUCCUCUCUUCUCUAAACUAGAGUAGAUCUAGAUAGUAGCGAGAUGGAGAGCGAAGGAGGAUUAGAGGAGAGGCCGGCCUGUCGGUUCUUCCUCCGGUUGUACUUCGCCAUGAUCAAGCUCUAAUCAAGCUUGCUCAUGGGAUGACUCUGGUAAUCUACUUCUAAUUUAUUAUGCAAUUACUAAUCAUGUAUGUUCUAGUUCACAACACUUUUGAGUACUUCUAAUCUAUAGGACCCUAUAGGUUAGAGUUGUAGUAUAGGUGUAAGCGUGGUGCUUAGACCUAGAUUACUUGUGGAUAUCCCCUGUCUAGCUGGAUCGUGUGGUAGGCCGCGUAGGUGACAGUUACGUUGGUCCUCUGUAGUCCACCUCUCGUUAGUAGGACGGGUAGGGUUUAUCAGCAUAAGGAUAAGCAUCCUUUGUGGUGUACUCUUAUCACGUGGUUCGUCCUAGACAUAGACAUACCCCUUUGAAGUAGAGAAACCAUAGUUAUCCUCUCUAUUCUGCUACCAUCGCCCAUAUACUAGAAUUGCUCUACUCUCUAUUCUCAUAUUAUCACUCAUUGUUAUCUUACCUUUAAUAUUGUUCUUAUUCAAUUCUACCAUCUUUCCUAUUUACACUUAUCUAUCUAUCUUGGUUAAGUUAGAGCGUAGUUGGUUCUCGCGUUUCCCUGUGGAUACGAUAAAACCUUUAAUCGGGUAAAAGCUUCAACGGUAUCCGUGCGCUUGCGGAUUAUCUGUGUGCGUAUAAAUACCAUAGUACACUCUAGUGCCAUGUUGGGGAUGACAACCUAGUAUUCAAGUGGUGUUAGCAAGUGUCAACAAUAGACUAGAGAUAAACUUGCAAGAACAUGAUUACUAAUGAGAAACUCGUCACACAGUUACCUACUUUGGCAGGGGGUAAACCAUAAAGAUAAUGAUAAUGAAUUAUAAGUUCAAGGGUAAAUAACACAGCGAUUAGAAAUUAGGCUACUCCUCAUAUAUGUAGGUGAUGUCAGAUUAGCUAGAGAAUGGAUUCUAAGUUAUAAGUCAUAAUCUACUCUAGUUAUCUACAAGAUCAUAUAUAGCAUAAAAGACUCUUCAUUCAUGUAUAAGGAACAUUGCUAAAGUAAAUCAGAGCAUCGCAAGACUUACUCCACAAUACCGGUUCUGCCUGUCCUAUCAACGGAGGGUGGACUAUAUAAGAAUCAACGAAGCUGUCACUAUCGCGAACUACAACACGACCCGGCCAAUAGGAUACAUUUGCAGAUAAAUAACAUCUAAGCACCACGCUCACAUCUGAUCUAUCACCUAACUCCCUCGCGUCAAGAGCUAAGCGCUUUGCAAACUUAUACAUAAACUCAUUGUCAAUCAUAACUAUAUUAAAUAUAGAACUAGAGCAAACUAAGAACAUAAUAAUUAGAGACAUAAUGCAAUUACAACAAAGAAUUAGAGAAAGAUAUGAAUAAUACCAAUCUUUAUUACCGAAGAUCCGAAUCCAGAGCGUAGUGCUCUACUUCUCUAAUUGCUAUCUAAUCAAACCUCUAAACUUGAAGGAUUAGGGAGUAGCUAAUUCUAAUUCUCUGUGGGAGAGAAGCUCUAAACCCUAACUUUGAUGGCUACCUCUGAAUAAUGAUUUCUUCUCUUCUCCUCUCUCCUCCAGGGGUGGAGAGGCCUUGGUUUUAUAGUCCUUUCAAGUGAAUUUGGGCCGUCGGAUCAAACCGACAUUGAUUGUAUGGUUUAGAUUGAUCCUUUAGGUCGGUGGAGUUUAGCCCCGAAACAGAGUCCUGAUCCAACACCUGGCCAGGGCGGGCGCCCAAGGGGGGUGGCGGGCGCCCUGCCCCCGAGCCCGAUCGUCUUCUCGUUCGUUCCCGUGGCUUCUAGACUCUUCUAGAUUGAGGUAAAUUGCGCGGCACGUAAUUAUCUCGUUGUAAACAUGACAUGUGGGCCUUCUCUCCAUAUUCUCUGAUAACCCCCUGCAGAAAUAGAUAAACACCAAAGCUCGUGGAAUUUUGUCAGAUAAAACUCUAAUUCUAGAUGUUUGUUUCAGAUUGAUCCUUUUCCAUGUUUAUUUGAUUAUUAAUUUUAGUACUUAAGGACCGUCAACAAACUCCCCCAAGCUUACCCUUUGCUCGUCCCUGAGCAAACAGCGAAACUCAGACGGAUCAGAAGUUGCUUCGAUGUUUUCUUUCCUGACAGGCACACAUGCUUUUACAUAAAAAUUCUUCCAGAUUAGAGUGAAGUGUUAUGGAGUUUAGUACCUGCACUUAAGUCUUAAGUAAUCGAAAGGCAAAAUAAUUAAGUCAAGCACUAUUCCUCCUAUCUAUACUUCACCUUUGUUCUAGUGUUUUUCAUAAGUUUUCAAAAUAAAACUCAGAGUUCCCAGCAAUGAUUCUCAAGUCUCUCUAUAUAUGGUAUUUGUGGAUCCUUACCAAAAAUGUCACUUACCUAUAGCUAAUGGAAUAUUUAAGUGGGGCUCAUAGGAGUGAAAAACAGCUCAUACAUAUGUUGUCUAAUUGAGCCAUGGAUCCAAAGGAACUCAGCAUACAAUUAAAUCAAGAUGUGCAUGUGUGGUGGAGUAAAUGAUAGUAAUGGUGAUAAUAAAACUUAGUUCUCAUUGCUCCUCAUAUUGCUGUCUCUCCUCCUCUUUGAUCUUUGCUUUGGGAGAACAUGGGCUAUCUUUUUCUUUUCUCAGGUGGGUAGUAGAUACCCCUAAUUCUACUGUCGGACACUUGUCCAUUUUUUCCGCUCAAGUGGGCAUCUUUGUAUCCCUAAUUCUACUCCGGACACUUGUCCAUUUUUACCUCUUGUCUCACUCUUUUUCUUUCUUUUUCGAGGUUCCGGGCACUUGCCCCUUUUUAUUUCCUCGCAUAUUUUUGCAUAACCCAUGCCUCUUCUGCAUUGAAUCUUUUUAGAGAGAAAAAAUAACAAUAUUUGGGACAGUGAGUGAUAAUAUUAUUUUUAGCAAUUUUAAUGAUCGGUGGUGGACGGUGUAGUAGGUGUGUGCAAGUGAAUAUCUUAAUUUAACCACAUGAAAAGCUCCUAAGGAUCUACACAGCUCGAUCAAACUCAAUGUAAGUGUAGUAAAAGAUGUUAUAGCAAGUAUGGUUGUGGUAGGUAGUUUGCAAUGCUAGGAACUCAUCAUGUGAUUUGUAAGUUUUCAAAAUAAAUCUCCAGAACUUAGUGUAGUAGGAACAAGAUAAACAACAGCUCAAACUUUAUAUUAUGCCUUUCUCUUACCUAGACUUUAGUUUUAUGCUUCCCAUAGAUAGUAAAUUCAGUUUUAGUAAUUCCUGGAAGAACUAUAAUAUAGAAGCUAGGUACUUGUAAGUAAGCAAACAGAGCAACUGUUCAUCAUUUCCAUCAUGCAUCUUUUUGGUCUUUUGUUUUUCUAGAGAUUAAACUUAGCAGGAAAAUAAAGCACACUUAUCUACACACUCUUUUUAUUCUGUUUUCAUGUUUAUAAAAUGCAGUAAAUUAAAGCAAGAAAAUAUUUAUUGGGUUUUCUAAGUUUUUUCUCUUUAAGAUAAAUAAAACACUAAAAUAAAAAAGAAUAAAUAAGAAGAGCAAAUAAAAACUUACUUGACAAAUUUGGGAGGAACUCCCCCAAGCUGGAUGUUGAUGUCGGUCUUACCCGAUGUUCCAGAACCGCAUCAUGGUUGUGAUGUUGUCUUUCAUUGUUGUUGUAUCUUGUCUCAGCUCUUAUACUGCAGCGGCAUGGUCCUGGUUCCAUUUUUGUUGCUCCUCCAGGAGUCGUCCAUGUUCUGCUUGCGUGUUCUGGAUGUCGAGGAGGGUGUUGUCGGUACGAGUGAAGAAAGCACCGGCCUCUUGAUAGUAGUCAUUUGUGAACGCGUAGGAGGCGUCGGAGUAUCGUCCUGCAUCAAAUUGGGGUGGAGGUCUGGAUCCUGAAGCUCCAUAUGGAUCAGUGGAGUACCUGCUGUUGACACUUCUUAACGCAACCACCGGAUAUCGGCGACGGCGCCAGAAGUGCCCUGGUAGGGUAACUCUAUUUACUAUUGGAUAAUUCCGCAAGCGCACAGAAUGUACCGCUGUAGCACUUCACCAAGGAGUAUUCCAAGGUAUCGUAAUUUAUAUUUUCCCAAGGGAAAGCGGCUAAGUGUGUUUAACAAAAAGGGGAAUGAGAUUCCUUGAGUUGUCUAGUAUCAACUAGUGAAUAAGGGUGGUAAAUAACGAAUAGGAAGGGUAGUGGUGAAUCCAAGGUCCUAUGCUAAAGGUAAAUGGUAGAGUUAGCUAGGUGGGAGGACAACGAGUGAGUAAAGGACUCCUAUGUAUCUAACUUGACUUCUGUGACUUACUUUAAUAGAUAAUUGCCUUAACUACGCUAGAGCCUUACUAACUGUGUGCGAGGGAUAGCCAAGCUGGUAAGACGCUUAGAAGGUUUUUCACCUAACCCCUUACCGAAAGCGACUAUUGGGCUUAUGGACGCCUUACCUUUUAAGAACUAGCCUGUACGUGAGGAGAACCUAAUGCCGCCCACGAUCUGUCACCUACUAGGGAGUGCGCUCCUACUUUCCGUUCAAGCCAGCGGUAAUCAAAGGUAAUCUUAAGUAUGAGCACCACGCUCACACUUAAUCCUACAACUCUAACUAGUUGCAGCUAGCUAGAGCUCCUAUACAAGAUAGGACGAUGAUGCACGCACAGGAGUGGUUACAGGUCACUAACUUCACUAAGACAACUAUAUUACUAAAGUAAAUGCACAACAAGACUAAAAGACUUGCACUAAGUAAGAACUCAGUAAAGUAAAGUAAGAAUAAUAUAUUAAUAAAAGGAAAGUCUUACAAAAGUAGAAAGGUACAAGAGCUAUACCAGACUCUCCAGAAGACGACUCCGGAGACCCCGAGCUUCGCUCGACUCGACUCUAACUCCCACUCUAGACUAACUACUACUCUACUUGUAUGCUUGGAACUUGUAAUGCACUUGGCCUUGGAAUUGCACACUUGAAAUGAAGGGUGGAGGCUGCCUUUUAUAGAGGGAGAUGGAGUAGGGGUUACUCCAUCGCCACGUCAUCGAUCCGCGUGACAUCUUCUCUCCACCCUUGGAUCAAACCGACCUCACAACCGCCAUUUGAUCAACGGCAGGGGCAAAUCAACAUGUGGGACAUGUGGGGAAGGUCGGUGGGAGGCCACCGACCCUGGAACCGCCUUUGAUGUGGGGUCGGGCGACCCCACUUCUGGGCCUCUGGGCCCACCAGCAGUGUCCACAGGGGUCCCUUAUGUCGGUGGACUAGGUGGCACACCUGGGUCCCACCAAAGAGGGGUCGGGCGACCCCCUCCCUGUGGGCCCAGGGUGUCACCUGUUGUCCCCUCGAUCUCCUCUUGAUGAUUCUGAUGUUGGCUUUGUCAAAUAAUGUCUUGAAUUUGUUGUUCCUGCACAAACAAGCUAAGAGUACAAGUGGAACUAGUUAUGGAUAAAAUAUGUUCAUGUCAUGUUAUUUCCCCUUGCAACCGAGGCAUGUUGACGGUGUUUUGUAUGUGGAUUUCUAUGGUAUAUCCACCGUCAACAAGAUCCCCCAAGCUUAACCUUUGCUCGUCCCGAGCAAACAAUCAAACUUAGCCUCGGUGGAUCAGGUAUUGUUACUAUGUUCACAUUUCAAGAGUACCAUGUGUACAACAAAGUUCUUCUCUUUGCAUGAAAAAUUUAGCUAUGUAAACUUACCCCUAUUACCUUAGUCCCUUAUGGGGCUUAUGGCUUUUCCUUUGUCUUAGGUGGUUGAGAGACAAAACAGUUUGACUUGAGCACUAACUUUCUCAUUCUUAGCAAGUUUCAUAUCAGAGGUUUUGUGAUAUUUUCAAAAGAAAGCUUAAAUGUUCCUCUUAUGGUUCUCUCAUGUCACUCAAAGUGGACUAGGUUGCUCCUUUAUUUGAUAGACUCUCUAUGUAUUGAGACAUGGCUAGCUUUUUUUUAUAUAUAUGAGCUUUCAUGUGCUCAAUUUUCUUUUUCUGUGGACUUGCAUAUGUCCAUCUUUUUAUUUCAUUUUGCCUAGCCUUUUGAUGUCUCAUUUACCAAAUAAUGCUUAGAGAGAUGUUCUAACAUUUAGAGUAUGGAGCAACCUAUUUAGUGGAUGCGAAAUACAUGUGGUUGCGUACUUCCAGUGUAGAAGCAGCAUAUAUAUAUAUGUGGUGUGUACGUGAUCUUGAUCUUAGGAGCAUGAAAAGUCUCUUAACAAGGGUCAACAAGACUUGACGACACUCAACCCAAAACAAAUAGCUUAUGUGGAAAGGUUGCAAUUAUGUAAAGUAGAUAUGGCUGUGGUAGGAAUUCAUCACCAUUGAGGAACAAUUAAGGUUUUGAUCAUUUUAAGAAUAAAUCUCUGAUAAUCAUGCAUGCUUAGAAAAAUAUUAUAGUAGCUCUUGUCUUACUAUCUCAUGUCCCACAACAACUUAGACUUAGUUCUAGCACUUGCAACCCACAAAGUUUUUAGGUUCAUGGCAGUUUAAGUGAGCUAAGUGAUCCAUACUUAGAGAAAUACUAAGUUGUAUACUAGGUACUAGAGAAACAUUAACAAGCAACUAGUCAUCAUUUCCAUGAGGGAUAUAAACAUACAUGAAGCAUAUAUGCUAAAGGGAAAUGCUAAUAAAUAUUUAUUUUUUUUUAAGUAAGAAUGAUAAAAUGCAUGAAAAUAAAUAGGAUAGAAUACUUACCUUAGUGGGGGAGAGGAUCUCCCCCAAGCUAGAUCUUCGCUCACUGUGGUGGCGGGAAAUUCUGGUACCAUCCAGCCCAGCGUUGUGCGUCUUCCUCUCGCACACGUCGGAUAUGUUGGCCGUUUUGUAACGCCAGUUGCAAUGUUGCUUCUUGCCCAAUCUGCAAUUCGCCCAUGUCAUUAAUGAGACUGUCCAUACCUGUGGGCUGGUGACGCCUAGCCCUGUCCCUUGGGCGUGGAGUGCGUUGUGGAGGUAGACCCAUGGAGUCUGAAGCAUCCACUGACAUCGCUUCAUCGCCUUCUUCAACGUCAUGGUGCGAGGAUCCUCCUUGCUCCAUCUGGGCGGCUUGCAUCAUCCUUCUUGUCACCCUGCGUGUCCCUGCAAUAUCUGGACUUGCCACUUGGGCUAGUCUAAUGGUAAGUGUGCGGACCCCAUACAACCGGCGCCUCGCACAUGGGAGAGGAAUUUCGGUUGUAUAGCCCGGAUAAAUCAUUUUAAGUUCACCAUUUGGAUUUCUUAUGAGCAUGUUAGCAUUGAUAAAGAAGUUCUCAUCUACCACUCCUCUAACAUAGCCAAUGUCUUCAAAAUAAUGUGAUUCAAGUAAUCCAAAAGUAUCGGCUAUUCGAGUAAUAAAGGAUGUGAAAUAGAUGGGCUUCCCAUACUCAAUAGAGUUAAGCCAAUAGUUCACUAGCAGUUUCACAGGGGAGACCUUGAUUUUGCUAACCAUGGCAUAGAGAAUUUUAAGUUCAUCAUCAAUUAAAGUAUCAGUUCCCAUGCCAGGAUAUAGAGUGCACAUGAUCCAGAAGUGAAGAAAGCGCAAGGUUGGAUUAUGGAUUUCAAUGGGAGUAGGAUUUGAACAAUCAUUAGAGCCAGAAAUUGCUUUCCAGAAUCUAAAUUUAUCGAACAUUCUAGUGGCAUGAUCUAGAUCAAGUUCACAUUCAUGUUCACACCCUAAAGCAGUGUUUAGCAAACUCCAAUUUAAUUGAUGUUCUUGCUCACACAUGCGAAAAGAUAUUCCAUUAUUUGUGAGUUUUAGGGUGCAUAGAAAUUCCUUAGCAAGCAAUUCUUUUCCAAAUUCAGGCACUUGCCAAAAACUACUCCAACCAAUUGCUCUAAACACCUUAUCGAAUUCAACAUCCAUACCUGUGCGGGCCAAAAGGUCCGGAUCGAUGAUGCUAGUGUGUAGGAAGAGACCCUCUCGGAUGAUGUAGUACCUUUGCAACUCUUCUUGGCUUAACAUGAGGCCGCUCUCGGGCUCUCUCAUCCUUGAUGGAGGCUCGUAGGGUACCAUCCCAUGGUAACCUUCUUCUUCCUCCCUUCCAUGAGCAUGGUGAGAGCCUUGAGAAGAGCUCUCACCCUUUGCUUUCUUGAACUUGCCGAAGAUAUGCUUCUUCAUCCUCCUACACAAGUGAGGCAAACCAAGCUCCUACUACUACUACUAUGCAAGGGGAAUCUUUUUGGGUUUUUGUUUUGAUGACUAUUUCUAAACUAAACUUGAGAAAUGGCUUGUAACAAAGAGAGAAGAGAAAGGAUUGUGAGCUCGAAAUGGUUCUGGUGGUUUUGGGUGUGGAGUUGAGCUCACAAUGCUGUGGUAUUUAUAGGGGGAGAAGGGCAAGUAGUGGACCCACAAUAUAGGGGUCGGCCGACCCCCCCUAGAAGCACUUUGAAUUUGAACUUAGCUUUAUACAGGGAACCAUUCUGCAUGCUUUCAAGAUUUUGCAGAGAUGGUCCAAAAUGGGGGUCGGCCGACCCCCAUCCUAGCCCCUCCUCCACUUUAAACAUUGUGUCAUUGAUUGUCUGGAAAAGUAAAGGCUAGGUGUGGACCAAAAGUUUUCAAAUUGUUUCUGAGAUUCCCUGUUUUAGUGCUUUGUGAAAGGUAAAAGAUGAAUGGCAAAAGUGGAGACAUGUCUAAAGUGAUUCCUAUGGACCAUGGGAGCACUCAAGCAUGCCUAGGUGACCACUUUGCAGAAUUUAAGCUAGUGGAGUGGUCCCAAAAGAAUCAAAGAUGAAAGGAGCAUCUUAUGACUAAAGUAAAGGAUCAAGGGACCACUCUUUUUCAAACUUUAGCUAGUGUUACAAGCAUAGGACUCCAUUGUGAUUCAAAUGGUGGCCAGCAGGAGGCAAGUGGGGCCAAUAUGGGGGUCGGCCGACCCCCACAUUGGAGCUCCCAGAGCAUCCAAGUGCUGGGUUGGAACCUCUAUGACUAGCAAGGUUGAAAUGUGGUGAAGUGGGCCCCAAGGUGGGGUCGGGCGACCCCCCUUUGGGAGCUCCAGCAGCUCAAAUUUUUAUGACAAGUUAUUCUCAAGAUUUUAUUUAUUAUGGCUAAACAUUUUGUCGAAAUAAGAUAUGCAAAAUUCAAAGUAAGAAUGCAAUUGAAAAGUGAAUAGUAGAAAUUGAAAUGCAGAAAAUAAAUAUGGGAUAACUACUGAUUUACCUUAUCAGCAAGGGCUCCAUGUUUUAGGUCCGUAGAGCAGGACCUCUCCAUCUUGUUCAUUCUUCGGGUGCAUCAGAUGGUCCCGGAGACGUGGACCUUGAUUGCACCUCUUUCUCCCGCCAUACUUGCUUGGUAUUGAUUUUUGGUUCAGCGGGUUCCUCUUCUUUCUUUUCGGCCCUUUUGGCCGACUUACCUCUCUUGUCCCUUCGGCGUCGGAUGUGGCGAGGCUUAGUCGGAGGUUCUUUGUCCUUCACCUGCAUGUUAGCUUUAUAACCAUUGAAUGGACAUUUUACCUUCCAUCCUGGGAAUUGGAGGUGAAUCUGGCCGGACCCCACAUAGAUGACUGCAUUGACCGUGUUGAGGAAUGGCCUUCCCAAGAUGAUCGAGACAUCAUUAUUGGAUCCCAUAUCCAAAAUGAUGAAGUCGGCAGGGACGUAGUCGUCUUGGACCUUUACCAGUAUGUCCCUUGCCAACCCCUCAGGGAACCUGAUCGUCUGAUCUGCCAUCUGCAAACGAACAAAUGUGGGGUGCAAAGGCCCCCCUAGCAAAUUAUCAUAAGUUACCUUGGCCAUGAUGUUGACACCCGAUCCAAAGUCGCAGAAGGCGUUGUGGAAGAUUUGCGGUCCGAUCUCACAGGUGAUGGUCGGCAGGCCUGGGUCGUCUUUCUUGGUGAUGAAGGGCGAAUCCAGAAGAUAGCUCCAGUUGGAUUGUACCGGAGGCUUACCGAACCUCGUAGUAACUAGUUUAACUCCUUCAAUUGGGUCCUCAGGUUUCCCUGGGAUCUUACCUUGCUCGAAGGAUGGGACAGCUGCUGCUAAUUGAGCUAAUUGUGUUUCUAGCAUUUUGUUAAAGCUCAACUGAUUUUUCAUAGCAGAGUUAAAGCUAUCCAACUUUUCACUUAAGUUUUCAAGGAUCUUAUCAUUAGGCAUCAUUUUCUUGUUAAUGCUAUCAUUGAUUUUAGAUUGGCCUAAGACAAGAUCUCUAAGAGAAGGUUGGUUACCAAAAGAAUUAUUGAAAUUUUGAUUGUAACUAUUACCUUGAUUACCUUGGUAGAAGGGGCGCGAGUUCCAUUGCUGUUGUUGGGGCCGGUACCCAUUGUUGUUGUUGUUGAUGAAGCUCACUUCCUCCUUUGUUUCGGGACAAUUGUUUCCCGAAUGAUCAUCUCCUCCGCACACUUCGCACCAUGAAUCAGAUUCAAUGGCCCGUGCAGUGGCGUAAGGUUGAAUGGUCUCUUGCUUGGAACUUUCUUCCAUCUUCUUCAUUAAGAGGUCCAUCUUAGCAGAGAGCAUGUCCACCUCAUUCAAGGCAUGGACACCUCUUCUCUUGGGUUGGAGGCGUUCCUCAUUCCAUCCUUGGUUUAUAACCAUCUUUUCAAUGAGGUCCUUGGCAUCCUUGACAUUGUGUUGCAAGAAUGCUCCUCCAGCGGCAGCAUCAAGGUGACUACGGGCCAAACCGGUCAGGCCAUGGUAGAAACCUUGGAUUAGGAGCCACUCCUCUAUCCCAUGAUGAGGACAGGCGCGAAUGUACUCCUGCAGACGUUCCCAUGCUUCGGGAAUCGUCUCAUCCGCUUGCUGUUGGAAGCUGGAAAUCUUUCCACGAAGGGCGCUGGUCUUGCCCAUCGGAAAGAACUUCUUGAGAAAUGCAUUGGCGCACCUCUCCCACGUGGUCACUUCACCCUUGUUGGCGUAGAACCAUUGCUUCGCCUUCCCCAAUAACGAGAAUGGGAAGAGGCGAAGACGGAUGGCGUCUGCGGCGACAUUCUUGAUGGUGAAGGUGCCGCACACCUCCAAGAAGUGUUGGAGAUGGGCAUUGGCAUCCUCGUGUGGCUUUCCACAGAAGGGAUUGGCUUGCACCAUAUUGAUAAGUGCAGGCUUUAACUCAAAAGUCGCAUCCCCCAAGUUAAGCUGCGGACCCGUGGCGACAUUGUCAGCCGACGGCGCAGAGUACUCAGAGAUGGUCUUCUGGGCCAUAGCUUCUUUGAUAACCGGUGCAGAUACUCCUUCCUCUAACGGAUUCAGGUUCGAGAUGAACCUUUGAGGUGGAACUUGACGACGUCUAGUUCUCCUCAACAGUUGCUCAGGAUCUUCAACGAAGUUUGACGGCAAUUGGAAACCGCUCAUACACUGUCAGGCUUCACAAUAAGGAAGACAAGACAAGUGAUGGGUUAUCCCUAUCACUACUUGAUAACUAGCAAACUCUGGAUUCUCUUUUUGUUAAAACUCUUAGACAGACGCUCUCCCCGGCAACGGCGCCAGAAAUGCUUGUUGACACUUCUUAACGCAACCACCGGAUAUCGGCGACGGCACCAGAAGUGCCCUGGUAGGGUAACUCUAUUUACUAUUGGAUAAUUCCGCAAGCGCACAGAAUGUACCGCUGUAGCACUUCACCAAGGAGUAUUCCAAGGUAUCGUAAUUUAUAUUUUCCCAAGGGAAAGCGGCUAAGUGUGUUUAACAAAAAGGGGAAUGAGAUUCCUUGAGUUGUCUAGUAUCAACUAGUGAAUAAGGGUGGUAAAUAACGAAUAGGAAGGGUAGUGGUGAAUCCAAGGUCCUAUGCUAAAGGUAAAUGGUAGAGUUAGCUAGGUGGGAGGACAACGAGUGAGUAAAGGACUCCUAUGUAUCUAACUUGACUUCUGUGACUUACUUUAAUAGAUAAUUGCCUUAACUACGCUAGAGCCUUACUAACUGUGUGCGAGGGAUAGCCGAGCUGGUAAGACGCUUAGAAGGUUUUUCACCUAACCCCUUACCGAAAGCGACUAUUGGGCUUAUGGACGCCUUACCUUUUAAGAACUAGCCUGUACGUGAGGAGAACCUAAUGCCGCCCACGAUCUGUCACCUACUAGGGAGUGCGCUCCUACUUUCCGUUCAAGCCAGCGGUAAUCAAAGGUAAUCUUAAGUAUGAGCACCACGCUCACACUUAAUCCUACAACUCUAACUAGUUGCAGCUAGCUAGAGCUCCUAUACAAGAUAGGACGAUGAUGCACGCACAGGAGUGGUUACAGGUCACUAACUUCACUAAGACAACUAUAUUACUAAAGUAAAUGCACAACAAGACUAAAAGACUUGCACUAAGUAAGAACUCAGUAAAGUAAAGUAAGAAUAAUAUAUUAAUAAAAGGAAAGUCUUACAAAAGUAGAAAGGUACAAGAGCUAUACCAGACUCUCCAGAAGACGACUCCGGAGACCCCGAGCUUCGCUCGACUCGACUCUAACUCCCACUCUAGACUAACUACUACUCUACUUGUAUGCUUGGAACUUGUAAUGCACUUGGCCUUGGAAUUGCACACUUGAAAUGAAGGGUGGAGGCUGCCUUUUAUAGAGGGAGAUGGAGUAGGGGUUACUCCAUCGCCACGUCAUCGAUCCGCGUGACAUCUUCUCUCCACCCUUGGAUCAAACUGACCUCACAACCGCCAUUUGAUCAACGGCAGGGGCAAAUCAACAUGUGGGACAUGUGGGGAAGGUCGGUGGGAGGCCACCGACCCUGGAACCGCCUUUGAUGUGGGGUCGGGCGACCCCACUUCUGGGCCUCUGGGCCCACCAGCAGUGUCCACAGGGGUCCCUUAUGUCGGUGGACUAGGUGGCACACCUGGGUCCCACCAAAGAGGGGUCGGGCGACCCCCUCCCUGUGGGCCCAGGGUGUCACCUGUUGUCCCCUCGAUCUCCUCUUGAUGAUUCUGAUGUUGGCUUUGUCAAAUAAUGUCUUGAAUUUGUUGUUCCUGCAUAAACAAGCUAAGAGUACAAGUGGAACUAGUUAUGGAUAAAAUAUGUUCAUGUCAUGUCAUUUCCCCUUGCAACCGAGGCAUGUUGACGGUGUUUUGUAUGUGGAUUUCUAUGGUAUAUCCACCGUCAACACCUGCCCGUAUGAAAAGGCGGGUUUGUCCACUGGUGAUCUUGGCUCUCCGGCCAUGUCUCCUCUGUUGGCUCUUGUGGUUGCGCAUGUCGAACCCAUGGGUCUCGAAGGACUCGGGGGUUGUAGUCGCAAUAAUGCAGGUGCGCUGCUUCUUCUGGCCUGGGAUCAGCUCCAUACCAGGUGCGUUCUCGAUGGGUGGUCAUCCUUUCAGAUGCCACUCGCUGUGGAGCUCUCUGAUUCACCGGUGUUGCUGCAAUCUCAAUCAAAAAAUUUUGAACAACGUAGAGGCCAAGGUUCAGGUUAGGUAACCGAAUCUUGCCUUUAUCAUCAUAUAGCAUAUACAUUAUAUUCCCCUCUUUCUUUAACAUUCGAGCUUGUCUAAAUGUGUCAUAGCCAUGAUAAAUUCUUAACUCAUCUAUGAAUUCCAACGAUGAGUUUUCUAGCAAGUGAAGAUUAGAGGCUAGACGAGUGAUAAGUGAAGUACAUCCUACUGGUCCCUGAAGACUAGGUACACUAAGCCAAUGAGAAACUAAAAGUGUAACAGGUGAAGUGGGUACUUUAUUAAUAGCAGCAUAUAAAAGUUGCAAAUCUCCUACUCUUACUUUCCUAAUAUCAUCACGAUAGAAAAGAUUGUACCCAAGCCAUUUGUGGAACACCCUAACAGUGGGGUGUUCCAUGUCACUGGUUCGAGCUUGACUAUAAAAAUUAUCUCUAGAUAUUUCUCUCCAAAACUGGUGCCUCUCAGAGUUAGGUAGGUCGGAGUCAAUGUUCAGGAUGCAUCUUGAAGAGAAACCAAGAUGGUCGCUUAGUUCUCUCCAAGACAACAUAAUCUCCUGUUUGAACAUCCGAAAAACAAUUCCCCCCUCAUAAUAUUGUAAGGUGCACAGAAAUUCGAGGGUGAGAAGAUGAGAACCCAGCUCAGUUAUAUUCCAAAAAUUUGUCCAACCUAUCAUCUGGAAAAUUAAGUCAAAUUCAGUGUCCAUACCUGUUUCUUGUAGUAAGAUUGGAUCAAGAGUAGGGGUGUGAAUGAAAUCUUUGUUCUUCAAUUGCUGAUAUACUUCUUUCUCUAUUCGGGUCUUUAGUCCUUGGUCUCCUAUCUUGAGAAGGACCUUGACUUGCUGACGAGAUGAAGAUGACGGAGCUUGUGUUUGUUGGGUCGACGCUCAUCUCUGAUGGGUGUGAGGAGUGUCGGGAUGAACUCCUUGUACCAAUGUUCUUGAGAGCCUUCCCUGCGUUCUUCACCUUCUUAAACGUCCUGUAAACAAAAGUUGGCAAAAACACAACUAGUGGAAAAUGUGAGAGAAAAUGUUAGUGGUCAGCUGUCCGGAAUGUCAGUAGUCCAGGGGUUAGUCGUUCAAGAUAAAUUUCUAUUUUGGCAGAACCUCCCCCUAAACAACUUUUACUUCCGCUUAGACAGCGGGAUCACUACUUACUAGGUGAUACUCACUCUCUCACUCAAAAACUACCAACUUCUUUUCCACUCUUCUCUUCUUCUCUACUUCACUACAAGAGCUCCUGCUCUGGAAACUGAAACUUGUGUGGUUUUCUGGAAUGCUUGUGUGAAGAAGAUGGAGGUAGAAGGUGGCUAUUUAUAGGAGGAAGAGGGGGCAGGGCGGGCGCCCUUGGUAGGUGGGUGGGCGCCCACCUUUGGUGCCCAUCCUGGCUGCCCUUUCUCCACUCCUUCCUCUGCUUAAUUCUCACGCAAAAUAAUGGAUCAUGGGUGGUGGUUGGCCGGUGGAAAAGUGCUGGUUAGUGGAGAUAUGUUGGUGGAUGAAAUAAUGUGAUGGGAUGUAUGUGAGGUGUGGUGUAUGACAUGUGGGACCCAAGGAGUGUGGGUCAUGCUUCUAGAAACUUGCUAUAAUUAAAUAUAAUGCAGGAAAAUCUAUGAGAAUUGAAACUUAAUUGAAAUGAUAAUGGAAAAUAUUUUUGUGCCUCCACAAUAAUUAAUAAAUAUGGGUUGUUACACACCAUAAAUAUUAUUUAUAUGGGGCUUUUGAUUAUUAUAAUAAUGCUAUGACUAAUGCAAGAAUUAAUUAUGCAAGAAUUUAAAUAUGAGAAAAUUAAUAAUGCGAAUAAAUACCGAUUUACCUCCCGGUGAGGGUUUGGGAUUUUUAGGUCCCCCAAGUUGGACCUCCAAAUCUUUUAACCUUCUGAGUUACCUUCCUCCGGAGAUGGUGUCUCCAGUGGUUCUUCUUCAUGAACUUCCUUCACUGUAGAGUCUCUCUCUGGUCUGGGUUUGAAUGUGAAGUGUUCUUCUUGUCUGUUAAUGUUGAACUUGAUUUCUCCUUUUCCGACAUCAAUGUGGGCAUUGGCAGUGCUCAGAAAUGGCCUUCCAAGGAUGAUGGACACUUUUGAGUCAGGACUCAUGUCCAGUACUACAAAGUCUACUGGCACAAGGAAAUCUCUAAUCUUGACUGGAAUGUUCUCGGCGAUGCCCAGCGGGUGUCGAACCGAUUGAUCCGCUAGUUGUAGGCACAUUGAUGUUGGUUCUAGAGUCGCAUGCUCAAGCUUUUUGUAGACUAAUGCUGGCAUCACACUGACACUUGCUCUGAGAUCACAAAGUGCAUUGUUGAAGUGUUAGUUUCCGAUCUAGCUAUCAAUAGUGGGGCAUCCUGGAUCUUCCUUCUUCCUUGGUGGUAUAUUGAGGAUGGCCGCACUACAUUCUUCUGUCAGCUUGAUAACCUCAGUGGCGGGUAGUGGUCUCUUCUUGUUAAGAAUAUCUCUGAUGUACUUUGCAUAUGUAGGUACCUGUAUGGCAUCCAGCAGAGGUAUGUUGACAUAUAAUUUCUGAAUGACCUCUACAAACUUACCAAACUGCUCAUCCGACUGCAGUCCUCUGUUUCUUCUAGGAAAUGGCAAAUAGUUGGUGUCGUAAAAAUCUUUCCUCAUUUCUCCAGUUCUUGGUGGUUGUAGCAGAUCUUCUGCUUCAACUGGGCUUUCAUCUUCUAUCACUGCUGGUUGCACUGGUGCUAAUGUUCUUUGUUUCUCUUUUGGGUAAGGGGGAUCUCUGGUGGCUUUACCUCCUCUAGUAGUUAUAUUCUUUACCUGCUCAAUGUUAGUAGCAACAGGCAGUGCAGCAGCUAGCUUUAUUAAAUUAAGCUCUACCCUUUUAUUAAGAGUGUUUUGCUCAUCAAAGGUAGUUAAUAGAAAAUCCAUUUUAUUGUGUAUAUCUUUUAGAGAUGAUUCAUUUGUAUCUAGCCUUUGUUUAACUUCAUCAUUAAUUUUGGUUUGUUGAGCAAUUAUCUCUUUUAAUGAAAGUUGUUUGAAAGUAUUACCUGAAUUCAUACCUUUGCUAUUGGGUUGACCCGAACUUGGUUGAUAUUUGUAUGUUGUCUCAAUGGCCCUUUGAUCUUCUUUGAACUUGGCCCUCUGGUCAAUCCAAUGGAGCAAAUUUUCCAUCUUGGUCGAUAAUGCAUUUACUUCUUCUGGUAUUUCUUCAGUUUGAUGACAUUGUUGAGCUUUAUCUUGGAACCAGCUUUGAUUUUUUGCUAUCUUAUCCAAAAGUAUCUCUGCUUUUCCAGUUGUAAGUGUUGAUAUUUGGGAACGCAAUAAGGAAUUGAUCCGCAAGCGCACGGAUAUCGGUGAGCACUUCACCCGAGAAAUUAUCCAGAGUAUCGUAUUUAUUUUUUUUACCACUAGGAGAAAGAGUGCAUCUGACUAACCGGUCUAUUACUACUAACCUUUAGGCACAAAGAAUGUCUUUCGAUGUGAGUGAUAAAUAGAGAAGACUGCAACCGUAGUCUCCUUCUAACCUUGGUAAGGAUGAUCUAAUGUUCUAAUGGGGAGGCUAACGGAAUCUAGACACCACAAAGGAUGUUCAACCCGCACCUAUAAACCCUAUCCUUCCUGCAAACGAGAUGUGAUCUACAAAGGUAGCUCGGAAUUGUCACGUUCCUCACUACUACCACGGUCCAGCUAGUCAGGGAAUAUCUAUGAGUACCCCAGCCUAAACACCACGUUUACGCCAGCAAUGAUUACUCUAAACUCUACGCGAAGAGAUUAAAGUAAACUAAUAAACCAUAAGAACAAUAAAACAAGAACUUACAAGAAUUUAGAAGUCGAAUUACUGAAGAAUCCUAGGAGCAAGCUUCGGGUUAGGAGAACUUGAUCCCGCAGGUACAAGCUUGGAGUAGACACCGACAGGCCGGGCUUCCUCCAAUCUACACCUCCACUCUAUCUCUCUCAAUCUAGUAGAAACUAGAAGAUCUAUUUCUACCUUACAUUGGUUGCUAAGCCUAAAAAGAAAUAUUAAUUAGAGAAGAGGUUUUCCUUCGAGGGCACCCCUCAGUCUCUAUGAUAAUUUCUUCAUGUCUUCUCCAGGGGCCAGGGGGGUCUCCUUAUAUAGUCCUCCCCUUCUAUGCGUUUUUGGGUCGAUAGGCGAGGUGGUACUAUGUUUUUCUUGAUCCAAUAGGUCGGUAGAAUAUCCCGAGCGAAGAGAGUCCUGAUCUGGCUCCAGCAGGGGGCGGGCGCCCAGGUCACCAGGGCGGGCGCCCUAGGCCUGGCCCCUUUCGGCCUCCGUCUUCUUCCCGUGGCUUCUGGAAUCUUCUAGAUGGUGUAAAAUCGUGCGGUGCGUUGAUAUCUCUAUGUAAUCCCGACAUGUGGGCCUUUCUUCCUUAUUUCCUGAUAACCCCCUGCAGAAACAGAUAAACAACAAAACUCGUGGAAUUCUAUCAGAUCAAACCCUAAUUCUAGGUGUUGGUUGCAUAUUGGUCCCUUUUCUUGUUUAUUUGAUAAUUAAAAUUGAUACUUAAGAACCGUCAACAAAUACCCCCAUACUUAGGCUUUUACUCGUCCUCGAGAAAAGGAUGGUUAAGAAAAAUAUCUGGGGUAAACAUUUUAAAGCAUUCUCUAUAUAAUUGCAGGGUGUUAAAAAUCCACAGUGUACCAUAGUCAGGGAAGUUUAUGAUCAAGAGUAAAGAUCCUUUCUUCUCAAUCCUAUCACUUGGAGUUUUUGUAUAUUUUUGAAAGAAAGUUAGCAUACCUUUUGAUCCUCAUAGGUUCUCUCAGAUGACUCAUUAUCUUUUAUAUAUAUAUCUCACUGAGGCUGUUUUAUUUUGCAAAAAUUCUUAAGCAUUCUUACUUUGCAUUUAUUGCCUGAUCAAAACGGGAUCCGAGGAGGGGAAUGUCAUACUCUUAGAUCAAAGACUUUGGAAAUUAAAAUCUUUGUCAACUCUUGCUGGCAUAUUGCUUAUUAGAGGGACCAUGGGCUAUCAUUUUUUUCUCUUUUCUCUUUUUUUAAGUGGAUACUGAGGUACCCCUAAUUCUACUGCCGGACUCUUGUCCAUUUUUUCUGCGAGGUUAUCGAGCACUUGCUCCUUUUAUUUCCUCGAAAUAUUUCUAUUUUUGCAUAGCCCAUGCCACUAAUGCAAUAAUACUUCGGAAGAGUGAAUCUUACUGAAAUAAUGUCUUGAUCUUGGGAGCAUGAUAAAUCUCUCAACAAGGGUCUAACUCAUUUUGAACAAACUCAAUACAGAGCAGAUAGCUUUUAUAAUCAUAAUUAAUAUUUUCAGUUUUAUCAGGCAUAUAAAACACUGAGGAUGGUAGCUACAAAUUUGAAUAUUUUGAAAUAAAUUCUCCAAGCAACAAUGAUAUCAAGAAUAAGAAACUCAUACUCUACCCUCACAUAUUCCAUAUUGACUUAAGUAACACAAGGUUUUAAAUGAUUUUAUAAUAAUUGCAAGUUUUCAGGAAAUAUCAUAGAUUGAGAUUAAUCAUGAUUAGAAAUAUUUUAAUCUUUUUAUUUUAUCAUGUCGGAAACAGUAAUCUGCAUAAUCCAAAAUAAAUGUAUGUGUAAAGUGUGCAGAGUGUGUACCUGAAUCGUGGAGUGGUGUAGUUGGAGUGUGUUUGGCAUGUCGAGGGAUCUCCCCCAUACUUGUUUUCUGCUUUCUUGCACAAAAAUAAAGUAGAGACACACAAGACAUAAUAAUAAUAAUAAUAAUACUCUUUAUUGAUCUUGAGGCAUUUAUUACAAAAGACUGAUAGCAAACUGAUAGCAAACUGAUAAUAGCAAACUUAAACUGAAUUUUAAAGAUAGAUGACUAAGAUGCAUUGCCUCAAGGUCUAAUCUAGAUAACUUAGCGGCGCUCUAAUUCCUUGAUCUUCUUGUUGGCACUGGCAAGAUCCUGCCUAAGGCCUAGUAUAAUGGUGUUGUGGUUAGAGAGCUGCCUAGUGAGGGAAUUAAUCGAGGACUGGAGGUCUAUGAUAACUCUAUCUAGCCUGCGAACUUCCUCAUCAAUAUCCAUUAUAGUCUUGCGACGCUUGGGAGGUGUCUCAAAAGCAUUGAGAGAGUGCUUCGGGGCUGCCUUUGGAGGGAUGAAACGGACUUUGGAUGCUCUAAUCCCUUCAAAGUAAGGCCUUUCCUCCUCUGUAGUGUAGCGAAUACUGCUGAUCUCGCCGCUCCGGUUGGUCUUGACUCCAACGACCCUCUCAUUGGGUCCAGGUGGAAGGAUCCUUGUGCCAAUUGGCACCUUGAUAGCGGUCUUCGUCUUGGAUGAUGAUCCUUUGAGGAGUAGGGGUUGUGGCGGUGCGGUGAGAACUGGUUGAGCAUGGUAAGAUUGGGCGGAGCUGCUUUGGCGUAAUGGCAUGGCUUCUAGUUGACGCUCUGUGUUGGCCGGGACGAGAGCACGGGCAUCGGGGUCCUCCACAGGCUCCAUGUUGAGGUUGAAGGGGACGACUUCCCAAUCAUCGUGGUACUUCUCGGCCAUUAGAACAGCAAGGAACUAAUCAAACUUUAAUUGAAGGAGAGCUAAUCAAGCUCUAAUUGAAGGAGAGAAAGCUUGGUGGCUUGGUGUUUGAAAACUGAGGUCAGGGGUCUGUUUAUAUAGGGGUCAAAAGGGUGCCUCUAUGGGUUGUUCGGGUUGCUCCCGUCGACGUGCGUGCGAAACUUUCCAUCCGAGGGAUUAUUUGGAUCACCCUAAGUGUAUUUUCCAUAACAGAGAAAGUCGGGACCGAGGGGGAACAGGGGCUGGGCGCCCGCCCUCUCUCUGACCCCUCUGUGGGCCCACUUCUCUGAGCGCGUUUCUAGAUGCGGAAUUAUUUAGAAAAAUAUAUAUAUGACCCAAAACUAUCAGACCAAAAGUGUCGGGCUUUAAUUCUCCAUGGGAAGGUAAAAAUGGACUACGUCUAUUUCUUCAAAUUCCUCAUUGGGCUCUAAAAAUAAUUUAAGACGUUGACCAUUUACCUUGAAUAACGUACCUUCGCUAUUUUGAAGUGUGAUAGCUCCGUGGGAUGAUGAAUUGAUUACCUUGAAUGGUCCUUCCUAUUUGCUCCGGAGUUUUCCAUGCCCGAAGAGCUUCACCCUGGAAUUAAAAAGUAAUACCUUAUCUCCGGGUGUGAACUCCUUCUUGAUUCUCUUGUCAUGCCACCUCUUGACUCUUUCUUUGUAGAUCUUUGAAUUGUGAUAUGCCUUCUCUCGCCAUUCUUCCAAUUCUGAUAGUUGCAUUCUUCUAUAAUCUCCAGCAACAUCUAGGUCCAUAUUCCAUCUCUUUAUGGCCCAGUGUGCUUUGAACUCUAGUUCAACAGGUAGAUGGCAAGUCUUCCCGUACACCAAUUGGUAUGGAGACAUUCCAAUUGGGGUCUUGUAUGCUGUCCGGUAUGCCCAGAGUGCAUCGGGUAACUUGUCUUUCCACGCCGUUCCCAUUUCAUUUACUGUCUUUUGAAGAAUAUUCUUGAUUUGUUUGUUGGAAGUCUCUGCUUGGCCACUUGUCUGAGGAUGAUAGGGGGUAGCGACGUUGUGACGGAUUCCAUGUCUUGAUAGAUAUUGCUUGAAGUGUUUGUCGAUGAAGUGUGCUCCUCCAUCACUUAUCACUACUCUGGAGACUCCAAAUCUUGGAAAUAUAAUUUCUUCGAACAUCCUCUUUGAACUGACGUUGUUGGCAUGCUUGCAAGGUAAUGCUUCUACCCACUUGGAGACAUAGUCAACUGCCACCAAGAUGUACUCGCACUUCUUUGAUGGAGGAAAUGGACCCAUGUAGUCUAUUCCCCAGACAUCAAAGAGCUCAAUCUGAAGGUUGUUGGUGAGUGGCAUUGCAUCCCUUGUAUUUAUGUUUCCGUGUCUUUGACAUGGCCCACAUCUUCUGAUAUAUUGCCUCGUGUCUUCAUACAUUGUAGGCCAAUAGAAUCCACACUGCCAGAUCUUUGAAUGUGUACGGAAUGCUCCAUAGUGACCUCCAUAUGGUGACGAAUGACAUUUGUCGAUGAUCUUCCAUCCUUCCUCGGUGGUCACACAUCUCCUGAGUAAGCCAUCAGAGCAUACUCGGAAGAGGUAUGGCUCAUUCCAUAUAUGUGAACGACUUUCUUGAAUAAGCUUCUUCUUGUUUGCUCCUGGUGGUACAUACCCUGAAACCAUAAAAUUAACAAUAUCUGCAUACCAGGGGUCAGACCUGUUAAUCCCGUAGAGCAUGUCGUCCUAGAGUAAAUCAUUGAUGGGGGUUUCCUGUGGACUCUUAAAAUACAUUCUAGACAAGUGAUCAGCAACAGAAUUUUCUACUCUCUUUUUAUCUUUUAUUUCUAAGUCAAAUUCUUGGAGUAAUAAAAUCCAUCUAAUCUGGCGAGGUUUAGCAUCUUUUUUAGUGAGCAAAUAUUUUAAUGCAGCAUGAUCAGUGUAAACAAUUAUUUUAGCUCCAACUAAAUAAGAUCUAAAUUUAUCAAUGGCAAAGACAACAGCCAGAAGCUCUUUUUCAGUGGUUGCAUAGUUAAGUUGAGCUCCUGUCAAAGUUUUACUGGCAUAAGCAAUUGCAUGAUGCUUCUUAUCUUUAGUUUGUCCCAAUACUGCCCCCACAGCAUAAUCACUAGCAUCACACAUAAUUUCAAAAGGCAACGACCAAUCAGGGGGUUGAAUGAUUGGUGCAGAGAUGAGUGCUUUCUUUAAUAAAUUGAAAGAUGUUAGACAUGCAUCAUCAAAUUCGAAAGGAGCAUCCUUGGCUAGCAAAAGGGUAAGUGCUCUAGCAAUAAAUGAAAAAUCUUUUAUGAAUCUACGAUAAAAACCAGCAUGGCCAAGAAAGCUUCGAAUUCCUUUUAUAUUCACAGGUGGAGGUAGUUGUUCAAUUACUUCAAUUUUAGCUUUGUCUACCUCAAUCCCUCUUUCAGACACUAAGUGUCCUAGCACUAUUCCUUCCCUAACCAUAAAAUGACAUUUUUCCCAAUUAAGGAUAAGUGCUUUUCUUCACAUCUUUGCAAAACCUUGUCUAAGUUUUCAAGACAACUAUCAAAAGUUUUUCCAUAAACAGAGAAAUCAUCCAUGAAAACUUCCAUAAUCUCUUCAAUCAUAUCAGAAAAUAUAGACAUCAUGCAUCUUUGAAAAGAAGCUGGUGCAUUACAUAACCCAAAAGACAUUCUACGGUAAGCUUAAGUUCCAUAAGGGCAUGUAAAAGUGGUUUUGCUUUGAUCAUCAGGAUGGAUCGGGAUUUGAUGAUACCCUGAAUAUCCAUCUAAGAAACAGAAGAACGAAUGGUUUGCUAACCGCUCUAGCAUCUCAUCUAUAAAAGGUAAAGGAAAGUGAUCCUUUCUCGUGGCUUUGUUUAGUUUUCUAUAGUCUAUGCACAUCCGCCAUCCUGUGACGGUGCGUUGCGGAAUUAGCUCGUUCUUUCAUUCAUAAUAACAGUCAUGCCUCCCUUUUGGGCACAACUUGUACUGUGCUCACCCACUCACUGUGCGGCACAGGAUAUAUAAUCCCUGCAUGCAGCAACUUUAUAACUUCCUUUUUAACUACCUCUCUCAUAGUGUUGUUAAGUCUACGUUGGGGUUCUCGAGAGGGUGUAACAGAAGGAUCUGUUGGAAUACAAUGGGUACAAAUCAUAGGACUGAUUCCUGUAAGAUCUUGAAGUGAGUAGCCGAAAACGGAGUGAUGUUUCUCAAGAAUGGUCAUUAAUCGCAGAGUUUGAUCCUGAGUGAGUUUAUCGCUAAUGAUCACAGGGAACUCUGGAUUAUUGUUUAGGAAAGCAUAGGUAAGACCGGGUGGUAAAGUUUUAAGCUCUAUGGGGGGUCUAGGUGUUUCUGCAAACUCAUCUAAGGGUUCAGGUUCAGAAGGUUCGUCUUCUUCUUCUAUGAAGAAAGGAGUUUCGUCUUCUAAGUCUGGUUCAUCUAAAAGCUCUAGAGAUGCAGCCUUUACUUCCUCCAUAGGGUUAGGCAAAAGAUAUGACUCGGCCUUAUUGUUUAAGGAGUGUGAAAUUAUUAUUGGGAAUUUAAAAGUUUUUCCAAAAGAAAUGUGUAGCUUUCCAGUAUGACCUUCAUAAAGGAGUCUUCUAAAAGGUUGUCCUAUCAACAGGUCGAAGUCCCAUGUAUCAAAGAUAUAGAAGUUCAAAUGAACCAUGGAGCCUUCUACCAUAAGAGGUAGGACAUUAAUAUUCCAAGACUGGGGACUAAUCGUCCUGAAGAUUCCUUUAUGACCUUUGUUGUGGGGGUUAAGACAAGAUUUUAAAAUAGUUUAAGUGCAAAAGAUUCGGACAUGAUGUUGAUCCCCACAACAGGAUUAUAAAGAGCAUUAAAUCGAUCAGAAUUAUAAGCACAGCGUAUAGUUAUAGAGGGUGUGUCCAAACGGAUCACAUCAGAGGAAAGCUCUGAUUCCUCCAACCAUUCGCUACUCAUGACUGAGAUAAGCUCUCUCAAUUGAUAUUCACUUGGAAAAUAAAUGCUAAACUGGCCGUUUUGGGGUUUGUCAAUAGAAUGGUAAUUUGAAAUAUUUCCAAAAUCGGCAAAAAGAUCGGAUUCUAUAUCCAGCAUGAAGUCCGGUAGUGGAAUUUCUUCCUCUUGUGGCUCAGAACUUGGAAUAGCUAAAGUAGAUGAAGAAUUUGGCAGAGUGUCUACUUCGGCUUCGUAGGUUUCAUCAUGAAGGGUAUUAUCCAUCUCAGCUUCUAGGAUUCUAUCUAGGAUCACUCUAGCUUCCUCAGCAGGGAUGCGAAAGAAAGAACCUCUAGACAUUGUGUGUAGCAUUUGUUUGUGAUUUUUAUGAAGACCUCGAAAAAAGUGGAAUAAAAGAACAGAGUCUUCAAGAUUAAGGUUUGGACCAGAUUCUAAAAGAUCAGAAAAAUGUUUCCAGGAUUUUCCCAAAGUUUCAUUAUCUUUUUGUUUAAAAGAUAGGACUUCGAGUCUAAGGUCAGCUAUACGGUCAAGGGAAUAGAAAUCUAGACAAAAGUUGGCUCGUAAAACUCCCCAUUCACCUUGUUGUUGACUUACCUUCUGACUGUACCAUUGUCUAGCUUCUCCUCUUAAGGAAAAAGGAAAAAGCUUCCAACGUAAAGUCUUAUCAGAAAUGCCUUCAAUGCGAAGACAAUCACAUGUUUGCUCAAAAUCUCUAAUAUGAAGGUAAGGGUUUUUGUCUUCCUUUCCCGAAAAAGAUAGGUUUUGAAUCAUGGCAAUCAACCUAGAACUUAACUUAUACUAGGAUGUUUGGAUAGGCUGUGAUGAUUACCAUGGUAAAAGGUCAGUUGCUAAAGGGAUUGCAGACUCAUGGAUCGAUUUAGAAUUUUGGUUUUCCAUAAGGUAAGAAUAAUGUAAAUAAAGAAUAUAAAAGAUAAGAAAAAAUAAAAGUAUAGAUACAAGCUAAUAGUAAGACUCAGGUUAUCUCAGCAACCGUCUUUCUCCCAGGCAACGGCGCCAGAAAUGCUUGUUGAUAUUUGGGAACGCAAUAAGGAAUUGAUCCGCAAGCGCACGGAUAUCGGUGAGCACUUCACCCGGGAAUUAUCCAGAGUAUCGUAUUUAUUUUUUUACCACUAGGAGAAAGAGUGCAUCUGACUAACCAGUCUAUUACUACUAACCUUUAGGCACAAAGAAUGUCUUUCGAUGUGAGUGAUAAAUAGAGAAGACUGCAACCGUAGUCUCCUUCUAACCUUGGUAAGGAUGAUCUACUGUUCUAAUGGGGAGGCUAACGGAAUCUAGACACCACAAAGGAUGUUCAACCCGCACCUAUAAACCCUAUCCUUCCUGCUAACGAGAUAUGAUCUACAAAGGUAGCUUGGAAUUGUCAUGUUCAUCACUACUACCACGGUCCAGCUAGUAAGGGAAUAUCUAUGAGUACCCCAGCCUAAACACCACGUUUACGCCAGCAAUGAUUACUCUAAACUCUACGCGAAGAGAUUAAAGUAAACUCAUAAACCAUAAGAACAAUAAAACAAGAACUUACUAGAAUUUAGAAGUCGAAUUACUGAAGAAUCCUAGGAGCAAGCUUCAGGUUAGGAUAACUUGAUCCCGCAGGUACAAGCUUGGAGUAGACACCGACAGGCCGGGCUUCCUCCAAUCUACACCUCCACUCUAUCUCUCUCAAUCUAGUAGAAACUAGAAGAUCUAUUUCUACCUUACAUUGGUUGCUAAGCCUAAAAAGAAAUAUUAAUUAGAGAAGAGCUUUUCCUUCGAGGGCACCCCUCAGUCUCUAUGAUAAUUUCUUCAUGUCUUCUCCAGGGGCCAGGGGGUCUCCUUAUAUAGUCCUCCCCUUCUAUGCGUUUUUGGGUCGAUAGGCGAGGUGGUACUAUGUUUUUCUUGAUCCAAUAGGUCGGUGGAAUAUCCCGAGCGAAGAGAGUCCUGAUCUGGCUCCUGCAGGGGGUGGGCGCCCAGGUCACCAGGGCGGGCGCCCUGGGCCUGGCCCCUUUCGGCCUCCGUCUUCUUCCCGUGGCUUCUGGAAUCUUUUAGAUGGUGUAAAAUCGUGCGGUGCGUUGAUAUCUCUAUGUAAUCCCGACAUGUGGGCCUUUCUUCCUUAUUUCUUGAUAACCCCCUGCAGAAACAGAUAAACAACAAAACUCGUGGAAUUCUGUUAGAUCAAACCCUCAUUCUAGGUGUUGGUUGCAUAUUGGUCCCUUUUCUUGUUUAUUUGAUAAUUAAAAUUGAUACUUAAGAACCGUCAACAGUAAGCUCCAAGAAUGAUCCUUUAGCAGAUGCAUCUAGGCACUCACGAGCCUUCUGGGUUAAUCCAUGGUAGAAGGUCUGCAUAAGUAACCAUGUGGCCAUUCCAUGGUGAGGACAAUCUGAUAUGUAUCCUUGAAAACGCUCCCAUGCUUCUGAAAUGGUUUCUGUCUUCUGCUGUUGGAAACUGACAAUAUUUCCUCUUAAGGCAGUUGUUUUGCCUAUAGGGAAAAACUUUGAUAGAAAGGCAUUUGACAAGUUCGUCCAGUUGUUGAUGUUAUCUUGAUGAGUGUAGAACCACUUCCUCACUUUCCCUUCUAGUGAGAAUGGAAAAAGGCGAAGCAGUAUGACGUCUUUGUCAACUCCAUUGAUUUGGAUUGUGCUUCCAAUCUCUAAGAAAUUCUGCAAGUGUGCACUAGCAUCUUCAUGUGCCUUUCCACUGAAUUGUGUAGCUUGAACCAAAUUGAUGAGGCUUGACUUGAGCUCAAACUCGGGUACUCCUUCUUCUACUGCAAAUCUUGGACCAGUUGGAAUCUUUUCAAGACUUGGAGCAGAGAAUUCUUGUAGGGUCUUCUGUGCCAUAGCUUCAGCAAUUGGUAGCUAGCUUCUUCUUCUCUUGAUUGCUUUGGUUCUGAUGAUGAAGAGUUGAAUGUACCCAAAGUCAAUCCUGAUAUACCCUAUAUAAAAAUAUAAACAUAGAAAAACAACAGGGUGAACCUGCCAAAGCAGAGGUGCCUUGUUAUGAUUUCUCACUUAGUAGCUGUUUUUGCAAUUAUUUCUCUAUAGUCUAGUCUAAUAUUUUAUGUGAAUAACCUUGACUGAUUUCCUGACUUUCCUUACCGUUCCUAUGUAUUACCCUUUUGUUCCCCGGCAACGGCGCCAGAAAUGCUUGUUGACACUAACUAACACCACUUAGAUACUAGGUUGUCAUCCCCAGCUUGGUGCCAGAGUGUACAAAGGUAUUUAUAAAUGUAAAGGCUCUCUAGAAAAUAAUCUAUUCUAUCCGCAAGCGCACAGAUAAAACACCUCAUUGUAGCAUUUCACCAGGAUAAGUAUUCCAGGUAUCGUUAUUUAUAAUUUUGCUUAAGAAGACAAGGGAUGAAAUUAUGAUAAGGACAAAAUUUAUCAAGGCAUAGACUAGAGAUAAACUUGCAAGAACAUGAUUACUAAUGAGAAACUCGUCACACAAUCACUUACUUUGGCAGGGGGUAAACCAUAAAGAUAAUGAUAAUGAAUUAUAAGUUCAAGGGUAAAUAACACAACGAUUAGAAAAUAGACUACUCCUCAUAUAUGUAGGUGAUGUCGGAUUAGCUAGAGAAUGGAUUCUAAGUUAUCUACUAUCUACUAAGUCAUAAUCUACUCUAGUUAUCUACAAGAUCAUAUAUAGCAUAAAAGACUCUUCAUUCAUGUAUAAGGAACAUUGCUAAAGUAAAUCAGAGCAUCGCAAGACUUACUCCACAAUACCGAUUCUGCCUGUCCUAUCAACGGAGGGUGGACUAUAUAAGAAUCAACGAAGCUGUCACUAUCGCGAACUACCACAUGACCCGGCCAACAGGAUACAUUUGCAGAUAAAUAACAUCUAAGCACCACGCUCACAUGUGAUCUAUCACCUAACUCCCUCGCGUCAAGAGCUAAGCGUUUUGCAAACUUAUACAUAAACUCAUUAUCAAUCAUAACUAUAUCAAAUAUAGAACUAGAGCAAACUAAGAACAUAAUAAUUAGAGACAUAAUGCAAUUAGAACAAAGAAUUAGAUAAAGAUAUGAAUAAUACCAAUCUUUAUUACCGAAGAUCCGAAUCCAGAGCGUAGUGCUCUACUUCUCUAAUUGCUAGCUAAUCAAACCUCUAAACUUAAAGGAUUAGGGAGUAGCUAAUUCUAAUUCUCUGUGGGAGAGAAGCUCUAAACCCUAACUUUGAUGGCUACCUCUGAAUAAUGAUUUAUUCUCUUCUCCUCUCUCCUCCAGGGGUGGAGAGGCCUUGGUUUUAUAGUCCUUUCAAGUGAAUUUAGGCCGUCGGAUCAAACCGACAUUGAUUGUAUGGUUUAGAUUGAUCCUUUAGGUUGGUGGAGUUUAGCCCCGAAACAGAGUCCUGAUCCAACUCCUGGCCAGGGCGGGCGCCCAAGGGGGGUGGGCGGGCGCCCUGCCCCCGAGCCCGAUCGUCUUCUCGUUCGUUCCCGUGGCUUCUGGACUCUUCUAGAUUGAGGAAAAUUGCACGGCAUGUAAUUAUCUCGUUGUAAACAUGACAUGUGGGCCUUCUCUCCAUAUUCUCUGAUAACCCCCUGCAGAAAUAGAUAAACACCAAAGCUCGUGGAAUUCUGUCAGAUAAAACCCUAAUUCUAGAUGUUUGUUUCAGAUUGAUCCUUUUCCAUGUUUAUUUGAUUAUUAAUUUUAGUACUUAAGGACCGUCAACAAGUAACACAAAGUUCCUCAUGAACCAAUUUUAGCUCCUCAUGUGAACAAUUAGUAACAUAAAGUAGAUGUUUUUGUUGUUCACAUGCGGUCUUUAGAAAUGAGUUUUCAAUUUUCAAUUUAUUUGUUUUUGCUAACUCAUUUCUUAAAGCUUUUGAGAGUUUGCAUACAAGCUCAAAAUUUGGACCAUCACAAUCAAUAAUCACAUCACCAAUAGAUACCUUAGUGUCACCGUGUGACAUAAAGCAAUGUGGUGAUGAGCUUGUGGAAGCAUCACUCUCAUAGCCAUCAUCUUCAUCAUCAAGUGUGCAUGAGGUAGCAUCAUCAUUUGCAUCACUUGUGGCAUCAUCAUCGUCCUUGUUAAGUGAUCUUGUAGAAUGAUCAUCAUCAUCUUCACUUGACCAUGAGGUGGAGCAAUCCUCCACAACCACGGUGUUUUGGUCAUGCUCAACAUCCUCAUGUGCCUCCACAUUUGGCACAACAUCUUCUUUGGAGAUCACCCCAUAUUUUUUUAUUGAGAAAUACCCAAAUCUCAUGGGCGGACUUCAUGUCCAUGAUCUGAACAAAUAUAUUAUCUUUCAUGGAUGAAUAGAAGAUGUAAGUAGCUUGGCAAUCGAGAUGUAGGCAUUUCUUUUGCACUUGAAUUGCAACCUUUUUAUCAAUUGCACAAGAAAAGCCCACAUCUACAAUCCACCACAUUUGAGGAGAAAUUAACUUAAAAUUGCAUGUCAUCCAAUUUCUCCACUGUGCAAAGUGUGUGCCAUCAAAAAUGUGUGGAUACUCAACAUCUAGCCCAUAAGCCGCCAUCCUCUCGGGUCAAUGAAGACCGCAAAUGAGAGACCUAGCUCUGAUACCAUUUGAAAAGGUUGAGAUGGCGGACUAGAGGGGGGAGUGAAUAGUCCUUUCUAAAACUUAUCACACCAGCUAACCGAAGUAAGUGCGGAAUUAAAACUAUCGGUCUAGCCAAGACUACACCCCUCUAUCUAAGUUCUCUAGCACCUUGUAAAGGAUCCUAAACAAGCAAACAAGGUGCUACCUUAGCAAGAUCUCACCUAACCAAUUCUAGAAGCAAGGUCACACAAACCUAUGCCACUAGUACUUUGCAAACCGGGGAGCUCCUACACAACUAGUAAGCGAAAGCACAAAGCUCCUAAGCUCACUAGCAAUGCUCAAUAACAAGGCAACUGCCACACCCAGUUUUGAUAACAAAACCAAGUACUCAAAUAUGUGCGCCCAGGAUGUCCAAACACACAUAUUAUCACAAAUUGUAAAUAUAUCAAAGUAAAGUACUUUAUUACAUCGCAUAUUCAACUUAAACAUCUCAUAAAGUCUUGCUCAUUGGCAACAUUAUUACAUAAAGCGGAAGGCUAAGCCCUUGCUACCACAGGGACACCAACUGGUGAACACUAGCACUCUAGAAGUCCUAGGCAUCUUCAGGGAAUUCCUCAGCACACACAUCUGUUACCCAUCCAGGAUUUUCAUUGAAAUAUAAACAAGUGUAAGCGCACCAUGCUUAGCAAGUACAACAUAGGGGUAUAUGAAGGCUCAAAAAGGUUUGACUCGGUUUAACAGCGGUGAGCAUUUUAUUUGGUCAUGUUUUAUUAACCAAGACUUACUACUUUUAAUGAGAGACCAACCCUAGUUACAUAAGUAUUAAUCAAAGUUAUUACAUUUCCCAAGUAUAGACAAGUAACCACUAACCAAGAAGGAUCCAGGCCGCUCAUGACCGAGAGCUCGGCUGUUAUAACAGGUUUUAGAUUUCUGUAGAAAUUGUACAAGUUUACCCCCGAGCCGUGGUUCCCUAGUGUCGGGGUUUGCAAGGCCCACACCACUUCUACCGAGGAAGUGUGACCGGGUUCCACUACUUAACCUUUCACUAGUCACCCUAACAAAAUAGUAGCCGCGAGGUUUCAGUGGCAAGUGUGCAUAGACGACCUCCUUCAAGAGGCACAUGUGGUCGCGGCACUGUACACACCAAGGCAGGAGUGACAUCUAUACACCACGAGGCACCCCCCUCUAGCGCCUUUCGGUAACUACUAUCUUCCUAGAGACAUACUAGUUAUAUGAUUAAGGUCAGAGCCAUUUGACUCUCGGGAUUGUACGUGACCUCCUAGGUGGCCGCUUCAGGAUUAAGUCCUUAUGGAGAGGAAUCUAGAGCUUUCAUAACCCAAGCUCUAGCCCCCUGAACCAAGUUACUAGCACAUAUUUUAUCACAUUGCAUAUACCAAUUAAUCAGAUUAAUUUAUUACUUGGGUGUAUGCGUAGCAGCAACUACCUAAAUAAAUGCACACCUUCCCAUGGGUAUCAAGGAUUUGUGGUACGAAAUUAUCUAGGUAGAGUCCUUAUAGGUAUUUCAAUUUAGACACAUGCAUGUGUAUGAAUUAAAUAAUAUUCAUAGGUACAAGGAAGCCUAUAUUACACUUGCCUUCCUCAAAAGUUUCCUCCUGGUAGAGCUCCACAAACUGCUCCUCAACCACCCCAACCUGAUCACCUUCUAUUCGUGAUCCAAACACCAAUCAAGCAUCCAGUCCAAUCAUCACAUGCAUACAAAUAGAGUUCUAUUAGAACAGUACACCAAACAGUGAAAACAGUGACUGAAAAGUAUGUAAAUCUACUCUACACAUUUCUAUGAACACAUGAGCGAAAGAAUCAUUCUAAUCGGACUUAAAACGUGAAAGUUAUGCAUAAAACAAAAUGAAUGGCAUUUCUGUGAAUAAACUGAAUCAAAAACAAAUUUAAAAGAAUUAAAACUGAAUUUCUAACGGGUCUGGACCAUGCGCACUAUUAUAUAAAAGUACAGGGUUUAAAACAGAAGAAAACAGGAUUAAAAAGAAAUACUUUUGAACUAAGUUGGACUGCGGGUUGAUUUGCUUCAAACGGGGGGGGGGGGGGGGGGGUUAAACUGCAAAAUCUCCAGUGGUCCGCGGCUGACCGCGUCGCUGACCGACAGGGGGCCACGUGGCGUGCGGGGGUUGGCUCGGUCCACCACUGUGCGCGUGGACCGGCCGGCCGAGCGCCCGUGGACCGCGUCCAUGGUCCACGGUGGACCGGUUACAUAACCCCGAAGGGGUAUGUAAUCUGGGCCGUUGGAAACCGAUCGGGCGGCUCUGGUUGAAAGGGGGCGGGGCGCUCGCCUGAGCCGAGGCCGACCACGGCGGCGCCAUUGCCGCCGAUGAGGUGAGCUCCUCGGAGCUCGCCGGAAACACGUUCCCAGCCACGCCAAACAAAAAUAAAACCACCACUAUGACCAGCACGACGAGGCGAACACGAUAGGGCAUAAAUAAAGGGCGGGGAGCACAUCGGGACGACGGCCCCGCGGUGGCGCCACUUUCGCGCCCUCAGAGAGCCUCGGGUUCAGCGUUAGAGAGCUCUAAACUCGCGAUUGAAAGUACGUGGAGCAUCGAGGGGGUACCGCGGUUCCGUUGAAGGUGAUUGCAGUGUCCGGGAAAGCUCCGAGCGGCUUGACCACGGUCGAGGCGGACUGGAGAGAGAAGAAAUCAUCGGUGAGCUCGAAUUCAUGGCAUACAAGAUCAAAACAAAGAAAAGAUGGACGCCUACGGUUGCGGCGAGUCCCAACCAAGCUCCCGGGGCGCUCCUCGGCUCUAGGUCGCUCGAACAAGGGAAAACCGAGGUGGGGGAGAGAAACCGUGCUCCGGUUGUGGCUAGGGGCAGCAAGGGGGGCUCGGCCUAGGGUUUUAUAGGGCGAGCAGGGGUGUCGAGUGGGCGCGCAUGCGGGCGAUAACUCCCGGCAUCAAGGCGGCUUGAUGGAGCCCCGAUUGAUGGCCUCUAUCAAUCGGCGUUUGAAGAAGGGGAUGAAUGCCCAUUGCAGCGUUCCCGGCUUGGUGGAGAAGAAGGGGGGAGACGCUGACGAGCGGGCCCCACGGUGCAGCGAGAGAGAAAGGGGAAGGGAGAGCGCCGACAGGCGGGUCCUACUGCGCAGUGAGAGGGGGAAGGGGGAGGCGCGUGGGCUGUCCGUGCGGGGCGGGCCGCGCCUCUGGCUGCGUGCGCGUCGCGUGCGGGGGUGGGGUGCUAGGCCGACAACGGCCCAAGGCCAGGGGUGAGCGCGGGUUUAAGCCGGGCCAGGGUUUGGGGCUGGGCCAAAAUCGAAUGAUGAAAUAAAGAUAAAAGGAAAACUCUUUUAUAUUUUUCAGAGCUGUAAAUUUGUAUAAAUUCCUUUCAAAUUGAUUUUUAAACCAAACAACCUAGUCUUACAAUCAAUAAAAAUAUUAUGCACCAGCAUGAAUGCAGCAUUUCAUGUUUCUAGACCUUAUAGUUUAUUUUAAAUAAUUCCAAAAAAUUGUUAUUUUGCCUAAACAAUUCUCAAUAAUCCCUAUAAUUAUGCCAAAUUAAAUACUAAUUUGAAAAUUAUUUUUUUGGGUGUUACAAACCUACCCCCUUAGGAUGAAUCUCGUCCUCGAGAUUCGGAUGGUUCAAAAAGAUGAGGGUACUCAGAUUUUAAAUCAUCCUCUCUUUCCCAGGUUGCUUCAUCUUUGGAAUGUCUGUUCCAUUGUACUUUGCACAUUCUUAUGACCUUACUUGUGGUGAUUCUUUCUGCUGUCUCCAGUAUUCUUACAGGAUAUUCUUUAUAGGAAAGAUCUUUUUGAACAUCAAGCUCUUCCACAGAUAACUGUUCCUCGGGUAUUCUCAGACAUUUCUUAAGCUGUGACACAUGGAAGACAUUGUGAACACUAGAGAGUUGCUCAGGUAACUCCAGCUGAUAGGCAACUUCUCCUCUCCUAGCAAUGAUCUUAAAGGGACCCACAUACCUAGGGGACAACUUUCCCUUAGUAUGGAAUCUCUUGACCCCUCUCAUUGGUGAGACCUUGAGAUACACAUAAUCUCCUAAUUGAAAUUCCAAAUCCCUUCUCCUCGUGUCAGCAUAACUUUUCUGUCGAGAUUGUGCUAUUUUCAAGUUCUAUCUUAAUGUGUGUACUUGUUUCUCUGCUUCUUGCAAAAUCUCGGGCCCAAAGACUUGACUUUCCCCAGUUUGACUCCAAAACAGUGGUGUCCUGCAUUUCCUGCCAUAUAAUACCUCAAAAAGUGCCAUUUUGAGACUCUUCUGAUAACUAUUAUUAUAGGAGAACUCUGCAUAAGGCAAACUUUUGUCCCAACUUGUCUCGUAGUGCAGGGCACAAGCUCUCAACAUAUCUUCUAGUAUUUGAUUUGUUCUUUCUGUUUGUCCAUCUGUUUGAGGAUGGUAGGCUGAACUAAAAUUCAAUUUUGUAUCCAUGGAUUCGUGUAGUUUCUGCCAAAAGUGUGAUGUAAACUGUGUCCCUCUAUCAGAAACAAUUUUCUUUGGCACCCCAUGUAAACACACAAUCCUUUCCAUGUACAAUUCUGCCAACUUUGCCCCAGAAUAGGUAAUCUUGACAGGGAUGAAGUGAGCUACCUUGGUUAACCGAUCCACAAUAACCCAGAUAGAAUCGUAUCCUUUCUGUGUUCGGGGUAGUCCCACUAUGAAAUCCAUUCCAACUUCUUCCUACUUCCACUCAGGUAUUUUCAUGGGUUGAAGUAAUCCUGCUGGCCUCUGAUGUUCUGCUUUUACUCUUUGGCAUGUAUCACAUAUAGCCACAUAUUCUGCUACAUCUCUUUUCAAGCCAUACCGCCAAUAUCUUUCUUUAAGGUCGAGGUACAUCUUAGUGCUACCCGGGUGUAUAGAAUAGGCUGAGUCAUGAGCUUCUCUCUCAAUAGCUUCCCUAAUAGACUUUAUCUCGGGUACACAAAUCCUCUUACCGAACCAUAUUGUUCCCUGGUCAUCCAUGUGAAAACCUGGUGCCUUACCAAUCACUAUCCGUUCAGCAAUAUCUUUAAUUUUCUCAUCUUCAAGGUGUCCUUUACGGAUAUCUUGUUCUAGUGUGGGUUCCACCUCCAAUUCCAUAGUGUUAGCCACUAUACUCAAGUUCAGAUGUUCGAACUCUUCGCACAACUCCCUAGGUAACUGAGUCACAUAAGCCAUAUUAACAUAGCUCUUUGUACUCAGGGCAUCUGCCACUACAUUAGCUUUACCCGGGUGAUAGUGUACUUCUAGGUCAUAGUCCUUAAUCAGUUCCAACCACCUUCGUUGCCUUAAGUUCAAAUCAGACUGGGUGAAGAUAUAUUUCAAACUCUUAUGAUCUGUAUAGAUCUCACAUUUAUGACCGAUUAGAUAGUGUCUCCAUAUUUUCAGAGCGUGCACCACGGCUGGUAAUUCUAAAUCAUGGGUCGGGUAGUUCAACUCAUGAUUCCUCAAUUGUCUAGAGGCAUAGGCCACAACUCUGCCUUCCUGCAUCAGCACACAACCAAGUCCUUGCCGAGAGGCAUCACAGUAGAUAGAGAAACUCUUAGUGAUGUCAGGUAAAAUGAGUACAGGGGCAGAAGUCAGUCUCUUUUUCAACUCUUCGAAGCUAGCCUGACACUCUUUAGACCAUAUAAAUUUGGCAUUCUUUUCUAGCAGAGCGGUCAUUGGUUUGGCUAACUUAGAGAAACCCUACUCUCAAAAAACUUAGAGAAACCCUCAAUGAAUCUUCUAUAGUACCCGGCCAUUCCAAGGAAACUCCUAAUUUUACUCACAUCUUUCGGUGGCUUCCAGCUUAGCACAUCCUGAACCUUUUUCGGGUCCACAGCUACCCCUCCGUUAGAUAUGAUGUGCCCAAGGAAAUAUACCUCUUUUAACCAAAACUCACACUUACUAAGCUUAGCAUAGAGUUGAUGUUCCCUAAGCUUCUAUAGCACCAAUCUCAAAUGUUUCUCAUGUUCUAUCUCAUUCUUAGAGAAAACAAGUGUUGAUGGUCCUUAAGUAUCAAAUUUAAUUAUCAAAUAAACAAAGAAAAGGAUCCAAAUGAAAUCAACAUCUAGACUUAGGGUUUUAUCUGACAGAAUUCCACGAGUUUUGGUGUUUGUCUAUUUCUGCAGGGGGUUAUCAGGAAAUAAGGAAGAAAGGCCCACAUGUCAGGAUUACAUAGAGAUAUCAACGUGCCGCGCAAUUAUCUUACAUCUAGAAGACUCCAGAAGCCACGGGAAGGAAGCGGAGGCCGAACGGGGCCAGGCACUGGGCACCCGCCCAGUUGCCCUGGGCGCCCGCCCUCCUGCUGAGUCCAAUCAGGACUCUGUUUCGGGGAAGAUCUCCACCGACCUAAAGGAUCAAGGAUAACCGUUCAAUCAAUGUCGGUUUGAUCCAAUGGCCCAUAUUCACUUGAAGGGACUAUAAAACCAGACCCCCUGGCCCCUGGAGGAGAGAGCCUCUCAAUCCUAAUUCAUUAUUCUCAAGGGAGAAGAAGCCUCUGAUCAAGAUUAGAGCCACCACAUCAAUUAGAUAUCUAGAUUAGCAUAGCUACAUAGGAUUAGAACUAGAAGGAGUCAAUCUUCGAUUGGUUUCCGGAUCUGUCAAGAGGAUUCUUGGUAAUUCUCUAAUUGUUCUUCUAAUUGUUCUUCUAAUCAUCUUUGUUCUUCAAUAUUAUGAAUAUGACUUUGUUCUACUUCAAUAUAUUUAUUAUGACUUCGCUCUACUUGUUUAUAUUCAAGAUUAUAUUGUUCUUAGUUUAUCAUAGUUAUGUACUUGGCUUAGUUAGAUUGGAUCUAUAUAUAUGCUUAGGAUCGUAUAGCGUUUAUCCAUCGGAUCCAUGGGUAAAUGAUAGAUAUUGUGUAGGCGUGGUGCUUAUACCGUAUUUAUCUGCGAUUGUACCCAAUAUGCCAGAUCGUGGGGUAAUUCGUGAUAGUGACAGCUUCAUUGAUUCUUAUAUAGUCCCCCUCUCAUGUAUUGGGUUGGCAGAGCAACAUUAUUACAGGGGAGUGAUUGCUAUGUUUCUCAUUUACCUUGCUAAUAUCACUAUGCAUGGGCGUAGUCUUGUCUCACAAUGAUUGCUAAGUAUACUUGCACUAAUUAUGAUAAUAUUAGACUAUAUAGUUGAGAAUAUCUUAGGAAAUAUUCUUGUAGUUCGUUCUAAUUCCAUGCUAAUGACUUUCUAGAGUAUCUAAUUGAGGUGCUUAUCAUAUUUAUAUGUGGCUAAGUUAUGAUCAGAUUAAUUAUCUUUGUCACUAUUUAUUACUUCAUAUAUCUUUUAUGUGACACUUAUCCCUUUAUGAAAGAGUUAGAUAAAUGUUCUCAAUUAUACAUGCAAUGAUAGAUACUCAAUCUCAUAUUCCAUUCUGUAAUCAAUAUUGAUGAUUGCUAAUCCCUUCCCCGUGGUAAAAAUAUAAAUAACGAUACCUGAAAUACUUGCCGGUUAAAAUGCUACAUCGGUAUUAAUCUGUGCGCUUGCAGAUCUCAUUCAUUAUUUAUUUAGAAGAGCAAUUGCAUAUUUCAAUACCACGUCUCUCGUGUCAUGCUGGGAAUGACAACUUGGCUUAAGUGGUAUGAGGGAUAGGUUUGGCAUUUUUGGCACCGUUACUAGAAUUAGGAAACUGUCUACUUUUGGUAAUGAUGUUAAGAAUACCCAACAACAAGUAUGUCAUCAAUGAACACAACCACGAACUUGUCAAGGUAUUCCCCCCUUACUGAUAUCCUCGACAGGGAGGUUGUUCAACAUAAACCAACUCAUUGAUGUAUCCAUUGAGAAAUGCACUCUUCACACUACUACAGAAAUAUUUAAUCGUGGCGGGCAAAACAGGUUAACCGUGGCGGGCAAAGCAACCGCCACGGAUGAAAGGCCAUGGUUAAUUGUUGCCUUAACCGUGGCGGUUGUCCAACCGCCACGGUUAAUAUGUUAACUGAGGCGGCCGCUGUUAGAAAACCGCUUUGGUUAAUUGCUUUAACGGAGGCGGCCGUUAUAAAGUAACCGCUUUCGUUAACAUUUUAACCGAGACAGUUUUUUUAAAAUGCCCGUCUCCUUUAAUUAAUUAACAGAGGCGGUUUUUGUAACUUGCCCGCCUCCUUUAAGUGUAUCCAGAGUAAAAACAAACCUCAUUUCAGUUUAUUUUCAAAUUUGAAUCCAAAAUUUGUUAGGUUGAAACAUAUACAAAGCAAAAUACAUAUGUAUAAAGGAUGACCACAUUGAAUCUGUUGACACCGCUUUUGGGCACGUGUCCAUGAUCGGUAAAAGUAUAGAUCGGUAGAAUAAGGCAGUGGUGUUUGGUCUGCAGGGAGAGUUGCCGAUGAAGAUGGUUGCCGAUGGAGGAGGGGUUGGACGUGAUUAAGUCCGUAGAUGGUGAUGCGUCUAUGUCGGUGGCUACGGCAAGGGAAUCUGCUGAUAACCUCGAUAAGGGAGUCUGCCGAUGAUACGGAGGGAGAGUCUGGGAGGUGCCGAUGGGUUUGUGAAGGUGUUCCAGCCUGUCACGGGGGGAUAGUUUUAUGUUUUCCUUAGUUGUUUAAAUCGUUUUGUAUUCGGAUUCUGUGUAAUUUGGAAUUCGAGUUCUAGUCGUGUCUGGUUGUAGCUCUUUGAGCAGGGUAUAAAUGUAGACCCUAGAGCCUUGUAAGGAGACAUCUAUCAAUCAAUCAAACACACGUUUUUACUCAUAUUCCAGCAUCUACUUUUUUGAUGACUUCGUCAUACUUUUUCCUUUUCAUUACGAGUUCUUAGGAAUUCGUCGACUUAAGCUCGGCGCGUUCUCAAGUUCCGCGUGAGUACCUCUUAGCCGUGACAUCCGGGCGGAUCGCUAUUGUCAGGACUAAAGUAUUCGAGUUACCACCUUUGCCGAUAGUAAGGUCAAAUCGGCUGGCACGCCUUAACGUUUGAAUCGGGUAUUAGCCCUUUGUGUUUGUAGACCAGCUUUUGCACCAACACAUCUUUUGGCACGCCUAGUGGGACAGAGUCAAGAUCAAGAUCAACAUGUCGACCUCUGAGUUUGAUCAAGAGAACGUCGUCCCCGUGACGGAAGCCAAUCUCAAGGAUGAGCAGAAGCAAGCUAUUGCUAAGGCCAUGGAGGAUUACAAGCAGCAAUGCCUGAGGUCCUUCAGCAUGAACAGGAGCGGCGAGGUGAUUCAGAAGGAUGCACUGCCGGCUCCUCGGCAGGUUACUUUUGAAGCCAAUCCUGGCAAACUUCAAGAGAUGGUUGACAGCGCCAUCAACCGUGCUUUGAUCAACCAAGCUGGCGUACUGUCUAAUACGGUUUUCAAUACCGUGGCAAGAACUUUCAAGGAAGGACAAUUGCCACCAGAUUAUGUAGGCCCCACUUAUCACCAGCCAGAGUCACCAGUGGUUACAGCUCCAUCGGCUACCACAGCCGCUAUGGGGGCACAGACUACCGUUCCUCCGAGCACGUUGGGAGUCACCAAUGCGCAAUCUACGCCGAUGACGACUAAUCCACAGACUUCAGAUGGGCAGAUUAAACUCGCUACAGAUCUGUUAGCAUCGGCAAUGACAGGACUGACUCCUCCUCGCAACUAGUGGGGUUAUGGCAUGCCUCCAGAGUUAACGCCGGGUACAGCACAGACAAAUGAUAUGAGGGGCAAGACUCCUAUGGCAUCGGCACCUCCCAAUAUGCCGAUGAACCAGAGUCCCCAACAUACUACAACUACUACUACAAGACCUUACACUGGGAAUUCUCAAGCUCCAAUGUUCCAGAUGCCUAACGCGUCGGCAGACUCAAUGCUGAUGCAACAAAGGUCUAUGGCUCAGUCAGGGUAUGUCAAUUCAAUGAUGAUGCCCAAUUACCAAUCAUCGGCAGGACCUAUGCCGAUGAACGCUAAUAAUGGAUGGCUUGGGCAGCAAGUCUUUCCGCAAACACCCCAACAGAAUCACCAGGCUACAGGGUUCCAGCAAGGACAGAUCUAUCCCGGGUUCCAGAAUCAGGGGAUCCCUAACCAGCCAAUGAAUUUCGGGCAGCAGGCCGGCGGACAGCAGAUUGGCGGGCAACAGCUUGGUGGUCCACAGGUUGGAGGCCAGAUGAUCAACCCAAUGUUCCGUGCAGAUCGUGCACCGAACAGACACGUGGAGGCUUACCAGCAGGUGCCGGAUCCACAACCACCUCAUCGGCAAGAUGCCGAUGCGUACUGGGCCGAUAAGAUCGCUAAAGUGAUGAUGGAUCAAUUUGGGAUAAAACCCAAAGUCAACACUUACUCUUAUCGGACACCGUAUCCUCCCACAUAUGAUUUGAUCCCUCUUCCGCAUCGGUACAAGGUACCGGACUUUACUAAGUUUUCUGGACAGGAUGACACGUCGACCAUGGAGCACGUCAAUAGGUUCAUCAUUCAAUGCGGAGAAGCUGGUAACAGGGACGAGUUAAGGGUUCGUCUAUUUUCAUCAUCGUUGUCUGGAUCGGCCUUUACCUGGUUCAUAUCACUACCUCCCAACUCAGUGAUUACUUAGGCCGAUCUGGAGAAAUAAUUCCACAAAUACUUCUUUUCUGGGGUUCAUGAGAAGAAGAUCACCGAUUUGGUCAAAUUGAGGCAACGCAAUGAUGAAUCGGUUGAAGGUUUUGUGCAGAGGAUACGGGAAGUCAAGAAUAAAUGCUAUAGUCUGGUUCUGGAUGAUCGGCAGCUAGCCGAUUUGGCUUUCCAGGGUUUGUUGCCACACAUCAGGGAUAAGUAUGCCUCUCAGGAGUUUGAAAGCUUAAGUCAUUUGGUGCAGAGGAUUUCUGAUCAAGAUAUCAAGCCUUUCGAACCCAAGAGAGCAUGGAACAAAAAGGUAUCGUUUGUUGAUGAAGCAACCAGCUCAGAUUCUGAUGAGGAACCAGUCAUCGGCUUGGCAGAGUGGGUGAAAAAUAAGAAGCCGAUGUCUUGCCCUUUUGGGCAGAAGGAACCAGAGAAGUUCGCUUUUGAUACCGCUAAGGCCGAUAGGAUAUUUGACUUUCUACUUCAGGAAGGUCAGAUCAAGCUGUCUCCUAAUCACGUGAUCCCAUCGGCUGAGGAGUUAAAGAGGAUGAAAUAUUGCAAGUGGCAAAAUGCAACUUCUCAUGACACCAAUGAGUGCAAGGUUUUCAGACAGCAGCUGCAAUCGGCUAUAGAGUCUGGGAGAAUCAAGUUUGACAGUUCCAAGACCCAGAAGCUGAUGAAGAUAGACCAACAUCCUUUCCUAACAAACAUGUUGGAUGCCAAGGGAAAGGCUAAGGUCUUAACAUCAGAAGCAGCCGAGAGAAGUGCAUCGGUGGAUCCUCAGCAUCAGGUUACUACUGCCGAUGCAAGAGGUAGAGGCUUGGUCCAAGAAGGAACCAGCUCAGGUAGGCCUCCUCGAUCUGGCAUCGUUAUAACCCACAGAAGGCCUCGGGAGAAUUGGCAGCAGCAUGAAGAUCGGUACCGGCGCCAGCAAGAGGAUUAUCGUCGGGAAGAGGAAAGACGCCGGCAGGAAUGGAAUUGGCACAGGGAUCACUGGAAUUGUCCGUUCUUCAUCCAUUGUUGGGAGGAGAAUUUUAAGCUUCCCACUGUCAGAGACUGCCCUGAGUGCAAUGGCUAUGAUCGGUAUGAUAGGUCCGAUCGGCGCUAUCACGAUGAUAAUCGGCGAUCUAAUGGGCCGAUCAAAGGAAGAGCGUCGGUUCACGAUCGGCUGGGGGGGCAGGCUCAGCGUGCACGAUAGGCUUGGUGAUCGUGUCCAAUAUUUUCCCAGGAACCAGGAAGAGCUCGAGGAAAUGGCUAAUGCACGAGUUCCCGACGAAUUCAUAUUUUGCAGGGAUGCCAAUACGCAUCGGAUGGAGUCAAGGGAAAAUCAUCGCCCAGCAGCAAGGCAGAAGCCGCUUCCUCCAUGGUGUCCAGAGGGGUUGACCAAGACACAGAAAAGGAGGUUGCAGCGCGAAAGGCGAGAAGGGCUAAGCAAGGGCGAGAACUCUGGUCAGUCUGGAGAUCAGCAGCAAUCAGAUCCCAAGGGGGAAGGUCCAUCGGCAGAUGUCAACAUGGUCUUUAUGUUGCCGAUGGAGUUUCUUGCGCUAUCCAGUGAUGAUGAGUUGGAAUUUUCCGACCAAAUAGCUCAAUUGGCUCUGGAUCCGAUGACAGCUAUCUUCGAGAAACCUGCCGAUGACGAAAUACAACAUCUCAAGGCUCUGUUUGUCAAAGGAAGGGUUGAUGGGCAGCUGAUGACCAAGAUUCUAGUUGAUGGCGGGGCUGCUAUCAACAUCAUGCCGUAUGCAGUAUAUCGGAAGCUUGGGAGAGGGGAUCAGGAUUUGACCAAGACCGAUAUGAUGCUUAAAGACUUUGAAGGGAACGUGUCUCCAGUCCAGGGGGCAAUAUGUGUAGAGUUGACCAUCGGCAGCAAAACCUUGCCGACAACCUUCUUUGUGAUCAGUGGAAAGGGUGCUUACAACUUGCUAUUGGGAAGAGAUUGGAUUCAUGCUAAUUGUUGCAUCCCGUCUACAAUGCACCAAUGCUUGGUUCAGUGGGUAGGUGACAAAAUUGAGAUUGUCCCGGGAGAUUCUUCUUAUGUCAUUGCGUCGGCAGAGGCGGACACCUAUGAGAAGACUAGGUGUAUUUUAGGAGAAGUUUGGGAGAAGGAUUUUCUCAAGGUUGCCGAUUACGAGAUUCCACCGAUCCAAGCAGUCGGUUCUGACGAAGGUUUUUAAUGGAUAGGUUCGCCGAUGAUGGAAAGUUAGGCCAGGGAUUCACAUCGGCCGAUGAUUUGGUAGAAGUAGAUAUAGGUAGUGGUGAUAAGCCUAGACCUACUUUUAUUAGUGCUAAGUUAAGUCCUGAGUGUAAGCAGCAAUUAACCGAUUUGUUAAAGGAAUAUAAAGAUUGCUUUGCUUGGGAUUAUACUGAGAUGCCUAGUUUGGACCGAUCAAUUGUUGAACAUCGGUUGCCUAUCAAGUCUGGAUUUCGGCCACAUCAGCAGCCAGCUCGCCGAUGUAACCCUAAUAUUCUUCCUGACAUCAAGACCGAAAUAACCAAACUUAUUGAAGCUAAAUUUAUUCGGCAGUGUCGGUAUGCCGAAUGGAUUUCCAAUGUUGUUCCGGUCUACAAGAAAAACGGGAAGCUUCGGGUCUGCAUUGAUUUCAGGAAUCUCAAUAAAGCUACGCCGAUGGAUGGAUACCCAAUGCCAGUUGCCGAUCUGUUGGUUGACGCCGCGGCUGGGCAUCAGAUUAUUAGCUUUAUGGAUGGCAAUGCAGGGUACAAUCAAAUAUUCAUGGCUGAAGAAGAUAUUCCAAAGACUGCGUUCAGGUGCCCUGGUCAUGUUGGGUUGAUUGAGUGGAUAGUCAUGACUUUUGGCCUUAAGAAUGCUGGUGCUACUUAUCAAAGGGCCAUGAAUUUUAUAUUUCAUGAGUUCAUCGGCAAACUGGUAGAGAUUUAUAUCGAUGAUGUGGUGGUCAAGUCUGGGGACUUCGCAAAGCAUCUUGCCGAUCUACGAAAUGUAUUGGAGUGCACAAGGAAGCAUGGAUUGAAGAUGAAUCCCAAUAAGUGUGCAUUUGGUGUAUCGGCAAGGCAAUUUCUUGGUUUCAUGGUGCACCAGAGGGGAAUUGAAAUCAGUCGAAGAUCUAUUGAUGCCAUCAAUAAGAUAGUAGCCCCUACCAACAAAACCGAGCUCCAAUCCUUGAUCGGCAAGGUAAAUUUUAUCAGAAGGUUCAUUUCUAACUUGUCUGGUAAAAUUCGUGCUUUCAGCCCUCUUCUUAAGUUAAAGGCUGAUCAAGAGUUUGUUUGGGGGGAGGAACAAUAGUUGGCUCUGGAUGAAAUCAAGAAGUAUUUAAUAAAUCCUCCAGUUUUGAUUCCACCUCAGCAAGGGAAGCCCUUCAGAUUGUAUUUGUCUACCGAUGGAAUGGUCAUCGGUUCGGCUUUAAUUCAAGAGUUUGAAGGGAAGGAGCGUGUAAUUUAUUACUUAAGCAGGAGGUUGAUUGAUGCUGAGACUAGGUAUUCGGCUAUCGAGAAAUUGUGCUUGUGUUUAUAUUUCUCUUGUAUCAAGUUAAGGCACUACUUGUUAUCGGCCGAAUGCACUGUUAUUUGCAAGGAUGAUGUGGUCCGGUACAUGCUAUCCAUGCCGAUUAUGAGUGGCAGGAUUGGUAAAUGGAUUUUGGCGCUGUCGGAAUUCGAUUUGCAUUAUGAAUCGGCUAAGGCAGUUAAAGGGCAGAUUAUGGCCGAUUUCGUAACUCAACAUUGCGGUACAGUGGAAGCUUUGGAAAUUGUGCCUUGGACACUCUUCUUUGAUGGAUCCACAUGUGACCGGGGGGCAGGAAUCGGCAUAGUGUUAGUUUCCCCUCGAGGGAGGAAGUAUGAAUUUUCCUUGCUGAUUGCUGCUACGUCGACAAAUAAUCAAGCUGAGUAUCAAGCCUUGAUAAGAGGGUUAGAGUUGUUGAGAGAAGUUCAUGCUGACGCCGUUGAGGUUUUCGGGGAUUCUAUGCUGGUUAUAAAUCAAUUGGCUAGGAGCUAUGAAUGCCGGAGUGGAGUUCUCAUAACUUAUUACGAGAGGAGUAUGCAACUGUUAAAAGAGUUCAAAGACUUCCGAUUAGAACAUGUUCCUCGGUUGCAUAAUGAAGAGGCCAAUCGGUUAGCUCAGCAUGCCUCGGGAUAUCAGCCUAUGAUUAAUACGAUAUCGGCAAUUGAUGCCGAUGAUUGGAGAAAAGAGAUCAUUGAUUAUUUGAAGGAUCCAUCCAAGAAAGUUGAAAGGCGGGUUCGGUUUCAAGCUACUAAGUAUGUGCUCCUCGAAGAUGAAUUGUAUUACCGAACUAUCGAUGGAAUUCUUCUUCGAUGCUUGGGUGAUGAUGAAGCUAGAAGGUUGAUGGGAGAAAUCCAUGAAGGGGUAUGUGGAGGACAUCAGUCAGCUUUCAAGAUGAAGUGGACGAUUAGGAGGAAUGGAUAUUACUGGCCGACCAUACUUGAGGAUUGCUUUAAGUAUUUCAAAGGGUGUCAAGGCUGUCAAAAGUUUGGCAACAUUCAAAGAGCACCCGCAUCGGCCAUGAAUCCUAUUAUCAAACCUUGGCCAUUCCGGGGAUGGGCUAUUGAUUUGAUCGGCCAGAUUUAUCCACCAUCUAGCAAAGGGCAUAAGUUCAUUCUAGUUGCCACCGAUUAUUUCACUAAAUGGGUUGAAGCUAUUCCUUUGAAGAAAGUCACAUCGGCUAAUAUGAUUGAUUUUGUGAAGGAGCACAAUGUUUACCGAUUUGGGAUUCCUCAGACAAUUACUACCGAUCAAGGCACUAUGUUCACAUCAGGGGAGUUUGAUGAAUUCGCGAUCGGUAUGGGGAUCAAAGUGUUGAAUUCCUCGCCUUACUAUGCUCAGGCUAAUGGGCAAGCCGAGGCGUCUAACAAAGGAAUCAUUAAGCUUAUUAAAUGAAAGGUCGAAGAAAAUCCUAGAAGGUGGCACACAUUGUUAAAUGAAGCCCUGUGGUCCUAUCGGAUGGCUUGUCAUGGAUCAACUAAGGUUGCACCUUAUGAAUUGGUGUAUGGACAUGAUGCGGUGUUGCCUUGGGAAAUUAAGGCUGGGUCUAGGCGACUAUCUUUUCAGGAUCAGUUGGCUGCCGAUGAUUAUGUUACUUUGAUGACAGACGAGUUGGAUGAUCUAGCAGGGCAUCGGCUAAAAGCUUUGAUGAGUAUAGAAGAGAAUAAGAAAAGGGUUGCUAGAUGGUACGAUAAGAAGGUAAAGGCUAAGGAAUUUGCCGAUGGAGACUUAGUAUGGAAAUUAAUCUUACCGAUCGGGACUAAAAGUUCAAAGUUUGGAAAAUGGUCUCCCAAUUGGGAGGGUCCUUAUCGGAUAAGUCGAUCGGCUCCUAGUAACGCCUACAUUCUAGAAACUCUCAAAGGAGUUGAAUUUCCCAGAGCAUUAAAUGGCAAAUAUUUAAAGAAGUACUACCUCAGCAUAUGGGUCGAUGCAUAAAGAUUUAAGUGCCGAUAACACUCCUAUCGGCUAGGUUAAAAUGUAUCUGGGGCCGGACUUAGUGUUUCAAAAGUUGCCGAUAACAAUCCUAUCGGCUAGAUUAAAACGGCAAGAAAACUGGAAGUGCAGAGAAGUAAAGAUGUGUCGCCGAUGAGAGCUUCAUGUGUUCAGCAGCGCCUGGAUCGCCGAUAUGGCGCGCAGCCGGAUUUGGUUGGCUGCUUCUAUCUCUUUGGUAUCGUCAUCGGCAGAACCUUCUAUCGGCUUCAGCUUCUUCUUCAACUGCAAUGCCUUGCGAUCGUGGAUGUUUCGUUCUUGCUCAAGGAGCCUAAUGGUCUCUGGCAGUUGGCUCUCUUCCUGUUGGGCUUGGGAUAAGGCGUCCUCCACUUGCUUGAGUUCUGCCAGCAGGGAUUCUCUUUUGGCCGAUAGGUCAGAUAUCUUCUGCUUCAGCGCGUCUCCUGAAGAUCUCAAGGUGCCGAUGUUCUUGUGCUUCUCAUCGGUCAGGAGCUUCUCUUUCAUCAUCUCUUCAGAAAGCUGGGUCUGAGCAGCUCUAUCGGCAAGGCGCCGAGAAGCCCUCUAGUACUUCAGCUGACGACUCUCCAGAUGUGCGGCUUGGAAGAGGAUUUCUUCGACAUCGACUGGAAUUUGGCCUCUGAGAGUUUUGAACAGAACCUUGGCUGGGUCAGAGUCAUCAACCAGCUGUGCCGUAUCCUGAUGAAGGAGAGCCGAUAGUUCUUCCAGCUUGGCCCUGAUAUCUGCCGCUGCGAUCCCGACUGCCCGGGAGGAACUCGCUUCUUUGCCUUCGUCUUCGGAGAUAUCAAUAGCGAAGGAGAAUAGGUUGUCAGGAGAAUCCUAUUCCUGAAAAGGGAAACAAAGGGAGUCAUUUUUAUGGUCGGAACAUCGGUAAAUAAUAUUGAUGGGGAUUGAAUGACUUACUUGCUUCAACGCGAUCUCUUGCCUUUGACUGGAAGAGGCCGAUGGAGCCACGGGUUGAUCGGCCAGAGUUGUCGAUGGAACAACGUCAGCUGGAAAUUGAUAAAAGUCGUUAUGAGAUGAAAAGAUAGGUUCAUCGGCAUUAACUUUGUGAAUGUGUUAUCUUGAGGAAGGACGGUACUUGUCUGAACGGAGGAAACCACCGAUGCUAUAAUGGAACCUGCUGGAUCGAUGGUUGGUUCAUGAACAUCAGCCGAUGCGUCUUCUGGCUGAGGUACUUCUUGUUGGGGUUCUUCCAGUUGAGGCUCUUCCACCUGUGGUGCUUCUUGCGUUGGAGGGGGAGAUGAUGCUUGCUGAGUCUCUACGUCCGGAGGAGAAGGAGAAGAUUCCACCGGAAUGGGAGAUACCGGAGGAGGAGGAGGAGGAGGAGUUGCCACUUUCUGGCACUUUGUUUCUGCCCUGGUACUCUUGGCACCCUUUCUCUUCUGCUGGCUGGACUGGGGGGCAUCGGCGCCUUGGCUCUUGUUUUUUGUCGAUGCACUGGUUUGCUGUAACAAAAAAAAAGAGGAAUUUGUGAAUACAAAUGUAGCCGAUAUAAGAGUAAGGUCGGUGUAAAUGAAGAGGUUUAACAACUUCCUUAAAAGCUUACGCUAGAGUGGAAGCGGCUACCGAUGGUGGAGUCUGGGUUCUCCUGGUGGUAACUUUCCUGAGGCGUAUACCUCGAUGCACGAUGGCAGCCAGGGUAGGGGCGUUGUGGCCGAUUGAAGAGAUUGGGCGUGAUGCAAACAGAUCAAUCGGCUUACCACUUUUGCUGACCGAUGGAGGAGUAUCAUCAACCUGCAAAACAGUACAAAAGUAAAUCACCGAUGGAAACAGAAUUGAGAGAAUUGAAACAUCGGUUUGGAGACACUUACAGUAUCAUUGGGAACUUCGUACUCAGGGUCAAUCAUACCGCGGUACGUGAGGGCCGAUUUGCAGAACAGAUGCUCCUUCCAUUCUGCCCACCACUGCUUGUAUGCCUGAGUGAUAAAAGCAGCUGGAACCCACUCCGAUAAAUCUACAUCUGUAUCGGCACUCGAUGGCAGUUGGGCUACUCGAAUCCAUUCAAGAAGACUGGUGAUGGUUUCCCUGGGCUUUAUCACAUCGGCGUAACAGAGUGCAAUCGGCAGCUGGCCGAAAGCUAACUGACGGGCUAGUGCCGAUGGGUUGUAAAAUUCAUAAGUCUGGGGGGAGGUUUUCCCACUGCCAAAGAAAUUCACUGGUAUGGCUCUGGGAGUCACCAUUGCCAUCAUCACUUCAUUAUCCCUGUCAAGAGCUUCAUCGAAUGGGUUGAAAACCAGGGGAAGCAUACUGUCUGGGUCAUCAUAGGCCAACCAUGCUAGCUCAUCUCUGGCCAAGCCCUCAUAUAAAGUUUGGAAGAAUCGGCUAACCUGAUCUGGAUGAGCCCCUGAACCAGGUAGAACUAUGACAGCUUCGUCGAAGUUUAAGGGAGCACGUGUUGCCGAUUCCUCUUCACCCAACACAUGGUUUUCAGCUAUGUCCCUUGGGAAACGCUGUGUGAACAGGUUAAAUUCGAGGCGCUUAUGCAGAUGCAGAUUGAGCCACAUAUUGAUAAACCACUAGGGGCCUCCCAAGUUGCCGAUAGACUGGCCAAGCAAGAGCUUCUUAGUUACUUGGUGGAGGAGGUGAUAGGCUGCUCCAAGCAGGUAUCGGCCGAGGGGAAAUCGGCCACCAUUGGCUAGAUUUUCCGCUGCUGCUAGAUGAACAGAAGUUGGUCCUGCCGAUCGACCACAAAACACGAAUUUGUCUAGCCACAUGUUCAGAAAGCAGGUCUGCUCCUUUAUGUCAACAGGGCCUAUUUUGCGGUAUUUUUGGAUAUACCCUGACCAGCCGCCGAUGGAGCGGGUUUCUACCUUAGCACUGGGUUUGGUAUCAAAAAAGUGGGUGCUAUCAGCAGAAGAAAUAUCUAAUCCGGUGAGCAUAGCCACAUCGGCAAGAGUGGGGGAAGCAGGGCCAUGGCCAAAGACAAAGGCAUUGAGCGUGUCUGACCAGAAGUAUGAUGCAGCUAUCAGCAGUGACUCGUUCCUAUGCAUAUCGGCAAUGGACAACCUAAUGCAUUGGGCUAGAUUUCUUUCACCCCAUUAGACUUCAUUUGAGUUGCUGACCCUCAAAAACCAAUCUGUCCACCCCACGGUAGGGCUGGGCCAGGAACGAAAAGUAUCCUUCCACAGAUCCAAAGAAAAGUUCUCUGCUCUAAAAGGGAUCCUGUUGGUUUCUGCGUUUAUAAAGUUGGUUGGAUCUGGAUCCCCUAACAGGCCAAGGCAUUGGAGAUGUGGUCGAUCAGUGGGGAUGACGAUUUUGUUAGCCGAUUCCUAAUGGUUUUUGAGAUAUAAAAAAAGAAAACAAAAAAAGAAGGGGGAAAAAUAUUCAGUACGGCGGAUUGCAGAUGAACAAGGGUGCGAGAAAAGUACAAGAGAUGGUGCGAAGGACUGACCUCAGGGAUGAUGAAGUUGACGGCCAUUUUUGCCACGGAGGAGAUGCUUGAGAGUUUCGGAGUUGGUGAAGAAGGGGCUUCGUCGGAGAUCUUGGAGCUCUUGAACAGCGCCGCCGCCGGGAAAGUGAGGUUGGAGUUGUGGAAUGAUGUGAUGAAGAAGGAGUACCCGAGAAGGAACUAUUUAUAGGACGAAACGGGCAAGGGCAAAUCUAACUUAUCUCUUUGUCGCAUCCGUGAAAUCCGAGGGUGUUCAGGUAGAUAUGGUAACUGUUCGCACGGUAAUCAAGGGAUUGUGCAGGUGAUUUGACAGGAGGCAGUCAUUAUCCAGAGAUAUUGUACUGUGCGGGAUCUCCUGGUCGGUCCAUCGGCAGCACCUGGUAACGGUCAUAUUGCCGAUAGGAGAGAAAUGUGGAGAUAGCCGUUUGAAAAGAUAAGAUACGGGUGUCCUGGUCAGUACAUCGGCAAGUCCCUGUAACGGUAAUAUUGCCGAUACGCGACUAAGAUGGAAAUGUCCGUUUAGGGAAGUUGAGGAUUUCGAGGGAUCUGCGGGAGGAUAGGGUCAGAGUUGUUCAGAUUAAGGCUGUCGGUUGCCAGAUUAGGAGCAUUAAUUGCGGAAAAAGGCAUCAUUACUGCAGAGAAUUUUGGAGCAUUAAUGAUUCCAUACUCCGGAAUUGGGGGGCAUGUGUUGACACCGCUUUUGGGCACGUGUCCAUGAUCGGUAAAAGUAUAGAUCGGUAGAAUAAGGCAGUGGUGUUUGGUCUGCAGGGAGAGUUGCCGAUGAAGAUGGUUGCCGAUGGAGGAGGGGUUGGACGUGAUUAAGUCCAUAGAUGGUGAUGCGUCUGUGCCGGUGGCUACGGCAAGGGAAUCUGCUGAUAACCUCGACAAGGGAGUCUGCCGAUGAUACGGAGGGAGAGUCUGGAAGCUGCCGAUGGGUUUGUGAAGGUGUUCCAGCCUGUCACGGGGGGGAUAGUUUUAUGUUUUCCUUAGUUGUUUAAAUCGUUUUGUAUACGGAUUCUGUGUAAUUUGGAAUUCGAGUUCUAGUCGUGUCUGGUUGUAGCUCUUUGAGCAGGGUAUAAAUAUAGACCCUAGAGCCUUGUAAGGAUACAUCUAUCAAUCAAUCAAACACACAUUUUUACUCAUAUUCCAGCAUCUACUUUUUUGAUGACUUCGUCAUACUUUUUCCUUUUCAUUACGAGUUCUUAGGAAUUCGUCGACUUAAGCUCGGCGCGUUCUCAAGUUCCGCGUGAGUACCUCUUAGCCGUGACAUCCAGGCGGAUCGCUGUUGUCAGGACUAAAGUAUUCGAGUUACCACCUUUGCCGAUAGUAAGGUCAAAUCGGCUGGCACACCUUAACGUUUGAAUCGGGUACUAGCCCUUUAUGUUUGCAAACCAGCUUUUGCACCAACAGAAUCCAAAAUUUGCUAGAUUGAAACAUAUACACAGCAAAAGACAUAAGGAUAAGCACAUAUAUUACAUCCAUAUAUGUUAUCUUUAUCAUUCCACGGUCCAUGCAUGUCACAAACUAUGUUCAUAUUACAUCAAUAUACAUAAUGUUCAUAAAAAGCACAUCUAAAAUAAUGUUCACUCAAAAAUAUCUGGCAACCUAUAGUCGUUCAUAUCUAAGCCGCUGGUUCUACAGUUGUGUAGCUUCUCGAACCUCUCUAUCUGUCGCUAGCUCGCUCCCGAUAUAAAAUAACUGCCCGUCAACAUGACAACAUUGAUCCGUGACAAACUUACAAAUGUCAGCUACUGUUUGUGUGAUGUUCCUUCGAUCAAUUGUUUCUUUUUCCCACCAACUUUGGGAUUUCUGCAGCUGCCUCCAGCUAUUGUUGAAUUUCCCGCAAGCCCUGAGGUACUCACAAGCAUAGUACCCACACAUAACUGAGCCUUCAGGUUGCUUAGCGCACUGCAUGCAUGCAUGAUGAAGGUAACACAUGAGAAUUAUGACUGGUAGUAGUAUCCCUACAAGAGAACCAUGAAUAGUACUAGAACUAGAGGCAGGCAGAGUAAGUACCAGGAAGUCUCGCCUCACCACCAGUUUGUGGCCAUACUUUUGCUUGUCUUUCUCAGACCUCCGAUCAUAGCAGUUGGGGUCUUCCACGUACUUUCGGUAAGCACUGUAUGAAAACUAGUGUCAACAACAAAUUUCAUACGUACUUUGAGUGCAUGAGGUGUGUCGUCACUUACUAUCGCAGAAUACUUUCGAAAUGCUUGUAUCCUUCUUUGUUCGAGUGUCGCAAGGAGUCGAAUACGACAGCCUUUCCAUCCUGAGGAUAGAUCAUAAAUACAAUCCAAUGGCCCAUGACGCCCAAGCUGUACCAUUGAAAUAAUAUUCAUCUCAAAAUUUUAAAUAUAAUAAGUGACAAACCUAGUAGCUAUUGUAAGUAUCGUUUUGACUUACCCAAACUGGUGGGCGGCAAGAAUGCAGCCAUUUCCCCUGAUCUUCUUCAUGGCUUCUAAGACAUAUUGUCCCUUUCUAAAUUUGAUCUCUCCUUGCAUCAAGUUCCGAGCUAGCACUCGCUCCAUCCCCUUCAGCUUCACCAGCCUAGGAUCGAUGUCUGGUAUAUCAAAGCCAAUGAUGGCUCUUUGAGAAAUAUGCAUAGGAGAUAGGUAGAUAAUAUCUUUAUCUAGUUCCUUGCACACAUAUGAUUGCAUCCUGCAAACACAAGUUGUCGUACAAGCCUUUUAGCUUGAUCAUAAUGAAUUUGCAUACCUACAGCAAUGCAGGGUUAUAAAACUUACAGGGCAAAAAGAGUGACUUGGGCGACAUCUAGAUCCUUGCGUCACAGUAGCCUACACAUGUCGUGAAAGACAACAGGGCAAUAAGCAUCCUCAUCCAAGUGGAAGUACUCCUUGAGGACCCUCACAAUGAACUCCUUCAUGCCUAAUUUUGCCGCUUGCAUAUACCAGAGAUGGAACCUCCGAACCGCCCAUGGCUCCUCCUGAACGAGCUGGCCCAACGACAACAUGAACUUGCCAUUCUCAAAGUUAUCCAGGGAAUCUGGAGAAAGAGGCCAAAUUGACAGCGGGGUUUGCUCCCUAUAAUCGAGACAAGAAGUCUGUUAGCAUUAUCGAACGUCACAUAAUCUAUUGGCUAGAUUUAGUUGCCAUUAGCGCAUAUACCUUUGGAAUGUUGUUGUGUACUGAUAUUCUUGUGCUAUUCUGUACACCGCCCAUUCCAUCUCUUUUAGUUCACCGGGUUUGUCCCCCUCUUCUUCUACAGCCUUCUUUGGCGCACGUGGACAUUGUCGUUUGCCUUGGCUUGGAGGCGGUGUGUCGUUGCCCGGUGCACCCCCUGAGCAGUAAGAGGAGGGAGUAUUAAUAACACUUUAGCUGUUUAGACAAUUUGCUUUGAGAUGAUCCUUUUCUCCAUACCAGUGGCACCUAUGUUUCUGGAUAUAGAGAAAAGAUCAACAAAGGGCAGGAAAAGUAUAAAUGUAUGGAGCAACCAAAAAUACUUAACCAAUUACAUUUAUUGAGAGGUGACAUUCAUGUGCAGGUCGAAAGGGCAAUGAUACAGUUUAAAUAUCUUUGUAUUAAAGAAACAUUCAGUUAAUAGUUGAUUUUACUAAACGUUAGGCUUGCCACGUUCAUCUCGGCAUGAUCGAAGACAAAAGAAACUUUCUGGUUUAGUUCAUUAAUUUAUUGGGUUUUUUUGGUUUUUGGUUCAAAGUCUAUAUUUUGUUUGGUUAAACUAAAGUUGUAUUGUUUUGGUGAUAUUGACAGAGGCAAUGUUGAAGCUAGGGACAGUAGAGUAGUACAUAAGUGUAAAUUAACAAUUCAAUGGCAUCAUGGGCAGUGGCAUCUGCUCAGCGUAAAUUAACAAAUCAAUGGCAUCAUUGGCAGUGCAAAUUAUCAAAACAAUUGCAUCACAGGCAGCAUAAUAGGUAAAAUCAAACAGGGGAAUAGGGCAGUAGCUAGGGUUCACCUGUGUUGGCUCGAGAGACAAAGAGACGGCACAGGAUCUCCUCAGAGCUCGAGAAAGAGGCAGAGACGGAGAUGGAGCCGCCGGAGAAGGAGCCGGUGACGGAGACGGAGACGGAGCCGGGGACGGAGACGGAGACGGAGACAGAGCCGAACACGUAGACGGCACUAGAUCUCCUCAGAGCUCGAGAAAGAGGCGGAGAUGGAGCCGCCGGAGACGGAGACGGAGCCGGGGACGGAGACGGAGAUGGAGCCGGGGACGGAGAGCGCGCACCAGAAUGGGGAAGAAGAGCCGGGGACGGAGAGCGCGCACCCGAAACUUUGGCGGCGCUAGGGUUAGGGUGGAGCGUGCGCGGGAAAUUUUGGCAGCCCUUCGGGGUGGGAAAGCGCACAGCCGAAUGGGGAAGAAGAGCAGGCUGACCGCAGCCUUAUAUAGAUGUAUAUUAACCAAGGCGGGCAUGUUAGGCGCACCGCCACGGCUAAUGUUAACUGUGGCGGGCGGUUUAGUGCGCCCGCCACGGUUAAUGUAUUAACUGUGGCGGGCAGAUUAGAGUGCCCGCCACAGUUAUGAUUUUCCCUUUUUUGAUGACACUAUCAAAUACUCCCUCCAUCGCUUUCUUGAACUAGGAAAAUACCCCACGCGUUGCUGCGGGAAUUUCAAAUAAUUUAAUAAAAAAUUAGACUAUUUAUAUUUAUAGUUAUAUGAAUGAAAUUAUCUUAAAUUAAUUUUAUUGAAUGAUUUGACACAUCAAUAUGAACAGCUAAAUGCGACUUGAAGAAAGGUACUUGAAGAAACACGACUGCUUUUUAAUAGGAAUAGCAGGGGUAGGCUUUCCUUCUUCCUCCAUCGUACCCCGCUUCCUCUUCUUCGUUGUUAUGGUCUCACCUUGCUCAACUUUCUUCUUCUUUCCAAACUCAAAGUUUAUGCCCUUGACAAUGUCAAAAACCUUUUGCCCAUAACCCGUCUUUUUGGGCUCAACAGUUUCAGGUUCCGCCUGGUUAUCAAAGAAUUGAUUCAUUGAAGGGUGUCGGUACCUGUGCUUUUUGUCAAGGAAUCGCCUGUGCCUCAUGUACACCAACUUUUUUGAUGCACUAAGGUAAGUAUAACACGUACCGUCAAUGCAGACUACACAACCUGACUUACCUUUGAUCUGCCCCGAUAGUGAAAAGAGGCCAGGGUAAUCGGUGAUGGUGACAAAGAUGAUGGCUUUAAGAGUGAAGUACUCCUUUCGUGAUGCAUCCAUCAUAUUGACCCCCUUUUUCCCAUGGUAUCUUCAUGUCCUCCAUGAGCGGCUCCAGGAACAUAUCUAUAUCAUUGCCUGGCUGUCGUGGUCCAGAAAUAAUCAUGGUUAGUAAAAGAUACUUGCGCUUCUGACAUAGAUAUGGAGGUAGGUUGUAGAUGGUUAGGAUGACUGGCCAUGUGCUGUGGGAGCUACUGAGGUCACCAAACGGAUUCAUCCCAUCAGUACUUAGUGCGAACCUGACAUUCCUCGCCUCAUCACCGAACUCUUUCGGAAACUUGGCGUCAAACCGCUUCCACUUCUUGCCAUCAGAGGGGUGUCGCAACUUGCCAUCAUCCUUCAUUCGUUCUGCUGAUGCAUGCCACGAUAUCAGUUGGGCAUCCUCUGGGUUCCCGAAUAGCGCACGUAGGUGAUCGAUCACUGGUAGGUACCACACUGAGAGUGCAGGGCUUUUCCUCUGCAUGUAACCCCCUUCUUCCUCAUCCUCGGGAGAUGCGAUCUGUUUCUUGGCUGUCUGGAUCUUCGCUUUCUUGUUCCCUCUCUUUGUUGGUCCCUCAACAUCCGCGUCUACACGACAACCGGCAUUCCUCUUAUAUCGGCUCGCACCGCAGUGCGGACAGCUCUGCAAGUUCUCAUACUUACCGCGAUAUAGAAUACAGUGGUUAGGGCAUGCAUGAAACUUUUUAAGCGUCAUCGCCACUGAACGGAUCAUCUUCUUCACUCGGUAGGUAUUGGCAGGCACCUUGUUACCCUCUGGGUAUGAGUCAGCAAGCCUCUCUAACAGGUCAUUAAAGCUUGUGUCGGACCACCCAUGGUGAGCCUUCAGCAUGAGCAUCUGGAGGUUAAAACGCAACACCGUCAAAUGCUUUGGACAACCCUCAUACAGGGGAUCAAUUGCUGCCUGCUUCAUCUCUUUGAAAUUCUCCAACCACUUCGGAUUUCCAAACAGAACGUCAUCUUGAUCCAUACGGUUAGCAACAUUUAAAAAAAUCUCCACAUCUUCGGGCCCCAAGACAACAUCACCCUGCUCAUCAUCAUCACCGCCACCGUCUUCAAACAGAUCAUGGAGGCCCACCGAUGCAGAUGGUUGUCGUCUCCCAUCAUUCACCGUUGACGAGUUACCUCCACCAGAUGCACCUGUCACACUUGGAUCUGCUUCUUCACCGUGAUACUUCCAGAUGGUGUAGUCCUUGACGAAGCCAUGCCAGAUCAAGUGAGACUGCACCACAUUAUCUUCCCGUACAAGGUUGUUCUUACAACUAUUGCACGGACAAAUGAUGCGCUCUCGACCCAAAGACACACGGUGCUUUUUCGCAGCGGCAACAAACUUUCUCACAUGUCCUAGAAAAGCUAAAUCAUUACUGACCCUCGGUAUCUUAUACAUCCACUCUUCCCUAUCCAUAGCUGCGACCACCUAGCACACACAAAGGGAGAAAAACAAAUAAAGAUAUAUGAAAACAUGUGAGUAGCCCUAAAUCUAGUUUUAUUUCUCUCCUCCAAAUGAGAGUUAGAGAGUAAGAAAUCCACCUCUUGCAAUGCCCCCCUUCACCAAAUAAAAGGGCAAAAAUUUUUCCCCUCUAAGAUACUAAAUAUUAGGGUUUUGAGGUCAAAAUCCUAAUAAAUGAAGAAGGAGCCACGGGGAAGAAGAAGGGGGUCGGGGCUGUUGCUUUUAUAGGCACAGACUUAACUGUGGCGGGCAGUUUAAAGAAACUGCCACGGUUAAUGAACAAUUAACCGUGGCGGUCGCUGUAAAAGAAGCCGCCACGGUUGAAGCAUUAACCGUGACGGUUCGCUUAAGCGGCCCGCCAUGGUUAAACGAUUAACCGAGGUGGUUUAGUUACGACAACCGUCGCGGUUAACGUAAGAUUAACCGUGGCGGUUUGCUUACAGUGACCGCCAUGGUUAAACAAUUAUCCGUAACGGUCGCUCGGCUGGCAGCCCAGCCCAGGUUAACCGAGGCGGGCCGCCAGCCGGCCGCCUCGGUGGCCCAAAACAAAAUGUCUCCUAAAUUUUUUUUGUAGUAGUGUCACAUCCAUUUGAUAGAGCUUGAUGUUGUGGGCACAAGCAUAGGCUAAUAAUAUUCUAAUUGCCUCCAAUCUUGCAACCAGAGCAUAUGUUUCUCCAAAAUCAAGACCUUCAACUUGAGUGUAGCCUUGUGCUACUAAUCAUGCUUUCUUUCUUACGACUACACCAUCUUGAUCUUGCUUGUUUCUAAAGACCCACUUGGUACCAAUCACAUUGUAGUUCUUUGGCCUCUCAACAAGCUCCCACACUUGAUUUCUUGUGAAGUUGUUCAAUUCUUCAUGCAUGGCAUUUACCCAAUCGGAAUCUUUCAAUGCAUCUUCUAUCUUCUUUGGUUCCUCAAAUGAGACAAAUGAGUAGUGCUCACAAAAGGAUGCUAGCCUUGAUCUUUUUUGUACACCACUUUGAAUACCACCAAUGACUUGAUCCAAUGGAUGAUCCCUUGCUAUGCUUGUAGGUUGGAGUAUUGGGAGUUGAUUGCUUCCACUAGCUUGAUUUUGAUUUUGAUCAUCAUCAUGAGAGCCACUAGUACUUGCUUGAUUUGCAUCAAUUUGCACUUCUUGAUUGAUCAUGUGAAUGUCAUUAUCAUCAUCAACUUGCAAUGGCCUUAUGUCACCUACAUCCAUGUUCUUCAUUGCAUUUGCCAAUUGAUCUCCCCUCACAUCAUCAAGAUUUUGAGCUUCAUUUUGAGAUCCCUCGGUUUCAUCAAACUCAACAUCAUGAACUUCUUCUAAUGUGCCACUUGUCAAGUUCCAAACUCUAUAUGCCUUGCUUGUGGUGGAAUAACCAAGUAAGAACCCUUCAUCACAUUUCUUCUCAAACUUGCUCAACCUAGUGCCUUUCUUGAGAAUGUAGCAUUUGCAACCAAACACUCUAAAGUAUGCAAUGUUGGGCUUUCUUCCAUUUAAUAGCUCAUAUGGUGUCUUCCCAAGCUUCCCAUGGCAAUAGAGACGGUUGCUACAAUAGCAAGCCGUGUUGAUAGCUUCACUCCAAAAUGAAUGCCUAACAUUGUAUUCACUAAGCAUUGAUCUAGCCAUAUCAAUCAAGGUUCUAUUCUUCCAUUCAACUACACCAUUAGAUUGAGGAGUGUAUGUUGGACAGAAUUGAUGUCCAAUGCCAAGAUCAUCACAUAAUUCCUCAAUUCUUGUGUUCUUGAAUUCACUACCAUUGUCACUUCUAAUCUUCUUGAUAGUGGUUUCAAACUCAUUUUGCACCCUCUUGACAAAAGACUUGAAUAGAUCACAAACAUCACUCUUGUCAUAGAGAAAGAACACCCAAGUGUAUCUAGUGUAGUCAUCUACUAUCACAAAUCCAUACUUGUUGCCACCAAUGCUAGUGUAUGUUGUUGGCCCAAAUAAAUCUAUGUGCAAUAGCUCAAAUGCCUUUGAUGUGCUCAUUUCGCUUUUCUUGGGAUGUGCAUUUCCAACUUGCUUUCUGGCUUGACAAGCACUACAUGGUUUAUCCUUCUCAAAGGUGACAUCCUUCAAGCCUCUAACUAAGUCAUGCCUCAAUAGUUUAUUCAAUUGUUUCAUUCCAACAUGACCAAGCCUUCUAUGCCACAACCAACCCAAACUUGAUUUGCUAAUUAGGCAAGAUGUCAAUUGUGUUUCACUAUCAUUGAAAUCAACCAAGUAUAAGCUACCAUGCCUAAAUCCUUUGAAUAUCAAGUUUGAUCCAUCAACACUAACCACCUCAACAUCAUCACUACCAAAGAUGCACUUGAAACCAAGGUCACAAAGUUGUGCAAUUGACAAGAGAUUGAAAUCAAGGCUUUCAACUAGCAACACAUUUGAUAUGCUCAUGUCAUUUGAGAUAGCAAUUUUACCAAGCCCUUUGACCUUGCCUUUCUUGUUGUUACCAAAAGUGAUAGAAUCAAAGCCACCAUUUUGACUAGUAUCAAUUGACUUGAACAUACAAGACUCUCCAGUCAUAUGUUGAGUGCACCCACUAUCAAGCACCCAAUGCCUUCCUCCGGCUUUGUAAUUGACCUACAAGACAAGAUCAAUUCUUUUUAGGUACCCAAACUUGAUUGGGUCCUCCAAGGUUAGCAACUAAGCUCUUUGGUACCCAAAUGGCUUUCUUCUUUGAGCCCAUCCAUGGUGCACCAAUGAACUUAGCAUGAACACCUUUUGUAUCCUUGGUAAGCAUAUAGAAAGAAUUAAGCUUAAUUGAGGAUACAUAAGCUUUGGGUUUGUUAUUCAUGCAUUGUUGCUCUAGGUGAUCAACUUGCAUGCAAGCUUUGCAAUACCGGCCAUUGUUCUUCACAAAACUAGUCUUGUGAGGAGCAAAGGCGGCCUUGCCUUUCUUGGGGUUAUAGCCCAAUCCCUCUUUAUAGAGAGAAGCUCUUUGGCUACCCAAGCACAUAAGCAAGCGGUCCUCACCACCAUAAGCCUUGGCUAAGGUGUGAUUGAGCUCUUUCACCUCCUUCAUGAGAAUUUCAUUCUCAACUUUUAGUGUGGUGUCACAAGUGAAAUCAUCACUACUAGAUGAUGAUGAUGUAGAUGUGCUACAUGAAGGGUUAGUAGAAGCAAUAACAAUAGGCUUGCAUAAGAUAUCACAUGUUAGGCCUAUGUUGCAAGUUUUAGCUUUUUCAAUUUUAGUUGGCUCAUUUUCGCAUUUGUUGACUAGAGAGGAAUGAGCUUCUUCAAGCUUAGUGUGAGCCUUUUGAAGCUUCUUAUGGUCUUCCUUUAGACUCUCAUAAGAUGCUCUAAGCUCAUCAAGUUCUUGCUCAAGGGUUUUCUUAUCCUUAAGCAAGGCCUUGCACUCCUUUCUAGUUUCUUUAUAAUGAUGAGUGCAAUCUUCUAGCAUAGUGAUUAGUUCAUCUUUAGUUGGUUCAUCAUCAUCACUAUCACUAUCACUAGCACGGUCACUCUCAUCAUUGGAUGAUAGCUUAGUGGCCUUAGCCAUGAAGCAUGAUGGAGUGUCGAAGAUGGAGCUUUUUCCUUGAAUUGCAAUGCUAGCAUGCGCCUUCUUCUUGGUGCUCUCAUCAUCACUUGAGGAGUCAUCACUAUCCCAAGUUGCAACAUGGGCAUCACCCUUCUUCUUGUUUGAGCCUUCCUUCUUUUCUUACUUCUUCUUUUGCUUCUUUCUUUCCUUCUUGAUAGCAUCUUUAUCAUCACUAUCAUAAGGACACUUGGCGAUGAGAAGAUCCUUGCUAUGGCAUCUAAAGCACCUCAUGGAAUGAUCAUUCUUCUUAGAGGAGUUCUUCUUUCUUCUUGCCUGAUAGCCCUUCUUCUUCAUAAACUUGCCAAAUCUUUUGACAAGAAGAGCCAUCUCCUCAUCUUCAUCACUAUCACAAGAGCUUGCUUCUUCUUCACUUGAUGACUCUAUCUUGGCUUUGCCCUUGGAUGAGGAGGCCUUGAAUGCCACACUUUUCUUCUUCUCAUCAUCUUUCUUCUCACCAUCCUUCUUCUUCUUCUUGAUCAACUCAUCCUUCUCAUCAUCUUCCCUAUAAGCAUCAUCGGUCAUCACCUCUUGGGAGACUUGUUGGGGAGUUGAAUCACUAAGUGUUGUCUUGAUUAGCACGGUGAUCAAUGUGUCAAAUCUCUUGGGCAAGCUUCUCAAGAACUUCAUAGAGAAUUGACUAUCUGUAACUUCUUCCCCAAGUGCCUUGAGUUCAUUCACAAUGACUUGCAACCGGUGAAACAUCUCUGGCACACUCUCAUCUUCUUGCAUCUUGAAGCUUGAGAACUUCUCUUGGAGGAUGUAUGCCUUGGCGAUCUUGGUUCCCUUGGUGCCCUCAAAUGUUUCUUCUAAUUUUGCCCAUGCAUCAUGAGCAAUCACAAUGUUCUUGAUUUGCUCAAAGGUCUUGUCAUCAAGAGCUUCAUGAAGAGCACUAAUUGCAAUGUCAUUGCAUUGAAGCUUCUUCUCUUCGACCGGUGUUCGUGCAUUCUCAUUUGCAACCUCAAACUUUGUUUCAGUCACCUUCCAAACCUCUCUAAUGAUUGACUUAAGAUGAGCGGUCAUCUUGACCUUCCAAUAUGCAUAAUUGGUGCCAUCAAAGAAAGGUGCCUUCUUGUUGUUGUUGAUAUGCAAACUAAGAGUCAUUUCUUCACCGAAGGUUGUUAAGCCUCAAAUAAACGGUGCCUCGGCUCCGAUACCACUUGAAAGGUCCAAAUGGCUAGAGGGGGGUGAAUAGCCUAUUUAAACUUUCUACAAACUUCACUAAGCAAGUGAGUUAGUAAAACAAAUGGUGAAGCAAAUCUAGCACUAGCUCAACUAAGCUAUGCAAGCCACCUAUACAAAUUAGUACAAGGCUAAACACUAAAGCACAACAACAAGAGAAGGCUAGUUACACUCCUAAACAAGAAAGCUAAACUAAACAAGCUAAACAACUAGCAAGGUAUACAAGUAAGUAAGGAGUGGAGAGUUAUUGUUAUACCAACAUUGUAGAGAGAGAUAUAUCCAACCAAUCACUCACAAUCACAAGAGAAUCCUCGGCAAGAGAUGACACAAGAUUUUUUACCGAGGUUCAGUUGCUUCCCGGCAAGCUAGUCCUCGUUGUGGCGAUACACCCACUUGAUGGAUCACGAGCUAAUUGGCAAUCCAAAGCCAAACCCUCAGCGGGUGCCGCACAUCCACUCACAAGAUGGGGAUCCUCCAAGCCACGAGCAAUCCACUAGAGUAGCCAAUUGCGAUCUCCCGCGGGGAAGGCUCAAGAACCCCUCACAAGUCACUUGGUGAGGCUCGAAACAAUCUCCAAUCACGAGCUCAACACCACCGCUGCUCCAAGCCGUCUAGGGCGUUGGGAAACACCCAAGAGUAACAAGAAAUCCGCAGCAAACUCAAGAAUCAAGUGCCACUAAAUGCAACUCUCAAAGCAAUGCACUUGAAUCUCACUCAAUCUCACUAGGAUUAGCAAUCAAGCAAGGAGAUGAGUGGAAGGAGUGUUCUCUAGCUCAAUGUAUGCCUCAAGUAUUCAAAAGUGCAAGAGAGAACCUCCCAAAGCCGGCCACCAACUAUUUAUAAGCUCCCUCAAAGAACUAGCCGUUGGCCACUUUCACUGGGCUGAAAACGGCGGCACCGGACUCACUGCAGGGAGCCACUGGACGCUGGAAUAGUGCGCCUGGUGCUAUAGAAACAGUCACGUGUCCCCUACUUGAAACUUGCAUGUUGAUCUCUAACGGUCAUAUUUGAACCACCGGAUGCAGUCAAGUAGAAACCGGACGCGUCCGGUGUACACCGGUCACGUACGCAGAGAGUUUGUCAAAAAUGCAGGAUCACCGGACGUGACCAUCGGACGCACCAGGUCGGCACCGGACGCUUACUCAGAGAACACCGUAAACGCUCAGGGACACCGGAUGCACGAACAGCAUUCAGCCAGCGUCCGACGCUGAUCGUCCGGUGCACAGCUCUCACAAAAGCCAGCAACCGCACCGGACGCUCCGAGGCAGCGUCCGGUGCCGUCCGCUAUGAGUUUUCAGUCAGAAACUCUACCCGUGCACAGGAAACUUUCCACUGCCAAAUAAGAAACUUUCCACCAGUAUACAAGAAACUUUCUACUAGCGCACAGGAAAUUUUCCACCGGUAAACAAGAAACUUUCCACUAGUGCACAAGAAACUUUCCACCGGCACAAGGGAAACUUUUUACCUCCUUCUUAAGGUGUGCCAACACCACCAAGUGUACCAACCAGUGCAAGGGUGUUAGCAUUUUCACAGACAAUUUCACCAAAGGAGUUAAGUUAGCACUUUACUAGAUCCUAAUGCAUAUGCUCAAGAUAUGGACCUAGUAGCACUGGAUUCAAGAGAUGACCGUGAUUUCCCCUCUUGAUAGUCGGCUAUCUAUCCUAAACCCGGUCAAUCACUUCUCUACUCAUCUUAGACCGGCAAAAGUAAAACCCUAUGUUUAUACCUUUGCCUUGAUAACUUUGCUCCUCGUUUAUCACCAUGAUCUUCACUUCAUGCUUCAUCCCUUUGUGAUCAUGUGGCCACCUUUCCAUGCCACCAAGCACCUUCAUCACAAGUGUUGCUAUGCCUAUCUCAAAUCACUUAAACACAAGGCAUUAGCAACUUGGUGUCAUUAAUUACCAAAACCAAACUUGGGCUUUCAACGGGCCCGGGGGCAGGGCGCCCGCCCUCCCCCCUUGGGCGCCCGCCCAGGUGUUGUGGCCAAUCACGUUCAAUCUCGUGGAUUAUGCUCCACCGACCUAAAGGAUCAAGGAGAACCGUUCAAUCAACAUCGGUUUGAUCUGACGACCCAGAUUCACUUGAGGGGACUAUAUAAGCAGGCCCCCUGGCCCCUGGAGGAGGCAAUCCAAUUAUUUAUUAACAUAUUUUCCAGAGAGGAUUCGGAGAGAGAGGUUCCUUAGGGUUCCCACCUCAUAGGGCGUAGCAUCCAAUGUGAGAGUAGACUUAGUUCUACUAGAUUGAGAGAGAUAGAGUGGAGGUGUAGAUUCAAAUCUCCUAACCUGAGGCUUGCUCCUAGGAUAUUUCAGUAUUUCGACUUCUAAAUUCUAGUAAGUUCUUUGUUUUAUUGUUCUUUGGUUUAUGAGUUUACUUUGAUCUCUUCGCGUAGAGUUUAGAGUAAUCAUCUCUAGCGUAAACGUGGUGUUUGGGCUAGGAUACUCAUAGAUAUCCCCUGACUAGCUGGACUGUGGUAGUAGCGAGGAACGUGACAUUUCCGAGUUACCUUUGUAGCCCAUAUCCCGUUAGUAGGAUCGAUAGGGUUUAUAGGUGCGGGUCGAACAUCCUUUGUGGUGUCUAGAUUCCGUGAGCCUCUCCAAUAGAACAGUAGAUCAUCCUUACCAAGGUUAGAACGAGAGUGCGGUUGUAGUCUUCUCUAUACAUCGCUCACAUCGAGUCACAUUAUUUGUAGCCUAAAGGGUAGUAGCAAUAGAUUUGGUUAGUCAGAUGCACGCUUUCUCCGAGUGGUAAAAAAAUAAAUACGAUACUCUAGAUAACCUCCCAGGUGAAGUGCUCACCGAUAUCCGUGCGCUUGCGGAUCAAUUCCUCAUGGCGUUACCAAAUAUCAACAAGCAUUUCUGGCGCCGUUGCCGGGGAGAAAGACGGUUUGCUGAGAUAACUUUAAGUCUUACUAUUAUCUUGUAUUAUACUUUUAUUCUUUUAUCUUUUUAUUUUUUCCAUCUUUAUGGAUAACUCAAAUUCAACACCUAUUAUUGAAUUUUUUACACCUUCGGAGACCAGCCAUAGACCAUGGGAGUCAACAAGUCCUUUCUUUGCCCCUAAUUAUGAUUUGUGUCUGGAGUUGAUUGCAAUAGGUCAAAACCAACCCUUUUCUAUAGCUGAGGUCCUAUCUUUUAAUCAAGAAGAUAAUGAACUUUUAGCUACACCUAGGGAAUCUGUUAAUCUUUCUAUAAAUUCUGGUUUAAACCUAGCCCUACAAGACCAUGUUUUUCCUCGAUAUUUUUACAUUGGUCUUAAUCAUAUAACCUUUGGUAGAGGUUUUCUUUCUUUAUCCGUUAGUAAAGCAAGGUAUGUCUUCAUUCGUGGACAUCCUUCUUGCACUAGUCUUCAUAAAAAAUCCUAGAGAUAGAGAAGGAAUCAUCUCCCAAACGAGGAAAGGAAGUUUCAAUAGCCGAUUUCCAAACAUUUCAAUCCCAUGAUUCGGCUAUCCAACCCAAACUAGUAGUGCUCCAAAAUCAUCUAAGGGAAGAAGAAAUUCUACCUUUGGAAAUUCAUUUUGGGAUGAGCUUAAACUUCUUGCUUCAUAAGAGACUUUUGAGUGCAUACAGUCUGAACCUUCCUAAGAAGGGAUCUCUUAGAAAGUAUCUCAAAUCCAAUCCCUUUGAUGGACAUCUAGAAAGACUCAAGGAUGGCAUCUUUAGUGAUGCAAUAGAAGGAGAGCGAAGCCAUUUAGAAGACAAUCUCAUGUUCUCCUCUUCUACACCCACUUUUGAUGACUCAUUCGAACCUAUCUUUAAACCCAUCCUUGAGCUUAAUAAUUUCUACUAUGCUCUUUCUCUUGAACCUCCCGAUGAUCCUAUGAAUCUCUCUAGACAUCCCAUGCAUAAGAGUCACCAAGACCAUAAGGAGGAUCGAGAAGAGCAACAUCAAUGGCUAGAGGGCAUUAAAAAUCCAUGUGCUAUCACCAUUGAAUGGAUGGACAGGGAAGAAGCCUUAAUGGAUUCUGACUUUGGCUCAAUUUCAAAUGGUGAGUUCUUGACUCCCUUUGAAGAUGAGAUUCAUCCAACUACAGAAGAGGACAUAGGCGAGACCAAUCUAGGAGAAACUCUGAACAUUCAGAUUGGAGACGAAGAUAACAUUAAUGAGCAUGGAAUUUAUUUCAUAGCCACUUUGUUUACUCCAUGCUCAUAUGCAACAUCUUCCCAAACUAUUGGUCUCUCCAACAUCACCACAUUUGAGAUCUCCAACCCCCUCUUCCGUUCUAUUUAUAAAAACUUUAAAAGGGUGGUUGUCGAUGCAUAUGUCUAUAAUAAAUAUUGCAGAUCUUGUUGAGUUGAUCUUGAUAUAGGUUAGCGUUGGAGCAGAAACUGUAACAGAACCGUCCAAUUUAUAAGAAUUCAAGUGAAUUAGCAACCACGGAGGCAGUCAAGCCAAUGGACUUGAACCCAUAUAAAUCCGGUAGUCCGACGAAAUCUCAAAAGACCUCGAUUCAACCAACAUACAACCAAGAUCGUACAUGAUCAAGCAUCACCAUCACAGAUUACAAACAUUCAUCACAGAACAUAGUUUUACAUCACAUCAGAGUUUAGAAGUGGUUAUUACAAACCAAAGCAGUAGCGGAAACAAAGUAGUUUUGAAACAACACCAACUCAGUUUAUAUUACAUGCUAGUUCCAUGGUCAAGUCCCAACAAAAGCACAACUGAAGGUAGAGAAGUGGUCACGCCCAUGAUCUAUUCAUCAUCCGCAGCCGGGUGAUGGCAGUUAGCGCAAUAGCCAUUAUAAACGACAUCAUCUACAACAGGGGUAAAUAAAACCCUGAGUACGAGAAUGUACUCAGCUAGACUUACCCGUCAUAAACCAGAAAUAAAGUAACACCAAGGAGUAUGCAAGGCUGAUCUUUGUGGACUGGUUUGACUCACCUUUUUGCAUAAAAGCCUUUGUAGUAAGUAACCCAUUAUCAAUUUCAGCAGCAGGUUUAUUAGUUACCACUAUCCACUAGAUUAGCACCUGUUCUAAGCAUACACUUGAGUAUUUAAGCAUUACAAUAAUAACCAUAUCCGGAUUAUCACAUAGCUAUCAACAUUCUCAUCAUAACCAUUAAGUUCAUUUAGUGAAUUCUUCGUUGCCGCUGCCCAAGUCAAGUUCUCACUAUCCGGGAGAGACGGCGAUUCGAAUUCGAUUCCUAUCCAGCUGGAGGGGUAUUCCUAACACUCACCCAAGCAUACUUCAUGACGGCAGCUCGGAUCACCUUUAGCACAACUCCGGACCAAUUCGCGGGUCCGUCCAGCGCCGCACCCCUAGGGACCGCCAAUCUGCCAGUGCAGGACUCUAACCUGACACCUGGACUUACGCCAUUGACUCCCCGCACAUCCUUACUACCAACCGGGGUGCGCACUCAUACAUAACGGGGUAUUCGGCCUGAGUUGCACUCGUAGGCUUCGCGGUCGGAACGACUUAUCCGGCCAACUAAGUGAUAGGCAUGCGUUCAACAUGACACGGGGACGUACAGCGAUUCGGUCCUUAAACGACACAGACGGGGAUAGAUUCACACCCAAGACCUCCAUGUUGCUGCACUAUCAUCAUCCCGCCCGGUCUCAAGUUCAUUAUUAGCACCUGGUUAUUUCCACGAUAGCAAAUAUAGACAACCGUGAUCAUCAUCCACCUAACUCUCGCAGGUGACAGGAAAUCACCCGGCUUCUACCGAGCUAAGCAUGGCUAAGCAUCAAUUCGAUCCUGGACCUACUUAGGUGAGGUAUGAGGUGGACAAGGUAGUCAUUAUGCAGCAAGGGUGUCAUAUCAACGCCUACCACUUAAUGCAGCAAUAUAUAACCAUAGUCAUUUGAUAGCUGAACGUGAUAAUAAAAUAGUAGGUGGCUUAUAAUGCUCCGGGGCUUGCCUACGACGUAAGUAGAGGGGCGGUGACCGCGGCACUCCGACAAAUCCUCCUCCUCCUCAGCUCCUUGAGGUAGCUCCCCUUGCUGUCCUUCCGACUCCGGCAUCUCGAACUCCAACACCGUCACGCCCUUGGGUACACCUAUGUAUGCAUGACAAGGAGAUGAAUAUAAAGAAUGCACAUAUGAUGCAUGAUGUCAUGAUGAAGAGCCAAAGGGACAUAAAACAAGGUAUAACAUGAGCAUAAACUUCUAAGAGUAAGUGAAUCAUGGAAUAACAAGUAAGUGCAUACUUCUUCUCUGGUAGAGAGACUAAAUGGACAAGUUAAACAAAUCCUAGCUACUCCUACUCAGUCACUGGUUUAGUAGACAAACCAACCUGUCACAAGUUUCAGCCAUAACUUAAGCAUUAGUUAAACAAACUAAGAAAGUAAGUACUUUCUGGAAAUCUUAGAAAAUUGUCUACAAUUCACUUUUAAAUAUCCCAGCAUGAUUCCCAACCGAAAUAUGCUAAAAUAUAUAAAGUUGGCUGGCUGUCCUGGAAAAUCCAGAGAGCAAGCACUUUGCAGCAGCUACUUGAAAUAUUCAUAACUUUUAAACUACUCAACCAAAUGUCAUGAAACUUGGACACGAAGUAGAUCAGCAAGUUAGCUACAAGUUUGUUGUAGACAAGUUUCCCAGAAAAUAAAAUCUUUAAUUAGUUCUUAAGCAUUUGCUAUCAGCUACACAGAAAUGCUCUAGGAAAGGCAUAAAUAGCAAAAAUAAUAUUUUGCACAUAUUGAGAAUGUAUCAAAGGGACAAUCCAAUUGCACCAAUAGAUAGAACAUAGCUAAGAAACACCAGAAGACAUCAUGGCAAGGUCUAAACCCAUUUCUAUCAUCACCUUUUCCAUUUAUUUAAUUAUUAAGAUGAUUUAAUGAGCCUGCAUCCCAAGUGUUCCAAAAAUCCUAAGAAAAUUACAGCAAGCUACUUAUGCUAACCUAAGAUCACUAUAAAAUUUUCAGAACAUUUGCGCAUACAUAUUGGGAGAUACAAAAACAUCAAGCUAGUAAAGGCAUGCAAGGCAUAAAUGUGAAACCCUAUCAAAAAGUGUCAAACAACAGAUUUCAGAUUUUUCCUAGCCUUGUCUACAUAGGAGUACAACACUCAGCAAGUUUCACCACAAAAGGAGUAUAACUUAAUUAUUAAAAAUACCACAAGAAACUCCUAUUUAAGAAAGAAUUAUUUUUAACUUCACAACCAGGCUUCCAAAAAUCAUGAACAAUUUAUCAGAGCCUAAUCAUAUCAUAAGUAACAACACCCUAAAUUUGCAUGGCCAGCAGAUCAAUAGAUUUCAAGAUAUAAUUACCUCCCAAAAACCCAAGAAUAAAUUAUAUCUAUUUAUUUCUGCAAAAACAUGGCAUGUUUAAUAUUUUUAUUAAAAACUAGACUUAUGCUGAAAUCUAGCAAAAUUGGAACCAUGUCAUUUGGAUCUAUUCAACUCGAGAUAUGAAUUUUUCAAAAACAGCACAGGCUCUGUAAAACAGUGAACUAGGGGGAGUGAGAGGGGGAGGCUGACACCCGGGACCCGCGCGUCAGAGAGACAGAGACAGGGGAGAUGCUCGUCGCCGGCGAAGCUCAACGACGACGAGGUCUCGGCCGGAUCCAAGGGCAUCUACGUGUUCCUCUCAUCAAGGCGACUCUGUUGACCUACUUUACCCGCGCUCUACUGGACUCUAGGGUGUUCGCCGUCGGAAAUGGCGGAGCGGCGGCGCUGCGCGGCGUUACACCGGUGGAUCCAGGCAAUGGCGACACGGUAGAGGUUGCGGACGAGCAAGAGCGGCUCAAGGCGAAGCUAUAGGAAGAAGAAUCACGGCUAGAGGUGAACCAGAGAGGUCUGGCCACGUUGCCGGUGAUCUCUGUGAACUCCGGCGAGGUGGAGCUCGCGGCGGAGUUGGCAAUGCGACCUCACCGGUGCUCGGCUACGGGAAUGGAGUAGACGUCGAGGUAGAGGACGUCGAGGCGGAGCUCUGGGCGGGCUGGCUUGGCUGGAGGCGGCGAGGAGAGCUCGGGCGACGCUGCCGUUCCACGGCGGAGCUCGCCGAGGCGAAAUGGAGAAGGGAGAGAGCGCUGGAGAGGCGAAAUGAGGACGGCCGUGGCUCGGGGUGGCGUCGUGGCGUCCAAGUGAUGGCGCCGGGGCUGACAGGCGGGGUCGCCGUCGAUGUACGGCCGCCACGGGUCGUCCACACGUCGGCCGGCCGGUGACUGACGAAACUGAAUCGCGCGAUUCAGUCGUCGCCAACAGUGACUGAAACCCGAUCUUCAACAACGUUUUACUCUCAGCUCAAUCGAUGGUUUUGGCUAGGAUUUGAUCCUCUGGAUAGAGCUACACGAGUUGUACAAGUUUGAUUACAAGAUCGAAGCCUAACUCGGUCUAGAUUUCAAACUACAAGGCUCCAAACAACCCUACCUCGAAACUGUGUGAUUCAAGACUUAGCCAAAUUCGGCUAAGUGUGAAAUCAGCCCUGAUUUUUGGCUUGUGAGCAAUGUUUAGAGGUGUUCCAAGCUUUUUCAUAAAAAGUCAUCAACAUAGCUUUUGUAGCUUAUGAAAUUCUCUACAACUUUGUUUCAGGUGUCACAGACAUGAAAGGUCUCUAACAUUACUUUCAUAAAACAUAUUUGAUAGGAGGUUUAGGGGGUCAAAUAAGCCAUUCUAGGGUUAACCAUGACUUAGGGGCAUUUUUGGCCAAAACCUUCAACAUGAACUUUGUUCCAAAUGAUGUUCUAAACAUGAUUAAAGUAUUUUUGAAGACAAUAAACAUUUGUAAGCAUUAGUCACACACUAAGGUCACUCAAAACAAAUCACACAAGCAAUUUAAUCACAUAGUGCAUGUAGUAAAUGGCAUGUGAUCAUGGUAUGAUGCUCAUGAUGAUGCUUAUGUUGAUGCAAUGCUCAUGGUUAACAUGCAAGCUAACACUAGGAGUGUUACAGAAACCACUUCGCCGACAUAAAUUGAUGGUUUCCCAAGGACAAGCUUAGUGUCCUAAAACAAGCACUGAUCAGAUCGUAACAUGAGCUUUUAAUUAUUUGCAACAUUACCUUGUGUAUUGAUUAUAUAAGGAUAAUUGUAAAAAUAUUCCUUCAGGUAUUCUUGUCACUAACCUUUCUAGGAUUGGAGCAAGAAGAUCGGAUGAAUGACAAGCACAAGGUAUGUCCAACCAAUCAUCAUACAACAUUGAAUUAAAUUCAUCCAAACUUGAAUUUUGCAAAAUUCAAGCUUGGGGGAGUACUUUUCAUGUUGCUAUGUUGCUAUGUUGGUUGUCCCUACCUUUGAGAUAUGCUCAAUUUGUUAAAUACUAAUCACACUACGUCAUCUCCACUCGAGUAGAUCUCUAUGAAUGCACUCAUGCUACCUUUAUUUGCUUUAGUAUAUGUCUAGGUUUGGAGUAGUUUCAUUUAUCUCUUAAUUAAGCAUGGUGCUUAGUUUAGGAAUGAUGAUCUUACUUCCAAGGGAUUUUAAAUUAAGCAUGGUGCUUAGGUUAAAAUGCCCUCCUAAAAUCAAAUAAGACAUGGUGUCUAGGUUGAUUUUUGAGCCGAUAGUAUGCUAUAGUAGAUAUGGGAUAUUUUGUUGGACUAACCCCUACAGGAAAACUUUCAAUAUCAACCUGGGAAGUCCUGAGAUAAACUCACAUUGGAGACAAAGAAAGAGACACAUGAAGGUUAAAAAUUUACACAAGGAAGGCAUAGCUCACAAGAGAUGAUCCAUGGAAGGUGUCACAAACACGAUGCACAACAGCUAAGAAAGGAAAGCUUCCAAAAAGUGAUACUGUACCAUCACUCUUCAGUAACUGUUGACGGUCCUUAAUGCUUACAUUUAACCGUCAACUAAUCAUGGAAAAGGAUCUAAAUGGAACCAACACCUAGACUUAAGGUUUUAUCUAACAGAAUUCCACGAGUUUUGGUGUUUGUCUAUUUCUGCAGGGGGUAUCAGGAAAUACGGAAGAAAGGCCCACACGUCGGGAUUACAUAGAGAUAUUAACGUGCCGCGCAAUUUUCUAUCAUCUAGAAGACUCCAGAAGCCACGGGAACGAAGCGGAGGCCGAGAGGGCUCAGGCACAGGGCGCCCGCCCUAGUCCCUUGGGCGCCCGCCGACUUCCAGAGACCAAUUCGGACACGUUUCGCGGACAACGCUCCACCGACCUAAGGGAUCAAGGAAAACCGUGCGAUUAAUGUCGGUUUGAUCCAACGGCCCAGAAUCACUUGAAGGGACUAUAAAACCAGACCCCCUGGCCCCUAGAGAUCAUACCUCUUCUAUAGAAUCAAAGCUAGGGUUUCAAUUCUUCAUCCAAGUAGAGAGGAUCCCUCUAGUUCUUCUAGUUCUACCUCUAGUUCAUCUAGAUCUAGUUCUAGUUCAUCUAGUUCUAGUUCCUCUAGUUCUAGUUCUAGUUAGUUCUAGUUGUAAUCUAGAAAAUAGGGAGAGAGAAGAGGAGAGCGGAGGAGGAGCUGGAUCUGUCAGAUCUUCCUCAACAUUGUACUUUUACAGCAACUGGUUCGUUCUUCAUCGUUCUCCAGGUUCUUCAAUUCAUAAUUCCUGAGUUCUCUAAUUACUUUUAUUUAUAUUCAAGUUAUUUAUUGGAUUCCUGCUUGCAUCAAGUGCUUUAGUCUUUAUAACGCUAGAGUAGUAAUUAAUAGAUUAGACGUGGUGUUUAGUCUUGCAAUUACCUGGAAUUGCACCCAAUCCUGCGGAUUGUUGUGGUAGCCUUAGGGUAGUGACAGCCCUAACGGUCGACGUAUUCCACCUCGUUCGGAUCGGUGUUUGUAGGACCGUAGUCAGACCUUCCUAGCCCCCUUCUCAUCUCUUUCUGUGGUUAGUGCUCUGAUGUCUCGAAAUAGAUAAUCUUGAAGUAAUUCUUGAUUCUUAGAUCAACUAAAGAACUCUCAGGAAACUUCCUCUCUUCCCACCAAAAAUAAUUAUAUAGUUAUCCUUGGGUGAUCUUGGAUCUUAAUUAGUACACUCACGUUCCCUGUGGAAAAUCGAUACUCUGGAAUACUCCCGGGUGAAGGCUACAUCGGUAUCCGUGCGCUUGCGGAUUUUUCUGUUUGCGUUUAAAAUACCCAACAAGCUUUCUGGCGCCAUUGCCGGGGAACGGUAGCUGUGCUAGUUUCGAAUCAAGUCGUCCGUGUAUCCUUUUUCUUUUCCUUUUUUAUCACACUUACCUUACCAUUUUCACCACUCCACAUGGAUUUCACUCUAAGCAUCAAUGAGCAUGGAAUUUAUUUCAUAGCCACUUCAUUUACUCCAUGCUCAUAUGCAACAUCUUCCCAAUCUUUUGGUUUUUCCAACAUCACCACAUUCGAGAUCUCCAACCCCCUCAUCCUUUCUAUUUAUGAAAACUUUAAAAGGGCGGUUGCCGAUGCAUAUGUCUAUAAUAAAUAUUGCAAAUCUCGUUGAGUUUAUCUUGAUAUAGGUCAGCGUUGGAGGGGAAACCACUUCGCCGACAUAAAUCGAUGGUUUCCUAAGGACAAGCUUAGUGUCCUAAAAACAAGCACUAACAUGAGCUUUUAAUUAUUUACAACAUUACCUUGUAUUGAGCAUAUAAGGAUAAUUGUAAAAGAUUCCUUCGAGUAUUCUUGUCACUAACCUUUCCAGGAUUGGAGCAAGAAGAUCGGAUGAAUGACAAGCAUAAGGUAUGUCCAACCAAUCAUCAUACAACAUUGAAUUAAAUUCAUCCAAACUUGAAUUUUGCAAAAUUCAAGCUUGGGGGAGUACUUUACAUAAAAACAUCCUUUGCCAUGUUGCUAUGUUGGUUGUCCCUACCUUUGAGACAUGCUCAAUUUGUUAAAUACUAAUCACACUACUUCAUCUCCACUUGAGUAGAUCUCUAUAAAUGCUCUCAUGCUACCUUUAUUUGCUUUAGUAUAUGUCUAGGUUUGGAGUAGUUUCAUUUAUCUCUUAAUUAAGCAUGGUGCUUAGUUUAGGAAUGAUGAUCUUACUUCCAAGGGAUUUUAAAUUAAGCAUGAUGCUUAGGUUAAAAUGCCCUCCUAAAUCAAAUUAGACAUGGUGUCUAGGUUGAUCUUUGAGCCGAUAGUAUGCUAUAGUAGAUUUUGGAUAUUUUGUUGAACUAACCCCUGCAGGAAAACUUUCAAUAUCGACCUAGGAAGUCCUGAGAUAAACUCACAUUGGAGACAAAGAGAGAGACACGUGAAGGUUAACAAUUUACACAAGGAAUUCAUAGCUCACAAGAGAUGAUCCAUGGAGGGUGCCACAAACACGAUGCAUAACCGCUAAGAAAGGAAAGCUUCCACAAGGUAAUAUUUUACCAUCACUUUUCAAGUAAGGUAACAACUUAAGGUACUUGACUAUCACUUUUUAUAAGCUUCUCCUUGGUUCUGGCAUUCACAUGGAUAAAAGAGACAAACAUGUAUGAUUUAUAACUCUAAAUUAACCAACCCAAUUAAUUCAGCAUGUUUAGUCCUUUAAUCUUUGUUUAUAGUACUACCUUCGUGAUCCCACACUCCUAAUCAUAUAAGCUAAAAUGUUGCACGUUCAAUCUCUAGAAGAUAUAAACAAAACAUAAGUAUAGAUAGAUUAUCUUUCCAUUAGGUUGAGUGAUCUGAUCUGACAAAUGUUUUAAAUGCUAUACUCAUGAUCUUUUUAUCCAUCAACUUUGUCUUGCUCACUAUGCUUAAGGUUAGCGAGAACAAAUACACUUUUGGUUCUGUUGGUAUUUUCCACCAACAGGGCCCAUGCACUUGAUCUCUGCCUUGUCUCUAUGAGCAGGUACACUUCGAGCAAAAUAUGAAGGACUUUUACAACUCCUAGACUCCACCAAGUGAAGAACCUAGAUCUACGAGCACAAACACACUGGAGAUACUGGACACUCAGGCAAUCACUACCCUGAGAUGCUUGAGGACGUAACUACUGGAGUAACCCCGUAGUGAAAGUAAUUACUGACCUUCUGCCAGUCAAGAGAGACAAUCUAGGAUGCCCCGUCAUCCCGAUCUCCAUCGGCAUGGUGGACUUCCUAGAAGCACUCUACGACUUUGGCUCCAGUGUCAACAUUAUGCCCAGGGUACUCUAUGAAAAAUUCUUUACACAUCCUUUAUUAGAAACUGCCAUGUGUUUGCAGCUUGCAGAUCGUACGCUAAGUUUUCCCAAAGAGAAUAUUGAAGAACCUCUAUAUCCGAGUUAGUACCUUAUACUCUCCAGCAGACUUUGUGGUGAUAGAGACUGAUACUGAUGAGAGGGCACCCAUCAUCCUAGGGAGGCCAUUCCUGAACACCUCGGGAGCUAUCAUCUACGCUAGUGCUGCCAAGAUCAGUUUCUACAUCAAGGGGAGAAAGGAGACGUUUUCCUUCAAGAACAAGACUACAUAAAUCUCAGAGCAUUCCCGACAUGAACCAAGGAAGAGGACCAACAGGAGGAAUAGGAACAAGCAAAUGUGGACCGAGUCAACUAAGAUGAUCACUACAGCUCAAGGAGGUCAAGAUCGUCGACUCAAGUCGCCUUUCUUGAUCAAGAAGGACGACCCUGGUGUUCCAAGCAUCGAGUGCACAAUCAACGGACAUUCUUUUCAGAAGACACUCUACGACACCAGAUCUAACAUCAACAUAAUGGCCGCAGUCACUUAUCAGCUCCUAUUCGGAACCAUGCCCCUAAAACCGACAUACAUUCAGCUCCAGAUGGCAGAUCAGACAUUCCGAAAGGUUGAAGACAAGUACGAUCCACCCAUCAUUCAUAGGAGACCGUUUCUCAGCACCGUUAAAGCAAUCAUAUACUUUGGAACCAGAGAAGUCCACAUGCACUUCCCCUCUGAGAAGGUACGUCACUAUUUUACUGACCCUAACUAUAUAGUUGAAGACUCUAAGCAGGUCAGGACAAGAAGAAGACGACGCAACCGCCACCAGAGAAGGCAAAUCAUCAAGGACGGAUGGGCAGACUACGAAGGAGAAGUGGUAAGGUCUGAAGACAUACAACUUGAAUAGAACUGUCCUGAGGAGACCGUAGCACCGAGUCAGGUGUGGAGAGAGAAGAUAGUUAUACACGAAGAGCAGGCGCCGCCAAAACCAUUGACUACGCCAUCCAGCGAAUCCCAGGACGACUGAGAAAAUGGAGAGUCCCGUUCGGAGGACUUAAAAAACACCGAACGCCUUGCCAAGAGAAUUCAAGGAUCAAAGAAGACUAGCAGACGGAGGACAUCCUAAUCACUGUCAGAGUGCUGCCGACAUUCAAAUACACCUCCGCUACCUGCUAGCUACAUCAGGAGAAACUACGUCAAAAUCCAGCUUGGGGGAGAGCACCCCCAUUUAUCCAGCUAAGUGUUCCACUCACAUUUAUACUUUACUCUAAUAAUAAAAAGAUGCAUAAUCAUAAAAACCCAAAUAAAGAUUUUGUGCUUAUAUAUAUCUUUGCUUAGUUUGCUAAAUAAAUAAAUAAAUAAAGUUUGCUAUGAACCCUCAUGAUAAGCUUUCAUAUGGAAAUGAUGAAUAGUUGCUCUAUCAUGACUAGUUCUUAAAAUUAAAAUCUCUCUCAAGUUUAGGCAUGACUGUUAUUAAUUAAGAUUUGCUCUAAACCUAAACUUAUGGGAAGAGUACUUGAUCUAAAGUCUAAGUCGUUAACGGGUAUGAUAUGGGAAGGUUCAGCUACUGUUUAUGUGUUCCUAGAGAUGCUAGAAUUCUGGAGAAUUUUAUCUAUGAAAAUCUUUAAAAUGUUGCAUGAUGAGUUCCUGUAUGAUGAGAGUUUAAAUUCCUACCACAGCCAUAUAUACAUGCUUGCUAGACUAUGAGCCACACAUUUACUUUUUACUAUUUAUGAGCAUUGAGUGUGGUCAAGCUGUGUAGACCCUUAGGAGCUUGUCAUGCGGUUAAAUCAAGAUUCACUUGCACGUUCACUCAUACAUGCUACUUCUACUUCAGAAGUGCGCAUCCACAUAUAUCCACCCAUUUCCAUCUCCAGAACCACCCAAAAAUAUUCUACUCCUAAUCCGGGAGAGAAUAGCCAAAAAUAUUUCUAUUUUUCCCCUAUGAAAUAAAUGCUCAAGUUAUCUUGUUACUACCACUUGCUAUAUUAUCUCAUGAGAUGAGUGCUCUAAAAAAAGAAAUAAAAAAAAGAAAAAAAAGUAUAUGAGGAAAUAAAAAGGGGCAAGUGCCCGGAACCUCGAAAGAAAAGAAAAAGUGAGGUUAUCAGGAAAUACGGAAGAAAGGCCCACACGUCGGGUUUACAUAGAGAUAUUAACGUGCCGCGCAAUUUUCUAUCAUCUAGAAGACUCCAGAAGCCACGGGAACGAAGCGGAGGCCGAGAGGGCUCAGGCACAGGGCGCCCGCCCUAGUCCCUUGGGCGCCCGCCGACUUCCAGAGACCAAUUCGGACACGUUUCGCGAACAACGCUCCGCCGACCUAAGGGAUCAAGGAAAACCGUGCGAUUAAUGUCGGUUUGAUCCAACGGCCCAGAUUCACUUGAAGGGACUAUAAAACCAGACCCCCUGGCCCCUAGAGAUCAUACCUCUUCUACAGAAUCAAAGCUAGGGUUUCAAUUCUUCAUCCAAGUAGAGAGGAUCCCUCUAGUUCUUCUAGUUCUACCUCUAGUUCAUCUAGAUCUAGUUCUAGCUCAUCUAGUUCUAGUUCCUCUAGUUCUAGUUCUAGUUCUAGUUAGUUCUAGUUGUAAUCUAGAAAAUAGGGAGAGAGAAGAGGAGAGCGGAGGAGGAGCCGGAUCUGUCAGAUCUUCCUCAACAUUGUACUUUUGCAGCAACUGGUUCGUUCUUCAUCGUUCUCCAGGUUCUUCAAUUCAUAAUUCCUGAGUUCUCUAAUUACUUUUAUUUACAUUCAAGAUAUUUAUUGGAUUCCUGCUUGCAUCAAGUGCUUUAGUCUUUAUAACGCUAGAGUAGUAAUUAAUAGAUUAGACGUGGUGUUUAGUCUUGCAAUUACCUGGAAUUGCACCCAAUCCUGCGGAUUGUUGUGGUAGCCUUAGGGUUGUGACAGCCCUAACGGUCGAUGUAUUCCACCUCGUUCGGAUUGGUGUUUGUAGGACCGUAGUCAGACCUUCCUAGCCCCCUUCUCAUCUCUUUCUGUGGUUAGUGCUCUGAUGUCCCGAAAUAGAUAAUCUUGAAGUAAUUCUUGAUUCUUAGAUCAACUAGAGAACUCUCAGGAAACUUCCUCUCUUCCCACUAAAAAUAAUUAUAUAGUUAUCCUUGGGUGAUCUUGGAUCUUAAUUAGUACACUCACAUUCCCUGUGGAAAAUCGAUACUCUGGAAUACUCCCGGGUGAAGGCUACAUCGGUAUCCGUGCGCUUGCGGAUUUUUCUAUUUGCGUUUAAAAUACCCAACAGUAACAUCUUAAGGUACUUGACUAUCGCUUUUAUAAGCUUCUCCUUGGUUCUGAAAAUAAAGAGACAAACAUAUAUGAUUUGUAAGUCCAAAUUAACCAACCCAAUUAAUUCAACCUGUUUAGUUCUUUAAUCUUUGUUCUUAGUACUACCUUCCUGAUCGCACACUCCUAAUCAUAUAAGCUAAAAUAUUGCACAUUCAAUCUUUGGAAGAUAUAAACAAACCAUAAAUAUAGAUAGAUUAUCUUUCCAUUAGGUCGAGCGAUCUGAUCUGACAAAUGUUUUAAAUGCUACAUUCAUGAUCUUAUUAUCCGUCAACUUUGUCUUGCUCACUAUGCCUAAGGUUAGAGAAGAACAAAUACACUUUUGGUUCUGUUGGUGUUUUCCAGCAACAGGACCCAUGCACUUGAUCUCUGCCUUGUCUCUAUGAGCAGGUACACUUCGAGCAAAACCUGAAGGAGUUUCACAACUCCCAGAUUCCUCCAAGUGAAGGACUUGGAUCUACAAGCACAAACACACUGAGCAGGAUACUGCCAAUGCCGCACCUCGAACUACUGAACAAACGAAGAAAAUGGGUGACACCGUAUCAAGAAGUGCAGAUGUCAAGGCCCACACCUAAUCAAAUGAUGCACCUAAAGGGAUGAACACGGUGAGAAGCCUUGUCCAGAAGACUUAAAACAUUGGAUCCUUGCUGGAAGAGGUCAAAAUCGUCGAUUCAAGUCGCCUUUCCUGAUCAAAAAGGACGACCCUAGUGUUCCAAGCAUCGAGUGCAUAAUCAACAGAUACUCUUUUCAGAAGACACUCUAUGACACCAAAUUUGACGUCAACAUAAUGGCUGCAGUCACUUAUCAGCUCCUGCAUGGAACCAUGCCCUCACAACCAACAUACAUUCAGUUCUAGAUGAUUUUCAGUUUAUUGACAUGGGAGAAGACGAGUACGAUCCACCCAUCAUCCUUGAAAGACCGUUCCUCAACACUAUCAAAGCUAUCAUCUAUAUUGGAACCGGAGAAGUCCACAUGCACUUCCCCUCUGAGAAGAUCAGGAUCAGAAGAAGGCGACACAAGCGAAACUAGAGGAGGCAAAUCAUCAAGGACGGAUGGGCAGACUAUAAAGGAGAUGUAAUAAGGUCCAAAGAUAUACAUCUUGAACAGGAUUGUCCAAAGGAGACCGUAGCACCAAAUCAGGUGUGGAUAAAGAAGAGAGUUGUACUAGAAGAGGAGGCGCCGCCGGAAUCCUAGGACGACUGAAAACACAAGGAGUCUCGUUCGGAGGACUUAAAAACACCGAACGUCGUGCCAAGAGUUCCACAAAGCUUUGUUGUCUAUUUGAGCUCCACAGAAUUCAAGGAUCAAAGAAGACUAGCAGAUGGAGGACAUCCUAAUCGCUGUCAGGGUGCUGCCAACAUUCAAAUACACCUCCAUCACCUGCUAGCUACAUCAGAAGAAAUUACGUCAAAAUCCAGCUUGGGGGAGAGCACCCUCAUUUAUCCAGCUAAGUGUUUCUACUCGCGUUCAUACUUUACUCAAAUAAUAAAAAGAUGCAUAAUCAUGCAAACCCAAAUAAAAAUCUUGUGCUUAUAUAUAUCUUUGCUUAGUUUGCUAAAUAAAUAAAUAAAGUGUCUAGGCCAAACUGAACUUAAAUAAUAAACUCUUACAUGGAUAUGAUAAAUAGUUGCUCUGCCAUGUACCUAGUUUUCAAGCUUGAGUUUUCUCUCAAGUUUAGGCAUAACUGUUAUAAUUUAAACCUGCUCUAAACCUGAACUUGUGGGAAGAGUACUUGAUCUAAAGUCUAAGUCGUUAACGGAUACGAUAUGGGAAGGUAGAGCUGUUGUUUAUCUGUUCCUAGAGAUGCUAGAAUUCUGGAGAAUUUUAUCUUUGAAAAUCUUUACAAUGUUGCAUGAUGAGUUCUUGUAUGAUGAGAGUUUAAAAUCCUACCACAGCCAUAUAUACAUGCUUGUUAGACAAUGAACCAUAUAUUUACUUUUUACUACUUGUGAUAAGCAUUGAGUGUGGUCAAGCUGUGUAGACCCUUAGGAGCUUGUCAUGCGGUUAAAAUCAAGAUUCACUUGCACGUUCACUCAUACGUGCUGCUUCUACUCUAGAAGUACGCAGCCACAUACAUCCACUCAUUUCCAUCUCCAGAUUCACCUAAAAUUAUUCUACUCCUAUCCAGGAGAGAAUAGCCAAAAACAUUAUCCUGUCCCUGUUAUUCCUUGUGAAAUAAAUGCUCCAGUUAUUUUGGUUACUACCACUUGCUACAUUAUUCUAGGAGGGUGAGUGCUCUGAAAAAAUAAGAAGAAAAAAAUACGAGGAAAUAAAAAGGGGCAAGUGCCCGGAACCUCGACGAAAAGAAAAAGUGAGGCGAGAGUUAAAAAUGGAAAAGUGUCUGACAUUAGAAUUAGGGGUAUAAGAUACCCACUUGAGUGAAAAGAAAAAAGAAAAUAGAGAGCAUCUCAUUCUCCGCAAAAAGCUUCAAAGUGCACGAAAGGUAUGUAUCUCCUUAAAAGAGCAAAAGUAGAAUUAGACUUUCACCAUUGUUAUCACCAUUCAUUCGCCACACAUGCACAUCUUAAUUUGACUUAUUGACUUGUUUCUCUGGAUCCAUGGUUUGACUAUGCAAUAAAUGUCUUGUAAGUAUGUAUUAUCUGUUUCCCACCUAUGAGCUCCAGAUAUCAAAACCUUAUUAGAGUAGGGUGAGAGAGAAGGCAAUAUCACUAUGCCUGAUACCGAAAAUAUCACAUACUUUGAGAGAAGGCAUAUACCAUUACUGCCUUGCAAAGGAUCCAGAAAUACCACAAAAGAGAGAUUUGAGAGAGUCAUACAAGGAAUCUCUGAGUUUUAUUUGAAAAUCUGCAAAAACUCCAGAGCUAUAGCUGAUCAAAGAACAAGAGACAUGGCGCUUGACUUGACCGUUCUAUCUUUUAACUACUCAAGACACAAGUGACGGUUGCAAGCCCCAUGGUGAAAGGUAAAAUGAGUAAGUUUUAAGUCUUAACAGUUUACUCUAACUCAGAGAUGAGAUCUUGCUUGAACGCAUGUGUACUUUUAAGACAUGAAACCACUGCAGAAACUCUUGAGUCCAUCCUUGCUCAGGGACGAGCAAGAGGUAAGCUUGGGGGAGCUGUUGACGGUCCUUAAGCACCAAAUAUAAUCAUCAAAUAAAUAAAGAAAAGGAUCCAAAUGCAACCAACACCCGGACUUAGGGUUUUAUCUAACAGAAUUCCACGAGUUUUGGUGUUUGUCUAUUUCUGCAGGGGGUUAUCAGGAAAUAUGGAGGAAAGGCCCACAUGUCGGGUUUACAUAGAGAUAUUAACGUAUCGCAUAAUUUUCUAUCAUCUAGAAGACUCCAGAAGCCACAGGAACGAACGGGAGGCCGAACGGGCCCGGGGGCAGGGCGCCCGCCCUCCCCCCUUCGGUGCCCGCCUAGGUGUUGUGGCCAAUCACAUUCAAUCUCAUGGAUUAUGCUCCACCGACCUAAAGGAUCAAGGAGAACCAUUCAAUCAAUGUCGGUUUGAUCUGACGGCCCAGAUUCACUUGAGGAGACUAUAUAAGCAGGCCCCCUGGCCCCUGGAGGAGGCAAUCAAAUUAUUCAUUAGUAUAUUUUCUAGAGAGGAUUCAGAGAGAGAGGUUCCUUAGGGUUCCUACCUCAUAGGGCGUAGCAUCCAAUGUGAGAGUAGACUUAGUUCUACUAGAUUGAGGGAGAUAGAGUGGAGGUGUAGAUCGGAGGAAGCCCGACGUGUCGGUGUCUACUCCGAGGUUGUACCUGCGGGAUCAAGUCUCCUAACCCAAGGCUUGCUCCUAGGAUUCUUCAGUAUUUUGACUUCUUAAUUCUAGUAAGUUCUUUGUUUUAUUGUUCUUUGGUUUAUGAGUUUACUUUGAUCUCUUCGCGUAGAGUUUAGAGUAAUCAUCUCUAGCGUAAACGUGGUGUUUGGGCUAGGAUACUCAUAGAUAUCCCCUGACUAGCUGGACCGUGGUAGUAGCGAGGAAUGUGACAUUUCCGAGUUACCUUUGUAGCCCAUAUCCCGUUAGCAGGAUCGAUAGGGUUUACAGGUGCGGGUCGAACAUCCUUUGUGGUGUCUAGAUUCCGUGAGCCUCCCCAAUAGAACAGUAGAUCAUCCUUACCAAGGUUAGAACGAGAGUGCGAUUGUAGUCUUCUCUAUACAUCGCUCACAUCGAGUCACAUUGUUUGUAGCCUAAAGGGUAGUAGCAAUAGAUUUGGUUAGUCAGAUGCACGCUUUCUCCCAGUGGUAAAAAUAUAAAUAUGAUACUCUGGAUAACCUCCUGGGUGAAGUGCUUGUUGACGGUCCUUAAGUAUCAAAUAUAAUCAGCAAAUAAACAAAGAAAGGGAUCCAAAUGCAAUCGACAUCCAGACUUAGGGUUUUAUCUGACAGAAUUCCAUGAGUUUUGGUGUUUGUCUAUUUCUGCAGGGGGUUAUCAGGAAUUACGAAGAAAGGCCCACACGUCGGGUUUACAUAGAGAUAUUAACGUACCGCGCAAUUAUCCUACAUCUAGAAGAGUCCAGAAGCCACGGGAACGAAUGGGAGACCGGACGGGCUCGGGGGCAGGGCGGCCGCCCUCCCCCCUUGGGUGCCCGCCCUGGCCUCGGGGCCAAUCACAGCCAACUUCGCGGAUCAAGCUCCACCGACCUAAAGGAUCAAGGAAAACCGUGCGAUUAAUGUCGGUUUGAUCCAACAGCCCAUAUUCACUUGGAAGGGCUAUAUAACCAGACCCCCUGGCCCCUGGAGGAGAGGACCUCAGACUAAUUCAUUAUUCAUCUUGGGAGAAGAAGCCUCUGAUCAAGCCCUAGAGCCACCACAUCAAUUAGAUCUCUAGUUUAGCAUAGCUACAUAGGAUUAGAACUAGAAGGAGUCAAUCUUCGAUUGGUUUCCAGAUCUGUCAAGAGGAUUCUUGGUAAUUCCUCUAUUGUUCUUCAAUUGUUCAUCUUUGUUCUUCAAUAUUAUGAAUAAGACUUUGUUCUACUUCAAUAUAUUGAUUAUGACUUUGCUCUACUUGUUUAUAUUUGCAAUUAUAUUGUUCUUAGUUUAUCAAAGUUAUAUACUUGGCUUAGUUAGAUUGGAAUUAUAUACAUGUUUAGGAUCAUAUAGCAUUUAUCCAUGUGUACAGUGGGUAAAUGAUAAGUAUUGUGUAGGCGUGGUGCCUAUACCAUAUUUAUCUGCAAUUGUACCCUAUAUGCCAGAUCGCGGGGUAGUUCAUGGUAGUGAUAGCUCCAUUGAUUCUUAUAUAGUCCCCCUCUCGUGUAUAGGGCUGGCAGAGCAACAUUAUUACAGGGGAGUGAUUGCGAUGUUUCUCAUAUUCCUUGAUAAUAUCACUAUGCAUGGGCGUAGUCCUGUCUCGCAAUGAUUGCCAAGUAUAAUUGCACUAACUAUGAUAUGCUAGACUAUAUAGUUGAGAAUGACUUAGGAAAUAUUCUUGUAGUUCAUCCUAAUUCCAUGCUAAUGACUUGCUAGAAUAUCUAAUUGAGGUGCUUAUCAUAUUUAUUAUAUGGCUAGAUCAGAUUAGUUAUCCUUGUCACUAUUAUUAUUUCAUAUAUCUUUUAUGUGACACUUAUCACUGUAUGAAAGAGAUAGAUAGAUGCUCUCAAUUAUACAUGCAAUGAUAGAUACUCAAUUCUAUAUUCCAUUCUAUAAUCAACAUUGAUGUUUAGCAAUCCCUUCCCAGUGGUAAAAAUAUAAAUAACGAUACCUGGAAUACUUCCUGGUUAAAAUGCGACAUCGGUAUUAAUCUGUGCGUUUGCAGAUCUCAUUUAUUAUUUAUUUAGAAGAGCAAUUGCAUAUUUCAAUACCGCGUCUCUUAUGUCAUGCUGGGGAUGACAACUUGGAAUAAGUGGCAUGAGGGAUAGGUUUGGCCUUUUUACCGCCGCUAUCAGAAUUAGAAAACUAAGUCUACUUUUGGUAGUGACGUUAAGAAUGCCCAACAAGCAUUUUUGGCGCCGUUGCCGGGGAAGGUUGAUUACUAAUCAGGAACGAAUAUGGAAUUUUGAGUCAUCAUUCGCAUCACUAAUAUGAUUGAGAUUAUCAAUUCUCUCAUACAGUUUUACCCCGUUAUUUUUUAUUUUAUCUUAUGCAGGAGAAUGUAUGAAUAGAAGAUAUCUUCGAGGAAAUUUUGUUGACAAUCCCGAAGCAUUAUUCAGAAAAACAAGAGCCAAGCUCAAGAAGAGAUCAUCAACACUUCAGCACGAAGCUUCAUCCAAUCAAGAAGAUCACCAAAGUUUCACCCAGAACUUGUCUUCAGAAUUCGGAGCCAUGGCGAACAAAUUGAUACGCGAGUUCUCAGCUCCCACUAUGGACAACAUCUGUACUGGACCUGCUGCAGAGAUCGACGGCAACUUUGAGCUCAAGCCUAGACUUACCAACAUGGUGCAAUCCAACCAGUUCUGUGGGAAGGCACAUGAAGAUGCUAGUGCUCAUCUCCAACACUUCCUGGAGAUUUGCAGCACAUUCACCAUAUCAGGAGUCCCUAGAGAUGCUAUACUACUUCGCCUCUUCCCAUUCUCACUGUUGGGGAGAGCGAAGCAGUGGUUCUACGCUACAAAGAAGAAGAAUACUAUGUGGGCACUCUGCUCCACAAACUUUCUGGCUAAGUUCUUUCCCAUGGGCAAGACCAAUGCUCUCUGUGGGAAAAUUACAAGUUUUCAGCAACAACAUGAUGAAUCCGUUCCAGAAGCAUGGGAGCGCUUCCAAGACUACAUCCUAGAAUGUCCCCAUCAUGGAAUGAAGAGUUGGCUACUUAUGCAGACAUUCUAUCAUGGGCUCGGCAACAGUGCCCGAGAGACCAUAGAUGCUACAGCUGGAGGAGCAUUCCUAUCACUCACCAUACCACAAGCCACAGCUCUUGUGAAGAAGAUAGCGUUCAGCCAAGGCUGGAAUGAAGAAAGGACCCAAACACGCAAGAAAGGUGGAGGUAUGCAUCAGCUCAAGGAGGUAGACAUGUUGUCUGCUAAGCUAGACCUACUCAUGAAGAAGCUCGAUGAUAAAGCUGGAGACAAGAAAGAAGUUAUGCACAUCUACGACUCUCACAUGACUUGUGAGGAGUGUGGAGAUACUGGACACUUAGGCAAUCACUGCCCUGAGAUGCUUGAGGAUGUGAACUACAUCAACAAUAACAACAACUACUACUACUACAACCGUCCUCAACAAAAUCAAGGUUGGAAUCAACAUAGGCCUAACUACUCAGGUAAUUAUCAAGGUAACAAUUCUUACAACAAUAAUAAUAAUUUUCCGCCUCUGAGAGAGUUAGUGUCUAAUCAAGGAAAGCUAAUGGAUAACCUAUCUAAGAAAUUGGCAUCUAAUGAUAAAAUGCUAGAAAAUAUAAAUAAUAGAAUGGAUAAUUUCCCUACUGCCAUCAAGAAUCAAAUUAGCUUCAAUAAAAUGAUUGAAUCUCAGUUAAAUCAAAUAGCUGCUGUUGUUCCUGCUACUAACCCUGGUAUACCAUCACAAGCGGAAGGAUUAGAAUCUGCAAAUCUUGUAGACAUGUUUGAUGCAGGUAACUACUAGAGUAACCCCGUCACUGAAGUUAGUACUAACCUUCUGCCGGUCAAGAGAGGCGAUUCAGGACGCCCCGUCAUCCCGAUCUCCAUCGGCAUGGUGGACUUCCCAGAAGCACUCUACGACUUUGGCUCUAGUGUCAACAUUAUGCCCAGGGUACUCUAUGAAAAAUUCUUUACAUAUCCUUUAUUAGAAACAACCAUGUGUUUGCAGUUUGUAGAUCAGAAGUUAAGUUUCCCCAAGGGAAUAUUGAAGAACCUCUGUGUCCGAGUUGGUACCUUGUACGCCCCAGCAGACUUCGUGGUGAUAGAGACCGGUAAUGAUGAGAGGGCACCUGUCAUCUUAGGGAGGUCAUUCCUGAACACCUCGGGAGCUGUCAUCUACGCUAGUGCUGCCAAGAUCAGUUUCUACAUCAAAGGGAGAAAGGAGACGUUUUCCUUCAAGAAUAAGAUUACACAAAUCCCAGAGCAAUCUAGACAUGAACCAAGGAAGAGGACCAAUAGGAGGAACAGGAACAAGCAAGUGUGGACCAAGUCAGCUAAGAUGGUCACUGCAGUUCAAGGAGGUCAAGAUCAUCGACUUAAGUCACCGUUUCUGACCAAGAAGGACGACCCAGGAAUGCCAAGCAUCCAUUGCUCCAUUAAUAGGUACAACUUCUACAAGACACUUUGUGACACCGGAUCGGGCGUCAACAUAAUGGCCGCAGUCACCUAUCGGCUCUUGUUCGGAACCAUGCCCCUAAAACCAAUAUAUAUUCAGCUCCAGAUGGCAGAUCAGAUAUUCUGAAAGGUUGAAGGUAUAGUAACUGAUGUCUCUAUCAAAAUAGACGAUCAUUUUGUCCAUACAGACUUUCAGGUUAUUGACAUGGGAGAAGAUGAGUACGAUCCACCCAUCAUCCUUGGGAGACCGUUCCUCAGCACCGUUAAAGCAAUCAUCUACAUUGGAACCGGAGAAGUCCAUAUGCACUUCCCCUCAGAAAAGGUACGCCGCUAUUUUACUGACCCUAACUAUAUAGUUGAAGACUCUAAAUAGGUCAGAACAAGAAGAAGACAACGCAACCGCAACCAGAAGAGGCAAAUCAUCAAGGACGGAUGGGCAGACUAUGAAGGAGAAGUGGUAAGGUCUGAAGACAUACAGCUUGAACAAGAUUAUCCUGAGGAGACCGUAGCAUCGAAUCAGGUGUGGAGAGAGAAGAUAACUAUACACGAAGAAGAGGCGUCGCCGGAAGCACCGACUACGCCACCCAACGAAUCCCAGGACGAUUGAGAAAACGGAGAGUCCCGUUCGGAGGACUUAAAAACACCGAACGCCUUGCCAAGAGGUAAACUUGGUAGUUAUCUUUUCCUUUCAAUUAUUUCAAAUAGUUUGCUUAGUUAAUCAGGUUCAUAUCAUUUUUAAAAGAAAAUAAAAAUGUUAAAAAUAAGUAAGCCCCAUGUGAGUAUACGAGUGGCAUAAAACCCAUAAGUACAUUCACUGUGGUGGCAUAAAAAUAAAAUGAAUAGUUUUUUCUGUUCUAUAAAAUAAAAAUAUAAAAAUAGAGAGUAACAUUUAUUGAGGAGGCUCAACAUGAUAAAGGCUAGAUAUUUAUGCUAACACCUAAUCAGUUCCACAAAGCUUUGUUGUCUAUUUGAGCUCCACAGAAUUCAAGAAUCAAGAAGACUAGCAGACGGAGGACAUCCUAAUCGCUGUCAGAGUGCUGCCGACUUUCAAAUACACCUCUACCACCUGCUAGCUACAUCAGAAGAAAUUACUUCAAAAUUCAGCUUGGAGGAGAGCACCCCCAUAUAUCCCGCUAAGUAUUUCUAUCUACAUUGAUACUUAUACUAUUUUAAAAUAAAAAUAUACAUAACCAUGAAAAACCAAAUAAAGAUUUUGUGCUUAUAUAUAUAUAUAUCUUUUGCUUAGUGUGCUUAAUAAAUAAAUAAAGUGGCUAUGCUAAACUGAAUCUUAAUAAUAAAACUCUAGCAUGGAUAUGAUGAAUAGUUGCUCUGUCUAAUUUUCAAAUUUGAGUUCUCUCUCAAGUUUAGACAUAACUGUUAUAAUUUAAAGCUUGCUCUAAAUCUGAACUUGUGGGAAGAGACCUUGAUCUGAAGUCUAAGUUGUUAACGGAUAUGAUAUGGAAAGGUUGAGCUGCUGUUUAUCUAUUCCUAGAGAUGUUGUGGAGAAUUUUAUCUUUAAAAAUCUUUAAAAUAACACAUGAUGAGUUCCUGUAUGAUGAGAGUUUAAAUUCCUACCACAACCAUAUAUAUAUAUGCUUGUUAGACUUUGAGCCACACAUUUACUUUUUACUGCUUAUGAGCAUUGAGUGUGAUCAAGCUGUGUAGACCCUUAGGAGCUUGUCAUGUGGUUAAAUCAAGAUUCACUUGCACGUUCACUCACACAUGCUGCUUCUACUCCGGAAGUACGCAUCCACAUAUGUCCACCCAUUUCCAUCUCCAGAACCACCCAAAAAUAUUCUACUCCUAAUCCGGGAGAGAAUAGCCAAAAACCUUUAUGUUUUCCCCUGUGAAAUAAAUGCUCAAGUUAUCUUGGUUACUACCACUUGCUAUAUUAUUUCAGGAAAUGAGUGCUCUAGAAAAAAAAGAAGAAAAAGAUAUGAGGAAAUAAAAAGGGGCAAGUGCCCGGAACCUCGAAAGAAAGAAAAAGUGAGACGAGAGGUAAAAAUGGACAAGUGUCCGACAGUAGAAUUAGGGGUACAAGAUACCCACCUGAGAGGAAAGAAAAAAAUAUAGAGCAUCUCGCUCUCCUCAAAAAGUUUCAAAAGAGCAAGGAAGGUGUGUAUCCCCUCAAAAGAGCACAAGUAGAAUUAGACUUUCACCAUUGUUAUUACCAUCAUCACCAUACAUCAUUCAUUCGCCACACAUGCACACUUGAUUUGAUUUAUUGACUUGUUUCUCUGGAUCCAUGGUUUGACUAUGCAAUAAAUGUCUUGUAAGUAUGUAUACUUUAUCUCCCACCUAUGAGCUCCAGAUAUCAAAGCCUUAUUAGAGUAGGGUGAGAGAGAAGGAAAAUGUCACUAUGCCUUAUACCACAAAUACCACAUAUUUUGAGAGAAGGCAUGUACCAUUACUGCCUUGGUAAAGAUCCAAAAAUACCACAAAAGAGAGAUCUGAGAGAGUCAUACAAGGAAUCUCUGAGUUUUAUUUGAAAAUCUGAAAAAACUCCAGAGGUAUAGCUGAUCAAGAAUAAGAGACAUGGCACUUGACUAGACCGUUCUAUCUUUUAACUACUCAAGACAGAAGUGACGGUUACAAGCCCC